rnacentral:lncRNA from 1 species
CAGUCCCUUCUCCCCUUCUUAUUUGUUUUCCACUCUAGACCACCAAGGUUCUAACCUCCUUUUUACAUGACGGAGCAGGCGUUUGGGUUCUCGUCGCUGAAGAUCUGCGGCGGGUAGGGUGGGUAGGCCGGCGGCGGAGGGUAGGCGGCGUAUCCCGGCCUCGGCGGGUAGUACCCUCCCGGGAACGCAAACUGAGGGUAGUGCAUGUAGAGGUUGGCUGCUGCGAUGGCGCCGGGGUCUUUCUCCUUCUCCUUCUCCUCGCCGCCGGCGCUGGCAUCCUCCUUGUCUUUCUCCUCUUUCUUCUCAUCUGAUGCGCCAUCCUUGUCAUCCUUCUUCUCCUCCUUGUCGUCCUUCUUCUCCUCGCCGCCUUCCGCUGCCUUCUUUUCAUCCUUGGCUUCGCCGUCUCCGGCUUUCUCGGCCGGGGCAGCCGGCUCGGACUUGAUAAUGGCUGCAUGCUUGCCGGUGCGCUUGUGCACGUACUCAGCCAGCUUGGUCUCCUCAAACACGCCCUUCACCGUCACUUCCGAGGCCUUCAGGUCUGGCUCUGCAGAUUGCACUCCUGCAUAAUUUCGAACCAAAAUCAUCAGCAAUACUACACAGCAAGUAUUACUGAGCUCAACGUUCGAAAAGUAUUACUGAGCUCGAGGAUGGACCUAAUCUUGUGUGAUUUUAGGCAGAAUAAUUCUUAUACAAUCAAGAUUAAUCUUGUCACGGUAUAUAGGCAGACAGGUAGGUGAAGGAGUGAAUCUUAUCUGCACCACAGUUGUGCAUCUUUUGCAAGAAAAGGAACUACACGUACAAGGCCCACAUUUUGCCUUUGUUUCAGCCAUCCACCUAAAGAGGGAAUCCCUCUCUUUUUCAUCAUUGCAACAGAGAAAAGAUUUGCUUGACCUUUGCUCAAUCACUAGGUAGAUCCUAAGUAAUUCAUCAAACAUGAGACAUACUGGUACACUAAUUCUAGGAGGACCUAGUGAAAACAAAUACAGUAGUGUAUAAGAGAAAGGCCAUAGAUGUUUUUGUCCUGAUGAAAAUGACGCGAGAGAGAAAUGAAAAAAGGACAAGCAAUCCCACAGCAGCCCAUUACGCACCUUUCAUCUUUUCGAUCCUCUUCUUUAUGACCUGCGCGCAGGCCUCGCAGUGCAUGUGCACCUUCAGCACCACAGAGAUCACCGGUGGCUUCAAAACGAAACAUCAUCCAGUCAGUUUUGCCAAAUCUGAAAUGAAACGAAAAUUACCAUACAGACUACUGCAUUGCGUGCAUUUGUUAAGGUCCUUCACCUCCUUCUUCUCUUCAGGUUUCGGCGGCUCAGGCUCCUCCUUCUUCUCCUCUUCCUUUUUCUCCUCCGGCGGCGGCGGUAACGGCGAGAGGAGCUCCACCUUGCGGCCUGUCUUCUUCUGAACACGCUCGACCACCUUCAUCGGGUCGGCAGCCGCCUUCUUUCCUUUCACAACCACCUUGUGUGCCUUAGAGUCGGCAAUGACGUCCUCUACUCCUGAAUCCGCACAAAAAGGUUUUCAGAUGUGGUACUAGGUAGAACAGAGAAAAUGAAUCUUUGAGCCAAAGAAUCUUAAUUUUUCCCUUGAUAGCAACAACUAGUAGUGCAUGGAGAAUAUGCAGAGGUGCUUGGAACAUUUUGAGCAGUAUUUGGAGAUGAUUGAGGAAUCAGCUUAACUUUUGAGGACAUGUGGCCUCAAGGGCAUUGUAUACUCAAGGCUGUCAUUCUCUUGGAAUGUACUCCAACCUUUUGGAGUGAAAAGUCAUCCCCCUCACAAUUAAUCAACCACUAGAUUCAUGUGCGGCUGAUGAGAAAGGAGGAGGAUCCUAUUAAUUAGGUGAAUCUGAUUAUUAAAAAGCUUAGCCCACCUAUUGACCUAAUCCUUACAAUAUCACUUAAUUGGACAUCAGAACAGCACAGAGAAAAACACAAAAUCUGGACCUUUUUGAAAAAAAAUAAGGAGACAAGGAGAAAUAGUAAACAAAAUUAGAGCAAACCAACCACAUCAUCAUGUCUCCUAAAUCUGAUGACCAAAGCUUCCUUCCCAUAACCGCAAGGAUGACACAAGUUGACCACUAACUAUGAUGAUUCGUGAAUCAAGAUACACUAAGCACGCACUCCCUAAUAAGAUCAGUAACAAAAAAAAAGUGCUGAACGAACUUGAUAAAACUGUCCCUGUGCUAAGGAAAUCAAACCCACGUGACAGCAAGCAUACUAGUUCAAAAAACGAAAAGAUCUUUUUUUCUCAAACGAAGACGAAAAGAUUUACUCUGACGGCGAAUCCUGAUGCAGCAAAGCGGAGGAAACUACGGGGCAGGGAUUAAUUAGAUUAGAUGAGGCGCAUUACCAUCGAAUCUCUUGAGGAUUUUCUUGACCUUCCUGGCGCAGCCCUCGCAGUGCAUGUAGACCCGCAUCACGACCUCCUCCGGCGGNGGCGGCGGGGGCGCCGCCUCCUCCUCCUUGGGCUUCUCCCCCUCCCCUUCCCCCUCCUUGGGCUUGUCGUCCUUGGGCUUGUCCUCCUCUCCCUCCUUGGGCUUCUCCUCCUUCUUCGGCUCCUCCUCCUUGGGCUUCUCCUCCUCCUUGGGCUUCUUCUCCUCCUGCGUGCGAAAACACCACAACACGACGGCGUCAGUCAGUCAAGAUUCAGUCCGCCUCACCGCCGCCGCCGAGGAAUGCAGCACCAAGCAGGCGUCCUUGCUUACCUCGCCCAUGGCGUCCGUCCCUCCUCUGUCCCGCUCCCGCGGCCCUGCUUCCUGGUGGCGUUGGGUGGUGGUGGUGGCUCUGUGCCGCUCCCUGUGGGUGUGUCGCUCGCUACAAGACUAGCAGUGUGGGGGUGGAGGGGGUGGCCUCACUCACUCGCCUUAAGUAGCGGGUGGGCACCGCAAGGGAGUGGGCUGCGAUGCGAGAUCCGCAUGGAAAUGAUUUGGCAUCUCUAUCUCCGGGAUUUCUUUUUUCUUCUCGUUUUGGUGCUGCUCCCUUCCUUUUUCUCGCUCACUCUAUCUCUGCUUUUUUUUUCGGUGCAAACAAAAGAAAAACGUGCUUUGUAUUUGGGUGCCAGGAAGUAUACGAACGUUCCAGUACACCCGGUGACGUGUCAUACCAGCGGCGCCCUUGGGCUCAUGAAUGAAUGAAUUACGGACGGUUAAGAUCUGGAGUACCAGAAAGAUUGUGAUUUCUUUUCUUUGAUGAUGGAACCUCAUUUUACACUGUCCUGCCUCAAGGUUAGUGCAGCAUCCAUGCAUCGAAUGCCACAAAACUAGAGGCAAGGAGCCUACCUUGCACGGUUUCAAGACCUCGCCUCGUGUGGCCGUGCGCCCCUCUCAAAGCGGCUUUCCUUUCCUUUUUUUUCUUUGGGAUGCUGGGUUAAGGACUAACUAACUACUCCCUCCAUUCCUAAAUAGUAUAAAUCUUUUAAGAGAUUUUAUUAGGAGUCUACAUACAGAGAAAAAAGUGAAUCUACACUUUAAAUUAUGUCUAUAUACAUCCGUAUGUAGUCUAUUAGUGGAAUCUUUAGAAAAACUUAUAUUUAGGAACGGAUGGAGUAUUACUUUCGUCCUAAAAUUAUUGUCUUAGGUUUGCUUAGAAAAGGAUGUAUCUAAAUACUAAAAAGUGACUAGAUACAUUCAUAUCUAGACAAAUGUAAGACAAGAAUUUUGGGACGGAUGGAGUAUAAAUUAGCAAAAGGUUUGCAAAGAACAAAAAUCUACGAAAUCAUAAUGGUUUUAUUUCAGUUAUUAAUUGGCAUUAAGAACCAUUUAUUUCUCUCCCAAAAAAAGAACCAUUUAUUUCUCCCAGCUCAUAGACAGAAGAGCAUUAUUCGUCCAUGGGCAAAUACUUGUCACCUGACUUAGAGGUUUGAACCGCACUAUUGUUUCCCAAAAUCAAAAAAAGUUUAUUCUCAAGAAAACAAGACCCACGACAGUUUUCAAUUUUUUUAGUUACUCUCGGCAAUCAGAACUAUUUAUUUUCCCAACUAAAAGAAAAGGAGAGCAUGGCUUGUGCCUGCACAAACACUUGUCACCUGACUUGAAGCUUUGGACUAUAGUUUUCUUUUAUUGCUGCUUUUCUUCUCCUUUUGUCACCGGUAUUAGCGUGGCAACAAAAUGUUGUUAUAGUCUUUUCGUAAAAGGAAGAAAUACAUAGGUUAAAGAAUACAAGGAAGGGUUUCUUUUACGACCAAGAAACUUGUGAGGCUUCCUAGAACAACUUUUCUAGAAGAAAUACGCAAACACGGCAAUCAAAACUAUUUAUUUUUCCAAUUCAGAGAAAAGGAGAGCAUGGCUCGUGCCUGCACAAACACUUGUCACCUGACUUGGAGCUUUGGACCAUAGUUUUCUUUUAUUGCUGCUUUUCUUCUCCUUUUGUCACCGGUAUUACCAUCGCAACAAAAUGUUGUUAGAGUCUUUUCAUAAAAAGGAGAAAUACAUAUAUUAAAGAGUACAAGGAAGGGUUUCUUUUAUGACCAAGAAACUUGUGAGGCUUCCUAGAACAACUUUUCUAGAAGAAAUACGCAAACAAGUAGGGUUGCUAUGGAUGACGUGUAUUUUCACACAAUGGCAAUGAGAUCCUACCUCAUCGAAAGGUUGAUCCUUUUCAAGUUAUUCAUAGUGGAAACAUUUCAUGUUUUGAUGUGAGUGAAUGUGUUUCUGUUGGUACGAAUAAAUUCAUAGCGGCAUGUUAGCGGGAGUUCAAGAGUAACUUCGAAGGUAUUCUAUGCUCCUCCCGUAAAUCGGAUUAAUCAUAGUAAAUUAAUUUUCCAAUCCUUUUCCACUUGCUACUCCAUUAUUUUGUUAGCUCAAGGGCGUGUAUGUGUGCAUGCACAAACACUUGUCAGAUGACUUUGAGGUUUGGAGAGCAUCCUUUUUUACCCCUGCUUUUCUUAUUCUUUUGUUACUGGUAUUAGCAUGCAACAAAAAGAUAAUAAAAUCUUCCAUGAAAAGAAGAAAUGUAUAUUGAAGAGUAUAAAUAAGGGUUUUCUUUUGUGAUUAGGAAACUUGUGGGGCUUCCUAAGACAACAACAACUAGUAGAAAUACACUUUCCAAAUUCACAAGAAGUUUAUCUCAAUAAAACAAAAAUUACAAUAGUUUUCGGGCUUUUUUUAGUUACUAAUUGGCAUUUAGAAUCAUUUAUUUUUCCAUCUCAGAAACACGAGAGCAUGGCUCGUGCAUGCACAAACACUUGUCACCUCACUUGGAGUUUUAAACCAAAUAUUUUUUUCUGCUUUUCUUCUCUUUUUCUUGACGACAUCGGUGUCGCAACAAAAGGGUUGUUAAGAGUAUUUUCAUAAAAGGGAGAAAUAUAUUGAAGAGUAUAAGGAAGGGUCUCUUUUGCAAUCGAGAUACUUGUGAGGCUUCCCAGACAACUUUUGGAGAAGAAAUACAUGAAGAAGUGUGGUUGCUAUGGAUGACGAGUAUUUCCACACAAAGGCAAUGAGAUCCUACUUCAUAUAAAGGUUCAUUAUUUUUGUAGUGUUCAUAGUAGAAACAUUUUCAAUGUUGUUAUACGAGGAAAUGUGUUUCCCUUGAUAGGAAUGAAUUCAUAGUUAGCGGGAAUCCCACAAUAACUUUGAAGAUAUUCUACCGCUUGAGUCGUAAUUCAAAUUGAUCACAAUAAAUUAAUUUCCAAUCUUUUCGAGUUACUAAUCCAUUAGUUUGUGAGUUGAGAGACAAAAGAGCAUGUACGUGUGCAUGCACAAACACCUAUCACCCCACUUAGAGUUUUGAACCACAUCUUUUUAUCGUUGCUUUUCNNNNNNNNNNNNNUCUUUUCUUUUUUGUAUGUACUAGUAAAUGUGUAUGGACAUGCACGUUGAAUUUUGUACAAUAUUAAUUGCAUGCUAAUAUUACGUAGGAUAUUAAUUGCAUGUUUAUUUUAUUAUUUGUGUUGAUAUUGAUGGUUGUUAUGAUAUUAAUUACAUGCAAAUAUGUUGAGCCUUUGCUAUUGGAGCACUGUAGGUCGUUGGACUCGCAUGGUUUGGUGGCUCAUACUAAUUCAAUAUGUCAUCUUGGGUGUUUUUAUAUUGGUAUAGAUAUAUAUGUAUUACCAUCGCAACAAAAAGAUAAUGAUAGUAGAUUUUUUCGUAUAAAAAAGAGAAAACUAUAUUGAAAAGUACAAGGAAGGGUUUUGUUUUAUGAUCGAGAAACUUGUGAGGCUUCCUCGAACAACUAUUUUAGAAAAAAGUACGCGAACAUACGUGAUUGUUGUCGAUGUGGUGUAUUUAAAAAAAUGCAACAAGUCCCUAGUUCGGAGAAAAGGUUGUUUCUUUUCAUAUUAAUGGCGAGAACAUUUCAAUCUAAGGCAUUUCGAGUGCUCCAUCUUGUACAUGUGCUAAAUCUGUCAUGUAGACGAAAAAAUUGAUGUGACAAGAUAAUUAAGAGGGGAUAGUGAGUUUGGUGACCCAGGAAAAACAAUGUCAAACACGUGAACCUAGACAAAACAACUAAAUGAAAGAAAUUCAUCAAUGCAUGAAGAAGUUUAGAGGGUUCUUGGAUCCAAGAGACUAAAACUAGUCUCUUUAAGAGGCUAAAGUUCCAAGCACCCCUGACUAAAGAGAGGCUAAAACUAGUCUUGAGGCUAAUAUCUUUUAGUCAGGGGUACCCCUGCUAAAAUGUGCAUUAGUCCUCUCUCUCCUCAUUUAACUCCUCAUGCAAGUUCUGGAUUGGAGGGUUUGGAGGUGCUUGGAUACGUUUUAGUCCCAUGACUAAAAGUAAUGAGACUAAAACUUGCUAGCCUCACCCAUGCUUGGAUCCAAGUACUAAAGAGACUAAAAUCAAGUUAAUGAGCAUUUAUUAUCCUCCAAACCCUCCAAUCCAGAACUUGCAUGAAGAGUUAAAUGAGGAGAGAGAGGACUAAUGCACAUUUUAGUAGGGGUACCCCUGACUAAAAGAUUUUAGCCUCAAGACUAGUUUUAGCCUCUCUUUAGUCAAGGGUGUUUGGAACUUUAGCCUCUUAAAAAGACUAGUUUUAGUCAGACUAGUUUUAGUCUUUUGUAUCCAAGCACCCUCUAAAUCGUUAAAUGAGAAAAGCUUAGCAACAAGUAAACACCUAUGCAUUGAAAGUUUUAUUAGUUACUAUUUGUGUUUAGCACCUCAUCUAAGCAACUAUGCAUUGAAAGAAACAUAAUUUCUCCAUCUUAAAAUAAAUGUCAUAGAUUUAAUAUUAAAUUAAAAUAAAUUUUAUAUUAUUAGAUUAACGACAAUAGUUUUGGGAUGGAGGAAGUAUUAGAGUACCUUCAUGGAUAGGCAAAUGCAUCCCCCUUUGACAGGAAUGAAUUCGGAGCGGCCCGUUGGUUGGAAUCCAACAAUAACUUUGAAGAUACUCCCUGCCAUAAAAAUCGAAUUAAUCGCAGUACAUUUAAUUUUACAGCAAAUGGAAAGUUGUCACUCGCUCACCUCAAAACUGGCAGUUAGGGUUUUGUUUCUCACUAAAAAAAUACUAAUAGUACUACGAUGUUUUGGCGCAUCCAUGCAGAUUAAGGAUGAUAAUGGUAGUAGUAGUACAGUACUAAUUAAGUAAUUAAGCAGCAACGGCUAGAAAAACCAACGGCGGGGAUGCUAGUACGGGUACUCCUACACCUUCUUUUCUUAUUUGGAAGGAAAUUAAUUGGCUUUCAGGUCUCGGCAUCAUAUUGAGACUGGGGUUUUGCUUGCUACGGGCUGGAGGACGGCGGUUCAAUUUUCUGUCGAGCAUUGAUGGACUUACCGAGCUGUCCUUUCACAUGCAUACACAGUGCCCUGCAAACUUUCACCGGACUGGAACAGGCAGGCAUUAUGUGCAGUGUCAUUUUCCGGAAGGUUAUUUUAUUUGCCAUUAAUAGCACGUCCGUGCAGGCAAAGGACCUGUCUCUUCUUGUUUCCCAACUCUGGCUCCUGCUACAGUCGAUCUUGGUGCGUGUUUUUUUGAAAUAAAAGCAAUUUGCAUCUAUUGUGUAUAAUGUUUGCAGAAAACUCCUCGCAAAAAAAAAAGUUUGCAGAAACCACUUUUUUCAGGAAAUCUUUCGAUCUAUUCAUCAAUUGUUAAGGUAGUGUAAAAAAUAUCAUAAGUAAAAAAAUAAAUUCAGGUAUAUAGACCAUCUAACAACGAUUACAAGCAAUGGUGUGAGCCAAAGACGAAUCGCCGUCAUCGUCCCUCCCUCAUUAGAGCCAGGCAAACCUUAUUGUAGUAGACAGGUGCUAAAACCAUAUAUGACAAAUGCAUUAGAACAUUUACCGCCGUUGGUGAAGAGAACCGUAAAUCGAAAAUAUUCAAUAGGUAAAAAUACGAACGCACACGAACGAAGAUCGGAUCCAUGUGGAUCCACAUGCAUCUAUUGUGUAUAAUGUUUGCAGAAACUACUCUAUAACUAUAGACUGAAGUAAAUGACCUAGAAAAAGUGUUUUGUAAAUAGUACCUUUGCCUUUGUAAUUCCCUCAUAUUUGUUUGGUAUGUUCAUUGUUUCUUGUUUACUUGUAACCUGUUUUGCAUUAGAAAUUGAAGCCAAGAUGACAGGGUGAUGUGCACUCUCUUCCCAACCAAGUAAGCAACGCUCACUUCCUUUGCAUUUUGGUGUUACAAGGAGAGCUCGUUCAACCUUGUUUUACUUGCUUUCAUACAUAACAUNNACAUAACAUAGUCUCCAUGAAAAUUAGUUGACAAAUAUAUUGGUUAGCAAGGAAACAUGUAUAUAAUAACGGCAAAGUAGUGCCCACUAUCCAUAGUAAAAACAAUAUUUCGAUUUUGGCCGAAGGAGGAUGAAAAGCUCUAGAUUUCCUAAUGGUAAGAAAUAAGUUGAACAUAUUUUGUGCCGAACAUAUUUUGUGUGGUGUCUUAACAAAUACUAAUAUAAGAACAUCUCUAGCCGAUCUUUUCAAAACUUUAGAGAAGUAGAAAUUUAUUUAAUGGACUAUCGGGCCUAACUGAUCCCUUAUGGAUUUUAGAGGAGGAAAAAGCUUCCCUUCCCCUCAUGUAACUCCACGCCAAAGCUUCCGGUUUAUAGCCGUUGCACAUAGGAUCUAACCUUUGUCCUUGCUCGUGUGUAUAUGGGAUUAACUUCUCAAUCGAUCAUCCAUUCUAAAAUUUUCUAAGCCAAACACACAUAAUUUUAAAGUUUUUCUCACAUGGGCUACCAAAAAAGAAGGUGCACCUUAUGUGACGCCCCAUCUUAAUCGCACACUAAUCAUACACGCAAAGGCAUACGAUCAAGAUCAGGGACUCACGGAAGGUAUCACAACACAACUCUAGACACAAAUAAAAUAAUACAAGCUUUAUAUUACAACCCAGGGGCCUCGAGGCUCGAAUACAUAAGGUCGAAUACAAACGAGUCAGUGAAAACAACAAUAUCUGAAUACAUACAUAAACAUACAAAUUUGCCUUAAGAAGGCUAGCACAAAUACAACAUGGAUCGAAAAGGCAAGGCCUCCUGCCUGGGAGCCUCUGAACUACUACUGGCCGUCGGCGGCCUCCACAUAGUAAUAAACUCCGUUAGGGUAGUAGUAAUCUUCAAUGGGAUCAGCUGGCUCCUGGGCUCUGACAUGUGUUCGCGGAAAUCGUAUCGGAAAAGUGAAGCAAAGCAACGGUGAGUACUCAUCCAAAGUACCCGCAAGACUUACAUCGAGACUAUGCUAAGCAUGCAUCGGUAUCAAAGGAAUGGGGCGAUAUCUUGGGACUGAACUAAAGCCCCCCCCCCCCCAGAGAGAGAGAAAGACCUAGUCCUAUCAAAGACUAGCAUCUUGCAACAUUAGAAGAGUACAGGUUCGUAAAACAUAUAAAAGCAUGCAGUAGCAAGGCCUAGAGAUCCUUACUCGACUUCGUGCGACGAAGCGAUCCCGGAGCCAUCAUUUCCAUUUCAUGUCUCCAGUAUCCAGUUCUAGUUAUAUAGACCGGGAUACUUUCCCAGCAUGCGUUAUUGUGGACACGACUAUUCGAAUAGAUAUACUUCCCUGCAGGGGUGCACCAACUUAGCCAACAUGCUCGAUUAACUCCGGCUAGACACACUUUCCUGGGCCAUGCUUGGCCUCAGCUGAUCGACACGUUGCAGUCCUACCUAGGAUCAGCACAGAGGUCAACACGUUCGUCUACUCCUAAGUGCUCAAGGGUCUUGGGCCCAAAGCCCUUUGCACUCCUGCGCAUUACAAGGACGACCGAUAUCAGUACUAGCUACCUCUAAAUCCAAAGUAGGUGCCUAAAUCGACCACCCGGGCGCGUGCCGCCCACUGUGGAAUCUGAAGAACUUUCAAGAGAAUGUACGACGAAGAGUGCCCAUACUUAUUCCCGCGUGCGGUUAGUGCGAUAAAGGCGAGAGGCCUACUCGGAUCACAUAUCCACACCCGUUAGUAUCUUCGGAGCUUGCGGUAACGAUCAGUGAUCCUCCCGAUCCCGUCGCCCGUCUCGUGGACUUACGGCGAGGGGAAACAAUGCCUGUCCAUGCCACGUAAUUAUCUCACGGGUACCUCCAGGUCAACCCGACUCACCACAAGACCGUCGAGAACUCAGGUCCACCUCAACCGGGGUGAUACCACCCGUCCCAUCAGUCCCACAAUAGGAAUAAUACGGGCAAUAGGUAACGAUAACAGUGUGUCCUUGUCAUCAAGGGGGAAUUCUGAAGAAUCUCCCUUGAUGGAUUUCCAUUGAUGUAACCGUGAGGGUGAAACCUAAGGUACCACUUUCAACAGUCAGUAGUAGUUCUGUAGCGUCGUACAUCCAAGGGUGUGUGCGAUGAUGUGUUAGUCUUGUCUCAUCAAUCACCUGGAUUAGAUCUUCCAUCACCCUCGAUAGUCGAUAGUAGCUCGGAAGAGUCGUACAACUAAGGGGGUGUGAUGUGAUGUGUCGGGCUCAGGACGUCGAUCAGUUUGAUCGCGUCAUCAAUGAUGACGCGGGGGCAACAAGGACAAAGUGAGGGGGGUAGUGAUGGUUCACUAUCCACCCUAUACUAAGCAUAUAGGAUCAUCAGGUAGGUAACAACAACAAGUUAUAAAAUCAGGUUAUGCAUCCGAAUAGGUGCUAUCAAAGACAGUAACAAAUUCUAAUGCAAGCAUGAGGGAGAAAGAAUUGGGGGAUAUGAGAAUGAUCAAGGGGGGGGGGGGGGACUUGCGUGAAAGCUGUGCAGACAGAUACGAAUCCUCGAUGGUAGAGUAGUCCAUCAACGGAUCAACAACGGUCUCGGUGUCUACCCUAAAGGAAGUAAUGAAGGGGAAACACAGUAAAUUAAAGAACAACCAAAUGCAUCACAAAGCAUGAUAUGGUAAUACACCAUGCUAGGGGCGACCUAACACAUUACUAAGCGUUACAAACGGAGCGGGAAAAUGUCUAUGGAUAUUUCCCGGGUGUGUGGCAUUUAUCGGACACACGAUUCAGAGGGGAAGAUUCCAUGUUCAUCAUGCUAGAUGCAUGUGAGAGAUGAAUGGAUAGCGUAUUGGGAUUAAUUAUAUUUUUGGGAUAACUGCAUUUGUGCCCCUAGUUGGGUCACACUCGACUGAUCUGCCCCUAAUUUUUCAAUAAAUGCGGUUUUGCCUAGCUCAAUUCACUCGCCUUGUGUUUUUGCCAUUCCGGCACGGUUCCGUCCAGUCACGGUUCGCCACGUGGCGACUGAUAACUAGACGGAACCGUGCCGGAAGGGCAAAAACACAAGGCGAGUGAAGUGAGCUCGGAAAAACCACAAUUAUUGAAAAAAUAGGGGCAAAUUAGUCGAGCGUGACCCAACUAGGGGCACAAAUGCAAUUAUCCCUAUAUAUUUUUUGAUUGUUUUUCAUAUAUAAAUUGUUUUCAUUCGAGUUAUAGACUAUUUUAUAUGAUUUUUCGAAGUUUAAAUGAUUUUCUGAAAUUAUUAUUAUCUGUUAAAUUCUAAUUUUAAACAACGCAAUUAGUUUUAUACAUAGCACUAGCCAACCAAAGUGAAUGACGUGUUGGGGCAAGGAGUGUGCUAAGUCAACAGUGAAUAGUUUGACUAUUGACUUGUAACCUAACCAGUGGGCACAAGAUGUCAUAGAAACAUAUGUUAACUCGAGUUAUUAAUUAUUUUAACUUAAUGAGACUAAAUAAUCCCUAAAUGAAUCUAAUAUAAUCCUACUCUAAUUUAUGUUGGAAAUAUGCCCUAGAGGCAAUGAUAAAUAGUUACUAUUAUAUUUCCUGUUUAAAGAUAUUCAUUUAUUAUCCAUGCUAUAAUUGUAUUGAAUGAAAACAUAGAUACAUGUGUGGAUACAUAGACAAAACAAUGUCCCUAGCAAGCCUCUAGUUGGCUAGCAAGUUGAUCAAUGAUAGUCAAGGUUUUCUGACUAUGUGCAAGUGUUCUCACUUGAUAACUAGAUCACAUCAUUAGGAGAAUCAUGUGAUGGACUAGACCCAAACUAUGAACGUAGCAUAUUGAUCGUGUCGUUUUAUUGCUAUUGUUUUCUGCGUGUCAAGUACUUGUUCCUAUGACCAUGAGAUCAUAUAACUCACUGGCACCGGAGGAAUACCUUGUGUGCAUCAAACAUCACAACGUAACUGGGUGACUAUAAAGGUUCUCUACAGGUAUCUUCGAAGGUGUCCGUUGAGUUAGUAUGGAUCAAGAGUGAGAUUUGUCAGUCCGUGUGACGGAGAGGUAUCUCGGGGCCCACUCGGUAAUACAACAUCACACACAAGCCUUGCAAGCAAUGUGACUAAGUGUAAGUCACAAGAUCUUGUAUUACGGAACGAGUAAAGAGACUUGCCGGUAACGAGAUUGAAAUAGGUAUGCGGAUACCGACGAUCGAAUCUCGGGCAAGUAACAUACCGAAGGACAAAGGGAAUGACAUACGGGAUUAUAUGAAUCCUUGACACUGAGGUUCAACCGAUAAGAUCUUCGGAGAAUAUGUAGGAUCCAAUAUGGGCAUCCAGGUCCCGCUAUUGGAUAUUGAUCGAGGAAUGCAUUGGGGCAUGUCUACAUAGUUCUCGAACCCGCAGGGUCUCCACACUUAAGGUUCGAUGAUGUUUUAGUAUAGUUGAGUUAUAUGUGUGGUUACCGAAUGUUGUUCGGAGUCCCGGAUGAGAUCAUGACAUCACGACGGUUUACGGAAUGGUCGGGAAACGAAGAUUGAUAUAUAGGAUGGCAUCAUUUGGUUACCAGAAGGUUUUCGGGCAUUAUCGGGAAUGUACCGGGAGUGACGAAUGGGUUCCGGAAGUUCACCGGGAGGGGGGCAACCCACCCGGGGGAAUCCCAAUGGUCCUAGGGGUGGCGCACCAGCCCUUUGUGGGUAGGUGGGACAUCCCAAGAGGGCCUUGGCGCCAUAAGAAGAAAACCAAUAAAAAGGGGAGGUGGGAAGGAAGAGAAGGACUCCACUUUCCAAUCCUAGUUGGACUAGGAUUGGAGUAGGACUCCUCCUCUCCCUUGGCCGGCGCACCCUUGAGGGCUUGGCCCUCAACGCAAGACUCCUCCCCCUCCCUCCUAUAUAUAGUGGUGAUUUAGGGCUGAUUUGAGACAACUUUUGCCACGUGCAACUCAGAUCUAGACACCAUAGUUUUACCUCUAGAUCAUAUUUCUGCGGAGCUCGGGCGGAGCCCUGCAGGAGUAGAUCCUCACCACCACCGGAGCACCAUUACGCUGCCGAAGAACUCAUAUAAUUCUCCGUCUUGCUUGCUGGAUCAAGAAGGUCGAGAUCAUCGUCGAGCUGUACGUGUGCUGGACGCGGAGGUGCCGUCCGUUCAGCACUAGAUCGGAAUGGGUCAUGGGACGGAUCGCGGGACGGUUCGUGGGGAUGACCGAGGGACGUGAAGACGUUCCACUACAUCAACCGCAUUUCUUAACGCUUCCUGCUGUGCGAUCUACAAGGGUACAUAGAUCCAAAUCUCCUCUCGUAGAUGGACAUCACCAUGAUAGGUCUUCGUGUGCGUAGGAUUUUGUUUUGCUUCCCAUGGAACAUUCCCCAACAGAUGAGCUAGGUUCAUGCGUAGAUGUUAUCUCGAGUAGAACACAAAGGGUUUUGUGAACGGUGAUGUUCAAUUUGCUGCCCUCCUCGGUAUUUUCUCGAUUCGGCGGUAUUGUUGGAUUGAAGCGGCCCGGACUGACAUUAUUCGUACGCUUACAAAAGACUGGUUGCAUCGAUUGACAUGCAACCUCGUUGCAUAAAGAUGACUGGAGGGUGUCGGUUUCUUCAACUUUAGUUGAAUUGGUCUUGACCGAGGCGGUCCGUGGAGAGGUUAAAUAGAAAUUUGCACAUCUCCGUUGUGGUUUUUGCGUAAGUAAGAUGCGAUCUACUAGAUACCGAUAGCAGCCACGUAAAACAAGAAACAACAAAUUAGAGGACGUCUAACUUGUUUUUGCAGGGUAUGCUUGUGAUAUGAUAUGGCCAAUGACGUGAUGUGAUAUAUUGGAUGUAUGAGAUGAUCUUGUUGUAAUAGUUAAUAUCGACUUGCACGUCGAUGGUACGGCAACCAGCAGGAGCCAUAGGGUUGUUUUAAACUAACGUUUAUGUUUGCAGAUGCGUUUACUAUAUUGCUAGGACGUAGCUUUGGUAGUAAUAUCAUAAGUAGCACGAAAACCCCGAUGGCGACAUGUUGAUGGAGAUCAUGAUGAUGGAGAUCACGGUGUGGCGCCGGUGACAAGAAGAUUGUGCCGGUGCUUUGGUGAUGGAGAUCAAGAAGCACAAGAUGAUGGCCAUAUCAUGUCACUUAUGAAUUGCAUGGGAUGUUAAUCCUUUUAUGCACCUUAUUUUGCUUAGAACAAGGGUAGCAUUAUGAGGUGAUCUCUCACUAAAAUUUCAAGACGAAAUUGUGUUCUCCCCGACUGUGCACCGUUGCUACAGUUCGUCGUUUCGAGACACCAUGUGAUGAUCGGGUGUGAUAGACUCAACAUUCGCAUACAACGGGUGCAAAACAGUUGCACACGCGGAACACUCGGGUUAAGCUUGAUGAGCCUAGCAUGUAUAGACAUGGACUCGGAACACAUGAGACCGAAAGGUCGAGCAUGAAUCGUAUAGUUGAUAUGAUUAGCAUAGAGAUGCUUACCACUGAAACCAUCCUCAACUCACGUGAUGAUCAGACUUGAGUUAGUGAAUUUGCAUCAUGUACCACUCAAAUGACUAGAGAGAUGUACUUUUUGAGUGGGAGUUUAGCAAGUAAUUUGAUUAGUUAAACUCUAAUUAUAUUGAACAUAGUCUAAGUCCACUUUGAAAAUAUUUGUGUUGUAGAUCAAUGGCUCAUGCGACAGUCACCCUGAAUUUUAAUACGUUCCUAGAGAAAGCUAAGUUCAAAGAUGAUGGAAGCAACUUUGUAGACUGGGCUCAUAAUCUUAAGUUGCUCCUACAACCUGGGAAGAAGGAUUAUGUCCUUAAUGCUGCACUGGGAGAUGAACCAUCCGCCGCGGCUGACCAAGAUGUUAAGAACGCUUGGUUAGCACGCAAGGAGGACUACUCAGUAGUUCAAUGUCUUGUAUGGCUUAGAGCCCGGACUUCAACGUUGCUUUGAGCGUCAUGGAGCAUUUGAGAUGUUCCAGGAGUUGAAGUUUAUGUUUCAGAAGAACACCCAGAUCGAGAGGUAUGAGACCUCCGAUAAAUUCUAUGCUUUCAAGAUGGAGGAGAAUUUGUAUGUCAGUGAACAUGUGCUCAAAAUGUCUGGGUACUCAAACCGUCUAGCUGAGCUGGGGAUUGAACUCCCGCAAGAGGCUAUCACUGACAGAAUUCUUCAAUCACUGCCACCAAGCUACAAGAGCUUUGUGUUGAACUAUAACAUGCAAGGGAUGAACAAGUCACUCAGCGAGUUAUUCGCGAUGCUGAAAGUCGCAGAGUCAGAACUUCGUAAAGAGCAUCAAGUGUUGAUGGUGAAUAAGACCACUCGUUUCAAGAGAAAUGACAAAGGAAAGAAGGGUAAUUCCAAGAAGAGCAGCAGGCCUGUUUCCAAUCCGAUGAAGAAACCCAAAGCUGGACCUAAGCGUGAAACGGAGUGUUAUUUUUGCAAGGGUAUGGGUCACUGAAAGCGCAACUGCCCAAAGUAUCUGGCUGAUAAGAAGGCGGCCAAGGAAAAAUCAGGUAUAUUCGAUAUACAUGUUAUUGAUGUGUACUUAACCAGCUCUCGUAGUAGUGUCUGGGUAUUCGAUACCGGUUCUGUUGCUCAUAUUUGCAACUCGAAACAGGAACCGCGGAAUAAGCGAAGGCUGACGAAGGAUGAAGUGACGAUGCGCGUGGGAAAUGAUUCCAAGGUUGAUGCAAUCGCCGUCGGCACAGUUUCACUUCAGUUACCAUCAGGAUUAGUUAUGAACUUAAAUAAUUGUUAUUUAGUGCAUGCGUUAAGCAUGAACAUUAUAUCUGGAUCUUGUUUAUUGCGAGAUGGUUACUCGUUUAAGUCAGAGAAUAAUGGUUGUUCUAUUUCUAUUUGUAAUAUCUUUUAUGGUCAUGAACCAAAUGUGAGAGGAUUGUUCAUAUUGAAUCUUGAUAGCAAUGAUACACAUAUACAUAACAUUGAGACCAAAAGAGUUAGAGUUAACAAUGAUAGUGCCAUGUUUUUAUGGCACUGCCGCUCAUGUCAUAUUGGUGUAAAGCGCAUGAAGAAACUCCAUACCGAUGGACUUUUGGAGUCACUUGACUUUGAUUCACUUGACACCUGCGAACCAUGCCUCAUGGGCAAGAUGACUAAGACUCUGUUCUCCGGAACAAUGGAGCAUGCAAGUGACUUGUUGGAAAUCAUACAUACUGAUGUGUGCGGUCCGAUGAGUGUGGAGGCGCACAACAGAUAUCGUUAUUUUCUCACCUUCAGUAACGAUUUGAGUAGAUAUGGUUAUGUCUACUUGAUGAAGCACAUGUCUGAAACGUUUGAGAAGUUCAAGCAAUUUCAAAGUGAAGUUGAAAAUCAUCGUAACAAGAAGAUCAAGUUCCUAUGGUCUGAUCGUGGGGGUGAAUAUCUGAGUUUCGAGUUUGGUGCUCACUUAAGACAAUGUGGAAUUGUUUCAUAGUUGACACCGCCUGGAACACCACAACGUAAUGGUGUGGCCGAACGUCGUAAUCAUACUUUAUUAGAGAAGGUGCGAUCUAUGAUGUCUCUUAUCGAUUUGCCAUUAUCGUUUUGGGGUUAUGCAUUGGAGACAACUGCAUUCACUUUAAAUAGGGCACCAUCAAAAUCCGUUGAGACGACACCAUACGAACAAUGGUAUGGCAAAAGACCAAAACUAUCGUUUCUUAAAGUUUGGGGAUGUGAUGCUUAUAUCAAAAAGCUUCAGCCUGAAAAGCUGGAACGCAAAGCGGGAAAGUGCGUCUUCAUAGGUUACCCAAAAGAGACAGUUGGGUAUACUUUCUAUCUCAAAUCCGAGGGCAAAGUGUUUGUUGCUAAAAAUGGAGCUUUUCUUGAGAAGGAGUUUCUCUCGAAAGAAUUGAGUGGGAGGAAGAUAGAACUUGAUGAGGUUAUCGAACCUCUAAUCCCUCUAGAUGGUGGCGUAGGGCAAGGGGAAACCCCUGUUGCUGCGGUGCCGGUUGAGGAGCAAGUUGAUGAUGAUGAUCAUGAAACUUCGAAUCAAGUUGCUAUCAGACCUCGCAGGUCGACAAGAUCAUGUACUACUCCUGAGUGGUACGGUAAUCCUGUCUUAACAAUUAUGUUGUUGGACAACAAUGAACCUGCGAAUUAUGAAGAAGCAAUGGUGGGCCCAGAUUCCAACAAAUGGCUGGAGGCCAUGAAGUCCAAGAUAGGAUCCAUGUACGAGAACAAAGUGUGGACAUUGGAAGUACUACCUGAAGGCCGCAAGGCUAUUCAGAACAAAUGGAUCUAUAAGAAGAAGACGAACGCAAACGAUAAUGUGACCGUUUAUAAACUUGACUUGUGGCAAAGGGUUUUUCACAAGUUCAAGGAGUUGACUACGAUAAGACUUUCUCACCGCUAGCGAUGCUUAAGUCCGUCCGAAUCAUGUUAGCAAUAGCCGCCUUUUACGAUUAUGAAAUGUGGCAGAUGGAUGUCAAAACGGCGUUCCUUAAUGGUUUUCUUUAGGAAGAGUUGUAUAUGAUGCAACCCGAAGGUUUUUUCAAAUUCAAAGAAUGCUAACAAAGUAUGCAAGCUCCAUCAAUCCAUUUAUGGACUGGUGCAAGCAUCUCGGAGUUGGAAUAAGCGCUUUGAUGAGGUGAUCAAAGCAUUUGGGUUUAUACAAGUGGUUGGAGAAUCUUGUAUUUACAAGAAAGUGAGUAAGAGCUCUGUGGCGUUUCUAAUAUUAUAUGUGGACGACAUAUUGUUGAUUGGAAACAACGUGGAGCUUUUGGAGAGCAUAAAGGAUUACUUGAAUAAAAGUUUCUCUAUGAAGGACCUAGGAGAAGCUGCUUACAUUCUAGGCAUUAAGAUCUAUAGGGAUAGAUCGAGACGCCUGAUAGGACUUUCACAAAGCACAUACCUUGAUAAAGUUUUGAAGAAGUUCAAAAUGGAUCAGUCCAAGAAAGGGUUCUUGCCAGUAUUACAAGGUAUAAAAUUGAGUAAGACUCAGUGCCCAGCAACUCCGGAAGAUAGAGAACAAAUGAGUUCCGUCCCCUACGCUUCAGCCGUAGGUUCUCUCAUGUAUGCAAUGUUGUGCACUAGACCAGACAUCAGUUUGGCCAUAAGUAUGGCAGGCAGGUUUCAUAGUAAUCCAGGAGUGGAUCACUGGAUGAUGGUCAAGAAUAUUCUGAAGUACAUGAAAAGUACUAAGGAAAUGUUUCUCGUUUAUGGAGGUGACAAAGAGCUCAUCGUAAAGGGUUACGUCGACGCAAGUUUUGACACCGAUCCGGAUGACCCUAAGUCACAAACCGAAUAUGUGUUUAUUCUUAAUGGGGGUGCAGUAAGCUGGUGCAAUUCCAAGAAGAGCGUCGUAGCAGAUUCUACAUGUGAAGCAGAGUACAUGGCUGCCUCGGAGGAAGCAAAGGAGGGUGUCUGGAUGAAGCAGUUCAUGACAAAUCUUGGAGUUGUGCCAAGCGCACUAGAUCCAUUAACUCUGUUAUGUGACAACGCUGGUGUCAUUGCCUUAGCAAAGGAACCAAGGUUUCACAAGAAGACCAGACACAUCAAAUGAUGCUUCAACCUCAUCCGCGACUACGUCGAAGGAGAGGACGUGAAUAUUUGCAAAGUGCACACGGAUCUGAAUGUAGCAGACCCACAGACUAAACUUCUUCCACGGGCAAAAUAUGAUCAAUACCAGAACUGUAUGGGUGUUCGAUUUAUUACAAUGUAAAUCACAUGGCGAUGUGAGGACUAGAUUAUUGACAAUAGUGCAAGUGAGAGACUGUUGGAAAUAUGCCCUAUAGGCAAUGAUCCCCCCCCCCCCCCCCCUUUAAAGAUAAUCGUUUAUUAUCCAUGCUAUAAUUGUAUUGAAUGAAAACAUAGAUACAUGUGUGGAUGCAUAGACAAAACAAUGUCCCUAGCAAGCCUCUAGUUGGCUAGCCAGUUGAUCAAUGAUAGUCAAGGUUUUCUGACUAUGUGCAAGUGUUGUCACUUGAUAACUGGAUCACAUCAUUAGGAAAAUCAUGUGAUGUACUAGACGCAAUCUAUGAACGUAGCAUAUUGAUCCUGUCAUUUUAUUGGUAUUGUUUUUUGCGUGUCAAGUACUUGUUCCUAUGACCAUGAGAUCAUAUAACUCACUGGCACUGGAGGAAUACCUUGUGUGCAUCAAACGUCACAACGUAACUGGGUGAAUAUAAAGGUGCUCUACAGGUAUCUCCGAAGGUGUUCGUUGAGUUAGUAUGGAUCAAGACUGGGAUUUGUCACUCCGUGUGACGGAGAGGUAUCUCGGGGCCCACUCGGUAAUACAACAUCACACACAAGCCUUGCAUGCAAUGUGACUAAGUGUAAGUCACAUGAUCCUGUAUUACGGAACGAGUAAAGAGACUUGCCGGUAACGAGAUUGAAAUAGGUAUGCGGACACCGACGAUCGAAUCUCGUGCAAGUAACAUACCGAAGGACAAAGGGAAUGACAUACGGGAUUAUAUGAAUCCUUGACACUGAGGUUCAACCGGUAAGAUCUUCGGAGAAUAUGUAGGAUCCAAUAUGGGCAUCCAGGUCCCGCUAUUGGAUAUUGACCGAGGAGUGCCUCGGGGCAUGUCUACAUAGUUCUCGAACCCACAGGGUCUGCACACUUAAAGUUCGAUGAUGUUUUAGUAUAGUUGAGUUAUAUGUGUGGUUACCGAAUGUUGUUUGGAGUCCCGGAUGAGAUCACGGACGACACGAGGGUUUCCGGAAUGGUCGGGAAACGAAGAUUGAUAUAUAGGAUGGCUUCAUUUGGUUACCGGAAUGUUUUCGGGCAUUACCGAGAAUGUACUAGGAGUGACGAAUGGGUUCCCGAAGUUCACCGGGAGGGGGGGGGGGAACCCACCUCGGGGAAGCCCAAUGGUCCUAGGGGUGGCGCACCAGCCCUUAGUAGGCUGGUGGGACAGCCCAAGAGGGUCUUGGCGCCAUAAGAAGAAAACCAAAAAAAAGGGGAGGUGGGAAGGAAGAGAAGGACUCCACUUUCCAAUCCUAGUUGGACUAGGAUUGGAGUAGGACUCCUCCUCUUCCUUGGCCGGCGCACCCUUGAGGGCUUGGCCCUCAAGGCAAGCCUCCUCCCCCUCCCUCCUAUAUAUAGUGAUGAUUUAGGGCUGAUUUGAGACAACUUUUUCCACGUGCAACUGAGAUCUAGACUCCAUAGUUUUACCUCUAGAUCGUAUUUCUGCGGAGCUCGGGCGGAGCCCUGCAGGAGUAGAUCCUCACCACCCCCGGAGCGCUGUCACGCUGCCGGAGAACUCGUCUACUUCUCUGUCUUGCUUGCUGGAUCAAGAAGGCCUAGAUCAUCGUCGAGCAGUACUUGUCCUGAACGCGGAGGUGCCGUCCGUUCGGCACUAGAUCGGAAUGGAUCGUGGGACGGUUCGCGGGACGGUUCGUGGGACGGUUCAUGGGGCUGAUCGAGGGACAUGAAGACGUUUCACUACAUCAACCGUGUUUCUUAAUGGUUCUUGUUGAGCGAUCUACAAGGGUACGUAGAUCCAAAUCUCCUCUCGUAGAUGGACAUCACCAUGAUCGGUCUUCGUGUGCGUAGGAUAAUUUUUGUUUCCCAUGCAACCAUCCCCAACAAUUCAAACAGGGAUGGGGCAAAAGGCACGAGACAUGCCUCACCUAGUUGGUCACGCACGCACGCACGGUUAGCAGUAGCCGCGGGCGACGAUGGAGGCAUGCAACAUCGACGCUAGGUAGCAGUAGCGACAUCGGCAUGCGCAUUAAUAGAAAAAGCAGGAGCGAGCAGCGGCUAUAGGAGCUGCGGACACGGGUUGCAUCAGCAGCAGAAGCAACAAUUAGCUACGCAGCAAGGAGCAACAACAACACAGCAAGCUGCCGCCAUAGCAAGCAGCCGCGCAGCAGCAGUAGCAUCAGAAGUGUAGAAGCUUGCAGCAACGGCAUGCAAAGCAGUAACUAGCGGCACCAAGCGUUAUGGUAGCAGUGAUAGGCAACAUCGGUGGUAAGGAGUAGCAGGCAGCAGCCGCAGCAACAGAGCAAGCAACAACGCAUUGUGGCAGUGGGCGAGCGGGCAUAGGGGGCGGUUAGGGUGGAACAGGGAGCAGCGACACAUGGGAGUGGGGUGUAGGCGGGCAUGUGGCUAGUAGCGAGCGAGCGCAUGGGCUGGGCGAGGCGGAGCGCGGCUAGGGGAAUGGCAGGAGCGGGCGAGCACGCACGAUGACUGGAUCUCCGGCCAUGACGGACAACGACCUGCACAGUCAUCUAUGGCAACAUAUCGAGAUGGGAGAAAGUGGGGAAACGGAGAGGAGCUCACCGCGGUUCCAACGGAGACGACGGGGAAGCCGGAGGUGGACCGGAGGCAAUCGAUGACGGGGCCGGGGAUGUACACGACAGAAACAAGCUCGAUGACGUGUGUAUGGGGUAGCCCCACCCGAUUUGAUUCCCGAGAUGGACGAAGUCGACGGUGACGGUCCUCCUGGACGUCUUGGCGCGGCGAGGGGAGCGCGGUGGUCGUGGAAUCGAUGACGGGCGGCGAUGGGGAUGCUCGGGAUAAGUGGGAGAGAGCGAGGGGAGAGGGAAGAGUGGCCUAGGGUUGUCUCACGUGUCGGGGAGGGCCUUAUACACCGCAGGGCUCGCUAUAGGGUCGACACGGCGGCCAUAGUGGCCAUGGCAGGGUGGAUGGUGAAAGCACAAUUUCUCCCUAAGGUGGUUUUGGAAAUUAAUAACAACAUAUGUGUCAUUGAACUAAGGAUUCUAUCUAGUAUAUUUGAGGAAAAGUUCAAUGAUGCAUUGGCUAAGGAUUGUGAGGAGGACCCGUGGAUGCAAGGAACAUAUAUUGGCAACAAGCUUGAAGACUCUACAUUUUAUAUUUUGUGAGGUGACUAUGAUGAUCUGGUUGCUCAAGUGCUUAGAGAUAGCCACAAAAAAUACUCAUGAAAUUCUCUCACAAAUAUUCUGUCAAAAUCCACAAAGUCCAAAAUUCAGUGCCACCAACUUUCCAUUCGGCCCUAUCGAGUUUUCCACCAGGCAGAACCUUUGACAAACCUUAGCAUCUCGGUGCCACCAGCAUUCCAUUCGGUGACACCGAAAUCAAUGACCAACUUUCUUGUUAUCCAUUUUCACUAGUCGUAAUUUCCGAGUUUUGGAAUCAGUCUCACCGAGAUUUGGAAACUGCCCUAGGUCACCCAUAUCGAUAUCAUUGAGAUUUCUAUAUCGGUCUCACCGAUAAGACAAAAGUUGCCACAUUUUAUACUAGUCGCUGCCAUCGAGUUUCACUUCGGUUUCACUGAGUUGGGCAAUAAUGUUGUAACGAUUGGAUUUUUGAAGAUGCCUAUAUAUACCCAACCACCACCUCUCAUUCAUAGAGGAAGCACUUAGAACACACGUACACUUUCCAUAUCCAUUUUUCUGAGAGAGAGCCACCUACUCAUGUGUUGAGAUCAAGAUAUUCCAAUCCUACCAUACAGAUCUUGAUUUCUAGCCUCUCCAAGUUGCUUUCCACCAAAUCAAUAUCUUUUGCCCAAGCCAAAUCUGUGAGAGAGUGAUUGAGAGUUGAGGAGACUAUGUUUUGAAGCACAAGAGCAAGGAGUUCAUCAUACUACCGCAACUAUUACCUUUUUAGGGUGGUGCCUCCUAGAUUGGUUAGGUGUUGCUUGGGAGCCUCCUACUUCGUGUUGUGGAGUUAAACCAAGAAGUGUGUAAGGGCAAGGAGAUCGCGUACUUCGUGAAGAUCUACCCCAAGUGAGGCUAGUCCUUCAUGGACGUAAGCCAUGAUGGAAUAGACAAGGUUGCUUCUCCAUGGACCCUUCAUGUGUUGAGCCCUUUGUGGACUCUCGUGGCCGUUACCCUCCGUGGGUUGAAGUCUCCAUCAACGUGGACGUACGAUAGCACCACCUAUAGCAACAACGCCAAGAAUCACCGUGAAAAUCUUUGCGUUUGAUCUUCCUAUCCCUACCCUCUAUUUACAUGUGCAUGUCUUUACUUUCCGCUGCUAUACUCUUAGACUUGCAUGUGUAGGGUGCGAUUGACUCAAAAAAUUUGCUAAAACUUGCCCACAACUAAAAUUGGGAAAGGGCUAAGUUUUUAUUUGGUCAAGUAGUCUAAUCACCCCCCCUCUAGACAUACUUCGGAUCCUACAGAUGGCUACCACACCUUGCCCCUGCCUCCUCCUCUGUUACGAGGUAGGAGAAAGGCCAGUCGAUGUGGGCUGAGCUGCACAGUAGAGGUGUUGAGCAAAGUUCACAAUGCUCCCUUUUGUUUUUUGAUUUCUAUUUUAGCUAUGGUUUUGUAUUUUGUUUUUACACCAAAUGAUUUUGCUUGCCUAUGAGAUUUGGCAUAUAAAACAAAGGCAAUAUCCUGAAGUGUCUCACAAAGUUUGGGGACAUUUGGAAUUGUAUAAAUAUUUUUUUAUUUUGAAAAAGGCUAUUUUAAUUGUUGAUGGGCCACUUUAUAAUUUCUUAGGGGUUAAUUGUUGGAUCAAAUAAUGUUGGGUUCAACAUGACAAUGAUCACGGGAAUUUAUAGAAUAUUAUGAACACAUUGGUUUUACUAAUUGAAAAAACAACUUAUUUGACUUUAAUUUAAAUUUGAAAAUGGCUUUGAUUUUUAUCAAGUGGGAAAUUGGCUUAGUUAAACUUGAUGAGAUGGAACCAUUAGUGUGAGGUCAUUGUAGCAUGACACUCGGUGUUACAAAUCUCCUCCACUACAAUAAGUCUCGUCCCGAGAUUUAAGAGGUGGAGUAAGGGGGUUCUGGUUACAAAAUUCUAACACAUUUCCUCGUCCUUGGUUGAUCUUCUCGGAGAAGUUGAUCCCUUUAAUAUACGUCAUCAAUUAUGCGUUUCAGGUCAUACUGAUGAAGUCAUCAUCCUUUCAUGGGAUCUUCAUCCUCCUACAAAUGCGAUAAGAGGGAAAAACUCUGGAAGGACGCAUCUCCACAAAGUUGGGCAUCUAACGCUGAAAUCAGGGAAGAAGACAUGAAUUAUUUCUCGACUCAUAACUCACGAAAUUCAUUGAGAGCCAUAUGUGAUGGUCCAAAAGUUUCAAAUGGACAGACAAUCAUUCGAUGCUAAAUCAGAAGGUGAAAGUGAUUCAGAGCAACGAAAAUAAAUAUUGGGUAUGAUACUAAAAUAGAUCAUCCCUUGGACGGUGGCUCGGGAAUUACAUACGAAGCCAAGUGCAAAAGAUACUUUGGAAACAAAUAUUCACAUAAGAGUCAGGUUUCAAUCUUCUGGAACUGUGGGUUAUGGCCCACCAUUUGGGUUAAGAGUAGGAAGAGUGGUGACAUCUUGCACGGUCAUGGUAGCAAGACAUGUUAUGUUGGCAACAACGCCGGUACCAAGUGCGAGGAACUAUAAGAACCAUUUUCCUACUUGUUGAAACAAGGUAGACCAAUAGGCAAAGUUUGCGUCCACCGGCGGUCUGAGCAUCAGGUCGAAUCAAUUAAAGCGGUAUUCGAGAAUACCCCGUUGAAGUGAUAUUGAAUAUGAUUCAAAUCAACUUCAAACCUAAUAAAUGUUAGCUAUAUUAUCAUACCACCUUGCAUCCUCAUACCAUGCUCAUGCAUCAUCUUGUUGCAUAUGAUUGAUAUUGAUUGUUGUCAUUUUCUUCGGUAGGCUCCGCUCCUCCGGAUUCCACCGAAUAUCCGACUCAUGGAUAUUGUCCCUCCUCUGAGCAACAAGGCAAGCAACCAUUUUGAUCAUCCCGAUAGAUCCCAUGUUCUCGCUCCUGCACUUACUUAUUGCAUUAGGAUCAAAUGCUUCAAAUGCUUUUGCCACGUUAGUUGAACCCACUUCCUUUGCAAGACCUGUCCUUGUCACAGUAAAUAGCUGAACCUUGCAACCUAACAUACCUGGUAGUUGCUUGAGCCAUGAUGUGCCUUAUCCUGCUAUGCAUGCUAUGCUUGGAGUUGUGUAUGGUCUGUCAUCUGGGAGAUGAACAGAAUUGUGAGAAUGUGUUCAGUAAGUAAAGGUUGUGUGUUGAACCUGAUUUGGUGAAGGUACCGGUGAAAUGCUAUGUAGGAGUACAUGGCGGAUUGUUUCAUUGGAACCGUCCUUAGGAACUGAGUUCGGUGUAUGUAAACCAAGAUGAGAUACUACCACAUGCUGGGCCCUGAAAUAUGACCCCGCUCGACUUAUUAAUCGCUUAGUACUCGGUCCAGGAGUUGCAAGUAGUUUCUGGUGUUUAUAGUCAUGCUGGAGGCCGUGCAUAGCGCUGACCUGAGAGGUGGGCCGUGAUGCGGUAGGCAGUGGCACAGUGUACCAAGUGGCACCCGGAUGGUGGGCUUGGGAACCCUGCGCACAUCGUUUGGGGCCGUGGAGGAAACCUCGGCCGGACUUCCGUGCGGGUUACCCUCAGAUAGGCGAUUGACCUGGACCAAGUAUUAGCGUGGUUAACGGUUGUGGCCGACUCCCUCGCUGGGCUUCCGCUAGAAGGUUGCCGAGGUGCAUGACGUGCACAUGGCGAUAAGUGGCGNGCUCCGCUCCUCCGGAUUCCACCGAAUAUCCGACUCAUGGAUAUUGUCCCUCCUCUGAGCAACAAGGCAAGCAACCAUUUUGAUCAUCCCGAUAGAUCCCAUGUUCUCGCUCCUGCACUUACUUAUUGCAUUAGGAUCAAAUGCUUCAAAUGCUUUUGCCACGUUAGUUGAACCCACUUCCUUUGCACGUCCUGUCCUUGUCACAGUAAAUAGCUGAACCUUGCAACCUAUCAUACCUGGUAGUUGCUUGAGCCAUGAUGUGCCUUAUCCUGCUAUGCAUGCUAUGCUUUGAGUUGUGUAUGGUGUAUCAUCUGGGAGAUGAACAGAAUUGUGAGAAUGUGUUCAGUAAGUAAAGGUUGUGUGUUGAACCUGAUUUGGUAAAGGUACCGGUGAAAAGCUAUGUAGGAGUACAUGGCGGGUUGUUUCAUUGGAACCGUCCUUAGGAACUGAGUUCUGUGUAUGUAAGCCAAGAUGAGAUACUACCACAUGCUGGGCCCUGAAAUAUGACCCCGCUCGACUUAUUAAUCGCUUAGUACUCGGUCCAGGAGUUGCAAGUAGUUUCUGGUGUUUAUAGUCAUGCUGGAGGCCGUGCAUAGCGCUGACCUGAGAGGUGGGCCGUGAUGCGGUAGGCAGUGGCACAGUGUACCAAGUGGCACCCGGAUGGUGGGCUUGGGAACCCUGCGCACAUCGUUUGGGGCCGUGGAGGAAACCUCGGCCGGACUUCCGUGCGGGUUACCCUCAGAUAGGCGAUUGACCUGGACCAAGUAUUAGCGUGGUUAACGGUUGUGGCCGACUCCCUCGCUGGGCUUCCGCUAGAAGGUUGCCGAGGUGCAUGACGUGCACAUGGCGAUAAGUGGCGAGAGCAUGUGUGACGAAGUACACCCCUGCAGGGUUAUGAUCUAUUCGAAUAGCCGCGUCCGCGGAUAUGGACUACUUGGAGACAUAUGUUGUUCAUAGAUAACUUCAAUGGCUACUCAUAAAAUUGUCAAGAUAAGCGUGAGUGUCGUGGACAGCAUUUCCGUAUGGAGACGGAAUGAUUCCACGAUGGAGUAUUGUUGUGGUGUUAGUGGAUCAUGUGCGAGAAAUCAAGUUGUCAAAAAUUGUUUUAAAAUGCAAGUUGUCUAGCCACGAGUCAAAUGCUGGCUUUCCGCAUGAAACUCCACAAUUCCUUAUUGAUACUUGCAUGAGUAGAUAGUUAUCCUAAAGUCUUGCUGAGUACCUCCGUACUCAUGUUUGCUUAAUAUUUGUUGCAGAGGUUGUUAAUGACCCUAAUGAAGGGUUCUUCCUAGACAUCGACGACGACGAGUAGCUGGUAUCCCAGCUACGAUCUGGCCCUAGGGUGGGUCUGUAGUAUAGUCAGGCCAUGUGCCUUCUAGUUUCACCUGUCUGUACUCAGACAGCUUAUCUACUUCCGCUGGCUUGUAACUUGAAUGACUGUUAUGAUGGGUCGUGAGACCCCUACCGUGUAAUAUUAUGUGUGAGGCUCUUCCGAGCAUUUUAAAUAAAGCUUGUAUGUUUAUGGUUAUGUUGUGAUGCCAUCGAUGUAUCUAUACAUAUCGGUAUGCCAUGCGUACGUGUGUCGUACUUGAUAUGUAUGGGGUUCGAUUACCUAGCCGUAGACUUUAGUAGCAUUCCUUACAGGGAAAUGCCCCUUUGUGAUCCAACGAGCCAUGGUAGCUCGCUACUGCUCCGGACACAUUGGUUGACCGGCGUGUGUCCUUCUUACCUGUUGUGUCUGUCCUCUUUGGGGAAAUGCCACGCGAUGUAAUGGAGUCCUUGUAGCUUGCUACGACUCGUCUACAUUCGCUGGUGACCGACACCUGCUUUGCUGGGUCAUGUAUGCCUGUCCCUGUGCGGAACUGCAACUUUGGUUUAUGACUGGACAUGUCGAUCCGGGUUCUUUGUCAUUGGAUUGCUAGCGACACAAUUGCAUACGCGAGUCAAAAGGCGCAAACGGUCCCGGGUAAGGUAAGGCUGCAGCCGUGGGGUUAACCGUGCGUGAGACCGCAAAGAGAUGCGAUGUGUUACAGGCUGGAUUCCUAUGGCUUAGGAUCAGGGCCCCGACAGCGUUGUAGAAUAAUGAAUAAGUUAAAUUUUAUAAAUGCUAUGGAGAUGGAAUUUGAAAAUAAUUUGAAUUCCACUUCAAAUGCUAUGAUCAAACAUUGUUCAAUCACAACCAGCAACUUAACAUAUCAUUUCCAUGCAUGUUAAAACCAAGUUGAUCUGAGCAUCAGGUUGAAUCAAUUAAAACGGUAUUCGAGAAUACCCCGUUGAAGUGAUAUUGAAUCUGAUUCAAAUCAACUUCAAACCUAAUAAAUGUUAGCUAUAUUAGCAUACCACCUUGCAUCCUCAUACCAUGCUCAUGCAUCAUCUUGUUGCAUAUGAUUGAUAUUGAUUGUUGUCAUUUUCUUCGGUACGCUCCGCUCCUCCGGAUUCCACCGAAUAUCCGACUGACGGAUAUUGUCCCUCCUCUGGGCAACAAGGCAAGCAACCAUUUUGAUCAUCCCGAUAGAUCCCAUGUUCUCGCUCCUGCACUUACUUAUUGCAUUAGGAUCAAAUGCUUUUGCCACGUUAGUUGAACCCACUUCCUUUGCAUGGCCUGUCCUUGUCACAGUAAAUAGCUGAACCUUGCAACCUAGCAUACCUGGUAGUUGCUUGAGCCAUGAUGUGCCUUAUCCUGCUAUGCAUGCUAUGCUUAGAGUUGUGUAUGGUUUUUCAUCUGGGAGAUGAACAGAAUUGUGAGAAUGUGUUCAGUAAGUAAAGGUUGUGUGUUGAACCUGAUUUGGNGCUCCGCUCCUCCGGAUUCCACCGAAUAUCCGACUGACGGAUAUUGUCCCUCCUCUGGGCAACAAGGCAAGCAACCAUUUUGAUCAUCCCGAUAGAUCCCAUGUUCUCGCUCCUGCACUUACUUAUUGCAUUAGGAUCAAAUGCUUCAAAUGCUUUUGCCACGUUAGUUGAACCCACUUCCUUUGCAGGCCCUGUCCUUGUCACAGUAAAUAGCUGAACCUUGCAACCUACCAUACCUGGUAGUUGCUUGAGCCAUGAUGUGCCUUAUCCUGCUAUGCAUGCUAUGCUUCGAGUUGUGUAUGGUAUCUCAUCUGGGAGAUGAACAGAAUUGUGAGAAUGUGUUCAGUAAGUAAAGGUUGUGUGUUGAACCUGAUUUGGUCAAGGUACCGGUGAAAGGCUAUGUAGGAGUACAUGGCGGUUUGUUUCAUUGGAACCGUCCUUAGGAACUGAGUUCCGUGUAUGUAAUCCAAGAUGAGAUACUACCACAUGCUGGGCCCUGAAAUAUGACCCCGCUCGACUUAUUAAUCGCUUAGUACUCGGUCCAGGAGUUGCAAGUAGUUUCUGGUGUUUAUAGUCAUGCUGGAGGCCGUGCAUAGCGCUGACCUGAGAGGUGGGCCGUGAUGCGGUAGGCAGUGGCACGGUGUACCAAGUGGCACCCGGAUGGUGGGCUUGGGAACCCUGUGCACAUUGUUUGGGGCCGUGGUGGAAACCUCGGCUGGACUUUCGUGCGGGUUACCCUCAGAUAGGCGAUAGACCUGGACCAAGUAUUAGCAUGGUUAACGGUCGUGGCCGACUCCCUCGCUGGGCUUCUGCUUGAAGGUUGCCGAGGUGCAUGACGUGCACAUGGAGAUAAGUGGCGAGAGCGUGUGUGACGAAGUACACCCCUGCAGGGUUAUGAUCUAUUCGAAUAGCCGCGUCCGCGGAUAUGGACUACUUGGAGACAUAUGUUGUUCAUAGAUAACUUCAAUGGCUACUCAUAAAAUUGUCAAGAUAAGCGUGAGUGUCGUGGACGGCAUUUCCGUAUGGAGACGGAAUGAGUCCACGAUGGAGUAUUGUUGUGGUGUUAGUGGACUCGUGUGUGAGAAAUCAAGUUGUCAAAAAUUGUUUUAAAAUGCAAGUUGUCUAGCCACGAGUCAAAUGCUGGCUUUCCGCAUGAAACUCCACAAUUCCUUAUUGAUACUUGCAUGAGUAGAUAGUUAUCCUAAAGUCAUGCUGAGUACCUCCGUACUCAUGUUUGCUUAAUAUUUGUUGUAGAGGUUGUUAAUGACCCUAAUGGAGGGUUUUUCCUAGACAUCGACGACGACGAGUAGCUGGUAUCCUACAUGUUUGGUCCAGUAACAUUUUCAAACAUGUUUAGCUUAUAAAAUUUAACUUAUUCAUUAUUCUACAUGUUUGGUCAUAAAAUUUAACUUAUAAAAUUUAACUUGGUUUUGACAUGCAUGGAAAUGAUAUGUUAAGUUGGUGGUUGUGAUUGACAAUGUUUGAUCAUAGCAUUUGAAGUGGAAUUCAAAUGAUUUUCAAAUUCCAUCUCCAUAGUAUUUAUAAAAUUUAACUUAUUCAUUAUUCUACAUGUUUGGUCGAGUAACAUUUUCAAACAUGUUUGAAAAUGACAUAUUCAGAUUCCUUGGAUUUUUCUGAUACUUUUUCAUAUAUAAAUUGUUUUCAUUGGAGUUACAGAUUAAUUUCUAUGAUUUUUAGAAGUUUUGGCAUUUUUCUGGAAUUCUUUUAAAUCAGAAAAUCUUUACUGCAUCAGCAUGACAUCAGCAGGUCCAACUGGCCGUUGAAAGUCAAACCUGACCAGUGGGACCCACUGGUCAGUGAUUCUGAUCAGUUUUAGAUUAGUUUUAAACUUAAUUAGCUAAUUAAUAGUACUGGUCCCACAUGUCAGUGACUUAUUAGAUUAAUUAACUUUAUUUUUAUUAAUCCAAAACAUCCAGAGGCUGGCCCCACGCGUCAGUAGCUCAGGCCAGCUGAGAUCCACCGGUGGCGAGGUCGUCCUCGCCGGCGGGGAGCGUCCGACGACCAACAGAACGACGGAGGGCAUCGGGAACUCGUCUCCGACGACCAAACGCACGACAGAAGCCACAGGGAGAUCGGCCACUCGAUGGCGCGCACGAUGGGGCAAACCCCACGGGCUGGGGUGGCCGGAAUCGACGCUGACGACGAGCUGCAGCGGCAACCAAGUUCGGCCAUCGUCGAGGUCAUAGGAAACAGGGUCAAAUAGUGCGGGGCUGGGAUCCUAAAGCAUCUACGCGACGGCCUGAAGCUGCUGGUGGCCUCAGAUGGACCAACCGUUCACCGGAGGGCUACCGGCGACGAGCUGCAGCGGCGGUCCUCGUCGGGCUCCAGUGGAACUAGGCCUAGAGGAAGAGAUCGACGGGAAAAACUUGGCGGAAAGCUGCGCAAGCUCACGAGGAGUGCAGUGGUGGCGCUAGCUUGCUCGGGGAGGCGCUGUUGGCGACGAAUCAAUCGGAGCUCGCCGGCGGCCGAAGCUUGGAGACGACGGUGCCGUGGGCGUUGCAGGGCUCGGGGGAUCUUCGGCUUUUGCAGGAAGGACCAGCUCGUCGAGGCGGAGCAAAUGGUGCACUCGGGGGAGAGAACUAGUGGCCAGAGGCACGGGCAGCUCGAGCUCGAGCUCCUGUCAAUGGCGGCAGUAGGGGAGGAAGGAACCGAGAGGAGAGGGGGGAAAUGGUGCACGGGAAUGGAUAGGCCAGAGCUCGGGGAGGUUAUCCCUGCUGUCGCGCUGUCCUAGGGAGCACCGGAGCGUGCCACGGUGAAGCAGGAGGUGGAGGAGACGCCGUGGGCGUGCGCUGCUCUGCGAGAAGGCAGGAGGAAGAAGAUGCCCCUGCCCCUGGUGGGCUGGGCCUCCUCAGGGCGACAGGUAAGCUUCUUCCCCUUUUUUCUGUUCUGUUUUCUGUUUUACUAGCUAUUUGAUUUGCUAGUUAUUUCAGCUCCAAAAUAGUUUACAAAAAAAUAUUUUGAACACACCAGAAUAUUUGUUGGAAUAUAUCCAACCAUUCCUGAAGUUUUCAACAUUUUUGAAAACUUAAAGUUUUUGAAUUCAAGUUUAAACUUGAAUCCAGUGGCUUUUGCUUUUAAAUAAAAUGCCAAAUGUGUUAUGAAAGUAGUUUUCUUCACUGCUUAUUUGCUUCCAUGAAUUAUCAAAAAAUUUGAACUUUUCUUGAGGCCAUUUUGGGUUCAUUGAUUUGAACAAGUUUAUAAUUUCUUUGAAUUUGAGAAGUGGCUAGAGUUUUUGAGUUUUUAUUCACCACUUGCUUUGUUCUUGUUGAAAUUUUCUUGGAUGCAAUGCAAAGAAGAUAUGAGCACAAUGCUAACUUGAUUAGGGUUUCAGGGAUGUGACAUGCGGUUACCGGGAUGUUAACCAUAAUAGUAAUAGGGUCUUAAUGACAGAGUUGUACACCAGGGUGUUUACUUAAACAUGGAUUUAUUACGACUUACGUCAUAUAAAUCACAAGAAAGGUUAAAUGAACCAAUGGAAAGGAAACAAGUGAUAAUCAAAUUUAUACAGACCAAUGGAAAGGAAAAUGUGUAUACAUGAUCAUUAGGUGUAUAUCCUUCCCAAGAGCAAGCAGAGCGGGAUAAUCAUGACAGGACUCCAAGUACAUAACCAUCUAGAUAAAGGGGUAAGGAACUUAUGAUGUUUACCCAUACAAUGGUGUUUGGAUAAUUGAUCAAGAAAUAUUUUAGCAUUACGCUUCCAAUGUUCCCGUUGAUAUUCGGAAUACCAUGAACAUGCUUCGGGAUAGCAUUAACAUGGUCAUCACGUAGAGGUCGGACUUUGGAUACACAAAGGAUCCAUGAGGAACAACUUAUAAAAUAAGUCUUACAACUUCCUCAUGGAAGAAUGGCUAACCUCACAGAGAAUAUACCAUAGCAAUAGGUCCUCUGGCUAGGUGUACUAGCCAUAACAUCACCUUACCAUGUAACACACAGACCAAUGUUAUAGUUCUUGGAAAAAAUGUUCCAACCAUCAUAUUUGUCCGAGAUUUAGAUCUGAUAGAUGCCAAGAUACCUCAUACUCAGGAUUCCUGACAAGAAAAGGGGGCAACACAAAUUGACGAGAUGAUGAUGCAAGAUUCUUAGGAUAUGAACUACGGAAGCAAGCCUUGAAUCAUGACUUGGAUUGAAAGACACAUUAACACAAUGCCAAGACAUUCAUGAUCAUAUUGAAGUCUUUAGAAUGGAAUGCAAUUAAGUUCUGGUUGGGAACCAUCAUAGAGGACAUGAAAGUUCCAUGUGUAAGUCUGGAUUAGCUCUUAUGAAGGAAUUUAUUUUCCUUUAACAACUCAAUCACUUGCUUGGCGUGCUAGGAAAUACAUAUGGAGUGAAGGUGUUAAACUAUGAAACCAUAGAAUACUUCGCACAUGCGUGAAUGAAUUGAGAUAAUUCCACAGGAAGCAAAACAAAACUUCCUCGUGUUCAGGGCGGAAAAAAUGCACAUGAACUUAGAAAAAGACACUUCUUUUAUCAAACAUAUUCUUCAUGAACUAGGCACAAAGAUAAUGCUUUCAAAAGUCUCCAACACUAGCUUAAAUGUUCAUCAUGAACCAACGAGAAGAUGAGGAUGUGACCGAUGGGCUCAACAACAAUUCCUCGAGAUUUCCUUAAAUGGAACUCCAUAAUUAUAUGAACAAGAUUAUAGCAUCGGUCAUAUCAAAAGAUAUAAUGAUUAAUGUUCGAGGCAAAAGAUCCACGAAUAAACAUUGAUUGAAAAUUACAUCCAAAAAUAUGGAUUAGGUAGCAAGAUCAAUGUUAGAAUGUUGGUUAAGCAACCAACACACUAAGAAUUAACUUAUCAUCCAUUAACUUCAAAGCAAUAGGGUUGCUAGAAGCAUUGAAAUCACACUUCAAAGCUCACUUGUUGUUAUCCCAGUUAGAAACACUACAGGGAUCAAGAAAUGAAUGGUGAUGGAGGGAAGCAUCACAACAUCAAGAAUUCAUAAGAGGUGGUGUAAUUGUCAUGGUAUCUUGACAUAAUAUAUGGAAAUAUGCUAAGGUAGAAUAGAACAUAAGUUGGAUAUCAAGGAAAUCAAGGUACCACAAAAAAUAUGAACAAGUUUGUGUUGGAGGGAAGUCAAUACUGUUACUGUUGAUAAGACAAAUCAUCGAGGGGCAAGGAUGGUAUUUUUCAUCAUGAAUUUGAUUGAUAUCCUGGAAGAGCCCAGAAUGUUGAUGAUGAUCACGACAUAUUUGUUGAGAUGCUUCAUGAAGAUUUAAUUGAUAAGUGAUGACAUCAAGCAAAGGAAUGGUGAAAGGAAAGGUUGUUGGAACCACAAAUAAGAUUGCUAGCUCAGAAUCGUAAUUGCCUUUAAAGACAACUAACAUGAUGUUCAAAGCUUUAUGUAAGCUCACUGCACUAUUGGAAUUGUGUUUUGAGGACGAAGGAGAUAUAUAGCAUGGUCAAGCUUUAGCAUGAUGAUGAUGAUGUAGCCAAUCAACUCGGAAUGACACGAUCGAGUACAAACUUGUAAGCAAAUAAGAUUACUAAGAGUUGUUGACCCACAGUGCAGACUCGAUUCAGUUCUUGGUGUCCUUGAGUGUCCAACAACUUAGGACCCAAGAAAAAAUGGAAUCAUAGAGAAAUAAUACCCGAUGAAGACUCAAAAUAAGCAACAUGGUUGCAUGAAAUUAUUGAGAUACCGAAGGGUAAUACUUGAAGGUAGAGCAUGAUAGAAGUUGGACAGAUGCGUUGAUCUGCACAAGACAAGUGCUUUAACUUGUCGAAGAAAUGGGGUCAAAGAAGAACAAUCAUGGUCGAAACAAUGAUUACAAAGGAUCAAAUCAACACACAAGAUGAAUUUUAACAAGGGGAGAAUUGUUAUUACCAUAAGCUUCUAUGAUAAGAAUUACAUUGUGUCCAUCAGCAUGAACAAAAAGUUCAAGGUUAACUCCCUCUUCUUCAAUGCAUAACCUAUCAUUCACUUCUCGCUUUCCACGAAGUUGUAGUGUUCAAAUUGUAUCGGAAAAAUACCAAAUGAGUAUGACUCGUCAAAACUCUCUGGUUCGCACGGAUUAGGGAAGAUGUAGGUUCAACAAAUAGGGGCAUCUUAGGAACAUAUACCACACAUUUCAAGAGUAAAUAACCCCUGCACAAAGGUAUAGCAUGGUUGACAAAAGUAGAGGAUGCGAUUUACCAAGGGAAUUAAGUAUCAGGGAAAGAAGUCACAAGAUUUUUGAAUGCGAAGAACACUAUCAGAUGAUAAUGCAACAAUGAAUAUAACAAGCCAUAACAGAGCUCAUGUGAGUAUAUGUACUCAAUCAGAUGAAGAAGGAAUGCAAGGGAAUCGUGUUAUAGAACAUCUGAAUAAUUCGGUGCUUAAUUAACAAAGGAAUUAUGAAUUCCACAUUGGUGUAUCAGAAUCAGAUGCUCCGACCAAAUACAAGUAAGUUGAAUGGUCUUAGAUCGACAAUUAAUCAAUGUUUGAUUUGCCUAGAACCAGCUCAUGCUUGGAAAAAUGCCUAAGACGAAAAGAUAAUUUAUAAGGAUCAACUGAUGAUUGCGUGCAUUCACACACAUGCUGAAUUGGUAUGAUCAGAAUGAUGAUCACAAAUGUUUUUUAAUGAAUAUCGCUAGACAUAUGGAAUUAAACAUAGUGCAAGCAGGUAAGGAAGGUGGAGAGUAAAUAGCAUGUCAAAGAAUUUUGUGAAACACAUGUCAACUAAGGAUGAACUAAUCCUCGGUAAGUGUGAGGAAUUAUUAGUAGAUGUAUUCAUGCGGAAAAGGAGCUGCAAGGCAGCAGACACAAUGAAUUCCUGGAAUAUAGGAAAAUGUUUCAGGGUACCUUGUAAUAACAAGAGCUACGGUAAAUGAGAGUAUGAAUGACAGGUGUAUGUAGUUAUCCAUAGGGGUUGAUGGUGGAAGGGAAUUUGCAGAAGCGAUGCAGAUAAGUUCUCGGGAAAACAUCGAAGAGUAGCUUUGGAGUCUUCUGAUGAAUCAAGUCAUCAUCUGGAAUGAGAAGCUCUCUAGGAGGAAGUAGUUACGAGAACCUAAGUUAGAGUUAGAAAAAUCUUUAACCCGAAUAGAAGAGAGACCGGAACCCAAAGUAAAGAAGAGGAGUAAAAUAUACUAAUACCACCCAUUUGUGAUGUGGGCCUGUAAGCCACACAACAAUGUUAGUAAAAUAGGUUUUCAAAGACUAGACUCAACUUUGACCAAGGAGUUGGAAAGGGGCUUCCUAGAGGCAUCUGGAUCUGAUACCAACUUGUGACGCCCCUGCCCUAAUCGUACACUAAUCAUACACGAAAUGCGUACGAUCAAGAUCACGAACUCACAGGAAGAUAUCACAACACAACUUUAGACACAAAUAAAAUAAAACAAGCUUUAUAUUACAGGCGAGGAGCCCCGAGGGCUCGAAUACAUAAGCUCGAGACCAAACGAGCCAGUGGAAGCAACAAUAUUUGAGUAUAGACAUAAACAAACAAGUUUGCCUUAAGAAGGAUAGAAAAAAAAUGGAUCGAAAAGGAAAGGCCUCUUGCCUGGGAGCCUCCGAACUACUCCUGGUCAUCGUCAUCCUUCACAUAGUAGUAGAUUCUGUUGGGGUAGUAGUAACUGUCAAUGAGACCAGCUGGCUCCUGUGCUCCAUCAUCUCCUCACGACAAUUGUACCGAAAGGGGAAAGUGGAGCAAAGCAACGAUGAGUAUUCAUCCAAAGCACUCACAAGACUUUCAUGAGAACUAUGCUAAGUAUGCAUUGAUAUCAAAGGAAUGAGGCUAUAUCUUUGGACUGAACUGCAGAAAUGCCAGAACAAAGAGGAAGGCCUAGUCCUAUCAAAGGCUAGCAUCUUCAACGUCUUUCUGAGAGUAUAGAUUGGUAAAACAUAUACAAGCAUGCAGUAGAAAGGGCCAGAGAUCCUUCCUCGAGUCCGUGCGAGGAAGCGAUCCCGGAGCCACCAUUUCCAUUUCAUGUCUCUAGUAUCCAGUUCUAGUUGUAUAGAUUGGAAUACUUUCCAAGCUUCCAUUACCGUGGACACGACUAUUUGAAUAGAUAUACUUCCUUGUAGGGGUGAACCAACUUGGCCAACACGCUCGAUUAACUCCGGCCGAACACACUUUCCUGGGUCAUGCCCAACAUCGGCUGAUCGACACGUUGUAGUCCUACCUAGGCUCAAUAGAGAGGCCAACACACCAGUCUACUCCCAAACAGGUGCCUACACGGACCAAUCGUGCGCAUGCCGCUCACUAUGGCAUCUGAAGAACUUUGUGGAGAAUGUACGACGAAAAGUGCCCAUACUUAUUUUUGCUUGGUGGUUAGUGGGCUAAAGGUGAGAGGCCUACUCAGAACACAUAUCCAAACCCAUUAGUAUCUUGGGAGCAAGUGGUAACAAUCAAUGAUCCUUCCGAUCCCAUCACCCCGUCUCGCAGACUUGCGGCACGGGCAAAGAAUGCUCAACCAUACCGCAUAAUUAUCUCGCGGGUACCCUUCACGUCAACCCGACUCACCAUGAGACUGUCGGGAACUCAGGUCCACCUCAAUCGGGGUGGUACCGCAUGUCCCUUCAGUCCCACAAUUCUAGUAAUAGGGGCAACAGGUAACGGUAAUAGUGUGUCCUUGUCAUCAAGGGGGAAUUCUGAAGAAUCACCCUUGAUGGAUUUCCAUUGAUGUAACUGUCACAAUGAACUCUACGGUACCACCCUCAACAGUCGAUAGUAGUUCUGUAGCGUCAUACAUCCAAGGGGUUGUGCGAUGAUGCAUUAGUCUUGUCCCAUCGAUCACUUGGAUUGGAUCUUCCAUCACCUUCGACAUUCGAUAGUAGAUUGACAGAGUCGUACAACUAAGGGGGGUGAUGUGAUGUGUUGGGUUUAGGACGUCGAUUAGGUUGAUAGCAUCAUCAAUGAUGCAACAGGGGCAGCAGGGACAAAGUGAGGGGUCACUGAUGGUUCACUAUGCACCCUGUACUAAGCAUAUAGGAUAAGCAAGUAGGUAACAAUAGCAGGUUACAAAAUCAGCCUACACAUCGGAAUAGGAGCAAGCAAAGAUAGUAUCAAAGUCUAAUGCAAGCAUGAGGGAGAAAGAAUUGGAUGAUAUCAGAAUGAUCAAGGGUGGGGGUUGCUUGCUUGAAAGUUGUGCACAUAGAUAUAGACCCUCGACGAUGAAGUAGUCGAUCACUGAAUCAAAAAUUGUCUCGGGGUCUACCAGAGAGGAAGUAACCGAGGGGAAACACCAUAAGUAAAGUAAUCAAAUUCAUCACAAAGCAUGAUAUGUAAUACAUUGUGCUAGGGGUGACCUAACAUAGUAUUAAACAUUGCAAACAAAGCAGGAAAACAUAUGUGGAUUUUUCUCGGACCUGAAGCAUUUAUUGGACAUACGAUUUGGAGGGGAAAUUACAUGUUCAUCUUGCUAGAGGCAUGUGAGAGAUGAAUGGAUAGCAUAUUCGGAUUGAUUAUACUUUUAUAACCGUUUUCCAUAUAUAAAUUAUUUUCAUUCGAGUUACAAACUAUUUUAUAUUAUUUUUCGAAGUUUAAAUGAAUUUCUAAAAUUAUUAUUAAAUUUUAAGUUCGACUUUAAAGAUCAGAAUGAUACUUGUGAUCUGCGGUUGGUUUUCCGUAAAGAGGAAUGGGUUACCGCAGCAUAGUGUGGGUUAGUAUUUCCCUCAGUCAUGAAACCAAGGUUUAUUGAACCAAUAGGAAUAUCAACCACAACCGUAUUUAGCGUCUGCACACAAAAGAACAAACAACUUGCACCCAACGCGGGCAAGAGGGUUUACAAUCCUCUUGUUUGUUAUUUGCAAGCGAGUGAGGUGUAUAGCAUACUGUAGAUAGCAAGAUAAAAUAAAAACAAGCAAAUGGCAGCAAGAUAUUGAAGGUUUUAUCAAUAUGUUGAGAAUAGACCGGGCCAUAGUUUUCCCUAAUGACAUCUCACAAAAAAUAGCAUAAAGUGGGUAAACAAAUUAUUGUUGGGCAAUUGACGGAAAAGCGGAUAGUUAUGCGAUGUUCACGGAAAUGAUCAUGUGUAUAUAGGCAUCACGUCCAUAAAAAAAUAGGCCAACUCCUGCCUGCACCUAUUACUAUUACUCCACUCAUCGACCGCUAUCCAACAUGCAUCUAGAGUAUUAAGUAAAACAUAGGAAUGCAUGGAGAAUAAUGACAUGAUGUAGACAAAGUAAACUCAAGCAAUAUUUAACAAACCCCAUUGUCUUAUCCUUAAUAUCAGCAACACAAAGACGCAUCUUGUCCCCUUCUAUCACUGGGAUAUAGAAGUUCGCCAGGUUGAACCUACCACAACACACCUCUCUCAUGGAAGAAAUAUCGAUCUAGUUGGCCAAACUGUUUCAAUAGAUUGGAGAGAAUUAUGAAGCUACCAUAAUCAUGCACAUAAGAAUGAUAUAAGUAUUCAGAGGAGUCUCAAAUAUUUGUCAUGAAUAAUCUGAACAUAAACCCACAAUUCAUCGGAUCCAACAAAUGCACCGCACAAAAGGAAUUACGUCAUAUGGAUCAAAGCGAAGAUGUGAUGAUCGUUGUAUUGAAGAUCAAAGAUAGAGAGAUUGACAUCUAGCCGCUCGCCACGAACCCGCAGGCCUGUGGUGAACUACUCACACAUCAUCCUGAGGGCAACAAGGUUGAUAAAGAGGCCCUCUAUGAUCGAUCCCCCUCCGACAGGGUGUUAGAACAGAGCUCUAGAUGGCCUCCCGUUGGAACAGAGACUUGCGAUGGCGUAAAUAGUGUUUCACGACUCCCCAUGAUGUUUUUAGGGUAUAAGAGAAUUUAUAAGCCACAGAAAGGAGUCGGGAGUGCCACGAGGGAGGAAGAAUCCAUCAAGGCGCCCCCAGGCUACACCCUGUUGGCUUGUGGGCCCCAUGUGCAGCCUUCAGCCUUCUUCCGAUACUCCUGGGUCUUAUUUUGCUCGAGAAAAAAUGACCAACAAGUUUCACGUUAAUUGGGCUUCGUUUGGUAUGGAAUACCUGAAAUGUGAAAAAUAUGCAGAAAAACAACAACUCGCACUGGGCACUGGGUCAAUAGGUUAGUGCUCAAAAAUAAUAUAAAUUGGUAAAUAAAUACCCCAAAAGUAUUCUAAAAUGAUAAUAUAUCAGCAUGGAACAAUAAAAAAUUAUAGAUACGUUGGAGAAGUAUCGAGCAUCCCCAAGCUUAAUUCCCGCUCGCCCUGGAGUAGGUAAAUGAUAAAAAUAGAAUUUUUGAUGUGAGAUUGAUGUAACCUUAUGAAUGUAUGCUCAUUGAGAAAUGAUGAAUUAACAACUAUUAACACAACGAUACUUAUAGGUAUAAGUAGCAAAAUUAUUAUUCUUUCAAAGUAUACGAUCCUCAAAGAUUGUUUUACCCCUAUCCAUCUUAUUAUAUUAGCAAGGCAUGGCUCCAUCUUCACCACAUCAAUACAAAUAUUAAGCACCACGGUGUCCAAGUCAGGCAAUUGGAUCGUACUUUCUCAAUAUGCAUCAACUUUUUAUUCUUCACGCAAUACAUGAGCGUGAACCAUUGGACACAACAUAAAGGUGGAAUAGAAUAAGGUGGUAGGUUUCAAAGGGGUAAAAGUGGAGAAGAUAGUCUCACAUCAACUAGGCGUACCAACGGGCUAUGGAUAUGCCUGUCGAUAGAUAUCGAUGCGAGGAGUAGGCAUUGACAUAUAAAUGAUGAACAAGAGCUAUAAGUGUAUGAAAGCUCCACUGAAGCUAAGUGGGGUGUGCAUCCAACUUGCUUACUCAUGAAGACCUCGGGCAUUUGAGGAAGCUCGUCAUCGGAAUUUACAAGACAAGUUUAUGAAAAAGUGAUUCCCACUAGCGUAUGAAUGAUAUAACAUGAGACUCUCUAUAUGAAGAACAAAGUGCCACUUUGAGGCACAAGUGUGGUAAAUAAUAGUAGCAAAGUCCCUUCUCUCUUUUUCCAUGGUUCAUUUUUUUUCUUCAUUUUUUCANUAUUAUUAUUAUUAUGAUGGGAUCAUUUGCCCCCCCCCAUUUCUAUUUCCUCACUAGGACAAUGCUCUAAUAAUGAUGAUCAUCACACUUUUAUUUACUUAUAACUCAAUAUGAAAAUUGAUAGGACGAUAUGACUAUGUAUGAAUGCCUCUAACAGUGUAUGGGGAUGUGCAAAGAUCUAGCAUGACAUGUAUAAAAAAUAUUAUGAACGGUGGCUUUGACACAAAUACUAUGCUAGCUCUAUAUGAUCAUACAAAGCAUUAUGAUGAUGAACGAACUAGUCAUGUGAAGUGACGAUGGCAUUUGCAUGGCAAUAUAUCUCAGAAUGGCUAUGGGAAUGCCAUGAUAGGUAGGUAUGGUGGCUGGUUUGAGGAGGAUAUAAAAAGGUUUAUCUGCAAUAGAGCGUGUCAUAUCACGGGGUUUGGAUGAACUGGCGAAAGUUGCACCGAUCCUCAAGUGGGAACAGGCGAUGCACGAUACCGAAGAGGCUAGCAUGUGAAGUUACGAUGGCAUUUGCAUGGCAAUAUAUCUCCGAAUGGAUAUGGGAAUACCAUGAUAGGUAGGUAUGGUGGAUGGUUUGAGGAGGAUAUAAAAAGGUUUAUGUGCAACAGAGCAUGUCAUUUCACAGGGUUUGGAUGCAUUGGCGAAAGUUGCACCAAUCCUCAAGUGAGAACGGGCGAUGCACGAUACCGAAGAGGCUAGCAAAUAUGAGGAGGUGAGAUUGCAUAUGUCCAUGGUGUCACAUUAGUCAUGAAGAACUCAUGUAUUUAUUGAAAAGUUUUAUUAGUUUUAAAACAAAUCAAAGUACUACUCACAUGCCUCGAGGGAUAGGGUUGGUAGGAAUUAACCAUCGCGCGACUCCGACUCAAAACAACACUAGGAUUUCAACGAGGAAUAGAAAUGCUCACACAUCAUCACUAUGCUCGUUUAUUUUUUAGAUGAACAAUAAGUUCAACAAAUAUCAACACCUCUCUGAAUUAAAAAUUGUGCACUCACACGAUAUCAUUAACCCACAGUUUCUCUAUAUGUGCUACCUAAUGGUUUUAAUUAUCACUAAUUGAAUACCCAUUAUAUUUGAUCUAGUCUUAUGGCCCAUGCAAAUUACCGUCACUUUUUAUCCAGAUCUCAAACCAAUAUAAGUGAAGAACUAGAACAUACUAUUCUAUGAAAUCUCCACGCCACCAUGCUCAAAAAGAUAUAAGUGAAGUACGAGAGCAAGUGCGAAGCUCAAAAGAUAUAAAUGAAGCACAUAGAGUAUUCUAACAAAUUGUGAUGAUGUCGUAUCUCUCUCAAAUAGGUGUAUUCAGAAAACAAUGAUUGUGGAAAACUGAAAGUAAAAUCAAACAAAAUCAAAUGACACUCGAAGCAAACUCAUAUCAUGUGAUGAAUAAAAAUAUAGCUCCAAGUGACAUACCGAUGGAUUGAGACGAAAAGAGGGGAUGCCUUUCAGGGCAUCCCCAAGCUUAGACGCUUGAGUCUUCCUAUAAUAUUACCUUGGGGUGUCUUGGGAAUCCGAUUCUUUGGCUUUUGCUGCUCCUCAAUCCUUUGUCCAUCGGGAUAAUACCCAAAACUUGAAAACUUCAGUCAGGUAAAACUCAACAAAACAUCAUGAUAUCCGUUAGUAUAAGCAACAUAUCAAAUACUUUCAGGUACUAUUUAUAAGUUAUUUCUUAUUUUAUUUUGGCAUAGGGUACUGUAUCUUAACUCUUCCAUGGAUUCUACCCCCGAUACAAUCCAUAAAAUCAUCAAAACAAGCAAGCUAUGCAUGCAAGAAACAGAAUCUGAGCGAAACAGGACAAUUUGUAGUAAUCUGUAAUGAACUUAUACUUCUGUACCUCCAAAAACUCUGAAAAAUUAGGACGACAUGAGGAAUUUUUAUAGUAAUACUGUGUAUAAAAUUCAACUUAAAAAUAUGUUCUAGUAAAAUCAGAGAAAUUCUGCAGUGAAUGUCAAAGUUUCUGUUUUUGCACCGUAUAAAUUAUACUCAUCAUGCAAAUCAUCCCAAAGGCUUUACUUGGCACAAACACUAAUUAAAGCAUAAAACACAAUAAUUAUAGAUGCAAUAAUCAUGUUAUCACAACCAACCAUAAAGUAAAAAAAUAAAAAAAAAGAUAACUACGGGGUUGCCUCCCGACAAGCAUUAUUGUUUUACGCCCCUAGCUAGGCAUAUUGCGUAGUUUCUAGUGUUGUCAUCUUUGUCAUCAAGCUCCUUAAUAGUACAACCAUGGAUAAUAGAAACAAGAGAAGGCGUGAUAAUAUGAUCUUUUAUUAUGUCUACAAAUUUGGGUGAACAUAAUCAUUUUGAGAUCUUCGUCUCUUUUAGUAGGAGGUGUACUAAUGCUCUUAGGAAUGUAUAUGAACUUGCGACUUUUAUUUUGAGAAGUACUAGCAUUAGUUUUAGAUGGUGUGAAGGCAGACCACACUCUGCCAAUGACCUCCUCCAUUUUAUCAAUUUUACUGAAACCUUGUUCUACCCUUUCAUCAAUGAUAGUGUCCUUUUCCCUUAUAGUUUGCAAAGUCAUUCCUACACGUGACCCAGGUUGAGUGAUAUGGUUAUGCAGUUUUUUUGUCUAACUCCUCAAUUGGUUCAUGAGUAAUCAUUUUUAUUUCAAUAGCAUCAAACCUUUGCAUAACAUGUUCCAAAGUUAAAUUGGUUCCAUUAAUGAUAAUGGGUGGUGUUCCAACAAGAUUUUCAAUGGCAUUAUAUACACCCGAAGUGUGACACAUUAAGAAGUCCCCACCGGUGAUGGUGUCAAGGACAAACCUAUACCAAGUUUUCAGACCAACAUAAAAAUUAUGGAACAAGGUAUUAGUGGAUAGCUUAUUAGUUGUUUUAUUUUGAGCAUAGAAAAUGCUAUACCAUUUAUCUUUCAAACUUUCUCCCCCUUUGUUUAAAAUUGACAACAUCAUUAUUGGGAAUAAUGCGAACAAAGGAUCCUACGCUGAAAGAAGACUUCCAGGAGGUCCAUUCCAUUGAGGCCCUUGCGCAUCACAACAACCAUCACAAUCACUAGAAUCUCUACAUCAACUUUCUCUGCCUUCAAAACGGCCAAGGCAGGAGCCGACUAAACCCUAUCGGUGGAAUAUGGUGGAAGACCCGAAUGACCCUCUCCAAUAGAAACAUCCUGGCAGUAGAACCAAGAGUCCUGUCACCCCUUCAUGGAAUCGGGAAAGUUCAUUUGGGGGAAGCUACUCUUGCCCCUGAGUUGAAUACCUAGACCUCCAUAGAGCUGCACUACGUUGGUUUUGCCCCCCGACUAAGAGGACUUCUUAAAAGUCAUCACUCGGCAAGUAAACAGGUGUUUGUACAAAGCCAAGUGCGGAUGGCAACCGAGGAAGUUCUCACACACAGAAACAAAAGCACCUAAGUAGGAGACAACAUUCAGAGGAAGAUCAUGCAACUGUGCACCGAAGAAGGCUAGGAAAGCUUGGAGGAAAGGAUUUGGAGGCAGGGAGAAACGUCUCUCGACGCGAGUGACAAGAAGUACUCGCUCAUCGUCUAUUGGUGCUGGCUCGAACUCGCUAGCGCCGGGCAGCCGCCAGCUCCCCAGAGCAAUGAGACACUCACCCUCAAGCUCCUACACGCGCCUGGCUAUGACCCAGGACGACAACCAACCGACCUGGAUCCAGCCCGGCGGGAGCAUCCGAGUGCUCGAGUAAGAUCCACGUGAUCCCCUCUUGGCUCGCUCGGCCUUCACCGUCUCCCCUUUCACCGUGGCGCUCGGUGGAAGUAGAGGGACGAACAGAUGCCAGCGCCGGAACACGUUGGGUGUUUUCUACUGCGAGGCUUGGAAACGAGGAGAAGAGUCUAGAUCUAAGGCACGAUACCUCCCCCCUCUCAGCUGAAGGCCUUAAAUACCAUCAGAGAAGAUGCCCCAUCAAGUGCGCUGCCGCCCCGAGGAAGAUCCAGAGGAUCCCGGAGACAAUGCACACUGUAGCACGGCGCGAUAGUGUAGGCGCGAAAAUAGGGGCAUCGCGCCACUACCUCCACUAACCACGCCGCCUCCAAUUUCGCCGCCCCUACACGUGCAUUAAAUCAAAAAUCUACGAAGGAAACCGCUCUCCCUCGCGACCCAAAUGGAAUCUGCACCACGGCGUGUUACGAGAUUGGACGAGCACCAAAGUUGUUAGAAUGGUGACUCAAGUCUUAGAGUCUUACGAUCUUACGAUCCAAACUAGGCUAUCCGAUUCUACGAUUUUGCUCAUAGAAUUUAAGUUUCUACUAUCCUGAUAGUUAUGAUUCUAUGAUUCAUGAUCCUAGCAACGAAGCUCCGAUCCAAUUCAAAAUCGCGAUUCUGACAACUUUGUCGAGCACUCUUCCCACCUGUCCCUCUGUGGGACCCCGAUCAUUCGGGCAACACAAAGAGGCGAUCAGGUCGCCCCUACACUGGUACGAGUGGAUCCGUUGCAUCUCACCGACUGGAUACAUGGAGCUCUGGGCCCAUGAUCUCCGAAUCAUCGAAAAAAUCUCCCCGAAAGGUGUUUGAUCUUACCGAAUGUGAACUUACCAGCACGCCCGGACAUUCAGGAUUUCUCGUUGUUGAAUCUGUAGAGGAUAUCUAAGAGUCCGAAUGACGCUGCCUCUGUCGGCGACCCGUGUGUCUCCGAAACACCAAGGGAGUAAUUCACUCGGCCAGAAAGCUCUACCGAUUCGAGGGCCAAUGAAGGGGUUAUACUUAAGGGGUAGGCGUACAGACCCGUUUUCGUAGGACCCACCUAAGUACCCGUAAGGACAUUAGUGUGCUACAAGUCAUCAUGAUGGGCUCAACCUCACUCGGUCAUCGUGCUCUCACUCGGCCACAUGAGGUCACUCGGUCUGCUUUGUGGCCAUCGGACGCUCCCCAACACUUAGUCCACAGCAAGGCAAGGACAAUGAAGGGACUGCAACGACCAAGGACUUGAACACAUGCGUGAAGGCCCAUGAAGACCCGUGUUACCUAUAACAUUGUAAUUAAAGCCACCGUUUCUAGUAACUCCCUUAGUUAUUAGCAUUUAUUGCCUUGUAAAGGUGCUCGGCCGGUCGUGGCAGCCACUAUAUAAGCCACUCCCGGGCACCGACUCAAGGUUCAUCACUUGUAGUCUUUUACACCCCCAUAAGAAAACACCAGCCUGCGGGCUCGAGACGUAGGGCUAUUACCACUUUCGAGUGGGGCCUGAACUCAAAAAUACGAGUGCAUCCACUGCGCCUAGCUAGACUUCUCCCCUUAGUUCGUACCCCUCAUAAUAUUGUCAAGAUCAUUCCCACGACACUCGCGGCUGCAGAAAUGGAACAAGCAUGUGGUGACCCGCCAGGCCACUUCAAGACAGGUGGCUAUGCUCAGUUCCGAUGAGCCCGCCGUCAACCUCUUCCUGUUGUCGAGCGACGAGUAACUCGACGAUUCCGUUUGGGUAAGUAGUGGAGACUGUCGGAUUUCGGGCUCCGCAAAGACCUAAAGAUUCGAACUCACGGGCGUGCAUGAAGAUCUCUCACUGGCUCGCCUCACCUAACUCGCUACUCGCUGUAAAUGGCAAGGAACUCACUAGAUGGCGAGGAAGACACUAUACACGACCAUUAACCCAGGUUUGGGCCGCUCAGAAGCGUAAUACCCUACUGUUGCUUUGGUGGAUUGCCCCUCGUGGAGGUUGGUGGAUGAAUAAGUAUAGUUCUCGAGAGCCUCCGGAGGCUGGAUGGCCUUUGUGUGGUGCCGGUGGGUGAAUGAAUGAUUCGGACCCCCCUGUGCGAAGUAACAUACUCUAUAUAUAUAGUGGCGUCCCCGGUCCUCUUCCCUUAUCGUUUCGGUGGGAAGGGAUCCCACAUCGGCCAAGUUUUGAAGGGGAACAUGGGAACAUGCUCCCCUGCCCAAAGGUGCUCUUCGCCUACAAAGUGGUUGCCCGCGCUGUAGGGACGGGCCCGGGGAUGACGUAUGUCCUGCUGGCGGGCGGCAACGACCUUGUUGCACCAGAAAUGAAACCUUUGGAAGAUGCCUUGGGAACCCCGGUACGUCGUUGCCCCCUUUGCACUAACGGGGGAAUUGUUCCGUCUCGCUGCCUGCUGCUCGCACGUCCUUCCUCUGCGUCAUCCUUGACUCCUGAGGCUAGGCCUUGCCUCAAAAUAUCCGCCGUUACGGAGGGGUCCUAAGGAGGCCCCUACGAGUCUUGAUACUGUCCCUCCUUGCGAGGCUUGGCCCCUCGCAAGGGCCUUGUCUCGAGCGGUGCCGGGCCUGUCUAUUUGCUCGAUGAAGUGAGCCAUCCCUGGGCCACAGGCGGGCAGGUCUAGGUACCCCCAUUCCCAGAACGCCGACAGUAGCCCCUGGGCCCAUGAUGCACUCGGGUUGGCUUCUCGGCGAAGCCUCGGGGGGCGGCCUGGGGCUCCACGGGCCGUAAAUGCCUCUGGGCCAGGCCGGUGCGCGUCACGCGGCUAAUGCUGGUUAUUCCUUGUCUUAUGUAUUUACCCGAGCUAUUAGGAGCCUAGCUCGUUGCGUCCGUGCAUUAUUGCUUUCCUUCUCCCACACUCGCUCUUCCUCCUCGGUCUCCAACUCCAACCGGCGCCUCCUAGAUCCAUCACCACGUCGUUCUCUUGUUGAUACAGUGAUGGCACCCGCCGGCAAGCAGAAGCCCGAGGCACAAGGGCAUGCGCUAGCUCUUCCGAUCCUGGAGUGCGCCCUUUCCAAGGAUGCGGAUCUUGCCCCCCGUGCUUCCUUGGACUGCAGCCAAGUCCAACGAGCACGGACGGAGCCUGAUCUGGCCCGGCGCCACAACAAAGUGGCCUGCGUCAAAAGCGGUAUAGCCCUUCUUCCUCCACAACGUCUACGACAGGCUGGUGCCGCCUUUCUCCUUGUUCUUCACCGCCAUCUUGGACCACUAUGGGAUCCAGGCUCUUCCCCUCCAGCCCAACUCCAUCUUGUUCCUGUCCGUCUUCACUUUCUACUGUGAGGCCUUCGUUGGCGUGCGGCCUUCAGUCGCCCUCUUCCUCCAUUUCUCCAGCUUGCGUCUGCACGACGACGCCCAUUUGUCGGCAUGCGUCUCCUUCAUAGAGGCCCAGAGCGGCAAUUUGCUCUUGAAGGCCGGGAAGAAGGUGGAAAACUUCAGGCACCGCUGGGUUCUCAUGAGCCUCAAGGACGCCAAUGUGACAGCCCGGUGCCGACGUUCCAGAAGAUUCCCCUUUUCUUUCCGUUUUCGCCGUGUGUCUAUUUUUUCUUUUGUUGCAUCAUCAUCGCAUCAUGCACAUCAUCUGCACUGCAUCGACAUCUCCAUUGCCGCUAGUUUUCAAAAGUUGCAUCGUUGUUAGUUGCCGGUUCUCGUCGUUGUCCGUUCUGAGCCCGACCGCACACACACGCGCCCGCGGCAUCGUCAAAACCCUUUUUUAAAAGUGUGCGUAAAACUUUCUCUGAUCAGGGUGAAACUUGGCAUGCGGUCGUAAUUAGAUAUAGCUAGGUCGCCUGUCGAAUUUCAUCGCGAUCGGAGUCCGUCUGGUACCCGAACGGUCGACCGUAGCGGCAUCGUAUUCGGUCUAUCGUCGGAUGUGUCUUGGUGUUUUAAAUCGCGUUGCCGCGUCGCCGGUUUUCCCUCUCAUCCCCGGAUAACCGCUCUUCACAGCCCACUAGUUCCACCUAGCCACUUCCUCCGUUCGUGGUCGUCGGAUCGCGAUCGGACGGACGAGGUCCACCCUACCAGAGGCCAAACCCUAUAUUAAGACCACCCCAUGGAGAGACCUCUCUCACUUCACUAGGGUUCCCCCUAGUCAUUUUUGCAGCCACCCCCCUAGAAAACCCCACCUGCUAGCCCACACCCUUGAAAUCCCGCAGCCCUAAGCUCCAUAGCCUUUCUCAGCCUUCGGAUCUGAGAUCUCGGGCUCAGAUUCGCCCAAAUCCCCACCUACCGGACAUGUCCGCGGUCAAACCGGACACGUCCGGAUGUCCGCAGUGCCAGCCGAUCCCAUCCCGAGCAGGAGCUCCGUGCAGCCUUGCCCGCAUGCGUCGGCGUGCCGACGCCGCUUCCUCGCCGGAACCAGGCCGGACCACCUCGCCCUGCUCCUNCGCCUGGGCCUCGCCCUGUUUGUGGGCCGCAGCCUCCCCUCGCUCUGUGGCCGGCCCAGCUCCCCAACCUCCAGCUGGUCCCACCGCUUCGGCCCAAGUCGCCCCUCACCAAGCCGCGGCCUAGCUCCUUUCGGCCCAAGGUGAGCCACCCCGAGCCUCUUUAUUUCGCGCCCUAGGCGCUUCUUAGUAUGUUGCGCUCAUGUAUCUGUUGUAGUUUCGGCCCAAUAGGUUGUUAUUAUUUAGUUUUCGAAUUAGUUAUUUCAGGAAAUAUAGAUAUAUUAGAACGGCCGUAACUUUUUAACCGUAAUUCGGAUCGUGUUGAAUUAGAUACGUAUUUGGUGUAGUUUUGCGCGUAGAAUCCGAUUAUAAAACUUGCAUAUUUGUUUGACGUGGUCUGCCGUGCCAUAUGCCUAGGUUUAUGUGCUGUCUAGAUAGGAUAGACGCCCGUAUUUUUUUUCGCGCAAGACCGUAUAGCCCGAAUGCCGUAUUAGAAAUGCCCAUGUUUUAGGAACCCUCUUGCUAUGAAUUUUAGCGCGGUUAUUGGUAUUUUUGCGUGUAGGGAUUUUCCGUUAGUUUAUUUUCCCGUGUAUAGUUUUUAUCUUGCAUUUACGUGUGGCAUUAUUUAUGUUGUGCAACUCCACUUAUUUUAUAUGUUUUCGGGGUAGAAAAAUCCAUAGGAUUUUUCUGUGCAAUUAGUUUUAGCUUUUGAGCAAGUUAGUUUGCGUGAUAUUUUGCUAUGUUGCCCUCUUGUUUAUUUCGUAGGAUUUAUUCCGUGCUUCGUUUGAUUAAGUUAUCAACUAGGGAGUUGUUCUUUGAUGUUUAGUCUAGCCCCUGGUAUUUUUAGUUGCAUUAGAAAUGCAUGUUUAGGUGUGGUUUGCUUGCUCUCAAGUUGCUAGAAAUAGUGCUGAUUUGGAGGUGCUGAAAUAUUUCUAAGUCUGAAAUCUGUUAUAUUUUGUUGAUGUCUUGUCUUGCUUGUAUCUUGUGAUCUGUAGCUGUUUUGAGGUUGGUGCAAUGGAGUAAGUUGUAGACCUUGUGAUUCUCUGGCAUGCUGUGAAUUUUCAUGCCAUUUGGAGUCCUGUAGAUAUUGGUUUUGCUGCUGUCAAUAUGCCUUCAGAUCGAAAACUGCAGCUUCAUAAACUGCUAUUUUCACUAAGUCUGAAAUAGUGUUUGGGAAGCCAUUUUGGGACUUCUUUUCCUUGUGUUCCUUGCUGCCAUGCUAGUUGUUGUUAGUUGUUCGUUGUAGUGCUUCUUGCCCUCUUUCGUGUCAUGCCUUGGUUGAAUAUAUUUGAUUUGUGUAGCUCGUAGUUGUGGGGCGUAAAAAAUGCUAGGUGACUGAUUUUGGUAGUUUGUAGUGAUUUCUUGUUUUGCUCGUAGAUGUUGAACCGUAGCUCCGAUUUGAUCGUGUCCUACAUGAAACUUGCUUAGAAUCUUGUGUAGCUUUAUUUUCUCUUGCUGGUUGUAUGUUUUGAAGUGCUCGUGACCGUCGUUGCACACAUAUUGCAUUGAUGCCAUCAUAUCUUGCGGUGCUUGUAUCUUUUGAACCCUAGCUCCGUUGGAGAUGAUCUCUAUGUGUAAAUUGCUUGUCUCGACGCGUAGAAUCACGUGAACCUAUUUGUUUUGCUGUUUAACAAUUAAUUAAAUGUGUUAGUUCAGAUCUGGACAAAAUUGUAAAUUAACAUGUGAGGUCGUUUCGGAGGUGCUAUAUGUCAUUUCCGACCUCAUUUAAAAUGCCUAGGUAGGUAGUUUAAUUGCUCUUCACCUCUUGCCAUGUGUAACCACAUUUAAUAUUGCCGUGUACCUAAUCGGGAUAGAACUAAAUAAAUAAACGUGGAGUUUCGUCAAUAUGUAACUCGUUGCAUAUUGAACUUCACUUAAUGUGUAGUGCUUGUUUGUCGUGAAUUGUCGUGCCGUGUCUUGCAUGUUUUCAGCUGCUCAUGCAUCAUAUGUGUUGUGCAUCAUGUGGUGUAUUCGUGUGUUAAUGCUUGUUUCCGGUUUGCUUCGUCUCGAUAGAGUUCCGCAAGCGUGUCGGAUGUGAGGACCCGUUCGACUACGUCGGUUCGUCUGCUUCACGGAGGCAUUCUUCUUCCAAGCGGGAUCUCAGGCAAGAUGACCAUUUCCCCAGAUACCAUUACUAUCAUUGCCAUGCUAGUUUUAUCGCUUCUAUCGAUUAUGUCUCGUUGCCUACCACAUGUUAAAUAUCAGCCUCUCAACAAUGCCAUGAAAACCUUCAACCUGUUCAACCUAGCAAACCACUGAUUGGCUAUGUUACUGCUUGCUUAACCCAGUGUUAGCGUUGCUAGUUGCAGGUGCAGUUGCUUCCAUGUGAAAACAUGGGUUCCUUGUUAUAUCACCAUAUUAAUGCUAUUUAAUUUAAUGCACCUAUAUACUUGGUAAAAGGUGGAAGGCUCGGCCUUUCUAGCCUGGUGUUUUGUUCCACCUUUGCCCCCUUAGUUUCGGCUACCGGUGUUAUGUUCCAUAAUUGAGCGCUCCUAACACGAUCGGGGUUGUUAUGGGGACCCCCUUGAUAAUUCGUUUUAGAUUAAAACUGGUCUGGCAAGGCCAAACAUUGGUACUACAGUUGCCCAACAUAAUAAUUCUGUUAAAUUGAAAUGCAUAGGGAGUUAGCGCUACCCGAGGAGUAAUUCUACAUAAUACAUGGAGGGCCAGUGCUAAUGGUGCUGGUCCAAAACAGGGCACCGUGCGGGGCCAACUCGGGGCAACUCAGGAGAUUUCUAUCAGGCCACCGUACGCUUUGCUUAUCUGUCGUGUCCUGAGAACGAGAUACGCGGCUCCUAUCGGGAUCGUCGACACAUCGGGCGGCCUUGCUGGAUUAGUUUUACCUUUGACGAGAUAUCUUGUGCAUCGGGAUUCCGGUGAUGCUUUGGGUAAUCUCAGAGUUGAGGUCUUGCACUAGGGAUCCGACGAGAUCACGAGCUUCGUGAUUGAGGAUUUCUAUGCGGCUUGUGGUAAUUUGUGAUGGACUAGUUGGAGCACCCCUGCAGGGUUAAAUCUUUCGGAAAGCCGUGCCCACGGUUAUGUGGCAACGUGGAAACUUUGUUCAACACUGGUUCUAGAUAACUUGAAGUUAACUUAAUUAAAAUAUGCUAACUGUGUGCGUAACCGUGUCUGUCUCUUUCGUGAGUUCCUUCUCUGAUCGAGGACAUGGUGGGGUUAUGUCUGACAUAGGUAGGUGUUCAGGAUCAUUCAUUUGAUCAUCCGUAGUUCCCUCCGCUAUGCGUAGAUCUUCCCUCUCUUAUUUCUUGUACUCGUAAGUUUAGCCACCAAAUAUAUGCUUAGCCGCUGCUGCAACCUCAUCACUUAACCAUGCCUCACAUAAUAAGCUUUGCUAGUCUUGAUACCUUUGGAAAUGAGAUUGCUGAGUCCCCUGUGGCUCACAGAUUACUACAACACCAGUUGCAGGUACNNNNNNNNNNNNNNNNNNNNNNNNNNNNNNNNNNNNNNNNNNNNNNNNNNNNCUUCUUCUUCUUCAUCGAUCUAGGAUGGGUUCCAGGCCGGCAGCCUGGGAUAGGAAGGAUGGACGCUAUUCUUCUUUUCUCGUUUGUUUUCGUCCGUAGUCGGACCCUGUUCUUCUUCAUGAUGAUUAUGUACUGUACUGCUAUGACUCUGAUGUAGCUUGUGGCGAGUGUAAGCCAAUUCUAUAUAUAUAUAUCUCUUCUUUUUAUUACAUGUACUUGUAACGAUAUCCAUUCUUGCGACACGACGAGAUGCGCUUCUAUCCCUGGUGAGGCCUUCGUGCCAAAUUGAGGAUAGGGUCGCAUCUUGGGCGUGACAGCCAACCCCUGGCUGGAGGAGCCGAAGGGGCUGUCGGAGAAGACUUCUACGUGGAGCUCGACAAAGCUCUCCGACCCUCGGGCCGUGCCCAUCCUGGAGCGCUUCUCCCGCGACAUCAGUGCCAAGAGGCUGACCGGAGGGAUGAUAGUGAAGGAAUUCUUGGCGGAGCGCCUAGCGCCCCUUCAGGCCCACUCCAGGCCCCUGUGGGACUACCGGGCAGGUGACGAUGAGCUCAGGCUCUGGUCCCAGGACCUUCUCACGGAGGAGCUGAACAGGGUCAUGGCGAUCUUGUUGGGUGGUGACCCUGGUGACCUGCCUGAUGCUCUAGGUCCGCUGUACCAUCUUGACGACCGGGCCGACGUGAUCGCCGGGCUGCCUGUCUUCGAUGAGCAGGGGCUCCUCCCGUCCGAGGGCUCUGGUCCUGUAGAGGUGUCAUCUAGCGACACCUCCGGUGAGGGGGACUCAGAGAAGACCGUCGACGACUGCCCAGCGAGCGCGCCUCUCCCGUCACAGGCCGUCCUUCUACGCGAACUUGAAGAUGAUGAUGCCGCCGGCGAGGUAUCCGCGGGGAUCUCCUCGCGCCCAACCCCGCGCGCUAUGUGUUGUGCGUGCGUGCUUGCCUCCCAGAAGCUCGGGACUGAGCCGUCCCCGGCGCAUCCCGCCUGUGCUGGUGGAACAUCUGAGGCGUCGGGCUCGCCUCCCUCCAUUGGGGGCCUUGUCAUCUCUGCCGCCGUAGGGGCGGAGAGGAAGAAGAGAUGACGCGAUGUCGAAGAGUAAGUUACUUGUCCUAGCACGCCUCGCGCGUCCAUCGUCUGCGCUUGGUUUAUUCCUCCCUUCUUGCCUGAUGUCCAGGGGCGUUGUCUUGCUGGGGGGGAAGUGGAAGAAGACGGUCGUCAACCCAAAGGCGACUCCCGAGGCACCGCCGGCCCUUGUCAAUGCAUCAUCGCCUGGCGAUGGGGAAGGGAAGGCUCAUGUGGUGACCUCUUGGGCCUUGGUCGCCGUGCCCCCCGAGCCCUCGAGGUGUCAUGAGGUGGGUGUGGUGGCGCCGUUGCCCGAGGGGAAAGAUCUUGAGGGCCCUCAUCCCACUGAUGCGCUAAUACUCGCAACCUCCGAGCAAUCUUCGGAGCCUCCUACCCCUCGUGACGAUGCCUCCCUGACGGCACCGCCCGAGACAGCUGUAGAAACUCCUCAAGGGGAAAUCCAGAGGACCUCGGUAUUCACCCAGGGCGUCCUGAACGAGGCAUUCCGUGUUGUGGGCAAGGUCGCAGUCAUGAUGGCCAGUGGCGAGAAGGAGGCUAAGGAAGCUCGCGCCGGGCGCGAGGAGGCGCUGAAGGAAGUCAAAUAUGCUCGCACCACGCACGAGGAGGCGAUGGAAGGAGCCGCCGCGGCUGCGAAAUGCUACAAAGAGGUGGAGGCUCGCCUGAAUGCCCUCCAGGAAGAACAAGCCAAGAUUGCCGGGCAGCGUCGCUCACGGGAGGAAGAGCUCGAUGCCCACAAGACCAAGCUUGCCGCCCGGGAAGAGGAGCUGUCCCAAGAGGGAACUCGUUUAGGCACGAAGCAAACGUGCCUGGGCGAGCAGGAGAAGGAUGUCGCAUCAAGGAAGACCCUUUCUCGAUGCCAAGAGGGAAGCCCUCGCUGCGGCCGAGAAGAAGAAGGCCGCAGAGCUGGUCGGCUUCCCUGAGGUUGAGCUACACACCCUUUGCCGGGACGGGUUUGGCGAGGCUUUGGCCACCCCGGAGAGUGGCUUCGCCGUGCUCGCGGCGGAGCUCGCCGUGGUGUUGGAGGACGCCGUCAUCCAGGUGGACAAGAUCUUGGACAGUGAGUGCCGCGACCUUUUUUUUGAGGCCACGACGCGCAUCUUCAGUCACCUUCAUCUUCGUUAUCCGGGGUUCAACUUCAACUCUGUGAUCCUAUCGGUCCCGGCCGAGGCCUGCGACUGUGCUGCGGAGGCGGUGAAGGGCCCCGUGGAGGUGUUGGCGAAGAGGUUCGCCCGUGUCGCAGCUCCCACAUCUCCGGAUGCCGCUGAAGCCGAAGGCGGGGGAGACGACGCCACUGACGCCCACGACGAGCCCCAUGAAGAUGCGGCGAUUGGCGGCGACGGCUCCUCUUGAUUUCAUCCUCGUGUUUUUUCCUGCAAUGCUCACCAUGCCUCGUGGAGGCGUCAAAGUCAUUUGCGUUUUCAAGAAAUUGUUAAGGCUUGUAAUAACUGGCUGAAUGCUUGAAUGUUUUCUUUGCCUCGUUUCUUUCAUGUUUGCUGUGAUACUCUGCGUUGGCAGGGCCCGCCCCGCGCGUACCUUUGCCAUAGUUGGACCGACCGGAAUUCCAGGAUGACCCAAAAGGGGAAGGGUCUACGAGCGUAGUUAGGCCCCUGAGUCGCGAUGCUCAGGAGUCCCCCUUGACGUGCGAGCUGCCCUCAUGAGGGGAAUGCGGUGAGGGUUUCAAAACUUCAGAAUACAUUUAGCACUCUGCGUCGGCAGGGCCUGCCCCGCGCGUACGUUCACCGCAGUUGGACCAACUAGAAUUCUAGGAUGGCCCAAAAGGGGAAGGGGCUACGAGUGCAGUUAGGCCCCUGAGUCGCGAUGCUCAGGAGUCCCCCUUGACGUACGAGCGACUCCAAUGUCCCUCCUAAGAAACUAACAAUCUGAGACUCCCGAACUCCUUCUACACUCUGCGUCAGCAAGGCCCGCCCCGCGCGUACCUCCGCCGUUGUUGGGCCGCUUGGACGACCCAAGAGGGAAGGGGCUACAGGCGUAGUUCAGGCUCCUGAGUCGCGAUGCUCAGGAGUCCCCCUUGACGUACUAGUGACUCCAGCGUCCUCCCCAAGAUAUGUUGGGUGGCUUAUUGAGAAGACUGGGCUUUGCGUCGGCAGGGCCCGCCCCGCCCGUACUUCCACUACCGUUGAACCGACCAGAAUUAUAGGAUGGCCCAAGAGGGUAGGGGCUACGGGCGCAGUUUGGCUCCUGAGUCGCGAUGCUCUGGGGUCCCCCAUGACGUACGAGCGGCUCCGUACCUCCAGUUCUCUGUCCCCCGCACUAGGCGUGGGCGUAGUUGCGGGUGGACUGUGUUGAUUUCCAUGCCAACUGUAGGCAUAGUCAUUGGCGGACUGUGUUGGUGCGAGCUGCGGGCAUAGUCAUUGACGGACUAUGUUGGUGCCAGCUGCGGGCAUAGUCAUUGGUGGACUAUGUUGAUUGCCUUUGCCUUCUCCCUAGCGCAGAGCGUAGGGCUGCCACUAGGUGUGGGCUGGACCCCUCCGCGUCCUCGGGGGGCCUUGGGGAUAUACAGCCUCGGCUCGUUAUUACGUGAGAGUGUCAUGGUGGGAGUUGUAUAUGGGAGGUCGCGAGGAUGCUUUGGCCUCGCGAGUGUCCCUACCCCCGAGGCAUGGGCGCAUGAGUCCAAUUGGGUCAUUGGCAAACCCGGCUGACUUGUUCUUCUUCGAGAGUGAGACAGGGUGUCCGUCUGUUGCCUCAGGAGGCCUGCAAGGAUAAGCUUCGACCGGAGCCCCCAAGCGUGGGGCCGCCGCCCGAAAAUACAAGCAAGGUAGAACAUUAGGGUUCAAAAUGGGUACGAUAGAAAUAAUUGAAAGGUGCGUAAAUGAAAGUAGCGGCUGGGGAGUGCCCUGAGCUCCUUGAGGCCGCAUGGCCCUGGGGGCACCCUCGGACAAAGUGGGCCAAAAAGUUACCUUGCAGCAACCAACAAAAAGUCACCUGGCGGCCAUGUCGCUAAAGUGCCAAAGGUGCCGUCGUCGCCUGAUUUCCUACCUCCACGAUCGCGACCCUCACAGGUCCAUCAUCUCCCGAGGUUCGGGGCCUUCGCUUGGCCCAAGCAUCUCCUCUUCUUCCUCACCACGCCCGAGCAGGCAUGGCAUGAGCAUGGCCCACUGGAGCCUUCAGUAGGUAGCAGCCACGUUCCCCAGCCCGAAGGGCAUGAGGGUGCAGGCGCCCGGGUACACCCACCGAUGGUCAGCUUGCGCGGGCCAAAAGGGGCCUUGAGCCACGACUUUAUCGAUUGCGAGCACGUUGAUGCAGAUGCGGGGCUGAUCGACCGUGCCGCCGAAGACGACUGCGAUUGGUGGUGUAGGGCUGUCUCCGCCUUGCACGGCUUGGGCCUCCUGAAGUUCUUGGAUUUCUCUAAUGACGGACUCACAAGAGCUGAGCGGACGUGUGCCGAAGUGCGCCCUCGGGAUGUUCUCGAACGCCACCCUCGCCUCAUUGGUCAGGCCGGGGACCUCCCCGGUGGGAGCCCCCAGUCCUGACCCAAGGGGGCGCCGAGCGCACCUUCCUAUACGAUGGGGGGCAUGACCCAGUCCCCCGGCAUGGAGCCCGAAGUCCCAGGGUGCUCCGCGGGGAGGAGAUGCUUCUUCUUCUUGCGUGGGUCCUCGCGAGGUGGCUCAUCUUCUUCGUCGUCCAAGCGUUCCGCCGCUGCGACGCGGUAGGCGCGCUCGAGCGUACAAACGACAUCCUUCUCGUCGCAGGCGAUGGUGAUGACGCCGCCGAUCCUUGGCAUCUUGAGGGCAUUGUAGCCGUGGUGGGUCACUUCCAUGAACUGGGCGAGAGCCGGGCACUAGAGGAACGCAUUGUAUGGCAGGUGGAUGUGCGCGACGUCGAAGACGAUGAUCUCAGUGUGGUAGUUCUUGCGCGCGCCGAAUGUGACUGGCAGACACACAUGCCCGAUGGGUAGGGUGGACCCUUCUGUGUCUCCUGAGAAGGGCUUGGUCGGCAUGAGCUGUUCGUAUGGUAGCUAGAGUGUCUCGAAGGUCUUGACCGAGAGGACAUUGAGUCCCGCUCCAGUGUAGAUGAGGGUCUUGGUGACGAGGACCUUGCUGAUGGUCGGGUUGCACAUCAUGGGAACCUUGCCAGCCAUGAACAAGCACCUAAGUUGAUCACUUGGGUCUAAGGUGAUGGUGGUCUGGGACCAGUUGAGGAGGCGCAUCGCUUCGGGCAUCGGGAGAGCGGCAUGCACCUCCCAGGCGAACUUCCUGAAGGCGCGGUUCGAGGUCCGAUGUCUGGGCGCCGCCUAGGAUGGAGGCCACCACCCUGACCUCCUCGAAGCCCCCAUCCCCAUUGUUCUGCCUGUCUUCAUCUCUCCUUCUGGGCGGCGGAGGCACAGGAGGCAGCCCGGCCUCACGAGGGCGAACUUCGCGAGGCUGACCGUGUCCUUGCCCCUCCUGAGGGUCGUCGUGCCAGUGGUCAUCCCGAGCCUGGCCGCGCCAGCGAUGCUCCUGAGGCUGGGCGCACCAACGAACUUCAUGAGGCUGUUCAUGCCACCCCUGACGCGGUUCUCAGUCAUCCCAACGGCCUCCACUGUAGACAUAGCCGCAUGCGGGACCUCUAUCGACCCGUCUGGGGCACGUGCUGAAGUGCUCGACACAGACCAGUCUGAGCUCUUGGCACUCGAAGGUAUCAUGGCCUUUGGUGCCGUGGAAGAUGCACGUUGGCUCCCCUCCUCACGGACGCUCUCCCCCUCAGCCGUGCUUCGCCUCAGGAUCGGCUUCGAGCACCACCGGAGCCUUGCGCUUCGCCUCCUUGGCCUUGAUCUUCUUCUCUUCUCAUUCCAUCGCAUGGGGACCGAGGAGGGACAUGCGACCUUCUUCAGCCUUGGCGCACUUAUUUGCUAGGUUGAACAUCUCCAAUGGAGUGCUCAUCUCAUCACUCAUGGCGAGCUCCUCCUUCAUCUUGAGGUCGGUGACUCCAUCGGAGAAGGCAGAUAUGAUGGCUUCGUCCGUCACCUUAGGGAUCUUGAGGCGCAUGACCGUGAAGCGCGAUAUGAACUUGUGCAGGGUCUCCCCCUCCUGCUGCUUGAUGCGCCACACAUCGUUCACGGUGGGAGCGUGAUACGUCUCAAACAUAUCUAUAUUUUUUGAUGGUUUCAUGCUGUUAUCUUGUCUUCUUUGGAUGUUUUAUGUACCUUUUAUAUCUUUUUUGGGACUAACUUAUCAAUUAAGUGCCAAGUGCAAGUUCCUGUUUUUUCCGUGUUUUUGACUCUUUUCAGAUCUGAUUUUGGAACGGAGUCCAAACGGAAGAAAAACCCUGAAAUGAUUUUUUCCUGAACGGAAGAAGAUUAGCGGGCCUUUGGGCUAGCCCAGGUGGGCUCCAGGGAUCCCACAAGCCCCCACUCCGCCACCAGGGGGGAGGCGGCGGUGGGCAGGCUUGUGGCCUCCCUGGACGCCCCGUGACCUAGGUCUUUGGCCUAUAAAUUCCCAAAUAUUCCGCAAAAAAUCAGGGGAGCCUCGAAAAUAAUUUUCCGCCGCUGCAAGCUUCUGUUUCCGCGAGAUGUCAUCUGGAGACCCUUCCCGGCGCCCUGCCGGAGAGGACUUUGGAGUUGGAUGGCUUCUUCAUCAUCAUCAUCGCCCCUCCAAUGACUCGUGAGUAGUUCACUUCAGACCUACGGGUCCGUAGUUAGUAGCUAGAUGGCUUCUUCUCUCUCUUGGAUCUUCAAUACAAAGUUCUCCAUGAUCUUCAUGGAGAUCUAUCCGAUGUAAUCUUCUUUGGCGGUGUGUUUGCCGAGAUCCGAUGAAUUGUGGAUUUGUGAUCAGAUUAUCUAUGAUAUAUAUUUGAGUCUUCGCUGAUUUCUUAUGUGCAUGAUUUGAUAUCCUUGUAAGUCUCUCCGAGUCUUGGGUUUUGUUUGGCCAACUAGAUCUAUGAUUCUUGCAAUGGGAGAAGUGCUUGGUUUUGGGUUCUUCCAUGUGGUGACCUUUCCCAAUGACAGUAGGGGCAGCAAGGCACACAUCAAGUAGUUGCCAUCAAGGGUAAAAAGAUGGGUUUUCUAUCAUUGGUUUGAGAUUAUCCCUCUACAUCAUGUCAUCUUGCUUAAGGCGUUACUCUGUUCUUAUGGACUUAAUACACUAGAUGCAUGCUGGAUAGCGGUCCACAUGUGGAGUAAUAGUAGUAGAUGCAUACAGUAUCGGUCUACUUGUUUUGGCCGUGAUGCAUAUAGAAAUAAUCAUUGCAUAAAUAUCGUCAGGACUUUGCGCGGUUCUAUCAAUUGCUCGACAGUAAUUUGUUCACCCACCGUCUACUUGCUUUCAUGAGAGAAGCCACUAGUAAACACUACGGCCCCCGGGUCUAUUCACAUCCAUCGUUUACAUCUCCGCUUUUACUUUGCUUUUUUACUUUGUUGCUUUCCGUUCUCACUUGGAAAACUAUCUAUUAGGGAUUGACAACCCCUUCAUAGCGUUGGGAGCAAGCUUUUGUGUUUGUGCAGGAUCUUGAGAUACUCCUCCACUGGAUUGAUGCCUUGGUUCUCAAACUGAGGGAAAUACUUACCACCGCUAUGCUACAUCACCCUUUCUGCUUCGAGGGAACACCAAUGCAAGGCUCCAGGGCCAUGGGGGAAAUCCUUUGCAUAAUUGCCUAGGAAGUUCCUUAAGGCGUAGCCGCAGCAGAAAGAUCAAGCCAAGUAUUCUCCUGUCGACAUGCCUAUUUCUGGCGCCGUUGGAAGGUCUUUUGUUGCAGUAGCAGAAGUAUUUCUGGCGCUGUUUCCAGGGAUACACAGCUGGCAUCAGAAGUAUUUCUGGCGCCGUUGCCGGGGAGGAGAAAUCAAGAUCUAUCCAAGUAGGUCUCACAAACUCUUCUCUUGCAUUUACUUUUGUUGCCAGUUGCCUCUCAUUUUCCUCUCCCCGACUUCACAUUUGCCAUUUUCAUUCGCCUUUCGCCUUCGCCGUUUUCUUUUGCCUUUGCCGGUUUUCUUGCUCGCUUGUGUGCCAUGUGCCUUCAAUAUUAUUUCAUCUUCGCUUGUUGAAAAUCUAUUGAUAUGGAUCCUCAUCCACCAUCUAGUCUCUUUAAGAAACCCACUAUUGUUGAGCGGAUUGCUAGUGAGUUGAGGGAAAUUGACUAUUUCUAUGGAGUUUUGCUUAAGAUGCGUGAAUCUGAAAAUUGUGAGGAAGAAAUUCAUGAAGUGAUUCACGAGGGCUCCUUGGAUGAAAAGCAUGAUUUCAAUGGUUUCACUAUAAAUUCUAUUAGUGACAAUCAUGCUAAAAAUAUGCAAAACCCUAAGCUUGGGGAUGCUAGUUUUUCUUUGACCACUACUUGUUGCAAUAAUCAUGAUUGGGGUGAUGAUCUUUCUUAUGAUCUUGAAAAUUUGUUUAAGCCUCAUGAUGAGUAUGAUAUUUGCAACUUUACUAAAAGUGGGAUUGGAGAAGUCAUUACUUUAUUUGAUGAUAAUCCCACUAUUUUUGAAGAGCGUAAACUUUGCAUGCAUGUGGGUCAUGAAAAGGAUAUCCUAUGGGAUAGCUAUAUUGUUGAAUUUGAAUAUGAUCCCACAUGUAAUUGCUAUGAGUGAGGAAAAUAUUUUGGUAGAAACUUUCAUGUUACAAAAUCACCUCUCAUGAUGUUGUGAUUGCUCUUGUCUCUUUCUUCUUCCUUGCAUAUGGCAACUAUUGGUUGUCUUGACAAUCUGUUUUCCUAUAAAAUGCCUAUGCAUAGGAAGUAUGUUAGACUUAGAUGUGAUUUUCACAUGCUUUAGGAUGCUCUCGUUGUGCUUCAAUUCUUGUCUUUUGUGAGAGCAUCAUUAAAUGCCUAGCUAAGGGCGUUAAACAAAAGCGCUUGUUGGGAGGCAACCCAACGAAUCUAUCUUUUUUCUUUCCGUUUUGUGUUUUCCACACUUUCAUAAUUCUGUUAUUAUUGUGUUUUUUGUGUUUCUUUUUGCGUUUGUGCCAAGCAAAACCGUUAUGAUUAGUCUUCGGGAUGAUCGUUUGGUCAUGCUGGAAAAGACAGAAACUUUCUGCUCACGAAAAGAAUUUUCGUUUUUUUUCUGUAAGAUAUUUUGAGUUGAUUCUUUCUGAUGAGGAUUUCUACGCAAAUUCUGCAGACUCUCGUAAGUUUUCAGAAUUUUUCGAGUACCAGAGGUAUACGGAAUAUACAGAUUUCUACAGACUGGUCUGCUGUUAACAGAUUCUGUUUUUGUUGUGUUGGUUGCUUAUUUUGAUGAAACUAUUGAUAGUAUCGGGGGGUAUUAGCCAUGGAAGAUUGAAAUUACAGUAACCCAACAUCAGAACAAGUAGAAUUUAAGUUUGCUACAGUACCUAAGGAAGUGGUGGUUUGCUUUCUUGUACUAAUGUUAUCACGAGUUUUUGUUUAAGUUUCGUGUUGUGAAGUUUUCAAGUUUUGGGUGAAGUUCUUAUGGACAAAGAGAUAAAGAGUGGCAAGAGCUCAAGCUUGGGGAUGCCCAAGGCACCCCAAGAGAUUUAAGAAUUCCGUAAAAGCCUAAGCUUGGGGAUGCCCCGGGAAGGCAUCCCCUCUCUCGUCUUCAAUCAAUCGGUAACGUUACUUGGGGCUAUAUUUUUAUUCACCACAUGUUAUGUGUUUUUGCUUGGAGCGUCUUGUAUCGUAGGAGUCUUUUAUUUUUUUGUGUCACAAUCAUCCUUGCUGCACACCUAGAGAGAGAGACAUGCACACACCGUGAUUUUGUCGAGCUUCACUUAUAUCCUUUGGUAAACAAUUCAGCUCACAUGUGCUUCACUUAUAUCUUUUGAGCUAGAUACUUUUGCUCUAUGUGCUUCACUUUUAUCUUUUAGAGCACAGGGGUGCGUGGCUUGUUAGUUGAUCUAUGCUUUGAAAGUAGUCUCAAAAGGGGUAGUUAUCCAGAGGGAUACGAAAACUUCCACCUUCUUGUGCAUGGAAUAGUUAGAGAAGUUUGAUUCAUCUCAAUUAGUUUUGAGUUGUGGUUAUGGUAAUAUUGAAGUCAUGCUAGUAAGGUGUUGUGGAUCUAGAAAUACUUGUGUUGAAGUUAGUGAUUCCCGUAGCAUGCACGUAUGGUGAACCGCUAUGUGAUGAAAUCUGAGCAUGAUUAGUAAAUUGAUUGUCAUCCUUUGCGUGGCGGUCGGGAUCACACGAUGGUUUAUACCUACCAACCCUUCUCCUAGGAGUAUGCGUUGAAUGCUUUGUUUCGAUUACUAAUAAAACUUUUGCAAAAAGUAUAUGAGUUCUUCAUGACUAAUGUUGAGUCCAUGGUUUAGAUGCACUUUCACCUUCCACCAUCACUAUCUUCUUAGUGCCGUGCAACUUUCGCCGGUGCACAAAACCCACCAUUAGCCUCCCUCAAAACAGCCACCAUACCUACCUACUAUGGCUUUUUCAAAGUCAUUCUGAGAUAUAUUGCCAUGCAACUACCACCAUGACAUGUGCCACCACGUCUACAUUGCCAUUUCAUGAUCGUAAGAUAGCUAGCAUGAUGUUUCCAUUGAUGUCUAUGCCAUGCUAGAUCAUUGCCACGGUACACUACCGAAGGAAUUCCAUAUAGAGUCAUAGUUGCUCUAAGUUUUGAGUUCAAAGUGUGAUGAUCAUAAUUAAUGGUGCAUUGUCCCAUGUGAGGAAAUAAAAGAGGCCAAAGAAUCCCACCAAAAUAAAAAAAAGAGGCCAAAGAGCCCACCAAAUAAAAAAAAUAUGAGAGAAAAAGAGAGAAGGGACAAUGCUACCACUUUUUCCACACUUGUGCAUAUUAAGCACCAUGAUCUUCAUGAUUGAGAGUCUCUCGUUUUGUCACCACCAUAUAGCUAGUGGGAAAUUUUCAUUAUAUAACUUGGCUUGUAUAUUCCAAUGAUAGGCUUCCUCAAAAUUGCCUUAGGUCUUCGUGAGCAAGCAAGUUGGAUGCACACCCACUAGUUUUCCUUAAGAGCUUUCACAUACACUUAGCUCUAUUGCAUCAUUUGUAUGGCAAUCCCUACUCAUUUACAUUGAUAUCUAUUGAUGAGCAUCUCCACACAGCUCAUUGAUAUGCCUAGUUAAUGUGACCAUCUUCUCCUUGUUCGCCUUGCAACCUCCACCACACUCCACACCAUCUAUAGUGCUAAAACCAUGGCUCACGCUCAUGUAUUGCGUGAGAGUCGAAAAAGUUUGAGAAAGUAAAGGUGUGAAAACAAUUACUUGGUCAUUACCGGGGUUGUGCAUGAUUUAAAUUCGUUGUGCAAUGAUGAUAGAGCAUAGCCAGACUAUAUGCUUUUGUAGGGAUAACUUUUUUUGGCCUUGUUAUUUUGAAAGUUCAUGAUUACCUUGCCAGUUUGCUUGAAUUAUUAUUGUUUCCACAUCAAUAGCAAACUAUUUUUUUGAAUCUAACGGAUCUGACCAUUCAUGUCACGUGAGAUGAGUUACAAAGGACACCUAUGCUAGGUAGCAUGAAAGCAUAAAAAAUUCAUUCUUAUCACUUCCCUACUCGAGGACGAGCAGGAGUUAAGCUUGAGGAUGCUUGAUACGUCUCAAACGUAUCUAUAAUUUGUGAUGGUUUCAUGCUGUUAUCUUGUCUUCUUUGGAUGUUUUAUGUACCUUCUAUAUCUUUUUUGGGACUAACUUAUUAAUUCAGUGCCAAGUGCGAGUUCCUGUUUUUUCCGUGUUUUUGACUCUUUUCAGAUCUGAUUUUGGAACGGAGUCCAAACGGAAGAAAAACCCCGAAAUGAUUUUUUCCCAAACAGAAGAAGAUCAGGGGGCCUUUGGGCUAGGCCAGGUGGGCUCCAGGGAGCCCACAAGCCCCCACUCCGCCACCAGGGGGGAGGCGGCGGUGGGCAGGCUUGUGGCCUCCCUGGCCGCCCCCUAACCUAGGUCUUUGGCCUAUAAAUUCCCAAAUAUUCCGCAAAAAAUGAAGGGAGCCUCGAAAAUACUUUUCCGCCGCCGCAAGCUUCCGUUUCCGCGAGAUCUCAUUUGGAGACCCUUCCCGGCGCCCUGCCGGAGGGGACUUUGGAGUUGGAGGGCUUCUUCAUCAUAAUCAUCGCCCCCCUCCAAUGACUCGUGAGUAGUUCACUUCAGACCUACGGGUCCAUAGUUAGUAGCUAGAUGGCUUCUUCUCUCUCUUGGAUCUUCAAUACAAAGUUCUCCAUGAUCUUCAUGGAGAUCUAUCCGAUGUAAUCUUCUUUUGCGGUGUGUUUGUCGAGAUCCGAUGAAUUGUGGAUUUGUGAUCAGAUUAUCUAUGAUAUAUAUUUGAGUCUUUGCUGAUUUCUUAUAUGCAUGAUUUGAUAUUCUUGUAAGUCUCUCCAAGUCUUGGGUUUUGUUUGGCCAACUAGAUCUAUGAUUCUUGCAGUGGGAGAAGUGCUUUGUUUUGGGUUCUGCCAUGUGGUGACCUUUCCCAGUGACAGUAGGGGCAGCAAGGCACACAUUAAGUAGUUGCCAUCAAGGGUAAAAAGAUGGGGUUUUUAUCAUUGGUUUGAGAUUAUCCCUCUACAUCAUGUCAUCUUGCUUAAGGCGUUACUCUGUUCUUAUGGACUUAAUACACUAGAUACAUGCUGGAUAGCGGUCGACGUGUGGAGUAAUAGUAGUAGAUGCAUACAGUAUCGGUCUACUUGUUUUGGACGUGAUGCCUAUAGAAAUAAUCAUUGCAAAGAUAUCGUCACGACUUUACGCGGUUCUAUCAAUUGCUCGACAGUAAUUUGUUCACCCACCGUCUACUUGCUUUCAUGAGAGAAGCCACUAGUAAACACUACGGCCCCCGGGUCUAUUCACAUCCAUCGUUUACAUCUUCGCUUUUACUUUGCUUUGUUACUUUGUUGCUUUCAGUUCUCACUUGGCAAUAAAUCUAUAAGGGAUUGACAACCCCUUCAUAUCGUUGGGAGCAAGCUUUUGUGUUUGUGCAGGAUCUUGAGAUACUCCUCCACUGGAUUGAUACCUUGGUUCUCAAACUGAGGGAAAUACUUACCACCGCUAUGCUACAUCACCCUUUCUGCUUCGAGGGAACACCAAUGCAAGGCUCCAAGGCCAUGGGGGAAAUCCUUUGCAUAAUUGCCUAGGAAGUCCCUUAAGGCGUAGCCGCAGCAGAAAGAUCAAGCCAAGUAUUCUCCUGUCGACGUGCCUAUUUCUCGCGCCGUUGGAAGGUCUUUUGUUGCAGUAGCAGAAGUAUUUCUGGCGCCGUUGCCGGGGAUACACAGCUGACAUCAGAGCGCGGUCACGAGUGCCCUGAAAGUUUGCAACGAAGCAUUCCCGUAGGUCAUCCCAGGAGGUGAUGGAUACAUUUGGGAGGUUGAGGAGCCAAGAGAGCGCGCCACCCUUGAGCGCCAUGGGGAACCAGCACGCCAUGACCUUGUCGCCUCCUCCUGCCGCCCUAAAUACUCAGCGUGUAGAGUUGCAGGAAUUCGGCAGGGUCCAGGGUGCCGUCGUAGGGCAGGGGUAGGUCGGUCUUGAACUUGCAGGGCCACGCAGUUGGGUAGAGCUCAGGGGCGAUGGCGAGACACCCCACCGGCCCGGCAGGUGCAGUGCGCGCGGGAGCGACCUGGUCCUGUUGCUCCAAUGGGUCUGUUUCAGGCGGGGCUCGCUCGCAGUACGAGACUUGCAGCGUCGGGAGCGCACGCACGUCGGCGCAUGGCCGAGGAACCACUUGACAGCUUGCUUCAUCUCCUGGCCUCGCCCUGGGUUCGCGAGGUUGUUCGCGGGGCCGCGCUUCCUGCGUGGGCUUGGGGUGCGCGCCACGCCGCGAAGGUGGGGGUGGCGUGUCUUGCUCCUCGUCAUUCGCUUGGGAUGGUUGGGGCCGAAAUGAGAAGGAGAGCGCCACGGAAUCACCGACAGCGGCAACGAGCUCCUCGAUGCGUUGGAGCCAGUCGUUGUGGCGGUUAGGGGUGGGCCGGUAGCGGAGCAGCUCGGUGGUCAUGGCAAGCGCGCGUCAACCGUGUGGCAUCUUCGGCCGGGCGUGCGAGGACGACCCCGGAGCCCGGAAGAGCGACGGGUGGCGGUGCGGCCGUCAGGGUGCUCGGUAGCCGGCUGGCAGGAACCUUGCUGUUCUUGAGCAUCGGGGCUCGUGGCGGCGUUCACCACGAGCGAUGGUGACCGACGAGCGUAGGCAGGGCCUACGGGGCCUGCGGGCGCCGUCUGAGGAACGCGGGUGGCGUGGCGCUCGGUGCGAGCCUGGCGAGCGUCAGCCAUCGGAGCGGCGAAGCUUGGCGAAGGCGGAGCUUGGAGGAAACCUUGACGCGCCCCCUACAUAGCGCGCCAAAUGUCGGACUUCGGGCUCCGCAAAGCCCUAAAGAUUCAAACUCAGGGGCACGUAUGAAGAUCUCUCACUGGCUCGCCUCACGUAACUCGCUACUCGCUGGAAAUGGCAAGGAACUCAUUCAAUGGUGAGGAAGACACAGAACACGGCUACCUAGGUUUAGGCCACUGAGAAGCGUAAUACCCUACUCCUGCUUUGGUGGAUUGCCCCUCGUGGAGGUUGGUGGAUGAACAAGUACAGUGCUCGAGAGCCUCCGGAGGCUGGAUGGCCUUUGUGUGGUGCUGGUGGGUGAAUGAAUGAAUCGGAUCCCCCUCUACGAAGUAACCUAAUCUCUAUAUAUAGUGGCGGCCCCGGUCCUCUUCCCUUAUCGUUUCAACGAUAAGGGAUCCCACAGCGACCAAUUUUGAAGGGGAACAGGGGAACAUGCUCCCCUGCCCAAAGGUGGUGUUCGCGUGCAAAGUAGCUACCUGCGUUGCAGGGACGGGCCCGGGGAUGACUUCUGUCCAGAUUGCGGGCGGCGACGACCUUGUUGCACCAGAAAGGAAACCUAUGGAAGAUGCCUUGGGAACCCUGGUACAUCCUUGCCCCCUUUGCACUAAAGGGGAAACUGUUCCGUCCUGCCGCCUGCUGCUCGCUUGUCCUUCCUGUGUGUCAUCCUUUACUCGUAAGGCUGGGCCUUGCCUCGGAAUAUCUGCCCUUCUGGAGGUGUCCUGAGGAGGCCCCCUACGGGUCUUGAUGUUGUUCCUCCUCGCGAGGCUUGGCCCCUCGUGAGGGCCCUGUCUCGAGCGGUGCCGGGCCUGUCGGUUUGCUCGAUGAAGUGGGCCAUCCCUGGGCCACAGGUAGGCAGGUCUGGGUACCCCCAUUCCGAGAACGCCGACAAAGACACCGCGAAGGUCUUGAUGGCCAACACGACUAGGGGAGGUGGCCCUAGAUUCAUCAUGGAGAACUCUCUCGGGCGAGAUGAUGGAGAGCGUCGUCACGGUGAUGGCAGUCAUCAUUUUCCGCAGCCAAUAAGGGAGCAGUAGCGGCUAGAACUUCGACGAAGGAGCGAGCAAGCUCUUUGUACCCCCAUCACCAGAAACGCCUAGAGGAGAUAGCGCUGGAGAACAUGCGUUAGGCCACUCUAGCUGAGCGCGAGCGUCUCGAGCGGCUCGAGUAGUCACUCGAUGCUUGGGGCGAGGGAUCAGCACGACUCCAGUCGCAAUCGCCGUGAGUUGUUUCGGAUCGAUCUCCCGCGUCACAUUGAGGUGAUGUGAACAUCUCUGCUGAACUUGGCCGCCGCCAUUCGGAUCGCUAAUUCCAUUUAGCCAAGUGAGUCUACGGCUGGAGAAGGCAUUCGACAGAUCCAGGCUCUCCUGAAGACUGCCAUGCAAAAAAACUCCGUAGUGUCGCACCAUAGCAGGUCCGUCCAGGUGGACAUAGUGUGGUCGGCUCAUAGCCCGCAUGCACUCGGAAGACGUCAAAGAUCUCCUCCUCCUCUAAGAGGCUCGCAUGGGGAUCGGCGACAUAAUCAUCGGGUUCAUAGCAGAACACCUCCUCCGAGGAGUGGUUCACUUGGACACCGACCCCAUGACCGCAUGCCGAGCCCCAAUCGGCACAGGGUUUAUGGAGACGACGGCUACCGGGCCCCUGAAUUCAAUGCGAGGUCCCUAAUCACGCAAAACAUGAUUGACCGACCGCGAGCAGGCCGUGGAGUAUAUGACCUCGAGUGCUUCGGUCGGCACAUCCGCGAAGCGGAGAUCCCGUGCAAUUACCGAUUGGCCAUGUUGAUUGGCAAGUUCAACGAUGAGUCCAAGCCGAAGACUUGGCUCGAGGAUUACUGAGUGGCCGUCUAGAUAGGCAAUGGCGACGACUUUGUCGUGAUGAAUCAUCUAACCCUUAUGCUAGAGGGAUCGACAAGGGCAUGGCACAACUAGCUUCCCUCCAGCAGUAUCCACAGUUGGGGAGAUUUGGCCUGAGUGUUUGUCAAAACAUUCGAGGGCUUACAAGCGCCCAAGUGGCUUAACUAAGCGACAACAUUGUGUUCAGAAGAGCAACGAGACCCUCCGGGAGUAGAUCCAAUGGUGGACCACGUUGCACAACACAACGGAAAACGUCAUCGAGCAUCAGGCCAUGUGCGCUUUCAAAGCGGGCACUCAGUACCGGGAGCUGAUCCUCAAGUUCGACCGAUCGGGGGAUUUGUCCCUUAGUUGGGCGACGGAAAUCGCCAAUUGGUAUGCGAAUGGCGAAGAAGAAGACCGCCUCCUCAACGGCAAAGGUCGAGCCAGCGAGGCCCCUCAAUCAAGCAGUACCGGGAAAAAACAGAAACGAAAGAGCGACCCAUUGGGUAAAGCUGAAGUAGCCGCUAUCCCGGGGCAUAGCCAAAGAAGGCCCAAGAAGAAGAAGAAAGAUUGGGCACGCAAGAAGAAGGCCAAUUCCAAGAGCCACCUUAUGUACCAACCAUGUCCAUUCCAUGUUAGGAAGGACAAGGAGGGGGGAGAUCAUCCCCGCCAAGCACAUGGCUCGAGACUGUCACCCGCUCCCGCACGAGAUGGACGGAGAACCCUCCGGGGAUAAAAGUGAUGAGGACAACCAAGAGGCUACCCCUGGGUAUCCAAACAUAGAGAAAGUCAUCAUGAUCUUUGCCAAUGUAGAGAGCAAAAGCCAAUUUAAAGAUAUCAAUCGAGAGGUAAACAUGGCGGCCCCGGCUAUCACAAAGUACCUCGAUUGGGCGAAGACGCCCAUCACAUUCAACCAGUCGGACCACCCAGGCAACGCGCCACCCCUGGGAGGUAGGCGUUGGUCGUCGAUCUAGCUAUCAAUGGGGUCUGACUGCGAAGGGUCCUCACGGACAACGACAACGGCCUCAACAUCCUCUAUGCCGACAUGCUCAGAGCAAUGGACAUUCCAUUGUCCGGGUUGAGAAAUAGUAAUAUGCAGUUCCACGACGUCAUCCCCGGGAAGAAGGCCGAAUCACUCGGUCAGAUCACCCUGGAUGCCGUAUUCGGCAGUGAGAAGAAUUACAGGAAGGAAAGACCGACCUUUGAAGUGGUCGAAUUCCUAAGAACCUAUCACUCCAUCCUUGGUAGGCCUGCCUACGCGCGUUUCAUGGCCCGAUCAUGUUACGUGUAUCUUAAACUUAAGAUGCCACUGCUGAAAGGCGUGAUUACAGUUAUCGGCAACCGGAAGAUCGCCGAAGAAUGCCUACAGCAGGGCUCUUGGAUCGCCAACGAGCAAGUCCUAGCGGUCAAGCUUGAAGGGUACAAGAAGGCAAUGGACACUACUAACUUGCUCAGGUCCAACCGGUCGGCUACUAAGUCCAUCUUUCAGUCGGCCGGUGAGACCAAGCAGGUUCACGUCCACCCUACCAACCCGAGUGCCUCUGGGACAAACAUAUCCACUUCAGUCAACGACAAAUAGGAAGCUGAGCUCAUCCAGUUCCUCCAUGAGAAUUGGGACAUCUUCGCAUGGAAGCCCUCUCACAUGCCAGGUGUUCCCAGGGAACUGGGUGAGCACCGCCUCCGAGUGGACUCCAAAGUCAAGGCCGUCAAGGAGCACUUGCGCCGCUCCUCCAUGGAGAAGUGCAAGGCAAUCCACGAGGAGAUUGCUCGGCUGCUAGCUGCCGAGUUCAUUCGCGAGGUGUACCAGUCCGAGUGGUUGGCGAACGUGGUCAUGGUGCCCAGGAAGAACAAUUCACUCCGAAUGUGUAUUGACUUCAAGCACCUCAAUCGGGUCUGCCCGAAGGACCAUUUCCCUUUACCUCGAAUAGAUCAGAUCGUAGAUUCAACUGCUAGAUGUGAACGCGUGUCAUUCCUGGAUUCGUACUCUGGGUACCACCAGAUCGGAAUGUAUGGACCUGAUGAAAUAAAAAUGGCCUUCAUCACCCCAUUCGGCUGUUUUUGCUAUAUCACCAUGCCAUUCGGCCUAAAAAUGAUGGGGCUACUUUUCAGUGCAUGAUCCAAGAGCGUGUGCAGGAACAGAUCAGUCGGAACGUCGAAGCAUACAUGGAUGACAUCAUGGUCAAGUCCAGGAAAGGUUCCAACCUCCUGACCGACCUCGCUCAAACCUUAGCGAACCUCCGGUGUUUCAGUAUAAAGCUUAAUCUGGCCAAGUGCACUUUCGGAGUGUCGGCCGGUAAGUUACUCGGUUUCCUCGUUUCUGAACAAGGCAUUGAUGCCAAUGCCGGUAAAAUCGGUGCCAUAGUCCAAAUGAGACGCCCAGAGCGCAUCCAUGAUGUGCAUUGACUUACGAGUUGCCUCGUGGCUCUGAGCCGCUUCAUCGCAAGACUCGAUGAGAUGGCACUACCUCUUUACCGUUUGAUUAAGAAAUCUCACAGAUUCGAGUGGACCAACGAAGCGCAAGUCGCUUUCGACCAACUCAAAGCUUUGCUAUCCACCCAGCUGGUGUUAGCUACUCCGAGCAGCCACGAGCCCUUACUCCUCUACAUUGUUGCCACUAGCCAAGUGGUUAGCACCAUCCUCAUCCUGGAGCACGAAGAAGCGAGCAAACCAUACAAGGUACAAAGACCCAUUUAUUACAUCUGAGAGGUACCGACUCCCUCCAAGCAAAGGUAUCAGCAUUACCAGAAGCUGGUUUACGGUAUCUAUCUAACAGUGAAGAAGGUAGUCCAUUACUUCCGUGAACACUCGGUCACCGUCAUCAGUGACGCUCCCUUGGCAGAAAUCCUGCACAACAGGGAUGCCACUGGAAAAGUGGCUAAAUGGGUGAUACGUCCAUUUUGCAUCAUGCUUUCAUGUUGAUAUUUAUCGCUUUAUGGACUGUUAUUAUACUUUGUGGAACCUUACUUAUGCCUUUUCUCUCUUAUUUUGCAAGGUUUAUUUGAAGAGGGAGAAUACCGGCAGCUGGAAUUCUGGACUGGAAAAGGAGCAAGUCUGAGUGCUCUAUUCUGCACAGCUCCAAAUGCCCUGAAAAUCAACAUGGAUUUUUUUGGAUUUUAUAAAAAAUUCUGGGCGAAAGAAGUGUCAGAGGGGAGCAACCAGGGGCCCACAAGCCUGGUUGCCGCGGCCUACCCCCUGGCCGCGGCAACAGGGCUUGUGGCCACCCUAGCGGCCCACUGGCCCCCCUCUUUUGCUAUAUGAAGGGUUUCGUCCGUAAAAAAAUCAGGGUGGAGCUUUUUCGUGGAUUCUCCGCCGCCACGAGGCGGAACUUGAGCAUAUCCAAUCUAGAGCUCCGGCAGGACGAUCCUGCCGGGGAAACUUCCCUCCUGGAGGGGGAAAUCGUCGCCAUCGUCAUCACCAACACUCCUCUCGUCGGAGGGGAGGCAUCUCCAUCAACAUCUUCAUCAAAACCAUCUCCUCUCCAAUCCCUAGUUCAUCUCUUGUAACCAAUCUCCGUCUCGCGACUCCGAUUGGUACUUGUAAGGUUGCUAGUAGUGUUGAUUACUCUUUGUAGUUGAUGCUAGUUGGAUUACUUGGUGGAAGAAUUUAUGUUCAGAUCCUUGAUGCUAUUCAUUGCACCUCUGAUCAUGAUUAUGAUUAUGCUUUGUGAGUAGUUACUUUUGUUCCUGAGGACAUGGGAUAAGUCAUGCUAAUAAUAGUCAUGUGAAUUUGGUAUUCGUUCGGUAUUUUGAUAUGCUGUAUGUUGUUUUUCCUCUAGUGGUGUUAUGUGAACGUCGACUACAUAACAGUUCACCAUAUUUGGGCCUAGAGGAAGGCAUUGGGGAGUAGUAAGUAGAUGAUGGGUUGCUUGAGUGAUAGAAGCUUAAACCCCAGUCUAUGUGUUGCUUCGUAAGGGGCUGAUUUGGAUCCACUAGUUUAAUGCUAUGGUUAGACGUUGUCUUAAUUCUUCUUUCGUAGUUGCAGAUGCUUGCGAGAGGGGUUAAUCAUAAGUGGGAUGCUUUUCCAAGUAAGGGCAGUACCCAAGCGCCGCUCCACCCACAUAUGAAACUUUCAAAGUAACGAACGCGAAUCAUAUGAACAUGAUGAAACUAGCAUGACAGAAAUUCCCGUGUGUCCUCGGGAGCGCUUUUCCUCUUAUAAGACUUUGUUCAGGGUUGUCCCUUUCUUCAAAAGGGAUUGGGCCACUUGCUGCACCAUUGCUACUACUUUUUACUUGUUAAUUUCCGCUUGCUACGUUUCACCUCACUAUACCAUCACUUGUUACCGCUACUUUUAGUGCUUGCAGUUAUUACCUUGCUGAAAACCGUUUAUGAGAGCCUUCUCCUCCUCGUUGGGUUUGACACUCUUACUUAUCGAAAGGACUACGAUUGAUCCCCUAUACUUGUGGGUCAUCAAGACUCUUUUCUGGCGCCGUUGCCGGGGAGGGAGCGCCUUUGGUAACUGGAAUUUGGUAAGGAAACAUUUAUAUACUAUGCUGAAAUUUAUUGUCACUUGUCACUAUGGAAACUAUUCCUUUGAGGAGUUUGUUCGGGGUAUCUUCACCACGAACGGAAGCACGAGGAGUUGCUCCUCAACCUAAGGUACCUACUGAAAAUAUCUUUUAUGAAAUUCCUUCGGGUAUGCUUGAGAAACUGCUGGCUAAUCCUUUUACGGGAGAUGGAUCUUCACAUACAGACUUGCAUCUAAUAUAUGUAGAUGAAGUUUGUGGUUUAUUGAAGCUUGCAGGUUUGCCUGAGGAUGAGGUAAAUAAGAAAGUCUUCCCUUUAUCUUUGAAGGAUAAGGCGUUGACAUGGUAUAGGUUAUGUGAUGAUACUGGAUCAUGGGACUACAAUCGGUUGAAAUUGGAAUUUCAUCAAAAGUUCUAUCCUAUGCAUUUAGUACAUCGUGAUUGGAAUUAUAUUUAUAACUUUUGGCCUCGUGACAGGGAAAGCAUAGCUCAAUCUUGGGGGAGGCUUAAAUCAAUGCUAUAUUCAUGCCCCAAUCAUGAGCUCUCGAGAGAAAUUAUCACUCAAAACUUUUAUGCUCGGCUUUCCCAUGAAGAUCGUACCAUGCUUGACACUUCUUGUACUGAUUCUUUUAUGAAGAAGGAUAUUGACCACAGGUGGAAUUUAUUGGAAAGAAUCGAAUGUAACUCUGAAGAUUGGGAGCUGGAAGAAGGUAAGGAGUUAGGUAUGAAUUUCCAGUUUGAUUGCUUUAAAUCUUUUGUUGAAACAAACACUUCUAGAGAGUUUAGCACUAAGUAUGGACUUGACUCUGAGAUAGUAGCUUCUCUAUGUGAAUCUUUUGUUGCUCAUGUUGAUCUUCCCAAAGAGAAGUGGUUUAAAUAUCAUCCUCCUGUAGAAAUCAACAUAGUUAAACCCAAUCUAGUUGAGGAGAAAGUCGUUGCUUUUAGUGAUCCUAUUGUUCCUUGUGCCUACGCUAAGAAAGCACCAUACCCUGCUAGGAAAAAGGAUUAUUCUGAAGCUCCAACUGUGAUACAUAGGGGUUACAUUAGACCAGUUGCACCCCCUGAGGAAAUUAGAGUUGAACCUAGUGUUGCUAUUAUCAAAGAUCUCUUAGCCGAAGACAUAGAUGGGCAUGUUAUCAAAUUCUGUGAAGACUCCGCUAGAAUAGCUAAACCUCACGCGAAAGACAAAUACGGACCUGUAGUUGGCCUGCCCGUAGUUUCUGUCAAGAUAGGAGAUCACUGUUACCAUGGUUUAUGUGAUAUGGGUGCUAGUGUUAGUGCAAUACCCCGUUCCCUAUAUGAUGAAAUCAAAGAUGAGAUUGCACCUGCUGAGUUAGAACCCAUUGAUGUCACUAUUACGCUAGCUAAUAGAGACACUAUUUGCCCUGUGGGAAUUGUGAGAGACGUAGAAGUCCUGUGUGGUAAGACGAAGUAUCCUACUGAUUUCCUCGUCCUUGCUACUGCACAAGAUUGCUUUUGUCCCAUCAUAUUUGGUAGACCCUUUAUCAACACUAUCAAUGCUCACAUUGAUUGCAUUAAACAGACUGUCACUGUUAGUUUCGAGGGUGUGUCUCAUGAAUUUAACUUCUCCAAGUUUGGAAGACAACCCCAUGAAAAAGAGUCAUCUGGUAGGGAUGAAAUCAUUGCUCUUGCCUCUAUUGUUGUACCUCCUACGGAUCCUUUAGAGCAAUAUCUGCUUGAGCAUGAAAAUGAUAUGCAUAUGGAGGAAAGAGAUGAGAUAGAUAAAAUUGUCUUAGAACAAUAUCCUAUUCUCAAGAAUAAUCUGCGUGUUGAACUGCUUGGGGAUCCUCCCCCACCAAAGGGUGAUCCUGUGUUCGAGCCAAAACAGUUACCAGAUACUCUUAAGUAUGCCUAUCUUGAUGAGAAGGAGAUAUAUCCUGUUAUUAUUAGUGCUCACCUCUCGGAUCACGAAGAAAAUAAGUUAUUAAAAACCUUGAGGAAGCACUGUGCUGCUAUUGGAUAUACUCUUGAUGAUCUUAAGGGUAUUAGUCCCACACUAUGUCAGCACAAGACUAAAACUGAUCCUGAUUCUAAGCCAGUUCUUGAUCAUCAAUGGAGACUAAAUCCGAGGAUGAAAGAGGUCGUGAGAAAAGAAAUAUUAAAGCUUAUGGAAGCAGGAAUCAUCUAUCCUGUUGCUCAUAGUGAUUGGGUAAGUCCAAUACAUUGUGUACCUAAGAAGGGAGGUAUCACCGUCGUUCCUAAUGAUAAGAAUGAACUAAUCCCACACAGGAUUAUUACUGGCUAUAGGAUGGUGAUAGACUUCCAUAAACUGAACAAGGCAACCAGGAAGGACCAUUAUCCUUUGUCAUUCAUCGACCAGAUGCUAGAAAGGCUAUCUAAACACACAAACUUCUGCUUUCUAGAUGGUUAUUCAGGUUUCUCGCAAAUACCUGUUGCACAAUCUGAUCAAGAGAAAACCACCUUCACAUGCCCCUUCGGUACCUUUGCUUAUAGAUGCAUGCCUUUUGGCUUGUGCAAUGCACCUGCCACCUUUCAAAGAUGUAUGAUGGCUAUAUUCUCUGACUUUUGUGAAAAGAUUGUUGAGGUUUUCAUGGAUGAUUUCUCUGUCUACGGUUCUUCCUUUGAUGAUUGCCCCAGCAACCUUGAUCGAGUCUUACAGAGUUGCAAAGAUACCAACCUCGUCUUGAACUGGGAGAAGUGCCACUUCAUGGUUAAUGAAGGCAUCGUCUUGGGACACAAAAUCUCCGAGAGAGGCAUUGGAGUUGAUAAGGCUAAGGUUGAUGCAAUUGAGAAAAUGCCUUGCCCCAAAGAUAUUAGAGGUAUACGAAGUUUUCUAGGUCAUGCUGGUUUCUAUAGAAGGUUCAUUAAAGACUUCUCUAAGAUUUCUAGGCCUCUUACCAACCUCUUGCAGAAGGAUGUUCCUUUUUUUUGAUGAGGAUUGUGAGGAAGCUUUCGAAAUCAUGUGCGAUGCUAGUGAUUAUGCUGUUGUUGUUGUUCUAGGACAAAGAGUUGACAAGAAGUUGAAUGUCAUUCACUACGCUAGUAAAACUCUAGACAGUGCCCAAAGAAACUAUGCCACUACGGAGAAGGAGUUUUUAACAGUCGUGUUUGCAUGUGAAAGGUUCAGAUCUUAUAUAGUUGACUCCAAAGUCACUAUUUACUCUGAUCAUGCUGCUAUUAAGUACCUCAUGGAGAAGAAGGACGCUAAGCCUAGGCUAAUCAGAUCCGUUCUCCUGCUACAGGAAUUUGAUCUGCACGUUGUUGACUGAAAGGGUGCUGAUAACCUUGUAGCAGAUAACUUGUCUAGGCUAGAGAAUGUCCUUGAUGACCCACGACCUAUUGAUGACAUCUUUCCUGAUGAGAAAUUGAAUGUCAUCCGCACUUCACAUAAUGCAUCGUGGUAUGCUCAUUACGCAAACUAUAUCAUAGCCAAAUACACACCACCAAGUUUCACCUACCAGCAAAAGAAGAAAUUCUUCUUCGAUUUGAGACACUACUUUUGGGAUGAUCCUCACCUUUAUAAGGAAGGAGUAGAUGGUGUUAUUAGACGUUGUGUGCCUGAACAUGAACAGGGACAGAUCCUGUAGAAGUGUCAUUCCGAGGCUUACGGAGGACACCAUGCUGGAGACAGAACUGCUCAUAAGGUAUUGCAAUCAGGUUUCUAUUGGCCCACUCUCUUCAAGGAUGCCCGUAAGUUUGUCUUGUCGUGUGACGAAUGUCAAAGAAUAGGGAACAUUAGCAAACUUCAGGAAAUGCCUAUGAACUAUUCACUAGUCAUUGAACCAUUUGAUGUCUGGGGCUUUGAUUAUAUGGGACCCUUCCCGAGUUCCAAUGGGUACACUCACAUCUUAGUUGCUGUGGAUUAUGUCACUAAGUGGGUAGAGGCUAUCCCCACUAAGAAUGCUGUUCACCACACCUCUAUUAAGAUGCUUAAAGAAGUCAUUUUCCCAAGAUUUGGAGUCCCUAGAUAUCUAAUGACUGAUGGCGGUUCACACUUCAUUCAUGGUGUUUUCCUUAAGAUGCUCGCUAAGUAUGAUGUCAACCACAGAGUUGCAUCUCCUUAUCAUCCUCAGUCUAGUGGUCAAGUGGAGUUGAGUAAUAGGGAGAUCAAAUUGAUCUUACAAAAGUCCGUCAAUAGAUCUCAAAAGAAUUGGUCUAGCAAACUUGAUGAUGCACUAUGGGCUUAUAGGACUGCCUAUAAGAAUCCCAUGGGCAUGUCACCGUAUAAAAUGGUUUACGGUAAGGCCUGUCAUUUACCUCUUGAGCUUGAACACAAAGCUUAUUGGGCAAUCAAAGAGCUCAACUUCGAUUUCAAACUUUCCGGUGAGAAGCGGUUGUUUAAUAUCAGCUCAUUAGAUGAAUGGAGGGCCCAGGCAUAUGAGAAUGCCAAGUUGUUCAAGGAAAAGGUUAAGAGGUGGCACGAUAAAAGAAUACAAAAAUGAUAGUUCAAUGUAGGUGAUUAUGUCCUGCUAUACAAUUCUCGUUUAAGAUUCUUCGCAGGCAAGCUUCUCUCUAAAUGGGAAGGUCCCUACAUUGUCGAGGAAGUAUAUCGUUCCGGUGCCAUCAAAAUCAAUAACACGGAAGGCAAUUUUCCUAGAGUGGUAAACGGGCAAAGAAUCAAGCAUUACAUCUCUGGUACUCCCAUAAAUGUUGAGACCAAUAUCAUCAAUAUCAUAAUUCCAGAGGAGUACAUAAGGGAUGUUUAUCACCCUGUUUCAGACCCUGAAAACCAAGAGGUAUCUGUUUCGGUAAGUAAAUGGACUCCGAAACUUUUCCAAUAGGAAAUUUUAUCCGUUUUGGAAUUUAUGGAAAAUUAGAAAAAUAAAAAGCAAUCCGGAGAGCGCACGAGGCGUCCACAAGCUUGGUUGCCGCGGCCUCCCCCUGGCUGCGGCAACAUGGCUUGUGGGCAGCUCGUGUGCCUCCCGGACUCCGUUUUCUUGCGGAGCACUCCUUCUGGUCCAGAAAAAAAUCAUUAUAUAUACGCCCGAGGGUUUUGAUCUCCGUAUCGUGUAGUUUUCCUUUGUUUUCGUUUCGAGCCUGUUUCUGCUGCAGAUCACUACAAGAAAUCUGUCAACUAACGACCUUCAAUAUUGGUCACUGAAUGGUCAUUGAUUUCCAUUUAUGACCUUUUUAUGACCAAAAAGAGAAGGUCUAAAGCUAAGGGUCUUUUAAUGAACUAUAACGACCUUUUUUGUGGAUUGGUCGUAAGAUUUUAUGACCAAAUAGAAGGUCGUAGAUUAAACGACCAAAUGGUUUGGUCACUAGCAAUCUGCCCGCACCACGUCAGAUCCACCAUGGCAGCCUGACGUGGCAGAAUUAUGACCAAAUGAAAAGGUCGUAAAUAAGAUUCAGCCCGGUCCAUUCCGAUCGUCUACAUGGGCCGGGCCCAAUAAUUUGGCCUUUUAUUUUCUGGGAUAGAAUCUUUUACUAAGCAGGUUUUUUAUUAGUCCACUUUUCUUUUGGGCCUUGGCCUACUCUUUUUCUAGGCCCAAGCCUUCUUAGUCUAUUUCUUGUUUGGGCCUCGGCCUUUUUGCUGUCAAAACUAACUUUAGUGCCCAAAGAAAAUGGUCCAAACAAAACUUAAAUAAUUGACAACUUCACCCGUGCACAACUUCACAAAAUAGAGAAAGACAUUGUUUGAUCACCAGAAUGACCAAUCAAGUGGGCUAACUUCAUCAGGUUCUUGAGAAGUUAGCCCACUUCACUGUUUCUAGGACAUGUUCUACAACAGGUUCAACUUCUACAAUGCUUUAGCGCCGAAGAGAGCCAUCAAGUGGGCUAACUUCUCUUCCUGUUCCUGAUACUUCUUGCGCAGCAGCUCAAGUUCCUUGUCGUGUGCAGCUUCAUAUUCUUCCGCCUUUAGCUUGAUUGCUGCCAUUUCUUCUUGCAUCACUUCAGCUUGAAGCUCCGACCUCUCCAGCUUCUCCUGAAGAUCACGAACAUGAGCAGCCACAACAGUAGUUCCUUUGCGAGAGUUCUUACUAGAUGACUUGAGCCCAACAUUCCUGAGGAAUGUGCUUUGGUUGACUUCGGUCUUGAGCACUUCUUCAACAAUCUCAGCAUCAGACUUUGGUUCUUCACCUUCUGGUAUCGGCGCGUCCUUCAUUUUUUCCAUCUCAAGCUAGCAUAUGGAGGAAAAUGAUAGACAUUAGUGGCAGAUCUAUUUCACAUUCUGCAAGAGAAACCAAACAAUAAUUCCACCAAACCAGACCAAGAAAUGGAUUAUUUGAAGUAAUCAAACCAGCACACAAAAUCUAUAUAUAGAUAUUUUACUCAAACUUAAACAGAAGUAGAUGAUAACUACUAAACUUAUAGCAUUAUUUGAAUCUGGCUACAACAAGUGUACACACUUAUGUGAUCUAGAGACAUGCAAUCGGAACAAUAUGGUGGUUCUAUAUAAUAUGGCUUCUUUGUUGAGAACUAACAUUCAGAUCAAUUUUCAUCAUAUCAUAAAAAUGCGACAAAUAGCUACAACAAAUUCUGAUAUCUUUGUUGAGAACUGUACAACAAAUUCCGAUAUCUUCGUUGAGAUACCAAACCUAUCUUAGGCUCUAGCAAACAUCAUCAAAUCAUGGAACAUAGUGUGUGUUCUUGCUGGCUGUGAAUCAAACAGGGCUGAGGUCUAUAGACAAAAGUUUGAAUUAGCUGGACAAAAGCAUGGAGUGACUUACUAUAGCAAUCUUGACUGGCUCCGAAAACCCGUGCUUCUUGCUGUUGUGGGUGGCCUUGAACAAGUCAAUCGCGGACAGCUCCUCACCCUUACGCUCUUCUUUCUGAAAUGUUUUUCAACAAAAAUCAAAAUGUUAUUCAGCAAGAAUAAGAAAUGAUAUUCAACGAGGAUCAAACGGUAAGGUCUUUAGAAAAAUGUACUCACAGUGGCAAAAAUGUGUGCGGUGUAGUGCGUGGAACCAGUUCUGUGUUGGUACACGACCUUUUCUCGAUUAAUCUUGUUCGACACACAGGUUUCCUACAAAAACGCAUAAUGUUAUUUGCCAAGUUGAAAGAAAGUGGAAUAGGAAGUAGUAUAGUAGGACAAUACGAGUCUGAGCAUAUUUGACUUGGAAAUAUUUCAGUUAUCCUGCACUAGCACAAGUACAUGAACAACCAGUACUAUAUAAGAGUCAGUGUAUUACAUAUGGUGUUGAUUUUGAAAGUUGAUGCUCUCUAUUGUUCCUACUCUGAUCAGAAACAUGGAAGAGGAAGAAGUGGACCAUGGCCCAUUCCCAUCCCGAUGUGUAGAACAUAAAUCAGCAAACAGAGCAUAUACAUACCUUGUAUCUUGGGGUAGACCACAUCUGCACUAGAGCUUUCCAUUCACCGUCCGUCAGAUCUGGCACCGGAGACUUGGUGCUCACUUUGUUUGCUGCUACGGUAUCAAAAUACUUCUUCUUGAUAUUAUGGCGUCGAUUCUUUGAACUUUUCUACAGAACAUCUUUGCACGCGUACUUGAUGGUCUCCGAGUCUGUGUUUAUCUCAAAAUUUGCCUACCAAGACAGCAAACAAGGAAGGAACAACAUUAGUGAUCAUUAACUACAUAACAAAAAAUAGAGUAGCACAUUAACUAUAAAACAAGUAGCUUACAACAACUUUCCCAAUGUAGUCCUCCACUAGAGUAGCAUUAUUUUUGUAUUCCUUAAAGUGAGGAAAAACCGGCAAAUGAAUUCUUGCAAUGAGUCCACACUCAGAAGCAAACUUUGUUGCCUGUAGAGGCUUCUCUGGAUGCUUCAUCCCUUGGGCAAUUUGGAUAGGCACCUUUGUGCCAAGCGCCUUGGUGAUUCUCUCUAGCCCUUUGCCCUUUCUAAGUCUAUGCUUGUUAGUCAUUGCAUCUGAAAAUGAAAUUGAACUCGUAAAUUAGAAGAGAAAUCGACAAAUGCAGGAAUGGUUCUGCUAAACACGUAAGCAUACAUGAUCACUUCCAUUUGCAAAAUGCACUAGUAAAAGAGAAGGUGAACUUGCCUGGUUGAAGCACAAGCUGCUGUUCUUCUUCACUGACGACAUCAUUCCUGUCAAUAGAAGGUGCACCACUCCUGAGGGGUACGCACACAGUGCCUCUCUCAUCCAUGCAGAGAGUGGUUUCUUCGUCCAUCGGCGAAAACUCAUCACACAUUUCCACCGAGCUCUCAAAGUCCAUGCCCAGCGGACUUUCCUGAUGGUCCAUCGCAGCCGCCAUAGUUGCUUUCUGCCUUGUGACUCUAUCAGGUUCGUCAGGUUCCAGGAUCCUCUUUGUUUGUCCUGGAGGUGGGGCCAUCACCCUUCGUGGAGGCAUUGCAGCAGAUGCUUCUGAGCUCUUCCUAUUCUUGCUCGUUGUCUUCUUAACACCAUGCCUCUUCGUUCUAGAUUCCUUCAGUGCCUUGUAUAAAUAGCACAGAAAAAAUUAGAUCACAAGAUAAAUAUGUGAGCACAAGGAAACACAGAGCAUACAAGAACCCGAACCCUCCAAGCAAGACAGAGUUUGCACCUUAACAGUCUUGUGCACUACAACUUCAUCCUCCUUAGGAUUGUACUCUGGGUCAUCACUGAUAACUCCACUACCUUCUUGAACCCCAUUAUUUGUACCUUGUUGUACAUCAUUUGUUUUCCUAAUCAUUGACGCUAUUGCAUCAAUGCCAAGGGACUGGAAUAUCCGAUUGUUCCUCAUCAUAUUUCUAGCCCUAACCUUCUCGUACUCGGUGAGAGGAGGCUCAUCUUUGUAAGGCAAAGGAAACAUAAUUAUUAGGUUAAUUGUUGGAAUGCAUGGAUAGACAGCCAAACAUAUCUUAUGAUAUUUUAUUAUCAUUUAAUCCUACUUAUUCAGCUAAGGAAGAGUAACAGCACACAGGCACAUCUAAGACAACUAAUUCAGAUUACAGCAAUACAUUUGCAUAAUAAAAUCUGAUAGUAUUUUACAUCACCAGCUUCCAAGAUAUUUAUAAAUCUGACAGUAUAACCACAAGGAGCAACUUGCAUACCACUGGUUGGCCUCGGGUUUGACCUUGUCAUCCUUGACAUGGAUGAUCUUGAGGUGGUGCUUGCAAAAUAGAAUAAACAACAAUGAGAUACAACAUGGAUAAAGUAAAAUGAUGCACUUAUAUCAAUAAAGGAAAGCAUUUAGACCAACAUGCAUCAGUAUUAAUACAUGUAAAACACUUGGACCAGCAUGCACAUACACGUGUAGCAAUGCACAUACAGUUAAUGCAUCAGUACUAAACUGACAGUUGAAGCAAGCAACUAAAUUGAAGCACUUGGACUAGCAUGCACAUACAAGUGUAGCAAUGCAUGGAAACUCUAAUUAACCAUGUAUGCUAGCAAGCAAGCAAGCCAUAGUAGUCAAGCAACAUGAACCCUAACCCUAUGAACCACGUGAGCGGACAUAUUUACCCCAUGAACCCUAACCCUAACCCCAUGAAUGUACUGAACCAUCCCCAUUGAUCCAGCCCCAUGAACCCUAGAAGAACACAUGAGGGGGAUUUAUCAAACCCUAGAAGGUCUACUAGAAGAACACAUGAGGGGAUCUAUCAAUGGGAGAUGGGUCGAGGGGAGAGGUACUGUCGUCGUCGAUGUAGUCGUAGCCGUCGACAUCGAUGUAGAUGUAGCCGUCGUCGUUGAUGUAGAUGUAGCCGUCGACGAUGUAGAUGUAGCCAUCGACGUUGUCGAUGUAGUCGUCGUCGGGGAGAGGGGAGAGGGGCGGAGGGGCGGCAGGGCGGCGCGGAGCAGGGAAGGGGCGGCGGAGUGGGGAGUGCGGAGUGGGUAGUGGGGAGUGGAAUGGAGAUGGGAGUGGUGGGUCCCGCUUGGUAGUGGGAGAGGCAGUGGAGGGAAAUUUUGGUUGGGUGAGAGGGAAAAUUUGGUGCGGUGGGAGGGAAAAUUUUCACUAGUUUUUUGGGGUUUGGAGGCAGACUUUUUCUUUUUCCNNNNNNNNNNNNNNNNNNNNNNNNNNNNNNNNNNUAAUGGUUAAAAUCAUACCGAAUAGUUCAAGAAGACAUCGGUACCAAAAUUUAUAUAUCUUUUCUAGUUGGCAGGUCACAUGUGAUGAUGCGACACGAAGGUUUCCCAUUUUUUUGAUUUUUUUGAAUUUUUCAUGGCCAUUUCAAAAUGCGGUCGAAACGGCGGGCAUGACCGUUCCUACCUAGUGAUUGAAUCUUGGAAACUUUUUGGUGUUUAUAUGUUUAAGUAGAUACUUGUGUACCUAGAAAUGAUUUUUGGAAAAAAUAAAGAGCAAACUAUAAGGCAGCCGCAAUUCAAAUUUGACCCGCUUCGAGCUGAUUCGACAUAUAUUUGUCUUUUUCACGAGAGAUGGAUAAAAGCUUUUGACACCCAACCAUUUUGUCAAUUGUAAAUUAAAUAAGGCCUAGUAUGUUAGAAAAAUGAUUUGGACCAAUUUUGAAACAAAUAUAUGGUAGGUCCUUCACAAAAAAAAACUAAUUUCGGGCACUUGAAAAAUGAAAAAUGAAUUUUUCAUACAAGGAAGAUGAAAACUUCCUUAAUCAACAUUGUUUGUCAUUCCAACAUGCACCAUUAUUCAAAAUAUGAGACCAUUUCAACAAACUAUGCCAUGAAUAUGGCCAUGAAUUGAUCAUGUGGAUUGAAAGCCAUGAAUCUUCACACAUGAUAGCUCAUUUGUGUGAACACUUUUUAAAAAUAAUUGUCGUAUUACAAGUUUAUUAUUUUACAUGGUAACUUUAUCACAUAUCAUGACAUAAUGCAAAGGUUUCCCAUUUUUUUUUGAUAUUUUUGAAUAUUUCUUGGCCGUUUCAAAAUGCGGUCGAAACGGCGGGCAUGACCGUUCCUACCUAGUGGUUGAAUCUUAGAAACCUUUUGGUGUUUCUAUGAUUAAGUAGAUACUUGUGUACCUAGAAAUGAUUUUUGGAAAAAAUAAAGAGCAAACUAUAAGGCAGUCACAGUUCAAAUUUGACCCGCUUCCAGCUGAUUCGACAUAGAUUUGUCUUUUUCGCGAGAGAUGGAUAAAAGCUUUUGGCAGCCAACCAUUUGGUCAAUUGUACAUUAAAUAAGGCCUAGUAUGUUAGAACAAUGAUUUGGACCAAUUUUGAAACAAAUAUAUGGUAGGUCCUUCACAAAAAAACUCAUUUCGGGCACUUGAAAAAUGGAAAAUGAAUUUUUCAUACAAGGAAGAUGAAAACUUCCUUAAUCAACAUUGUUUGUCAUUCCAAAAUGCACCAUUAUGCAAAAUAUGAGACCAUUUCAACAAACUAUGCCAUGAAUAUGGCCAUGAAUUGAUCAUGUGGCUUGGAAGCCAUGAAUCUUCACACAUGAUAGCUCAUUUGUGUGAACACUUUUUAAAAUAAAUUAUCGUAUUACAAGUUUAUUAUUUUACAUGGUAACUUUAUCACAUAUGAUGACAUAAUGCAAAGGUUUCCCAGUUUUUUGAUUUUUUUUGAAUAUUUCAUGGCCGUUUCAAAAUGCGGUCGAAACGGUGGGCAUGAUCGUUCCUACCUAGUGGUUGAAUCUUGGAAACCUUUUGGUGUUUCUAUGAUUAAGUAGAUACUUGUGUACCUAGAAAUGAUUUUCGGAAAAAAUAAAGAGCAAACUAUAAGGCAGCCGCAGUUCAAAUUUGACCCGCUUCCAACUGAUUCGACAUAGAUUUGUCUUUUUAGCGAGAGAUGGGAAAAAGCUUUUGGCACCCAACCAUUUUGUCAAUUGUACAUUAAAUAUGGCCUAGUAUGUUAGAAAAAUGAUCUGGACCAAUUCUGAAACAAAUAUAUGGUAGGUGCUUCACAAAAAAACUCAUUUCGGGCACUUGAAAAAUGAAUUUUUCAUACAAGGAAGAUGAAAACUUCCUUAAUCAACAUUGUUUGUCAUUCCAACAUGCACCAUUAUGCAAAAUAUGAGACCAUUUCAACAAACUAUGCCAUGAAUAUGGCCAUGAAUUGAUCAUGUGGCUUGAAAGCCAUGAAUCUUUACACAUGAUAGCUCAUUUGUGUGAACACUUUUUAAAAAUAAUUGUCGUAUUACAAGUUUAUUAUUUUACAUGGUAACUUUGUCACAUAUGAUGACAUAAUGCAAAGGUUUCCCAUUUUUUUGAAUUGUUUUGAAUUUUUCAUGGCCGUUUCAAAAUGCGGUAGAAACGGCGGGCAUGACCGUUCCUACCUAGUGGUUGAAUCUUGGAAACUUUUGGUGUUUCUAUGAUUAAGUAGAUACUUGUGUACCUAGAAAUGGUUUUUGGAAAAAAUAAAGAGCAAACUAUAAUGUAGCCGCAGUUCAAAUUUGACCCGCUUCCAUCUGAUUCGACAUAGAUUUGUCUUUUUCAUGAGAGAUGGAUAAAAGCUUUUGACACCCAACCAUUUUGUCAAUUGUACAUUAAAUAUGGCCUAGUAUGUUAGAAAAAUGAUUUGGACCAAUUUUACAAGGUAACUUUAUCACAUACGAUGACAUAAUGCAAAGGUUUCCCAGUUCUGAAAACAACACGAACAUGCAACAUCUCAAUUCAGUUCUGUGAUGUAGAUAGCAACAACUCUCUCAUGUAGUUCUGAAAACAACAUCUCAAUUCAAUUCAAAAAAACUUCAGGAACAUCACAACCAACAGUUUGCAAUAUUUUGCAUUACAACACAACAGUUUGAAUCAGGAUCACAUCACAACCAAUAGUUCUCACCAAAACUAAGAAAAUGGCACCAAAACUACAUCAUUUUGCCUCUCCAGCCAUUUAUGAAUACAACAUUUUGCCUCUCCAGCCAUCAUGAUCUUCACCACCUGCCUCUCCAUCACUACAACCAUCAGUCUCAUGCAUUUUGCUACCUGGAGAGAAUUGUAGUACAAAAACUACAUCAGGAUCACAACAACAAAAACUAUAGAGAAGGUUGAUACCAAAACGUUCACUUCUGUUUUCCAAGGAGACAACAUUUACCUUCAUGUAUAUUCUCUACUCAUCGUCGUCGAUACCAAAACCAGGAACUCUAUGCCCAGUUAUGUUUUCCUCAUCGUCACUACAAUAAUGCAGCAUAGUAUGAUCAGUCCUGUUUUCCUCAUCCUCGCUCUCAUGUCCAUCCGCUACCACCUUUCUUCUUUUCUUGAUGCCUUCAACUGUUGCAGCAUCAAUGAGCACACGUUCCCGGUCCCUACGCACUCUGCUUUGCACCGGAACUUCCGUAGAGUCAUCACCAGCUUGCACCGGAACUUCCAUAGAGUCAUCACCAGCUGCACCGGAACUUCCGUACAGUCAUCAUCCUGACAUGUUAGGCCACUAGCACCGGGGCCCUUUUACACUUCAGUUUCAGUUUCAGUCACACGCCACAAGUGUCUGUGCUCAAAGUUUUGCACAACUCGCCAUUUUCCAUGCAAAAGAGUGUCUGGCAGGUAAAACACCAUUGUUGCUUGUGCUGUUAGAAUAAAGGGAUCACUCUUAUACCAGCACCUUGAAGUGUUGAUGCUUUUGAAGUGGCCAUCAUACUUGACACAAGAGCGUCUCUUCUUCUUGUUACCAAGAUCAAACUAGUCACAGCGAAAUAAGACAACCAAGCGAUGGAUGCCUCCACUAGAGUUGUACUGCAACUCUAUGAUGCUUCUCAGCUGACCAUAGAAGCCAAUGUUCUCACGAGUAUGUGACCCCUCAGUUACGAUUCCACUAUUUUGUGUCUUCCUUUUUUCCUCGCGAUCAACGGUGUGGUACCGGACACCACCAGCAACGCAUGCUGAAUACACUUGCACUCGCUUAUCCGGUAAGCAUGCCAAAGCAAAUAGAUCAUCACUGGCUUUCUUCUCCUCAUGCAAAUUUCCAACAUGAUUCUUAAACCAUUUAGCAAAUCCCUUGGCAACCCUUGUAUCAACAUUGAUCUGGCUUUCUUCCUGAUUUAACUCUUCCUUGCAUUUCCUGCAAUGCCAACAAAACAUGUGAAUUAAAAUAUUAGGCUGGUGCCAACAACCCAAACAAAAGUAAAUAAAUAACGAGUGCACAAGAUAUAACGUAUUCGAUAUAUGGUAUAACCUCGUCGCAAUUGCUGAGCACAUACCAAACCAUCUUAUCAUACUCAUCACCAGCCUCCAAGUAUCGCGAGGCUCCAAGAAAGUUCACACCAUGGUUGAACACCGAGACAUCACCAAUAUGCGAAUCAGACCGCUCUCUAUUUCUGCCCGGCCGGUUCCAUCUUGUUUCCACAUCACCAAAGUAUCUAGAGCAAAAAUUCAAGCACUCGUCAACGACAUAUGCUUCAGCAAUCGAACCUUCAGGUCUUGCCGUGUUUCGCACAUAACGCUUACAAGUAAGCAGCCUUCUUUCGAUUGGGUACAUCCAACCGUAUUGCACAGGGCCUCUAAGCAUUGCCUCUUUUGGUAAGUGCACCGCCAAAUGGAUCAUCACGGUGAAGAAAGCUGGAGGGAAAAUCUUCUCAAGCUUGCAAAGAAUAAUUGGGAUUUCUUUUUCAAGUCUUUCCAGAACAGUUAACUUGAGUGUUUUGCAGCACAGUUCUCUAAAGAAAUUUCCCAGCUCAGCAACCGCUUCAUAUAUAUCAUUGUCCAUGAUUCCACGGAGGCCAGCCGGUAAAAUCCUUUGGAGGAGGAUGUGACAAUCAUGGGUUUUCAGUACAGAAAGCUUGAAUCCAUCAGAAGUAACACACUUUUCUAGGUUAGAAGCAUAACCAUGUGGAAAUCUCACCGCUCUUAUGAAUUCACAGAAUGCUAGCUUUUGUUCUUUAUUCAUUGUAUACCAUGCUUGUGGCAUUUCAAAUGUAUGUUCAGCUUCAUCAUGUUGUAGAUGCAAAUCUUCUCUUAUGCCCAUGUACUCCAAAUCAAGCCUAGAACUAACCGUGCCCUUUGUCUUCCCUUCAAUGUUCAGAAACGUCCCUAGUAGAUUCUCACAUAUGUUUUUCUCAAUGUGCAUUACAUCGAGAUUAUGCCUUAAUUUCAGACCAGCCCAGUAUGGAAGGUCCCACAAACGAGACCUCUCGUCCCAACAUUGACCUUCCGCGCGCUUUCUUUUCUUUGCAAGCUUUCUUGGUCUUACAUCCUUCACCUUCUCAAGUUGCUGCUCUAGCUCUUGCUUAGUGAAUUUAGCUGGCUUGGCACGGGUUUCAUUCUCACCAUUAAAAUAUUUGCUUCUUCACCAGCGAUGGUUUCGGGGAAGAAAGCGGCGAUGCCCAAUAUAGCAGAUCUUGCUCCUUAUUCUCUUUGAGCAAGGGUCUUUGUCACAAUGCACACAUGCCUGAUAACCUGAUGUGAUCCUCCCAGACAGAGUGUGCAGUGCCGGGAAAUCAUUGAUGGACCAUAUAACUGCAGCACGUAGAUUGAACUUUUCUUUCGGACUAGAGGCAUCGUAUGUACGUACACCAGUCCAGAGCUGGAGCAGUUCUUCUACGAGGGGCUCCAUAAAGACAUCAAAAUCCUUUCCUGGAGACUCUGGACCAGGGAUAAGCAGUGACAUCAUGAAGUUGGACUCAUCCAUGCAUGCCCAUGAUGGCAGGUUGUACAGCACCACAAAAACGGGCCACAUGCUAUAAGACGUGUUCAUGUUCCCAAACGGAUUAAGGACAUCUGUGGCAAUGCCGAGUUUUAUAUUCCUUGGAUCCGCAGAAAAAUCUCCAUGUUCACUGUCAAAUUCUUUCCAUGCCUCUCCGUCCGCUGGAUGGCUCAGCUCAUUGUCCACAGGUUGCCGCUGAAGCUUGUGCCAUUGUACCUCCAACGAUGAUUUCUUCGAGAUAAAGAUCCGCUUCAGCCUUGGUAUCAACGGAAAGUGCCUCAGUACCUUCCCUGGUAUUGACUUCUUGCCAUCAACAUCUUUCCACCUUGAGACAUUGCAUUUUGGAUAGUUGUCAUGCUUCGCAAAAUCCUUCCGAAACAAGACACAGUUAUUUGGGCACACACGUAUUGAAACAUAACCUAGCCCCAGCCUGCGGAUUAUGCUCAAUGCUUCAUCAUAAGACCUGGGAACACAUCUAUCAGGGAAUUGCAAGGUCAAAAGGUGGAGUAUUACGUUGAAUGCAGCAUUUCUAAUCCGGUAGAAAGACUUGAUGUGGAGUAACUUCACGGUGAAGGUAAAUCUUGAAAAUUUACCCCCUUCAUUAGUUGUGCACUUAGCUUCCUCCAACACCUCAGCAAACAUCGACUUCUGCCCAUCAGCACGAUCUUCAGCAUCGUACAGAUCCUUCAAUAGGCCAUGAAUCCUAUCAUCUUCAUGCCCAUCCUCUUCAUCCAAACCAGCAUUCUCUCGCAAAAUAUUUUCCGUAAAAUUAAUGCCAGCAUCACCACCACCCAUCAUAUGAGGGGCCUGUGUAUCAGGCUCAGUAUGUUGAGGUUGUCCGGCUAAAGGUUCUCCAUGAUAUAUCCAUCUAUCAUAUGUGCUGGCCAUCCCAUUAAGAAGAAGAUGAUCUUCCACUACUCCUUGAGCUUUUAUCGACCGGUUGAGGCAAUUACAACAUGGGCAAACAAUGACAACAUCCUUGGAAAAAUUUGCCCGAACAAAUUGCAUGAAUUCAUCUACUCUUUUCAUAUGUUCUUUCGAAAACCUUCUAACUCCUUUUCUAAUCCAGCUUCUGUCCGGAGGCAGCAGCGAAUCCCCCAUGCUCGGCGGUGAGUCCCUCAUGCUCGGCGGCGGCACCACCACCACUACCAGUGGGAGAGGUGGCUGAGGCGAGCGAAACCACCAUCGCUACCUCCACUGGCCGGGCGAGGUCGUCGUGGCCGAGGCGUGGCCGAGGUGGCCGUGGCGUCGGCACCACCACCACUGCCGAUGGGUGAGGUGGCCGUGGCGUUAACANNNNNNNNNNNNNNNNNNNNNNNNNNNNNNNNNNNNNNNNNNNNNUUGGCCAAGUGUUGUCCGUCCCCGUCGGUCCCACUUGUCAAUGAUACGAGAGACCCGCGAUUUAAUAUAAUAUACCCCCAAAUACCGAUACCUGAGCAACAGUCCCUCUCUAGCCCAGCGGUAGCAAACACUUAUAAACUUAUAAGAGCUCGGUCGUGGGUUCGAGUCCCCGCUCGCGCAUGUUUUUUCGGGAAUUAAGCGAGGCUCGCGCAUGUCCCCGCUCGGUCGCCGGCCCCUCACCUGCCUGUCAAACGGGUCCUACCUCAGUGACAAGUAAGCGAGGCUGCUGAGGUGGCUGCGUAACCAGCCUAUUGCAUUUGAACUAUUCAGUAACGACCAUUCAUAUUGGUCAUUAUCACCUAGAAAUAAGGCAGUGCCAGGUGCUAUCCGCUUUAUGACCUUUUCCAGUAAGCAAGUGAUGACCUUUCUGAUGAAAAUGGUCGUUGGUUUUUGGGGCUAGGACCCCUCCAGACAGCUUACGACCAAAUGAUGUCAAAUGGUCAUAGAUUUAUGACCAUUCCUUCCAGGGUCACUCACAAAAGGUCUUUAGUUGACAUAUUUCUUGUAGUGGAUCUAGAUCGUCAUGACUUCCCCAAAAGUUCCUAAGGACAAGAUCUUAGAGAAGGUCAUCAAUCCUUACCUCACGGAAGUGUUGCAGCACCCCAAUCUAUCAAGAUGAGCGAGGGGAUGUUGCAUAUCCGUGAUGUUGAGGGGCCUAAGAAGAUCGGAAGCAUGGAGACGAGGCUCGAAGCAAUGGAGCAACAAGUCUUCAAGUGCCAAGGGAUGGUGAAGCGUGGACUCAACGCCAACCACAUGAUGAUCACGGAGUUCACCAGCAAUCACAAGAUGGAUGCCAUUGACAUUGGGAAGCACCUCUCCAGGCUCUAUGACAGGGUUGAUCAAUUCAGGGCCAGAUCUAUGACCUGCAGAACCAAAACUAUGAGUAUGAGUAUAGAUUUAAAUCAAUACGGUUGGCUGCAGAUUUGAGGAUUCCGGUGACUCGUUCAUCCUGCCAUGAUGGAGCACCUAUGCCUUGGAAGACGGAGGAUCAGACUACUUCAACAACACCACCACCAUCACCACCAAAGGAAGACAACUAAGCAUUGGUAUGGGCAAUCCCCUUGGCUUUUGCCAAGCUUGGGGGAGUUGCCCUGGUACCGUAUCACCUUUAUAUCUUUUGAUUUUACCUUUGUUUUAGUUCUUUCCUUUUUAGUUUUAUUUCUUCUCUUAGUGGAAUAAGUCUUUAGUGUUUAGUUUGAGUCUUUUGCCUUGUGUUUCCCCCGAUGUAUUCGAGCUUGCGAGCUAUAUAAUAAAGAGUAUCUUAGUCAAGGGCUUUGUUUUGUGCCGUGAUCAAAAGUAUGAAAAGAACGAUAGCUUGAGAGAUCAUGAGAUAAUCUUAUGGAAAGAGAUAGUUUCACAUAUAACAAGUAAGAUGAUGGGAACUUGUUGAGAGUAGACCAACAUAGACCUCAGUCAUUGUUGCAAUUAAUUAGAAGUAAUAAGGAAAGAGAGGUUCACAUAUAAAUAUAUCAUCUUAGACACUUUCUAUAAUUGUGAGCACUCACCAAACUAUUACAUGCCUAGAAGUAGAUGUUGGACAAGGAAGACAACAUAAUGAAUUGUGUUUGCUUGGUUCCAAACAAUGUUAUAUGAUUAGAGAUCCCUUAGCAUGUGACGAUUGCUUCCACCUCAUAUUAGCCAAAACUCCCGCACCAAGUAGAGAUACUACAUGUGCAUCCAUAAACCUUCAACCCAGUUUUUCCAUGAGUGUCCACCAUACCUACCUAUGGAUUGAAUAAGAUCCCUCAAGUAAGUUGUCAUCGGUGCAAGCAAUAAAAAUUUCUCUCUAAUAUGUAUGAUCUAUUAGUGUGUGGAAAAUAAGCUUUGACGAACCUGUGAUGAGGAAGACAUAAAAGCGACAGACUACAUAAUAAAGUUCUUUAUCACAGGAGGCAAUAUAAAGUGACGUUCCUCCGCACUAAGAGGACACGCAUCCCAACCUCAAAAGCACAUGACAACCUCUUUUUCCCUCUGCGAAGGGCCUAUCUUGUACCUUCACUUUUUUCCCUUGUAAGAGUCAUGAUGAUCUUCACCAAUUCCUUAUUUCGCCUUUAUCUUGGCUAACGUCAUAUGCUCGGUAAAUAUCUAUAUUCAUAUAUCAACUUGGAGCUGAGUACUUAUGCUUUAUUAUUGUUGACUUUACCCUUGAGGUAAAUGGUUGGGAGGCAAAAUUAUAAGCCCCUAUCUUUCUCUAUGUCCAACUGAAACUUCGAUACCAUGAGUACCACGUGAGUAGUAACAAUUGUGGAAAACAAAAGAGAUGAUUGGGUAUGUUGAUUUGACUUACAAGCUCUUAUUGGACUCUUUCUGAUAAUAUGAUAAAUUGCAAUUGCUUCAAUGACUAUGGACUAUUGUUGGCUACUUCUCGGUAAGUUUUUUGUUUCAUACUUUGCUUUAUGAAGGAAUUGUUACUUUCCCGUAAGAAUCUCUAUGAUGUAUUGCUGUUCUAUGUGUGAUCAUGAUGCCCUCAUGUCCCUAUUAUGUUUUAUCGACACCUUCAUCCCUAAAAAUGUGGACAUGUUUUGGGUCUUGCUUUUCGCUUGAGGACAAGUGAGGUCUAAGCUUGGGGGAGUUGAUGCGUCCAUUUUGCAUCAUGCUUUCGUGUUGAUAUUUAUCGCUUUAUGGACUGUUAUAAUACUUUCUGGAACCUUACUUAUGCCUUUUCUCUCUUAUUUUGCAAGGUUUAUUUGAAGAGGGAGAAUACCAGCAGCUGGAAUUCUGGACUAGAAAAGGAGCAAGUCUGAGUGCGCUAUUCUGCGCAACUCCAAAUGCCCUGAAAAUCAACGUGGAUUUUUUGGAUUUUACAAAAAAUACUGGGCGAAAGAAGUGUCACACGGGAGCAACCAGGGGCCCACAAGCCUGGUUGUCGUGGCCUACCCCCCUGGCCGCGGCAACAGGGCUUGUGGGCACCCUGGCGGCCCACUGGCCCCCCUCUUUUGCUAUAUGAAGGGUUUCGUUCGGAAAAAAAUCAGGGUGGAGCUUUUUCGUGGAUUCUCCGCCGCCACGAGGCGGAACUUGAGCAGAUCCAACCUAGAGCUCUGGCGGGAUGAUCCUGGCGGGGAAACUCCCCUCCCGGAGGGGGAAAUCAUCGCCAUCGUCAUCACCAACACUCCUCUCGUCGGAGGGGAGGCAUCUCCAUCAACAUCUUCAUCAGCACCAUCUCUUCUCCAAUCCCUAGUUCAUCUCUUGUAACUAAUAUCCGUCUCGCGACUCCGAUUGGUACUUGUAAGGUUGCUAGUAGUGUUGAUUACUCUUUGUAGUUGAUGCUAGUUGGAUUACUUGGUGGAAGAGUUUAUGUUCAGAUCCUUGAUGCUAUUCAUUACACCUCUGAUCAUGAUUAUGAUUAUGCUUUGUGAGUAGUUACUUUUGUUCCUUAGGACAUGGGAUAAUUCAUGCUAAUAAUAGUCCUGUGAAUUUGGUAUUCGUUCGGUAUUUUGAUAUGUUGUAUGUUGUUUUCCCUCUUGUGGUGUUAUGUGAACGUCGACUGCAUAACACUUCUCCAUAUUUGGGCCUAGAGGAAGGCAUUGGGGAAUAGUAAGUAGAUGAUGGGUUGCUGGAGUGACAGAAGCUUAAACCUAGUCUAUGCGUUGCUUCGUAAGGGGUUGAUUUGGAUCCACUAGUUUAAUGCUAUGGUUAGACAUUGUCUUAAUUCUUCUUUCGUAGUUGCAGAUGCUUGCGAGAGGGGUUAAUCAUAAGUGGGAUGCUUGUCCAAGUAAGGGCAGUACCCAAGCACCGGUCCACCCACAUGUCAAACUAUCAAUGUAACGAACGCGAAUCAUAUGAACAUGAUGAAACUAGCAUGACAGAAAUUCCCGUGUGUCCUCGGGAGCGCUUUUCCUCUUAUAAGACUUUGUUCAGGCUUUUCCCUUGCUACAAAAGGGAUUGGGCCACUUUCUGCACCAUUGCUACUACUUGUUACUUGUUACUUUUCGCUUGCUACGUUUCACCUCACUAUACCAUCACUUGUUACAGCUACUUUCAGUGCUUGCAGUUAUUACCUUGCUGAAAACCGUUUAUCAGAGCCUUCUCCUCCUCAUUGUGUUCGACACUCUUACUUAUCGAAAGGACUACGAUUGAUCCCCUAUACUUGUGGUUCAUCAAUGGGCGGUUGAACUCCUUCCACCGGAGAUCAAGUUUGAAGCCAAAAAGGUGAUCAAGUCCUACGCCUUAGUCGACUUCCUAGCCGAAUGGGUAGAACAAGAGUAGCCAGCCCCUGGCGUUCCCAAACAUUGGAAAAUGUUCUUUGAUGGGUCCAAGAUGCACCAUGGUUCAAGGGCUGGAGUGGUUUUCGUUUCCCCCAUGCGAGACCGACUAAACUAUGUGCUCCAAAUCCACUUCGACUCAUCUAAUAAUGAGGCGGAAUACGAAGCCCUCCUAUAUGGACUCCGUAUGGCCAUCUCACUCAGCGUGUGACAUUUGAUGGCCUAUGGCGACUCAGAACUCAUUGUCAAUGAGGUGAUGAAGGAAUGGGACGUUCAAAACCCAGCCAUGACAGUCUACUGCAAUGCAGUUAGAAAGCUAGAGAGUAACUUCGAAGGGUUGGAAUUGCACCACGUGCCCCGAGCCAAGAAUCAAGCGGCUGAUGACUUGGCAAAAAUUGGCUCCACGCAGAAAGUCGUUCUAAUAGGCGUGUGCCUCGAACACCUCCACGCCCCCUCAGCCAAAGAAGACCCUUUUACGAAAGAGCCUCCACAAGUAAUAGGUCCAUCAAAUCUGAGUGAAAUCGAUGUCCCGGCCAUGGUCGACCUCAUCCACGAGAUCCUGUUCAUCACACCCGAAUGGACUCAGCCUUAUUUGGCUUACUUGCUCUGGAAAGAACUUCCUAAAGAUGAAGAGGAAGCCCGCCAAAUCAUUUGGCGGUCUAAAGCUUUCGAAGUCCUCGUAGACAAACUAUACAAGAAAUGUGUUACAGGAGUCAGGCCAAAGUGCAUUUCCCGAGAGGAAGAAUUGCAGAUCUUGCACGAAAUUCACUCGGGAACCUGUGGACAUUAUGCGUCCUCUCGGACAUUGGUGGCCAAGGCCUUUCGAGCGAGUUUUUGUUGGGCCCGAGACAAUGAGGCAGCAAGAGACGUGGUCGAACUAUGCGUUGGAUGCCAGUUCUCUAAAAAUCAGUCGCACAAGCCUGCAUCCACAUUGAAAAUGAUUCUGCUCACUUGGCCAUUCGCCGUGUGGGAUCUCAACAUAGUUGGCGCUUUAUGGACCGAGACGAGUGGAUUCACCCAGCUGCCAGUUGUGGUGGAUAAGUUCACCAAGUGGGUUGAAGCGAUGCCCAUCAAAGCCCUGGAUUCAACGACUGCCAUCAGCUUCAUUCGGCAGAUAAUCUUCAGAUUCGGAGUUCGGCACGACAUCAUCACUAACAACGUAACCAGCUUCGACUAGGCGGAAUUCUAUGAGUUCUAUCACUCCUAGGGAACACGGGUCAAUUACGCCUCCGUGUCUCACCCGCAGUCAAAUGGACAGGCAGAAUGGGUGAAUGGUAUGAUACUGCAGGGAUAGAAGCCCCGACAGAUGAGAGGUCUCGAGUAUGCCACGGGAGCAUGGGUAGAAGAGUUACCAUCCGUCUUGUGGGUAUGUGAACGACUCCUAAUCGUUCAACCAAGCGUACUUCUUUCUUCAUGGUGUAUGGGUCUAAAGAUGUUCUGUUGAGUGACUUAUGUCACACCCCCAAGUGGAGGAUGACAAGAAAGCUGAAGCCGAAGCAGCACGACAAGACAGUUUGGAUCUCUUGGAAGAAGAGACAGAGAGCUAGCCCUCAUUUUUUCCACACUGUACCAGCAAGACCUGAGGCGCUACCAUGACAACCAAGUAAGGGACGGAGUGUUUCAAGAAGGGUACUUGGUCCUCCGGUUGGACCAACAAAAACCCCAUAAGCUGGCUCCUCCGUGGUAAGGCACAUACACCAUCUCCAAAGUCCCGCACAAUGGAGCUUAACGAUUAUACAACCUCGAGACUGGAGUGGAAGAGCCCAGAACCUGGAAUGCGGACCCGCUCUGCAAGUUCUAUAAUUAGAAUGUGUCAUUUCAUUCAUGUAAUGAAUUUGAAUGGUUAGAGGAAUAAAAUAAUUUCUUUCUUCAACCAUGGUCAGACCUCUCGCUUCGGUGAAACACACCCUGAGUGGGUGAAAAUCCUUAGCUGCAUUAUCAUUCUUGCCUAAGGUAAAACCUGCCCCGGGUGAGGAUAUCCUCCACACUCGGGGACUUUGCCAUGAGCCAGCCUUUGCCUAAGUUAAAAUGGUCCCGAAUGAGGGCACACUCUUCAUUCACGCACCAAGAUGGACAGGACCAUCACCAAGUUUGCAAGAACUAGCUUCUCAUCUUGGUAGCGAACCUGUUUUCGCCUGAGGAAGAAAAAACCCGGCCCCAAGUGAGGCCAGCCUCCACGCUCGGGGACUUAGCCGCGAACCAGCCUUCACCUAAGUUAAAACGGUUCUGAAUGGAAGAAAGUUCUUCAUUCAGUCACCAAGAUGAACAGAACAAUCAUUCCUUAGCAGCAAACCAGCUUUCGCCUAAGUUCAAAACAAUCCCGAGUGAGAAAAUCUCCACACUCGGGGGCUUACCUUGAACCAGCUUUCACCUAAGUUAAAAACAACCCCCGAGUGAGGACAACCUCCACACUCGGGGGCUUAGCCGCGAACCAGCUUUCGCCUAGGUUAAAAACAAACCCGAGUGAGGACACCCGCCAUCCUCGGGGACUUAGCCGUGAACCAGCCUUCGGCUAAGUUAAAACGGUUCCGAAUGGAGGCAAGUUCUUCGUUCGGUCACCAAGAUGAACAGAACAAUCAUUCCUUAGAAGCGAACCAGCUUUCACCUAAGUUAAAAGCAAUCCCGAGUAAGGAUAACCUCCACACUCGGGGGCUUAGCCGCGAACCAUCUUUCUCCAAAGUUAAAAACAAUCCCGAGUGAGGAGAACCUCCACACUCGGGGGCUUAGCGAUGAACCACCUUUCGCCUAAGUUAAAAAUAAUCCCGAGUGAGGACAACCUCCAUACUUGGGGGCUUAGCUGCGAACCAGCUUUUGCCUAAGUUAAAAACAAUCCCGAGUGAGGACAACCUCCAUACUUGGGGCUUAGCCGUGAACCAGCUUUCGCCUAAGUUAAAAACAAUACCGAGUGAGGACAACCUCCACACGCGGGGUCUUAGACGCGAACAAGCUUUUUCCUAAGUUAAAAACAAUCUCGAGUGAGGAAAACAUCCAUACUCAGGGGCUUAGCCACAAACAAUCUUUCGCCUAAGUUAAAAAAAAUAACGAGUGAGGACAAACUCCACACUCGGGGGCUUAGCCCCGAGCCAGAUUUUGCCUAAGUUAAAAACUGCCCCUAGUGUGGACAACCUCCACACUGGGGGCUUUGCCGGGAACCAGCUUUCGCCUAAGUUAAAAACAAUCCCGAGUGAGGACAACCUCCACACUCGGGGGCUUAGCCAUGAACCACCUUUUGCCUAAGUUAAAAAUAAUCCCGAGUGAGGACAACCUCCAUACUCGGGGGCUUAGCUGCGAACCAGCUCUUUCCUAAGUUAAAAAAAACCCGAGUGAGGACAACCUCCACACUCGGGGCUUAGCCGUGAACCAGCUUUCGACUAAGUUAAAAACAAUACUGAGUGAGGACAACCUCCACACGCGGGGUCUUAGCCGCAAACAAGCUUUUGCCUAAGUUAAAAACAAUCUCGAGUGAGGAAAACAUCCAUACUCACGGGCUUAGCCGCAAACCAGCUUUUUCCUAAGUUAAAAAAAAUACCGAGUGAGGACAACCUCCACACUCGGGGGCUUAGCCCCGAGCCAGCUUUCGCCUAAGUUAAAAACUGCCCCUAGUGUGGACAACCUCCACACUGGGGGCUUUGCCGGGAACCAGCUUUCUCCUAAGUUAAAAACAAUCCCGAGUGAGGACAACCUCCACACUCGAGGGUUUAGCCGCGAACCAUCUUUCGCAUAAGUUAAAAACAAUUCCGAGUAAGGACAACCUCCACACUCGGGGGCUUAGCUGCGAACCAGCUUUCGCGUAAGUUAAAAACAAUCUCGAUUGUUGGGGAUAUUAUCUCGUUAUAAGACCCGCCCUAUAAGGUCGGGUCAGAAUAAUGGCGGCUCUACCUCCAUGGACAAGACGGGUAAUACGUCUCCAAUGUAUCUAUAAUUUUUGAUGGUUCCAUGCUAUUAUCUUGUCAACUUUGGAUGUUUUAUAUGCAUGAAUAUGCUAUUUUAUAUCCUUUUGGGACUAACCUAUUAACUCAGUGCCAAGUGCCAGUUUCUGUUUUUUCCGUGUUUUUGGCCCAUUUUCAGACGGAGUCCAAAUGGAAUGAAACUUUACGAUGAUUUUUUGGACCAAAAGAGACCCCCGAAGCUUUGGGAGAAGGCCAGAUGGGCCACGAGGGAGUCACAAGCCCUCAUGUCGCCACCACCACCCCCCGGUGGUGGCGCGCAGGCUUGUGACCUCCUCGUGGGCCCAACUGACACAAUUCCACUCCCAUAAAUUCCUAUAAAUUCAGAAACCCCCAAAAAGAAACGUAGAUCGGGAGUUUCGCCUCCGCAAGCCUCUGUAGCCACCAAAAACCAAUCUGGAGCCUGUUCUGGCACCCUGCCGGAGGGGCAAUCCAUCUCCGGUGGCCAUCUUCGUCAUCCCGGCGAUCUCCAUGACGAGGAGGGAGUAGUUCUCCCUCGGGGCUAAGGGUAUGUACCAGUAGCUAUGUGUUUGAUCUCUCUCUCUCGUGUUCUUGAGAUGUCUUGAUCUCGAUGUACCAUGGGCUUUGCUACUAUAGUUGGAUCAUAUGAUGUUCUUCCCCCUCUCCUUCUUGUAAUGAAUUGAGUUUCCCCUUUGGAGUUAUCUUAUCGGAUUGAGUCUUUGAGAACACUUGAUGUAUGUCUUGCACGUGUCUAUCUGUUGUGAUCAACUUGCGGGUUUGUGACAAUUGGGAACCUAUGCAUAUGGGUUGGCACACGUGGAUUCAUGUGAGUACUUGAUGUAUGUUUUGGUGAUCAACUUGCGGGUUCGUGACAUUGGGAACCUAUGCACAGGGGUUGGCACACGUUUUGACUCUCUCGUAGAAACUUUGGGGCACUCUUUGAAGUUCUAUGUGUUGCUUGAAUAGAUGAUUCUGAGAUUAUGUGAUGCAUAUCGUAUAAUCAUGCCCGCGCAUACUUGAGGUGACAACGGAGUAUCUAGGUGACAUUAGGGUCUUGGUUGAUAUGUAUCUUAAGGUGUUAUUCUAGUACGAACUCUAUGACGGAUCGAUCAGAAAGAAUAACUUCGUGGUGGUUUUGUACCCGACAAUAAACUCUUUGUCUGUUCCCCGCUAUUAGUGACUUUGGCGUGACUCUUUGUUGCAUGUUGAGGGCUAGUUAUAUGAUCCAAUUAUGUUAUCAUUGUUGAGAGAACUUCACUAGUGAAAGUAUGAACCCUAGGCCUUGUUUCCACGCAUUGCAAUACCGUUCGUGCUCCCUUUUGUUAUUUGUUACCUUGCUGUUUUCGUAAUUUCAGAUUACAAAGACCUAUAUCUACCAUCCAUAUUGCACUUGUAUCACCAUCUCUUCGCCGAACUAGUGCACCAAUACAAUUUACCAUUGUAUUAGGUGUGUUGGGGACACAAGAGACUCUUUGUUAUUUGGUUGCAGGGUUGCUUGAGAGGGACCAUCUUCAUCCUACGCCUCCCGCGGAUUGAUAAACCUUAGGUCACCUACUUGAGGGAAAAUUGCUACUGUCCUACAACCCUCUGCACUUGGAGGCCCAACAACGUCUACAAGGAGAAGGUUGCGUAGUAGACAUCAAGCUCUUUUCUCACGCCGUUGCCGGGGAGGCUAGGUAAGCGACACUCACCUCCCGUCAACGAAGCUCUUUUCUGGCAUCGUUGCCGGGGAGGUUAGCACUUGAAGGUAUAUCUUUAGAUCUUGCAAACGAAUCUUUUUCUUUGUUGUUCUUUCGCUAGAAAACUACAAAAAAAUGGAAUUGAGGAUGCCUCAUAUGCUCCAUCUUUUCAAUGUCUUUCGUGAGCAUGAUGGGAAGGAAAAUUGUGCUCAAGUGAUGAAAGAAGAAUUACAUAAAAUGCUUGGCAUAGAAUAUGUGAAUGAUGAGCAUGAUUAUAAUGUUCUUAGCAUGAAUUAUUUGAAUACCCAUGAUGCUAAUGAUAUGCAAAGCCACAAGCUUGGGGAUGCUAUAUUUGAUGAAGAUGAACUUUUUUGUUCUUCCACUUUGAAUGAUCAAAAUUAUUUUGAUGAAAGCAUGCCCCCUAUCUAUGAUGAUUAUUGUGAGGAUACUUAUGCUUUAAAGAAGAGGGAUGAUAAAACUAGUCAUACUCUCGAAACCCCUUUGCUAAACCUUGCUUUUUCAUUGUGGACACAAUUUUUAGUGCUCAAGUCUUUCACGAUACUCCCACUACUAUUCUUGAGAAUAGAUUUCCUUAUGUGGAGAGUAGUAAAAUUUCUAUGCUUAUAGAUCAUGAAAAGAAUGCUUUAGGUGCUGGUUAUAUUGUUGAAUUCAUUCAUGAUACUACUGAAAAUUAAUAUGAGAGAUGAUCAUAUGCUUCUACUUAUUGCAAUAGUAUCAAGCUUCCUCUCCAUAUGUUGAAAUUUUUGAAGCUAUGCUUGUUUUGCCUUGCUAUGCUAGUUGAUUCUUGCUCCAAUAAAUUGUUUGAUCACAAAAUCCCUAUGCAUAGGAAGUGGGUUAGACUUAAAUGUGCUAGCCAUUUGCUCCAUGAUGCUCUCGUUGUAAUUCAAUCCUUACCUUUUAUGUGAGCAUCAUUGAAAUCAAUGCCUAGCUAACGGCGUUAAACGAUAGCGCUUGUUGGGAGGCAACCCAAUGAAUAAAUUUUUCUUUGCUUUUUGCUUCCUAUUUUCUUUUCUCCACACCAUCAUAAUUCUGUUAUGAUUGUGUCUUUUGUGUUUCUUUUUGUGUUUGUGCCAAGCAAAACCGUUAUGAUUAGUCUUGGUGAUGAUUGUUUGAUCAUGCUGGAAAAAGACAGAGACUAUCUGCUCAUGAAAAGAAUUUUCAUUUUUAUUCUGUAAGAGAUUUUGAGUUGAUUAUUUUUACAGCUGAUUUAUAUGCAAUUUAUUCAGACUGUAGUAAGUUUAAAUAUUUUUUGAAGUACGAGAGGUAUACGAAAUAUACAGAUUGCUACAGACUGGUCUGCUGUUAACAGAUUCUGUUUUUGUAGUGUUGGUUGCUUAUUUUGAUGAAACUAUAGAUAGUAUCGGGGGGUAUUAGCCAUGGAAGAUUGAAAAUACAGUAACCCAACAUCAGCACAAGUAGAAUUUAAGUUUGCUACUGUACCUAAGGAAGUGGUGGUUUGCUUUCUCAUACUAAUGUUAUCACGAGUUUCUGUUUAAGUUUCGUGUUGUGAAGUUUUCAUGUUUUGGGUGAAGUUCUUAUGGACAAAGAGAUAAAGAGUGGACAGAGCACAAGCUUGGGGAUGCCCAACGCACCCCAAGAGAUUCAAGAAUGCCGUAAAAGCCUAAGCUUGGGGAUGCCCCGGGAAGGCAUCCCCUCUUUCGUCUUCAAUCCAUCGGUAACGUUACUUGGGGCUAUAUUUUUAUUCACCACAUGAUAUGUGUUUUGCUUGGAGCGUCUUGUAUCAUAGGAGUCUUUUAUUUUUGUUGUGUCACAAUCAUCCUUGCUGCACACCUAGAGAGAGAGACAUGCACUCACCGUGAUUUUGUCGAGAUUCACUUAUAUCCUUUGGUAGACAAUUCAACUCACACGUGCUUCACUUAUAUCUUUUGAGCUAGAUACUUUUGCUCUGUGUGCAUCACUUAUAUCUUUUAGAGCACAGUGGUGCGUGGCUUGGUAGUUGGUCUAUGCUUUGAAAGUAGUCCCAAAAGUGGUAGUUAUCCAAAGGGAUACGAAAACUUCCACCUUCAUGUGCAUUGAAUAGUUAGAGAAGUUUGAUUCAUCUCAAUUAGUUUUGAGUUGUGGUUUUGGUAAUAUUGAAGUCAUGCUAGUAAGGUGUUGUGGAUCUAGAAAUACUUGUGUUGAAGUUAGUGAUUCCCGUAGCAUGCACGUAUGGUGAAAUGCUAUGUGAUGAAGUCUUAGCAUGAUUAGUCUUUUGAUUGUCAUCCUUUGCGUGGCGGUCGGGAUCGCGCGAUGGUUUAUACCUACCAACCCUUCCCAUAGGAGUAUGCGUUGAAUGCUUUGUUUCGAUUACUAAUAAAACUUUUGCAACUAGUAUAUGAGUUCUUCAUGACUAAUGUUGAGUCCAUGGUUUAUAUGCACUUUCACCUUCCACCAUCACUAUCUUCUUAGUGUCGUGCAACUUUCGCCGGUGCACGAAACCCACCAUUAGCCUCCCUCAAAACAGCCACCAUACCUACCUACUAUGGCUUUUUCAAAGUCAUUCCGAGAUAUAUUGCCAUGCAACUACCACCAUGACAUGUGCCACCACGUCUACAUUGCCAUUUCAUGAUCAUAAGAUAGCUAGCAUGCUGUUCCAUUAAUGUCUAUGACAUGCUAGAUCAUUGUCACGGUACACCACCGAAGGCAUUCCAUAUAGAGUCAUCGUUGCUCUAAGUUUUGAGUUGAAAGUGUGAUGAUCAUCAUUGAUGGAGCAUUGUCCCAUGUGAGGAAAUAAAAGAGGCCAAAGAAGCCCACCAAAAAAAAGAGGCCAAAGAGCCCACCAAAAAAAAAUAUAAAAAAAUGAGAGAAAAAGAGAGAAGGGACAAUGCUACCACUUUUCCACACCUGUGCAUAUUAAGCACCAUGAUCUUCAUGAUUGAGAGUCUCUCGUUUUGUCACCACCAUAUAGCUAGUGGGAAAUUUUCAUUAUAUAACUUGGCUUGUAUAUUCCAAUGAUAGGCUUCCUCAAAAUUGCCUUAGGUCUUCGUGAGCAAGCAAGUUAAAUGCACACCCACUAGUUUUCUUUAAGAGCUUUCACAUACUCCUAGCUCUAGUGCGUCAUUUGUAUGGCAAUCCCUACUCAUUCACGUUGAUAUCUAUUGAUGAGCAUCUCCAUAGCUCAUUGAUAUGCCUAGUCAAUGUGACCAUCUUCUCCUUGUUUGCCUUGCAACCUCCACCACACUCCACACCACUUAUAGUGCUAAAACCAUGGCUCGCGCUCAUGUAUUGCGUGAGAGUCGAAAAAGUUUGAGAAAGUAAAGGUGUGAAAACAAUUACUUGGCCAUUACCGGGGUUGUGCAUGAUUUAAAUUCGUUGUGCAAUGAUGAUAGAGCAUAGCCAGACUAUAUGCUUUUGUAGGGAUAACUUUUUUUGGCCUUGUUUUUUUGAAAGUUCAUGAUUACCUUGCCAGUUUGCUUGAAUUAUUAUUGUUUCCACAUCAAUAGCGAACUAUUUUUUUGAAUCUAACGGAUCUGACCAUUCAUGUCAUGUGUGAGGAGUUACAAAGGAAAACUAUGCCAGGCAGCAUGCAACAUAAAAAUUCAUUCUUUAUCACUUCCCUACUCGAGGACGAGCAGGAGUUAAGCUUGGGGAUGCUUGAUACAUCUCCAACGUAUCUAUAAUUUUUGAUGGUUCCAUGCUAUUAUCUUGUUAACUUUGGAUGUUUUAUAUACAUGAAUAUGAUAUUUUAUAUAUUUUUGGGACUAACCUAUUAACUCAGUGCCAAGUGCCAAUUUCUGUUUUUUCCGUGUUUUUGGCCCAUUUUCAGACGGAGUCCAAAUGGAAUGAAACUUUACAAUGAUUUUUUUGGACCAAAAGAGACCCCCGAAGCUUUGGGAGAAGGCCAGAUGGGCCACGAGGCAGUCACAAGCCCUCACGCCGCCACCACCCCCCCGGUGGUGGCGCGCAGGCUUGUGACCUCCUCGUGGGCCCAACUGACGCAAUUCCACCGCCAUAAAUUCCUAUAAAUUCAAAAACCCCCAAAAAGAAACCUAGAUCGGGAGUUCCGCCACCGCAAGCCUCUAUAGGCACCAAAAACCAAUCUGGAGCCCGUUCUGGCACCCUGCUGGAGGGGGAAUCCAUCUCCGGUGGCCAUCUUCAUCAUCCCAGCGAUCUCCAUGAUGAGGAGGGAGUAGUUCUCCCUCGGGGCUGAGGGUAUGUACCAGUAGCUAUAUGUUUGAUCUCUCUCUCUCUCUCGUGUUCUUGAGAUGUCUUGAUCUCGAUGUACCAUGGGCUUUGCUACUAUAGUUGGAUCUUAUGAUGUUCUUCCCCCUCUCCUUGUUGUAAUGAAUUGAGUUUCCCCUUUGGAGUUAUCUUAUCGGAUUGAGUCUUUGAGAACACUUGAUGUAUGUCUUGCACGUGUCUAUCUGCUGUGAUCAACUUGUGGGUUUGUGACAAUUGGGAACCUAUGCAUAUGUGUUGGCACACGUGGAUGCAUGUGAGUACUUGAUGUAUGUUUUGGUGAUGAACUUGCGGGUUCGUGAUAUUGGGAACCUAUGCACAGGGGUUGGCACACAUUUUGACUCUCUGGUAGAAACUUUGGGGCACUCUUUGAAGUUCUAUGUGUUGGUUGAAUAGAUGAUUCUCAGAUUAUGUGAUGCAUAUCGUAUAAUCAUGCCCAUGGAUACUUGAGGUGACAAUGGAGUAUCUAGGUGACAUUAGGGUCUUGGUUGAUAUGUAUCUUAAGGUGUUAGUCUAGUACGAACUCUAUGAUGGAUCGGUCAGAAAGAAUAACUUCAUGGUGGUUUCGUUCCCGACAAUAAUCUCUUCGUUUGUUCCCCGCUAUUAGUGACAUUGGGGUGACCCUUUGUUGCAUGUUGAGGGCUAGUUAUAUGAUCCAAUUACGUUAUCAUUGUUGAGAGAACUUCACUAGUGAAAGUAUGAACCCUAGGCCUUGUUUCCACACAUUGCAAUAUCGUUCGUGCUCACUUUUGUUAUUUGUUACCUUGCUGUUUUCGUAAUUUCAGAUUACAAAGACCUAUAUCUACCAUCCAUAUUGCACUUGUAUCACCAUCUCUUCGCCGAACUAGUGCACCAAUACAAUUUACCAUUGUAUUAGGUGUGUUGGGGACACAAGAGACUCUUUGUUAUUUGGUUGCAGGGUUGCUUGAGAGGGACCAUCUUCAUCCUACGCCUCCCGCGGAUUGAUAAACCUUAGGUCACCUACUUGAGGGAAAAUUGCUACUGUCCUACAACCCUCUGCACUUGGAGGCCCAACAACGUCUACAAGGAGAAGGUUGCGUAGUAGACAUCAAGCUCUUUUCUCGCGCCGUUGCCGGGGAGGCUAGGUAAGCUACACUCACCUCCCGUCAACGAAGCUCUUUUCUGGCAUCGUUGCCGGGGAGGUUAGCGCUUGAAGGUAUAUCUUUAGAUCUUGCAAACGAAUCUUUUUCUUUGUUGUUCUUUCGCUAGAAAACUACAAAAAAAUGGAAUUGAGGAUGCCUCAUAUGCUCCAUCUUUUCAAUGUCUUUCGUGAGCAUGAUGGGAAGGAAAAUUGUGCUCAAGUGAUGAAAGAAGAAUUACAUAAAAUGCUUGGCAUAGAAUAUGUGAAUGAUGAGCAUGAUUAUAAUGUUCUUAGCAUGAAUUAUUUGAAUACCCAUGAUGCUAAUGAUAUGCAAAGCCACAAGCUUGGGGAUGCUAUAUUUGAUGAAGAUGAACUUUUUUGUUCUUCCACUUUGAAUGAUCAAAAUUAUUUUGAUGAAAGCAUGCCCCCUAUCUAUGAUGAUUAUUGUGAGGAUACUUAUGCUUUAAAGAAGAGGGAUGAUAAAACUAGUCAUACUCUCGAAACCCCUUUGCUAAACCUUGCUUUUUCAUUGUGGACACAAUUUUUAGUGCUCAAGUCUUUCACGAUACUCCCACUACUAUUCUUGAGAAUAGAUUUCCUUAUGUGGAGAGUAGUAAAAUUUCUAUGCUUAUAGAUCAUGAAAAGAAUGCUUUAGGUGCUGGUUAUAUUGUUGAAUUCAUUCAUGAUACUACUGAAAAUUAAUAUGAGAGAUGAUCAUAUGCUUCUACUUAUUGCAAUAGUAUCAAGCUUCCUCUCCAUAUGUUGAAAUUUUUGAAGCUAUGCUUGUUUUGCCUUGCUAUGCUAGUUGAUUCUUGCUCCAAUAAAUUGUUUGAUCACAAAAUCCCUAUGCAUAGGAAGUGGGUUAGACUUAAAUGUGCUAGCCAUUUGCUCCAUGAUGCUCUCGUUGUAAUUCAAUCCUUACCUUUUAUGUGAGCAUCAUUGAAAUCAAUGCCUAGCUAACGGCGUUAAACGAUAGCGCUUGUUGGGAGGCAACCCAAUGAAUAAAUUUUUCUUUGCUUUUUGCUUCCUAUUUUCUUUUCUCCACACCAUCAUAAUUCUGUUAUGAUUGUGUCUUUUGUGUUUCUUUUUGUGUUUGUGCCAAGCAAAACCGUUAUGAUUAGUCUUGGUGAUGAUUGUUUGAUCAUGCUGGAAAAAGACAGAGACUAUCUGCUCAUGAAAAGAAUUUUCAUUUUUAUUCUGUAAGAGAUUUUGAGUUGAUUAUUUUUACAGCUGAUUUAUAUGCAAUUUAUUCAGACUGUAGUAAGUUUAAAUAUUUUUUGAAGUACGAGAGGUAUACGAAAUAUACAGAUUGCUACAGACUGGUCUGCUGUUAACAGAUUCUGUUUUUGUAGUGUUGGUUGCUUAUUUUGAUGAAACUAUAGAUAGUAUCGGGGGGUAUUAGCCAUGGAAGAUUGAAAAUACAGUAACCCAACAUCAGCACAAGUAGAAUUUAAGUUUGCUACUGUACCUAAGGAAGUGGUGGUUUGCUUUCUCAUACUAAUGUUAUCACGAGUUUCUGUUUAAGUUUCGUGUUGUGAAGUUUUCAUGUUUUGGGUGAAGUUCUUAUGGACAAAGAGAUAAAGAGUGGACAGAGCACAAGCUUGGGGAUGCCCAACGCACCCCAAGAGAUUCAAGAAUGCCGUAAAAGCCUAAGCUUGGGGAUGCCCCGGGAAGGCAUCCCCUCUUUCGUCUUCAAUCCAUCGGUAACGUUACUUGGGGCUAUAUUUUUAUUCACCACAUGAUAUGUGUUUUGCUUGGAGCGUCUUGUAUCAUAGGAGUCUUUUAUUUUUGUUGUGUCACAAUCAUCCUUGCUGCACACCUAGAGAGAGAGACAUGCACUCACCGUGAUUUUGUCGAGAUUCACUUAUAUCCUUUGGUAGACAAUUCAACUCACACGUGCUUCACUUAUAUCUUUUGAGCUAGAUACUUUUGCUCUGUGUGCAUCACUUAUAUCUUUUAGAGCACAGUGGUGCGUGGCUUGGUAGUUGGUCUAUGCUUUGAAAGUAGUCCCAAAAGUGGUAGUUAUCCAAAGGGAUACGAAAACUUCCACCUUCAUGUGCAUUGAAUAGUUAGAGAAGUUUGAUUCAUCUCAAUUAGUUUUGAGUUGUGGUUUUGGUAAUAUUGAAGUCAUGCUAGUAAGGUGUUGUGGAUCUAGAAAUACUUGUGUUGAAGUUAGUGAUUCCCGUAGCAUGCACGUAUGGUGAAAUGCUAUGUGAUGAAGUCUUAGCAUGAUUAGUCUUUUGAUUGUCAUCCUUUGCGUGGCGGUCGGGAUCGCGCGAUGGUUUAUACCUACCAACCCUUCCCCUAGGAGUAUGCCUUGAAUGCUUUGUUUCGAUUACUAAUAAAACUUUUGCAACAAGUAUAUGAGUUCUUCAUGACUAAUGUUGAGUCCGUGGUUUAGAUGCACUUUCACCUUCCACCAUCACUAUCUUCUUAGUGCCGUGCAACUUUUGCCGGUGCACGAAACCCACCAUUAGCCUCCCUCAAAACAGCCACCAUACCUACCUACUAUGGAUUUUUCAAAGUCAUUCCGAGAUAUAUUGCCAUGCAACUACCACCAUGAGAUGUGCCACCACGUCUACAUUGCCAUUGCAAGAUCGUAAGAUAGCUAGCAUGAUGUUUCCAUUAAUGUCUAUGACAUGCUACAUCAUUGUCACGGUACACCACCGAAGGCAUUCCAUAUAGAGUCAUCGUUGCUCUAAGUUUUGAGUUGAAAGUGUGAUAAUCAUCAUUGAUGGAGCAUUGUCCCAUGUGAGGAAAUAAAAGAGGCCAAAGAAGCCCANAGCACCAUGAUCUUCAUGAUUGAGAGUCUCUUGUUUUGUCACCACCAUAUAGCUAGUGGGAAAUUUUCAUUAUAUAACUUGGCUUGUAUAUUCCAAUAAUAGGCUUCCUCCAAAUUGCCUUAGGUCUUCGUGAGCAAGCAAGUUGAAUGCACGCCCAUUAGAUUUCUUUAGGAGCUUUCACAUACUCCUAGCUCUAGUGCAUCAUUUGUAUGGCAAUCCCUACUCGUUCACGUUGAUAUCUAUUGAUGAGCAUCUCCAUAGCUCAUUGAUAUGCCUAGUCAAUGUGACCAUCUUCUCCUUGUUUGCCUUGCAACCUCCACCACACUCUACACCACUUAUAGUGCUAAAACCAUGGCUCACGCGCAUGUAUUGCGUGAGAGUCGAAAAAGUUUGAGAAAGUAAAGGUGUGAAAACAAUUACUUGGCCAAUACCGGGGUUGUGCAUGAUUUAAAUUCGUUGUGCAAUGAUGAUAGAGCAUAGCCAGACUAUAUGCUUUUGUAGGGAUAACUUUCUUUUGGCCUUGUUAUUUUGAAAGUUAAUGAUUACCAUGCUAGUUUGCUUGAAUUAUUAUUGUUUCCACAUCAAUAGCAAACUUUUUGUUUGAAUCUAACGGAUCUGAACAUUCAUGUCAUGUGAGAGGAGUUACAAAAUACAACUAUGCCACGUAGCAUGCAACAUAAAAAUUUUAUUCUUUAUCACUCCUACUCGAGGACGAGCAGGAGUUAAGCUUGGGGAUGCUUGAUACGUCUCCAACGUAUCUAUAAUUUUUGAUGGCUCUAUGCUAUUAUCUUGUCAACUUUGGAUGUUUUAUAUGCAUGAAUAUGCUAUUUAUAUCUUUUUGGGACUAACCUAUUAACUCAGUGCCAAGUGCCAGUUUCUGUUUUUUCCAUGUUUUUGGCCCAUUUUCAGACGGAGUCCAAAUGGAAUGAAACUUUACGAUGAUUUUUUUGGACCAAAAGAGACCCCCGAAGCUUUGGGAGAAGGCCAGAUGGGCCACGAGGGAGUCACAAGCCCNCUCUGUAGCCACCAAAAACCAAUCUGGAGCCCGUUCUGGCACCCUGUCGGAGGGGGAAUCCAUCUCCGGUGGCCAUCUUCAUCAUCCCAGCGAUCUCCAUGACGAGGAGGGAGUAGUUCUCCCUCGGGGCUGAGGGUAUGUACCAGUAGCUAUGUGUUUGAUCUCUCUCUCUCUCGUGUUCUUGAGAUGUCUUGUUCUCGAUGUACCAUGGGCUUUGCUACUAUAGUUGGAUCUUAUGAUGUUCUUCCCCCUCUCCUUCUUGUAAUGAGUUGAGUUUCCCCUUUGGAGUUAUCUUAUCGGAUUGAGUCUUUGAGAACACUUGAUGUAUGUCUUGCACGUGUCUAUCUGCUGUGAUGAACUUGCGGGUUUGUGACAAUUGGGAACCUAUGCAUAUGGGUUGGCACACGUGGAUUCAUGUGAGUACUUGAUGUAUGUUUUUGUGAUCAACUUGCGGGUUCGUGACAUUGGCAACCUAUGCACAGGGGUUGGCACACGUUUUGACUCUGUGGUAGAAACUUUGGGGCACUCUUUGUAGUUCUAUGUGUUGGUUCAAUAGAUGAUUCUGAGAUUAUGUGAUGCAUAUCAUAUAAUCUUGCCCACGGAUACUUGAGGUGAAAAUGGAGUAUCUAGGUGACAUUAGGGUCUUGGUUGAUAUGUAUCUUAAGGUGUUAUUCUAGCACGAACUCUAUGAUGGAUCGAUUAGAAAGAAUAACUUCAUGGUGGUUUCGUACCCGGGAAUAAUCUCUUCGUUUGUUCCCCGCUAUUAGUGACUUUGGAGUGACUCUUUGUUGCAUGUUGAGGGCUAGUUAUAUGACCCAAUUAUGUUACCAUUGUUGAGAGAACUUCACUAGUGAAAGUAUGAACCCUAGGCCUUGUUUCCACGCAUUGCAAUACCGUUCGUGCUCACUUUUGUUAUUUGUUACCUUGCUGUUUUUGUAAUUUCAGAUUACAAAAACCUAUAUCUACCAUCCAUAUUGCACUUGUAUCGCCAUCUCUUCGCCGAACUAGUGCACCUAUACAAUGUACCAUUGUAUUAGGUGUCUUGGGGACACAAGAGACUCUUUCUUAUUUGGUUGCAGGGUUGCUUGAGAGAGACCAUCUUCAUCCUAUGCCUCCCACAGAUUGAUAAACCUUAGGUCACCCACUUGAGGGAAAAUUGCUACUGUCCUACAACCCUGUGCACUUGGAGGCCCAACAACGUCUACAAGGAGAAGGUUGCGUAGUAGACAUCAAUGGGUCGUUAUCCAAGAAGCAAAAGGCGCCUGAUGAGAUGGUUGGCCCAAGAAUCAGCGAAAGGCGACUUGCGUCCCACGUAAGGAAAGAGACACGAGAAGCUUCCUUGCGUGAGAGAAAAAGGCGAGUUAGAGAUAGACCAGUUUACGAAUUGUAAUGAGAGUUGGACUCUUGUAAACCUAGAGCCUCGAUUUGUAUAUAAAGGCGAGUCUCUAGGGUUUAUAGGGUUAAGUUAACAUCAAUCGAGAGCUAGGUCAGGCGAUUCCGCACCCUUGUAAUCGAUUCCCGCAACAAUAUACACAUACCAGGACGUAGGCUUUUACCUCAACCUAAGGGGCCAAACCUGGGUAAACUCGCCUCCCAUUUCCCGAUCAACCCCUUUGAGUCGCCACAUAGUUGCGAUGGCUUCAUGACUAAGUCCUUUCACGAGGACAUCUGUCAUCACAAAACCAUGACAAUUGGCGCCCAUCGUGGGGCCUACACACGGUGGAGUAGAGUUCUCAAAGGGAGCCCCUCCAGGGUUCGGGAGCUAUGCGGUCGGCCUUAUGACAAAGAGCCGCCGCGGAAAGUACUAUAUCAACAAUUCAAGCUGGGGUCCCGACGCCGAAUCAAUCGAAUCUGGGUAACGGGUCCCCUUCGGCAAGAUCCACUUCUUCAUCGGCAAGAUUGAAACGUCGGUUCCCGAGCCGAACAUCUGCACCGACAUUGUUGAGCCGGCUUGGCUCGCCCAACCCGCCACGCGUUAGCUCAGACGACAUCGUGCCUUCGUCGGCUUCACGCAAGGAGUCGCCCUCCUAGGGGAGCCGGAAGCUGGCGGAGACACCCUUGUCAACUCCGAUGGCGAGUCGUCAAUUGGAGACACUGAUUCAAUCUGUCCUCUCCAUGAGGGACGGUUGGGAGGUCUUCCUGAGGCGGCGAUCUCCGAAGAACCACAGGAACACCACCGCCAAAUCGCCAUCUAUAUGACAGGGGAUACAGUGGCUCAGGACCAGCCAAACACGGCGAGUCCCAACUGGGCCAGCGGAUCGGGAAAAAACCUAGUUCAGGCCAUGUCAGGUCUGAUGGAAGAGAUGUCAAAACUCAUGGAGCUGGUUCUGACAGCUGACAAUCAGGCAGAGAUUAACGCCGAAUUAGCUAAACUUUCUGAAGAGAUGGCCCAAAUACAACGCCAGAUCAAUGCAGUGAAAACCAGGAUGACGGAUCAACAAGCCCAGAUGGACGAGGAGGAGGAACGUCUGAAAUUGGCGGCAUGGCGACUUGAGCACCGACGAGUGAUAACCCACAAGUAUAGGGGAUCGCAACAGUUUUCGAGGGUAGAGUAUUCAACCCAAAUUUGUUGAUUCGACACAAGGGGAAGCCAAAGAAUAUUCUCGAGUAUUAGCAGUUGAGUUGUCAAUUCAACCAAACCUGAAAAACUUAGUAUCUGCAGCAAAGUAUGAGUAGCAAAGUAGUGUCAUAGCAACAGUAGCAACGAUAACAGCAGUAGCGACAGAGUAAUAGUAGCAACAGUGACAGCAGUAGUGACAGAGUAACAGUAGCAGCAGCGACAGCAAUAGCGGCAAAGUAACAUAGCAAGGACCAGUAGGAAAAACUCGUAGGCAUUGGAUCAGUGAUGGAUAAUUAUGCCGGAUGAUAUUCAUCAUGCAAUAGUUAUAACACGGAGAGAUAUGUAACUAGCUCCAGUUCGUCAAUGUAAUGUAGGCAAGCAUUCCGUAUAUAGUCAUACGUGCUUAGGGAAAAGAACUUGCAUGACAUCUAUUAUCCAUCCCUCCGGUGGCAGCGGGGUCCUAAUGGAAACUACGAGAUAUUAAGGUUCUCCUUUUAAUGGAGAACCGGAACAACGCAUUAGCACUUAGUGAACACAUGAACUCCUCAUACUAUGGUCAUCUCCGGGAGUGGUUCCGGCUAUUGUCACUCCGGGGUUGCCGGGUCAUAACACAUAGUAGGUGACUACAACACACAUAUAUUGACGAGAACAUAAUAGGUUCAGAUCAGAAAUCAUGGCACUAGAGCCCUAGUGACAAGCAUUAAGCAUGGCAAAGUAGUAGCAACAUCAAUCUCAGAACAUAGUGGAUACUAGGGAUCAAUCCCCGUCAAAACUAACUCGAUUACAUGAUAGAUCUCAUCCAACCCAUCACCGUCCAGCAAGCCUAUGAUGAGAUUACUCACAAACGGUGAAGAGCAUCAUGGAAUUGGUGAUGAAGGAAGGUUGGUGAUGACGAUGGCGACGAUCUCCCCUCUCCGGAGCCCAGAACGGACGCCAGAUCUUCCCUCCAGAGAAAGAACAGGAGGUGGCGGCGCCUCCGUAUCGUAAAAUGCGAUGAACUCUUCUCCUUGAUUUUUUCCGGACGAAAGGGACUAAAUAGAGCUGGAAUUGGAGGCGGUGGAGCUCUGAGGGCCCCAUAAGCCUGCUAGGCGCAACCAGGGGGCCGCGCCUUGUGGGCUUGUGGGCUCCUCGCUCCAACCCUCCGAUUGAUUCUUGCGCCAGUAUUUUUUAUAUAUUCCACAAAACAUCCUCGUAAAUUUCCAGGUCAUUCCGAGAACUUUUAUUUCUGCGCAAAAACAACACCAUGGCAAUUCUGCUAGAAACAACGUUAGUCCGGGUUAGUUCCAUUCAAAUCAAGCAAAUUAGAGUCCAAAACAAGGGCAAAAGAGUUUGGAAAAGUAGAUACGACGGAGACGUAUCAACUCCCCCAAGAUUAAAGCCUUUCUUGUCCUCAAGCAAUUCAGUUGACAAACUGAAAGAGACAAAAGAAAAACUUUUACGAACUCUGUUUGAUCUUGUUGUUGCAAUUAUGUCUAACUCAUAUUCAGAUUUUCAGCAAGAUCACAAGCUAACCACAUAAGCAAUGACAUUUAGGUCUCAAGAGGAACUCAUAUCAAUGGCAUAAUCCACUAGCGAGCAAUAAUAAUAAGUUUCAAACGUCAACACUUGAAUGAAAACAAUCAUGAAGUAGUACGAACAGAUGGUAUCUCGCUAGCUCUGUCUGAGACCGCAAAACAAAAAUGUAGAGCACCUUCAAAGACCAAGGGCUGACUGAACAUUGUAAUUCAUGGCAAAGAAGAUCCAGUCACAGUCAUACUCAAUAACAAUUAAAAGCAAAGCAUAAAAAUGACAGAGGUGCUCUCUAAUUGGUGCUUUUAUAAGAAGAGGAUGACUCAACAGAAACAUAAAUAGACAAGCCUUUCGCAGAGGGAAGCAUUGAUUUGCACAGGUGCUAGAGCUCAAGCUUUGAAGACAAAGAUAAAAAAAUUUGGGUGGCAUGCUUUCAUUGUCAACGCAAUGACCAAGAGUUUUCACCAUCUUCCAUGCUACACAUACUAUAGGCGGUUCCCAAACAGAAAAGUAAAGUUUUGACUCCCCCACCACCGAUCAAUCACACUCCACGACUAGCCGAAUAAUCGGGUGCCAUCCAUACCAACAACAAUCCAGGGGGAGUUUUGUUUGCAAUUAUCUUUUCGAUUUGAGCAUUGAACUGGGCAUUCCAAUUACCGGCCCCUUUCUCGUGAGUGAUAGUGAAUAAACACAUAUCGAGGAUAACACGCCUAGCAUGAGCGGUUCGGGCAUGCAAAACAUAUUAUUUCUUGAAGGUUUAGAGAGUGGCACAUGCAAACUUAAUUGGAACGGAAGGUAGAUACCGCAUAUAGGUAGGUAUGGUGGACUCAUAUGGAACAACUUUGGGUUUAUGGAAGUGGGCGCACAAGCAGUAUUCCCGCUUACUACAAGUGAAGGCUAGCAAAAGAUUAGGAAGCGACCAACUAGAGAGCGACAACAGUUAUCAAUAUGCAUUGAGAUUAACCAACAUUGAGUGCAAGCAUGAGUAGGACAUAAAUCACUAUGAACAUGAAUAUCAUAGAGGCUAUGUUGAUUUUGUUUCAACUACAUGCGUGAACAUGUGGCAAGUCAAGCCACUCGAAUCAUUCAAAGAAGGAUACCAUCCUAUCCUACUACAUCAUAAUCAUCUCAAAAUUCAUGUUGGCAUCCAAGACAAACCAUUAUAAGCUCCUAGCUAAUUAAGCAUGGCAUCAGAACCUAUGAUCUCUAAGUUGUCAUUGCAAACAUGUUUCUCUCACAACAAAGCUGAAUUUGAAACGAUGAGUUAGUCAUAUUUACAAAAACAAAAUAGAUCGAGUUCAUACCAACUUUUCCAGGCUCAGUCACUUCGUCAUAUAUCGUCAUUGUUGCCUUUCACUUGCACGACCGAAUGAUGUGAACAAUAAUAAGAGUGCUCGUGCAUCGGACUAAGCUGGAAUCUGCAAGCAAACACAAAGGAGAAGACAAAGUAAUAUGGCUCUUUGACAGAUAAACAGAUAUGCAUGCGAGAGCCACUAAACAUUGUAACCAUGGUCUUCUACCUUGACCCAAAGAAAAAGAAAACUAUUUACACGGGAAAGCUCCCAACAAGCAAAUGAAGAACAAGAAAUCUUUUUGGGUUUUCUCAAACUAGACAAACACACGAGAAGAAAAUGAGAAAAAGAAAUAAACUAGCAUGGAUGAUACAGUGGCAAAGUGUGAACACCGACUAUCAAAGUGAAAGUGUGAGCAUGAAUGUAAAGUCGGUGAGAAACACGUACUCCCCCAAGCUUAGGCUUUUGGCCUAAGUUGGUCUACUCCCAAGGAGGGAAAUAACGAGCUCCGGGGUACUCUGGAGUGUACUGAGGGUGGCACUGCUGGGUGAGCUCCUCUGGCUCCCACUGAUAAACUAGCGUGUGGUACUCGACUGGUAGCUCGGGCACAGGCGCCUGUGGUGGGGCUAUGCCCCAAUAUGCGUAGAUGUCCGAGGGCAUAAUAAUGUACCUGCUUAGAUGAAGAUUGAACAAAGAAGGAGUAGGCAAAGUAAUAGUCUCACGAGUACCCUGACUAAAUACCAGGUUAUAAAUCAUCCUCUUAUUUAUAUCUUUAUCAAGAAAGUCAUGGCGAACCAUGCUAUCCUAAUCUAUAUAUCUCUCAGGAAGAAGCAUCUCUUCUUCCUCGUGCAGUCUAAUAGGUAUCUCAAAAUGUCUAGAAAGACGAGUAGCAUAGAUACCUCCAUAAACAACGCCUUUAGAAUGGUUCGUGUUCUACCGUUGAGCUACUAUAGCACCCAAGCUAUAAGUUUUAUCAUUAUAAAGGGCUUCGCGCAAAACCGCAAGAUCUGGGGAGGUAAGGGCUCUAGCUUUCCCACGGCCAAUCAAACAUUUUCCCUCGAAUAAUGAGAAGUACCGAAGCAUGGGAAAAUGUAUGCUAGCAGCUCUAGCGCAAGACACUCCUCUAUCCUCUCCUACAUCAAUAGUAUCUAUGAAAGCCUCCAAGUCCCGUGGACGAGGUUCAUGAAUAUCCCCAACAUAAGGUAAUUUGCAAACAUAGCAAAGAUCCAGAAGUGACAUGCGCUGGGGGAUAUCAUAUAAUUUGAACUCAACCAUAGGAGGACUCUUCCUUGGAUAGAAAUUAAAGAUUUGCAUGAAAAUAUUAGUGAGGAGGAGGUAUUGUGGACACUUAUCUUCAACAAAGGCGGUAAGGCCAGCGUUCUCCAUGAAGUAGUAAAAGUCCUCAUAAAGUCCGGCGGUGCGUAAGAACACAUUGCUUGGCCACUCGAACGCUCGAACUUCUCCAACUCGGGGGACCGGAUGCUUGGGAUUCCUCCUCUCAUUUUCAUCAUCCUUGGGGUCACGGCUUGAAGAGCCUCUUAAGAACCUCCUCAUCUUUUCCUUUUUCUUUCUCCGAAAAUUUCUGAAAGUUUUAGUGACUCUAAGGAAAAGUGAACAAGGCUCAACAAAACUCAUAGAAACUACUCCGACAUGUGCCUAGGGGUCAUAUCACGCAUCAACACUACUUGGGACCAGCUAAAAUUAGCAUGCAAAGCUCAAGAACAGGGUCACCAAGGCAGCAAAAAUACGCAACAAAUAAGGCAGUGGAGAAAAAACUAAUUGGACCAAUGGAGGAGUCACAUACCAAGCAGCAGUUCCCCAGAAUAGUUUGGUGAAUGGGGCUUUGCACAAGGAGAUCGAAAAUCACAGCAAGCAGAGCAAGAACACGGGUUUGAGCUGCGGGAUGAUUUUUUCUGGAGGUAGGAGAAGGAGAUGGGAGCUGGAAUAAGUGGAGGGGGACACGUGGGCCCCACAAGCCUGGUAUGCACGGCCAGGGGGGUGCCUGUGCCUCCAAGGCUUGUGGCCCACUGGUGCAUCCCCCUGACUAGCUCUCCGUCUCAGAAUUUUUCAAAAAUUUCAGAAAAAAUCAUACUUGAUUUUCAUGGCAUUCGGAGAACUUUUAUUUUCAGGACAUUUUUAUAUGGGACGCAAAAAGCAGAAAACAGGGAAAACUAAAGCUAAAUCUAUCAUUUUUCUUCUAAACAACCGAAGGUGAAAGCUUGGAACAGAGGGUUGUGACUCCUUGAUUCAUCCAUCCCAUGGUCAUCGAAAGAAAUCCGUCAAUGAGGUUGAUCAACUCUCCUUGACAAACCUUUUCGAAUCAUAGAAAAAGUCACUAGGUUACCUCAAUGGGGAUGUGCAUAUCCCCAACAAGCAAAUCAUACAUCAUCUUGAUAGUAGGUAUAGGGCAUUCAAAGCUCCCAAUAAGAAUCGAUGAAGUUUUUUCAAUAGCAUUGAUACAAUGUACUCUUUAUUGUUUCUUCGGAAAGUGCACCAUAUGCUCAUUACCGUUGACAUGGAAAGUGACAUUGCCUUUGUUGCAAUAAAUAACAGCCCCUGCAGUGUUUAAAAAGGGUCUUCCAAGGAUGACCGCCAUGGCAUCAUCCUCGGGAAUAUCCAGGAUAACAAAGUCCGUCAAGACAGUAACGUUAGCAACCACAACAGGCACAUCCUCGCAAAUGCCGAUAGGGAAAGCACUUGAUUUGUCGGCCAUUUGCAGAGAGAUUUCAGUGGGUGUCAGCUUAUCCAGUUCAAGCCUACGAUAAAGAGAGAGAGAGGCAUAACACUAACACCAGAUCCAAGGUUGGAUAAAGUAGUUCUAACAUAGUUUCCUUUAAUGGAGCAUGGUAUAGUGGGCACUCUGGGAUCACCUAGUUUCUUAGGAGUUCCACCCUUGAAGGUGUAAUUAGGGAGCAUGGUGGAAAUGUCAACCUCAGGUAUCCUCCUCUUAUUAGUCACAAUAUCCUUCAUGUACUUGGCAUAGGGAGCCAUUUUGAGCAUAUCUGUCAAACGCAUUUGCAGAAAGACAGGUCUAAUCAUUUCAACAAAUCGCUCAAAAUCCUCAUCGUCCAUUUUCUUGGAUAGUUUGGGAGGAAAGGGCAUGGGUUUCUGAACCCAUGGUUCCCUUUCUUUACCAUGCUUCCUAGCAAUAAAGUCGUUCUUAUCAUAUCUCCUAUUCUUUGGUUGAGGGUUAUCAAGAUCAACAUGUUCAAUCUCCACAUCCUUAUCAUUGCUAGGUUGAGCAUCAUCAUGAACACCACUAUCGAUAUUAUCAUUAGGCUCAUGUUCAUCACCAGAUUGUGUUUCGGCAUCAGAAACAGAGACAUCGUUUGGAUUCUCAGGUGUAACAGCAACAGGGUUGCUAGCAUGCAAGUUCCUAUCAUCGUUCUUCUUCUUCCUAGGAUGACUAGGUGCAUCGGUGCUAACUCCUUGAGAAUCUUGUUCAAUUCUCUUAGGAUGACCCUCAGGAUACAAAGGUUCCUGGGUCAUUCUACCACCUCUAGUGAUGACUCUGACAGAAUUGUCAUUCAACUCAUUGAGAAAGUCAUUUUGAGCCUUAAGUACUUGUUCUACUUGAGUAGUAACCAUAGAGGCAUCUUUACUCAACAACUUAAGAUCAUUGACGUUUCUGUCCACACAAGCACUUAAAUGACUAAGCAUACGAGCAUUUUGUUCCAACUGUGUGCUAACAUAAACAUUGAAACUUUGUUAUUUGGCAACAAAGUUAUCAAAUAAAGACCUCUACUACCUAUGUCGGGUUAUAAAGACCAUGUAUCUCUACGAUAGGUGGUAGAUUUUUGACAUCUUCAGAUUUAAUGCCUUUCUCUUUCAUAGAUUUCUUAGCUUCUUGCAUAUCUUCGGGACUGAGGAAUAGAAUACCUCUUUUCUUAGGAGUUGGCUUCAGAGGUGGUUCGGGAAUAGUCCAAGCAUUCUCAUUGCACAAGAUAUUAUUCAAUAGAAUCUCUGCUUGUUCCAUAGUUCGUUCCCUAAAAACACAACCAACACAACUAUCUAGGUGGUCUCUAGAAGCAUCGGCUAGUCCAUUAUAAAAGAUAUCAAGUAUUUCAUUCUUCUCAAGAGGGUGAUCGGGCAAAGCAUUCAGUAGCUAGACGAGCCUCCCCCAAGCUUGUGGGAGCCUCUCUUCUUCAACUUGCGCAAAGUUAUAUAUUUCCUGCAAGGCAGCUUGCUUCUUAUGGGCAGGAAAAUAUUUCUCAGAUAAGUAGUAGAUCAUAUCCUGGGGACUACGCACACAACCAGGAGCAAGAGAAUUGAACCAAGUCUUAGCAUCAUCCUUUAGUGAGAAAGGAAACAACUUAAGGAUAUAGUAGUGGCGGAUCUUUUCCUCACUCGUGAAUAGGGUGGCUAUAUCGUGCAGCUUAGUAAGAUGUGCUACAGCCGCUUCAGACUCAUAACCCUGAAAAGGAUCAGAUUCGACCAGAGUGAUUAACUCACGGUCGACAGAGAAUUCAUAAUCCUUAUCGGUCACAAAGAUAGGCGAAGUAGCAAACUUCGGGUCGUAUUUCAUCCUAGCGUUGAAAGAUUUUUCUUUCCACUUGCGCAGUAAUUUCUCAAGAUCAUAGCUAUCCUUACAAGCAAGAAAGUCCUCAACUAUCUCUCCCUCCAUAACAUAACCCUCAGGCAUAUCAGGCAAUUCAUAUCUAGGAGAGCUAGUUCUAACAGGUGAAAUUGCAGGUUCUACUUCAAUAAUCUCAGCAGUUUCAGAAGUAUCAUCACAUCUAGCAAGAACUCUAGCCAUUUGUGCAUCAAGGAAUGCACCUAGUGGCAAAGACGUAUCAAGCAAAGCAUCAUCACAAGCAUCAUGGAUAGCAGAAGUAGCAUCAUCAAGCACAUACGACCUAUCAAAAUUUCUAGUAGGAGGUGGUGUCGCAAACUUACCCAUAACUGAAGGUGAAUCAAGUGUAGAGCUAGAUGGCAGCUCCUUUCCUGUCCUCGUAGUUGAGGGCAAGACUUUAGUUUUUGGAUCUCUCGGAUUCCUCAUAGUGAUCAACAGACGUAAAUCCCAAGUGACUUAGAGAAUAGUGUUAUGCCUCCCCGGCAACGGCGCCAGAAAAUAGUCUGUUGACGGGAGGCUAUUCUUGACUUGAUACUCCCCGGCAAUGGCGCCAGGAAAUAGUCUUGAUAAGCCACAAGUAUAGGGAUCGCAACAGUUUUCGAGGGUAGAGUAUUCAACCCAAAUUUGUUGAUUCGACAAAAGGGGAAGCCAAAGAAUAUUCUCGAGUAUUAGCAGUUGAGUUGUCAAUUCAACCACACCUGAAAGACUUAGUAUCUGCAGCAAAGUAUCAGUAGCAAAGUAGUGUGAUAGCAACAGUAGAAACGGUAACGGUAGCAGAAGCAACAGAAGUAGCGACAGAGUAAUAGUAGCAGCAGUGACAACAGUAGUGACAGAGUAACAGUAGCAGCAGCGACAACAAUAGCGGCAAAGUAACGUAGCAAGGACCAGUAGAAAGAACUCGUAGGCAUUGUAUCGGUGAUGGAUAAUUAUGCCGGAUGAUAUUCAUCAUGCAACAGUUAUAACACGGAGAGAUAUGUAACUAGCUCCAGUUCGUCAAUGUAACGUAGGCAUGCAUUCCGUAUAUAGUCAUACGUGCUUAGGGAAAAGAACUUGCAUGACAUCUAUUGUCCAUCCCUCCCGUGGUAGCGGGGUCCUAAUGGAAACUAUGGGAUAUUAAGGUUCUCCUUUUAAUAGAGAACCGGAACAACGCAUUAGCACUUAGUGAAUACAUGAACUCCUCAUACUAUGUCAUCUCCGGGAGUGGUUCCGGCUAUUGUCACUCCGGGGUUGCCGGGUCAUAACACAUAGUAGGUGCCUACAACUUGCAAGAUAGGAUCAAGAACACACAUAUAUUGACGAGAACAUAAUAGGUUCAGAUCUGAAAUCAAGUCACUCAGGCCCUAAUGACAAGAAUUAAGCAUGGCAAAGUAGUAGAAACAUCAAUCUCAGAACAUAGUGGAUACUAGGGAUCAAUCCCCGUCAAAACUAACUCGAUUACAUGAUAGAUCUCAUCCAACCCAUCACCAUCCAGCAAGCCUACGAUGAGAUUACUCACGAACGGUGAAGAGCACCAUGGAAUUGGUGAUGAAGGAAGGUUGGUGAUGACGAUGGCGACGAUCUCCCCUCUCCGGAGCCCAGAACGGACUCCAGAUCUAUCCUCCAGAGGAAGAAUAGGAGGUGGCGGCCCCUCUGUAUCGUAAAACGCGAUGAACUCUUCUCCUUGAUCUUUUUCCAGAUGAAAGCAACUAAAUAGAGCUGGAAUUGGAGGCGGUGGAGCUCUGAGGGCCCCACAAGCCUGCUAGGCAUGGCCAGGGGGGCGCCUGCCUGGUGGGCUUGUGGGCUCCUCGCUCCACCCCUCCGGUUGAUUCUUGCGCCAGCAUUUUUUAUAUAUUCCACAAAAAUCCUCGUAAAUUUCCAGGUCAUUCCGAGAACUUUUAUUUCUGCGCAAAAACAACACCAUGGCGAUUCUGCUGAAAACAGCGUUAGUCCGGGUUAGUUCCAUUCAAAUCAUGCAAAUUAGAGUCCAAAACAAGGGCAAAAGAGUUUGGAAAAGUAGAUACGACAGAAAUGUAUCAACGAGUUGCGUCAGAAGCCGUCUACGAGCGGCGGCACCAGGGUUGCAUCCCGCCUAACCUUAAUCCAACCCGCUUGUUCAACGGCCCACAAACGCUAGGCGCGGAUCGCAACCCGGCAGGCCAAGGCGAUCCACCUGGGGAGAUCGUCCAAUAGCCUAUGCAACCCCCGCUGAACCCGCAGGCGGGUCAGCACUGCCGAACACCUCAGGGUCACUUCUCCAAUCCGGUGGAUAACGUGCUAGCUGCAACCCACCAUCUGGAGUCUCUCCCCAUCUGUGGGAAUAGUACCCUGGAGCUGGAGGCAUGAAUCGCCAUAGAGAUGUUAAAAACGGUGGCCGUCCAGCAGGCUCUAUUCUCAUACAACCGCGAUCGUCUGCACUCCAUGCCACAGGCAAGCCGCAAGAAGAGCCGCCCAGGUGACCCUCCGGCGAUUUCCAGCGACGCCCGUCGACAUGAACCUCUGGCUAAUCUGCCAGAGCCGCCAACUCCCAAUGCUCAGGCACUUGUCAUCGCUUCCCGGGCCGCUCGGUUGGCCUAGGCGGAAGCGGCAGCGGCCGUGGCGAGACAAGGAGUUCCGGGUUAUGCUCAACUAGCCUCGGGACAUGGUGGGCAAGGUAGGAAUGUUGGAGUUCCUUGCCUAUCUCUCGCCCUGCGGAAUGAACUUCAAAGGUCCCCGUAAGGUGCCCAACUACACUCCUGAUCUCGAGCCGGGGGCGUGGGUGGAAAGUUAUGAGCUAGCCAUGGACAUGCUCGAUGCUAGUGAUGCGGUCUGCGCCAAGUACUUCACCAUGAUGUUGGAAGGGUCGGCUCAUACGUGGUUAAAGAACCUACCGCCAAACUCCAUCAACACUUGGGCAGAACUCAAAGAGUGUUUUGUCAAGAACUUUCGCGGGACUUGCAAGCGUCUGAUGACUAUUGUAGAUCUCCAGCACUGUGUUCAGCAGGCAGAUGAAUUCGCUCAUCAUUGGACCCGACGGGUCGCGGAAAUUAUCCACUCCUCGAACGAUAUCUCGGCGGCUGAGGCCAGUGUUGAUUUUGGAGAAGAACUGUCAUUUCAAACCCCUCGUGUUGAAGCUUGGCCGCCUCAAGUGAAAGGUGUAGGGUAUGGGCAAGUUGAUGGAUACCCUCACCAGGUAUGUUGAGUCGGACGGGACGAAGGACGCCGGCUCUUAUGACGAGAAGAUCAGUGAAGCUAAAAUAGGUGAAGGAGGCAAGGGCCACCACCAACACUCCGGGCGCAAUAAUAACCAAGGAGGUCACGGAAAGAGGAGGCAGCAGGAUGGCGUCUCUGAUUUUGUUGCUAACACCAAUAUCAGGCCACGAAAUCAACGACGGAACACGAAUCAGGGCGGUUUCCAAGACCAAGGCUUCACUAGGAGGAAGCCGCGUAAUUAUGAGGAUAUGCUCAAGGGACCUUGCCCAAGCACAGUACCCCAGGUGCCCCGUCUACUCAUUCUUGGGAAAAUUGCUUUGUGAUGCAGGAAUUUCGCCUUCAGGCGUCCUGGGCCAUCAAGGACGUGGCGAAGGUGCCCAGCAGGAUCCGUUUGGUCCGGGCAGGUCACGUGGCUCCUCAUACGGUGAUUUUGUUAACCCGGGGGCUCAAGGGCAAGGCGACUCGCACCACAAUGGUGGACAACCGUCAGGCCCAGGUGGACAGCAGUAUAACGACCGGGGCGAGUUCUAGCAGCCAAAUAACCAGGGCGGGUUUCAGAGCAACCCUAAGCAGCUGAAUGCUGGACAAUACCAUGUCUUUACCACGAGAUCUUGCAAGAGAGACAAGAAGGUGAGGCAGAGGACUAUCAGUAUGACUGAGCCGACAGUUCCGAGAUACUUAAAUUGGUCUGAGCAGCCUGUGACAUGGAGAAGGGCCGAUCAUCCGCCUCAGAUUGAUAACCCUGGCGAGUUGGCAUUAGUGGUGGCGCCUCAGGUUGGAGGGUAUACCCUUUCUAAGGUCCUUAUGGACGGAGGUAGCAAUAUCAAUAUUUUAUACUAUGACACCUUCCAGCAGAUGAAUUUCACUGAAAAGAACUUAAUGCCCUCGACCACGGUCUUUCUAGGCAUCGUACCGGGUAAGUCGGUAUACCCCGUUGGGCGGAUUAAGUUGAAUGCGACUUUCGGUGAUGAGUCCAAUUACAGAAGCGAGUCAUUGACGUUCGAAGUCGUCAAGAUCAAGAGCCCUAAUCACACUUUGUUUGGACGGUCGGCUUACGCCCGUUUCAUGGCCUGACCUUGCUAUGUGUACCUGAAGUUCAAAAUGCCGGGUCUCAAUGGCACCAUUAUGGUCGAUGGAAACAAAAAGAUAGCCCAUGAGUGUGAAGAAGGGGAUGUCGCUUACGCUGAGUCGGCAUGUGCUAUCGAAGAGCUGAAGUUCCACAAAGAAAAUGUGGAUCCAGCUGAGAUGAGCCCGUUGAAGAGACACACGGUUGACUCUGAACCACCCCUUAAGUUUACACCGGUGGACGAUACCAAGCAGGUGGAUUUUGUCCCUGGCGACUCUUCAAAGCAGUUCACCAUUGGGACCGGCUUGGAUCCCAAAUAGGAAAGCGCUCUCAUCGAAUUCAUCUAUGAGAAUCGGGACAUGUUCGCAUGGAAACCUUCUGACAUGCAAGGUGUGCCGAGAAAAUUCGCCGAGCACCAUCUCAAUGUAGAUCCCAAGAUGAAGCCGGUUCGUCAAUACCUUCGUCAUUUUAAUGAGGUGAGGCGCAAGGAGAUUGGAGAAGAAGUCGCCCGACUGUUAGCUGUUGGUUUCAUCGUCGAAGUCUUUCACCCUGAAUGGUUGGCUAAUCUGGUCUUGGUUCUCNNNNNNNNNNNNNNNNNNNNNNNNNNNNNNNNNNNNNNNNNNNNNNNNNNNNNNNNNNNNNNNNNNNNNNNNNNNNNNNNNNNNNNNNNNNNNNNNNNNNUAUAAUAAUAACCAACUUAUUAUUGCCUCUAGGGCAUAUUUCCAACACCUUCAUUGGUGGAGCCUUCUGUGGACUCGUACAACCGUUAUCCUUUGUGGAUUGACAUCUCCAUCAGCGUGGAUGUACGAUAGCACCACGUACUGAAACCAUACGAAACAAUCUUCAUGUCCCCAUAGCGUUUGCAUAUCUACAAACCCUUCGUCUACUUAGUAUCACUUGCAAAGUCUCUACUUUCUGCUCCUGCUCUAUUGGACUUGCAUGUGUAGGGUGCUUGUGGACUUGUUAGAAUUGCUAAAAUCUGCCCAGAACUAAAAUUAGGAAAAUGCUAGAUUUGUAUUCGACAAGUAGUCUAAUGACCCUCCACUAGACCCACUCAUGAUCCUACGCUAGCCAUGGCCGCACCCCUUCCCCUUCUUCAACGUGCACGACUUGCUCACAGGUGCGACAGAGCGAGCCUGCUUGCCCAUGGGAUUGGGCAUGCCGAUUUUGCGGUGACAGAGGAGGCGUGGGUGGUAGGAGGCACAAGGCCUGCGGGAGGAGGGGCACAUGCGUUGGCGCUCCGCCAAACAACGGCGCACUAGGCAACGGGGUUUGCUACCACAUCUGUUGUGGCACGAUGGUGAUCCCGCAUGUCAAGCAGAGUGAUGCGUGAAGUUUCACGCAGGAGAUGGAAGGUACUUGGCCGCAAGUUUUACAUGACAACUCAUCUUCCAUAACUGGAUAAGAGGUUAGGCAGAUUUUAUGGGAUCCCCUUUUUGUGGACAUAUACGAAAAGAGUUGGAGCACUUUUGUUGCCGAAUUUCUCCUAAAGCACGAUUAUUUUACGGAUACGAGAACUAUUGAAGAUGUUAUUAGAGAAAUACUCCUAAUGCAUUGGGAGUGCCAUAAGAGACUUGAUACCCAAGAAGAACCCUCUAUAGAAAGACCUAGUCUUGGAGAUCUAAAUCAAGGAUUAAAUUCCUCGAGAAAGGAACCAACAACCAGAAGGCACCUUCUCCAUCUGGGUUUAUUAAGUCCCCUCUUGUUUUGGCCUAAAAUUUGACCUAUAAAUUUCACUAAAAAAGGUAAACUACAUGUCAUAAAAAUUAUACCGUUGUAUUUCUGUUCAAACAAAAACCAAACGAAAUAGUUUGUAGCAUAUACUCUAUAUUUCAUUAGUUGUAUAUAGAUUGUCAAUCUGGCUCAAAAUAUGAGGGGAGGUGGUAGUACUCUCUCCGUUCUUUUUUUGUCUCCAUUUUAGAUUUGUUCUAAGUCAAAUUUUAUAUACUUUGACCAAGUUUAUAUUAAAAAAAUCAACAUCUAUAGCACUAAAUAAGUACUCCCUCUGUUCCUAAAUAUUUAUCUUUUUAGAGAUUCAACAAUGAACUACACACAAAGAAAAAUGAAUGAAUCUAUAUUCUAAAUUAUGUCUAUAUACAUUCGUAUGUACUUCCUCCGUUCCUAAAUAUAAGACCUUUUAGAGAUUGUACUAUUAACCACAUAUGCAUGUACAUAGACAUAUUUUAGAGUAUAGAUUCACUCAUUUUGCUACGUAUGUAGUCUUCUAGUAAAAUCCUUAAAAGGUCUUAUAUUUUGAAACGGAGGGAGUAGUUCAUAGUAAAAUCUCUAAAAAGACAAAUAUUUAGGAACGGAGGGAGUACAAUAUAAAAGUAUAUUCCAAAUGCAUGUGAUGCAAUUGAUUUGAUAUUAAGAGCACUAAUAUUUUUCUACAAAUUUGGUUAAACUUUACAAAUGAUAUUUUUAUAGGAGAAAGGUAGGAGCACUAUCCAAUCCAUUAAGAUAGAAAUAGGUGAACAAAGGUUAAUUACAAGACAGAAUCCCAAGAACAAAAAUUCUAGUCCACAAUUACUACAGGCAGAGAGAAUGAAACAGCUAAAAUCGAGAUCCGAAAGCCAGCCUCAGAAGUUUAAUGUGCUCCAUGACAAGGUGGGCAACAUUAAGUACGGUCAGGAAGGAGCAAGUGAACAUAUAACGGUUCCGCUCCUUUCAAAUGGUUCACAACACGUAGAUAAUGCACGAUCAAUUUUAUAAAGCUUGACUUUAGUGAGAGCUAAUGUGCAGAGUAAAAAAGGAUGAGACAGAGUACUAGUGAAACGUUUACAAGUAGUCACGGACUGGUGGCCCGCCGAAUUUAACAGUCUAUGGGUCCGCAUGUCACUAUGUCAGGGACUGUCCCUCGUAAUUUUGGCCGAGCACGCGCUUCAUCUUCAUAUUCCAGGUACGCGCCUACGACCCAGCAGAGCUGCCUACUGCACUAGUACUCUAGUAGGUGAGCCCAUCAGCCUCUUUCUUGUGGUGAGACAGGGAGAAAAUGUGGAUUUAAGCAUGCAUGGAAAGUAGCGAAACCAUUCGGCAUGGAGUGAUUGCGGAGAUGAAAUCGAUGAUGAGAUGAUUGAGGGUGCGAUUGAUGAGAUGGGAAGGAGGCGCUCCGNNNNNNNNNNNNNNNNNNNNNNNNNNNNNNNNNNNNNNNNNNNNNNNNNNNNNNNNNNNNNNNNNNNNNNNNNNNNNNNNNNNNNNNNNNNNNNNNNNNNUACUUAUCAUAAAUUCUAUAGUGCUCCCACUCACUUCUUUGGAAAUACAAGUUUCUCAUAAACCUUGUAAAAACCCAAAAGCUUUGAUCAUCUUAUCAAAGUGUAUAUUCCAACUCCGAGAUGCUUGCACCAGUCCAUAUAAGGAUCGCUGGAGCUUGCAUACUUGUUAGCAUCCUUAGUAUCGACAAAACCUUUUGGUUGUAUCACAUACAACCUUUCCUCAAGGAAACCGUCGAGGAAACAAUAUUUUGACAUCCUAUGUGCAAUAUUUCAUAAAUAAUGCAGCAACCGCUAACAUAAUUCGAACAGACUUUUAGCAUCGCUACGAGUGACAAAGUCUCAUCAUAGUCAACUCUUUGAACUUGUCGGAAACAUCUUUGCGACAAAUCGAGCUUUUCUUAAUGGUGACUUUUCACCAUCAUCGGUUGUCUUCCUUUUAAAGAUCCAUCUGUACUUAAUAGUCUUACGACCAUCAAGUAGUUCUUCCAAAGUCUACACUUUGUUUUCAUACAUGGAUCCUCUCUCGGAUUUCAUGGCCUCGAGCCAUUUGCCGAAAUCCGGGCCCACCAUCGCUUCUCCAUAGCUCGUAGGUUCAUUGUUGUCCAACAACAUGACCUCCAAGACAGGGUUACCGUACCACUCUGUAGCAGUACGUGACCUUGUUGACCUACGAGGUUUGUAGUAACUUGAUCCAAAGUUUCAUGAUCACUAUCAUUAGCUUCCACUUCAAUUGGUGUAGGCGCCACAGGAACUUCCUGUGCCCUGCUACACACUGGUUGAAGUGACGGUUCAAUAACCUCAUCAAGUUCUACCAUCCUCCCACUCAAUUCUUUCGAGAGCAACUUUUCCUCGAGAAAGGACCCGUUUCUAGAAACUAACACUUUGCUUCCGGAUCUGAGAUAGGAGGUAUACCCAACUGUUUUGGGUGUCCUAUGAAGAUGCAUUUAUCCUCUUUGGUUCAAGCUUAUCAUGCUGAAACUUUUCCACAUAAGCAUCGCAGCCCCAAACUUUUAAGAAACGAUAGCUUAGGUUUCUCCAAACCAUAGUUCAUACGGUGUUAUCUCAACGGAAUUACGUGGUGCCCUAUUUAAAGUGAAUGCGGUUGUCUCUAAUGCCUAACACAAAAUGAUAGUGGUAUUUCAAUAAGAAAUAUCAUAGUAUGCGCUAUAUCCAACAGGGCGCGGCUAUCACGUUCGGACACACCAUCACACUAUGGUGUUCUAGGUGGCAUGAAUUGCGAAACAAUUUCCACAUUGUCUUAACUGUGUACCAAAACUCGCAACUCAGAUAUUCAUCUCUAUGAUCAUAUCGUAGACAGUUUAUCCUCUUCUCACGGCGAUCUUCACUUUGAAAUAGCUUUGAACUUUUCAAUAUUUCAAACUUUUGAUUCAUCAAGUAAAUACUCCUGUAUCUACUCAAAUCGCCAGUGAAGUAAGAACGUAACAAUAUCCACUGCGUGCCUCAACACUCAUUGGACUGCACACAUCAAAAAUGUAUUACUUCCAACAAGUUACUUUCUUGUUCCAUCUCAUUGGAAAACGAGGCCUUCAGUCAUCUUGCCCAUGUGGUAUGAUUUGCAUGUCUCAAGUGAUUCAAAAUCAAGUGAGUCCAAACUAUCCAUCAGCAUGGAGUUUCUUCAUGCCUUUAUACCAAUAGGUAUGGUUUGCAUGUCUCAAACGUUUCAAAAAUAAGUGACUACAAAGAUCCAUCAGCAUGGAGCUUCUUCAUGCAUUUUAUACCAACAUGACUCAAGUGGUAGUGCCACAAGUAAGUGGUACUAUCAUUACUACUUUGUAUCUUUUGGCAUCAAUAUUAUGAAUAUGUGUAGCACUAUGAUCGAGAUUCAAAAAACCAUUGAAGGUAAUUAUUCAAGCAAAUAGAAUAACCAUUAUUCACUUUAAAUGAAUAAUCGUAUUGCAGUAAACACGAUCCAAUCAUGUUCAUGCUCAACGCAAACACCAAAUAACAAUUAUUUAGGUUUAACACCAAUCCUGAUGGUAGAGGGAGCAUGCGAUGUUUGAUCGCAUCAACCUUAGAAUUACUUCAACACACAUCGUCACCUUACCCUCGCUAGUAUCCUUUUAAUCUGUUGCUAUAACUUCGAGUUACUAACACUUAACAACUGAACCGGUAUCUAAUACCCUGGGGCUACUAGGAGUACUAGUAAGGUACACAUAAAUAUCAGGUAUAUCCAAUAUACUUUUGUCGACUUUGCCGGCCUUCUCAUCUACCAAGUAUCUAGGGUAGUUCCGCCUCAGUGACCGUUUCCCUCAUAACAGAAGCACUUAGUCUCUAGCUUGGGUUCAACCCUGGGUUUCUUCACUAGAGCAGCAACUGUUUUGCCAUUUCAUAAAGUACCCCUUCUUACCCUUGCCCUUUCUUGAAACUAGUGGUUUUACGAACCAUCAACAAUUGAUGCUCCUACUUGAUUUCUACUUUCGCAGUGUCAAACAUUGCGAAUAGCUCAAGGAUCAUGAUAUGUAUCCUUGAUAUGUUAUAGUUCAUCACGAAGCCCUAGUAGCUUGGUGGCAGUGACUUUGGACAACCAUCACUAUCUCAUCUGGGAGAUCAACUCCCAGACGAUUCAAGCGAUUGUAGCACUCAGACAAUCUGAGCACAUGCUUGAUACGUCCAUUUUGCAUCAUGCUUUCUGAAAGUGCGUUAUAUCGACUAGAGGGGGGGUGAAUAGGAGAUUUUUAGAAUUUCAUCACUGAGGAAAUUCCUUUUGAGGAAAUUCCUCACUGAUGACUAACUUACAGCGGAAACAGUUAAGGAUCAGUUGUGCAAUCGUUCACAAUGGCAGUAUUACAGAGUGAAGAUUAUGAAAACAGAUUGCACAGCAAGCAGGCACGCAGAAUACAGAUGAUGAUUUACUCAAGUGAGGAAUUUGGGGUUGAGGAAAUUCAGAGAAAGUCUUCAGCAAAUUCUUCCAACAGUCACAGUGAAAGUCAUCAACACAUAAUACAGAGAAUGUAAAGAGUUGAGGAAUUAGAACCCGAUUCUUGGUGAAGACUGUUGUUGAUGACCCAGUUCCAACUGCUGUGAUAGUUGUACAUCUGGUUUGGAGCGGCUUGGUAUUUAAACCAAAGGACACCCAGUCCCGGGACACACAGUCCCUACCGUAUUCUCCUUGAGCUAAGGACACACNNNNNNNNNNNNNNNNNNNNNNNNNNNNNNNNNNNNNNNNNNNNNNNNNNNNNNNNNNNNNNNNNNNNNNNNNNNNNNNNNNNNNNNNNNNNNNNNNNNNNNNNNNNNNNNNNNNNNNNNNNNNNNNNNNNNNNNNNNNNNNNNNNNNNNNNNNNNNNNNNNNNNNNNNNNNNNNNNNNNNNNNNNNNNNNNNNNNNNNNNNNNNNNNNNNNNNNNNNNNNNNNNNNNNNNNNNNNNNNNNNNNNNNNNNNNNNNNNNNNNNNNNNNNNNNNNNNNNNNNNNNNNNNNNNNUCUUCACGCUUCAAUUUCUUCAGAACGAUUUUCUUCAGGAACCACCGAUCUUCUCAAUAUCAAUAUCUUCAUGAGGAAUAUCAAUUUCAUCGCAAAUUCUUCGCGAUUCAUUUCUUCAGCUUCAGACCAAUUUCUUCAACUGAAGACAUAUAUUUUUAGGGGUCGAUAUUCUACAAAUAUCUCAAACUCCUCAAUGACUUAUAGAUCCUGUGUACACUUAAAAACACAUUAGAUACUUAACCUAUAAGUCUUCAAACCACCAAAAUCACUAAGGGGCACUAGAUGCACUUACAAUCUCCCCCUUUUUGGUGGUUGAUGACAAUUAGGUUAAGUCUUCAACAGGGAUCAAAAAUAUGAAGUGUAAAUACUCAUUUGAGGAAUUUGAAAACAAGAUUCACAGAGACUCCCCCUGAAGAUGUGCAUACCUUGAGGAUUUUGCUUUUAUAGCAUAUGCACAUUGAUGAUUUAUAUCAUGGAGAUCUCCCCCUGAAUCUUGUAAAUCAUGCAUACAUAUAACAUAUCAUAUGAAGAAAAUGAAGAUGCAUGAUGGCAAAUGGUAUCUGACGAAUUCCAGCAUGCGUGCAUUAAAACUUGAGGAAUAAGCAUGCGAAGAAAAACAUUCAAACAGCGUCAGAGUACCAUCGGGCUUAAGUUACAACUCAUUACAUAAAAACUUCAGAAGAGCCAAGAGUUUGUAACUUAAAUAUAGUUCAUAAGCCCCAAAAAUAAAUCCUGUUUGAAGACUAACUCUCAAGUUUCUCCCCCUUUGUCAUCAAGGGACAAAAAGGGACAAACUGAGGACUAACGCUCGUGAAGACUUCAUUGCUGGGCAGUUGAUGAAGAUCCUUGGCGCUUCUUUGGUGUAGUCUUCUUCCUUGGGCCUAUCGUGGUGUCAAGUUGUUCCUCAUCAGAUUCGGCGGUGCGAAAGGACGAGAAGGAACUGUCUUCAAGAUCUGGCAUAGGAAUGGGCCUGAACUUCUUCUUGGGAGGCCACGACCAGUCAAAGUCCUGCUCAAAGUUCAAUUCUUCAAGCUCAGUCUGGGUCUUCAGAUGUGCAAGGGUAGCCCAGGUGCGAUCAAAAACCUCAUGCAGAUAGUGAUUAUUAAGCUUCACACUGUUCUGUGUCUCAGUGAGGGUUUUCACAAUGGCACCAAACUGGCGUUUGACCCAUUUGUGAUUGUGAUCCACCUUCUGAUGAAGACUGAGGAGAAGUUCUCUGGUGUUUAGCACGCGAGGAGGAACAGGGCUUGGCGGACGUGACUCAGUGUCGUCCCAUGAGGAAUAUGCAUCUGGUUCUUUGAACUGGCCAUCAAGGGGCCUGCUUCCUUCAUCAAUCACAGACUUUCAUUUUCCCUCAAUGGGCUCGAAAGUCUUCUUGUUGACCCGGAUAGGAGGCAUAUAACCAACAUGGUUCUGGAAAUCUGCGUGAAAGUUGAUGCCUAUCCUUGUCUUGAGGAAUCUCAUGAUCCAUGGUGCAUAGAUUUUGUGAUCAUAGGGGCACAUUGCAUUGUCAGCCAAAGUCCUCAAGAAGAAAUCAUGGAUAUUCAUGGGGAUACCGUGAAUGAUGUUGAAGAGGAUGUUCUUCAUGAGGCCGACGACAUCUUCGUCAUCAUCAUGGCCUUUGAUUGGCGCUAGCACACUGCAGAGAAUGCGGUAGACAGACCGUGGUGUGUACUUUAGCUCAUGGACGAGGAAUGUGGUUCUUGAGGGUUUUCCUGCAGCCAAAGGCUUCAUGAGGACUUCCAUCAUUCCAUUUGGCAGCUCACGCUCACCAUAAAGCUUCACUGCCCCUUCUGAAGGAAUUGGUACGGGCAGUUCUCUGAGGAGUUCAGACGCUGGAGCCUUGUAGUGAGUAUUUUGAGUCAUCCAGUCGAACACCCAAGUGUUGAUGUCAUCAGCAUUGCCCGAGAUGUGCAGAGUUGAAUAGAAGUGAAGAAUUAGCUCACUAUUCCAAUCUGAUAUGUCGGAGCACAUAGAGAGCAAACCUGCAUCAUGUAGUACACUGAGGACUGAUUCCAUGCAGGGAAUUUCUUCAAGGUCAGCAUGAGGAAUGUGCCUGUGCUGGAAUAUCUUGUUGCGGCCACAGAGCACAGAAGCAUAGUAGUUCAUAUGCGUCCUUGUCCAAAACUUCAGAUGCCUCAUUUGAGGCUUGUCAUAAGGAUUCUCUCCGAUGAAAUACAUACGUUCCUCAAAGAAAUUCUCUUUCUGAAACUUGGGCCUCUUCGAGAAUGGCAGGCGCUGAACUGGAUUUAGAUUGUGCUGAGGAAUGGGAGGGGAAACAACCAUGGCAGAUUCUGGGUUGAGGACAAUGAAUUCAUUGUCAGGGGCGGGAACAUUUUCUUCAGCAGUUUCCUCAGGAUGAGGAAUUUCUUGUUCUAGCUGAGCAUCAGGCUGAGGAAUUUCUUCAUCCUUCUCAGCUUGAGGAGUUUGAUCAGCUUGUUCAGUGGGAGGAGCCUGCUCAGACUGGACAUUUUCUUCAGCUUGAUUUUCAUCAGCUGACUUUGUGGCAGAAGCAGAUUCAUCAGCUGCUGUAGCUGAGGCUUCAGUAGUCUCUUUCUGAGGAAUAUGAGGUUGAGGACUGUCGUCAAUCUGUAUUUCCUCAUCAGUAUGCUCCUCAGAGGUAGCAUCCUUCAUUUCCUCAUCUGCCCUCGCAGUGUGGUCACCAACGACGACCAUUUCAAAUGAGGGUGCAACAUUAAGAGGCACCGGGUCGAGUGGGGCAGAUUCUUCAAUUUCCUUGAGGCGUUUUGCCUCAAUCUUUUCUUCUGCUGAGGAAGCUUUUCUCUUCUUCUCUUCCUUCUCGGCAGCCCUUGUCUUUUUCGCGUCUGAUGCAGACGGGAUUAACUUCUUCACCUUUGAUGUUUUUGGGGAAGGUGUAUUCUUAACAGAUUCUUCAGCUGGCAGUGAGGAACCAGCUGGAACAUAGUCAUCAGCCUGCUUUGGUGAAGCAGCUGGAUCGGUAGCAGUUUCAUCAGGAGCAGUCUCAGUGAUGAGUUCCUCAAUGGCCGGCUCAUCAGCACGGCGCUCUUGGUAUUGUUCCUCAGCUUGAGGAAUUUCCUCCUCAACAGGAGAUGCAUCUUUUGGCUGUUCAACCAGGGGUUGAGGAGUUGGUGCUGGUGGGGGGUGACGUCUGUUGUAGUCAUCAACAGCACUAGUGGCUAGCUUGAUGAAAUUGCUUUUGAUGCUUCUGCGAUCUGACAGUUUCUCACACUUGUCAGUCAAAACUUGCAGCUCUGCCUGGGUGGACACCAAUGCUUCAGGCGUCAGCUUGAGAACAUUUUGCCUGAGGAAUUUCUCCUUUCUGGCCUUUGCAAUCUUUGCCUGCUUGGCCUUCUGUUCCUUCCACUUGGCUUCAUUUAUGAAAGUAGCCACCAUGUGGCUGACACCAGGAGGAAGUUUCAAAUCAUCAAUAGGUGUGUUUGGGUCUUCGUACCACACAUUGAUGAAAUCGAGGAGGACCUUGGGGUCCAUUGCCAGAGGAAUAGCACUGCCUGAUGCUUGUGCUACCCUUUCUUGCUUGUUCCUGAUGAUGGCUUCCAGAGUUUCAUCAUCAUAUUCUUCACUUCCCUCUGAUGCAGACGGGACUGUGAUGAUUUUGCUUGGGCUGGGCAGAGGUGCAGGUUCAGUAGUUGCCAAAGUCUUCACAUGGGGUGUGCAAGACUUUGUCUCCGAGCUAGUUGCAGCUGGGAGUGAGGAGCUAGAGCUGGCAGUCGUAGUCUUCACGACUUUCUUUUGUACUGGCUUUGGAGGUGGAGCUGAGGACUUUGGUGUAGAUGAGAUUGGUGCUGAGGGUUUUGGCGCUGAUGGUUUUGGUGUGGACGGUUUUGGAACCGAGGGUUUUGGAGCUGAGGGUUUGGUGACUGAAGCCUGUGCAAACUUUUCUUGGGGUUUUGAAGCUUUUGCCUUUGCUGGCACAGACUUUGGUUGAGGAAUCUCGGAGCCUGAGGUUUCUGCUGCUGAGGAAUGAGCAGCACCGGAGGCAGCAGCUGAAGAUUCAUGAAAUUUCUUCACUGCUGUUUCUGCUUGCUUCUUGAGCUUGGCCAGAUGCCUUUCUUUUUCCUCUGGGUAGUCAUCAAGUGUCAUAAGACUUGAGGGAUGAGCAACUUGAUGAUCCUCAAGCGGGGCCCUUCUACCAGGAGGCUUUAAGGCGAAUUUCUUCGCAUACUUUGGAGUCACAAACCUGUACUCCUUCCACUCCUUUGCCCAUCUGCGUUCAAUUUUCUACAGCCUAAUCUUCCUUUUAGGCAUAGUCUCAGGUUCAUCAUCAGGCGUGCAGUAGUCUAGGUAUAUGUUAUCAGGAAUGUCCACAGCUGUGUUCUGCUCCAGUUUCUUUCCUCCCUUCUGUUUCCUUUCUUCCUCCAUUUUCUUCAGACGAGGAACUUUCUGAGGAUUUUGAACUCUUGAGGAUUCUGAUGAGCCUUGAAGAGUUUCUUCCAGAAACGCUGCAAAUGAGUUAAUGUGAUGAGAACCGAGAGAUUCAUCAGCUGACAUGUGUGUACCUGUGAACAGAGUAUAGUUGCGAGGAAUUUGGAGAGGUCAUAUGCGUUCUCAAAUUUGAAGAAAAAGGAAAGGUUUGACAGUUUGAGGAAUAUAACCAGUGGUUGAGGAAUUUGCUUAAGCAUUCUGUUCUUGGGUUCCAGAGNUUGCAGCUGGGAGUGAGGAGCUAGAGCUGGCAGUCGUAGUCUUCACGACUUUCUUUUGUACUGGCUUUGGAGGUGGAGCUGAGGACUUUGGUGUAGAUGAGAUUGGUGCUGAGGGUUUUGGCGCUGAUGGUUUUGGUGUGGACGGUUUUGGAACCGAGGGUUUUGGAGCUGAGGGUUUGGUGACUGAAGCCUGUGCAAACUUUUCUUGGGGUUUUGAAGCUUUUGCCUUUGCUGGCACAGACUUUGGUUGAGGAAUCUCGGAGCCUGAGGUUUCUGCUGCUGAGGAAUGAGCAGCACCGGAGGCAGCAGCUGAAGAUUCAUGAAAUUUCUUCACUGCUGUUUCUGCUUGCUUCUUGAGCUUGGCCAGAUGCCUUUCUUUUUCCUCUGGGUAGUCAUCAAGUGUCAUAAGACUUGAGGGAUGAGCAACUUGAUGAUCCUCAAGCGGGGCCCUUCUACCAGGAGGCUUUAAGGCGAAUUUCUUCGCAUACUUUGGAGUCACAAACCUGUACUCCUUCCACUCCUUUGCCCAUCUGCGUUCAAUUUUCUACAGCCUAAUCUUCCUUUUAGGCAUAGUCUCAGGUUCAUCAUCAGGCGUGCAGUAGUCUAGGUAUAUGUUAUCAGGAAUGUCCACAGCUGUGUUCUGCUCCAGUUUCUUUCCUCCCUUCUGUUUCCUUUCUUCCUCCAUUUUCUUCAGACGAGGAACUUUCUGAGGAUUUUGAACUCUUGAGGAUUCUGAUGAGCCUUGAAGAGUUUCUUCCAGAAACGCUGCAGAUGAGUUAAUGUGAUGAGAACCGAGAGAUUCAUCAGCUGACAUGUGUGUACCUGUGAACAGAGUAUAGUUGCGAGGAAUUUGGAGAGGUCAUAUGCGUUCUCAGAUUUGAAGAAAAAGGAAAGGUUUGACAGUUUGAGGAAUAUAACCAGUGGUUGAGGAAUUUGCUUAAGCAUUCUGUUCUUGGGUUCCAGAGUUGUACAGAUCCGAAAAUUCGCACAAUUGAGGAAUCUCGUGAAAAUCUUAAAUGCUUAGCUAGUUCAUCAACGAUUGUGGUGAUGGAUAGUGUGUGAGGAAUCAUGUGUGCAUCGUAUCUUGAAGAAAAACAGAUUUCACAAGGGAGAGGUAAAAUUUUAGAUCUAAUCUGUUGUAAAAAUGGGAUAUAUUUACCCUGGAAGGUGCGAACGAAGAACACAAAAAGGUGGUGUUGAAGAGGCUCUUCGUUCAAGUGUCCAAUGUACCCUAACUUGGCAGCAGAGGACGUCUACGGCGGCGGCGGACGUAGAUGUUCCGUCUCCGGCGUGAUCCUGGCGGCGAGAAGGUUGAGGCAGUGAAGCUCUUCCUUGCCGGCGUCAAGACUUCCAGCGGUGGCGCUAGGGUUCGGUGUGCUGUGGCAGGAGAGUGAUGAGGCGAAGAAGAUGAUACCGAGGGGGUUAAGGACAUAUUUAUAGCCCGAAAGUUACUGUUUGGCGCGAAAGUUUCGGACCGAAUAGCCCUUGCCUCUACGUCUCCGCAGGACACGUGUAGCUCCCGUACGAUGCGGUGGAGAUAGUGGAGAUCGUGGCUAUCCAAUCGUGGGAAGUGGGGGUUCAGUUACUGUUCCUUUGAAGAAAACAAUUUUUCGAAGAUUUGAGGAUUUUCGUUACAAAAUCAUCAGCUGACAAGGAUGCAGUGAGGAUUUGGAACAAAGUUUCAAGUAGAACGCAUAUGAAGAAUUGAAUAGACUGGAUAAGUAUAGCAUAGAGGGAAGAUCGGGUCCGAUCACAUUCACUUAGCAGAAACAUCAACUUGAAGAAAUAGCAAUAAGUGAAUGCUGUUGAGGACUAGAAAUCUCAGUCUACCUAGGCAAAUGAAAGUCAUCAAGUGUUUUUGAAGAUUUUGCAAUAGAUCAUCACAAUGAAGAACAACUGUUUUGAAGAAAAAUGCAUUGUGAGGAAUUUCACAUUGGGCGGUGGCGUUGCCCACCAUAUAAGAAAGUUGAUUACAGACGCCGCGUACAAUUGUCGUAGGGCCCUGAGAAUCAAUUUCUUCGUUAAUUUCUUCACAUUCAGAGUGACUUUCUUCAUCGGUUGAAGAAAAUCGUUUCAUCAUGUGUUGCACAUCUAAGUCAUCAACUUUGCGUAAGUGUUAGGAUGUGUGCAUGUUUUUACAAAACAUUUGAAGACUCUAGGAUAUUUAGCUCACACCGCAACUUGCAAAACCUUUUCUCAUCCAAGGGCUUAGUGAAGAUAUCAGCCAGUUGAUCAUCAGUCUUCACAUGGUCGAUGAGGAUAUUGCCCUUGAGGACAUGGUCCCUAAGAAAAUGAUGACGAAUCUGGAUGUGCUUGGUCUUCGAGUGUUGUACUGGGUUGUAGGCAAUCUUGAUGGCACUCUCAUUGUCACAGUAGAGAGGCACAUUCUUCAUGUUGAUGCCGUAGUCCUUGAGGGUUUGCUUCAUCCAUAGUAAUUGAGCACAGCAAGAACCAGCAGCAAUGUACUCAGCUUCGGCAGUGGAGAGUGAUACGCAGUUCUGCUUCUUUGAGGACCAGCAAACAAGUGAUCUUCCGAGGAAAUGGCAUGUGCCAGAUGUUGACUUGCGAUCCACACGGUCACCAACAUAGUCUGAAUCAGAAUACCCUACCAGAUGAAGAUUGGAGCCCUUGGGAUACCAUAAUCCUAGUGUUGGUGUGUGAGCUAAGUAUCGAAGAAUAUGUUUCACAGCCUUAUGGUGUGAUUCCUUCGGUUUUGCUUGAAAACGUGCACACAUGCAAACACUAAGCAUUAUGUCUGGCCUAGAUGCACAUAGAUAUAAUAAAGAGCCAAUCAUAGAACGGUAUACCUGCUGAUCGAAAUCUUUACCAUUUUCAUCAGUGCCGAGGUGACCAUUGGUAGGCAUUGGAGUCUUGGCACCUUUGCAUUCAUGCAUGUCGAAUUUCCUCAGAACAUCCUUGAGGUAUUUCUCCUGUGAUAUGAAGAUUCCAUUGUUUUGUUGACGAAUUUGAAGACCUAAGAAGAAUUUCAGCUCCCCCAUCAUAGACAUCUGAUAUUCUUCACUCAUCAUAUAGGCAAAUUCAUCACUGUAUCUUUUGUCAGUACAACCAAAUAUGAUAUCAUCAACAUAAAUUUGACAUACAAACAGUUCAUUAUCAUAAGAUUUUGUGAAAAGAGUUGGAUCGAGUGAACCAGGUUUGAAGCCUUUCUUCAUGAGGAAUUCCUUCAAUGUAUCAUACCAUGCCCGAGGGGCUUGCUUGAGGCCAUACAGAGCCUUCUUGAGUCUGAAGACUUUGUUUGGAUUCUUUGGAUCCUCAAAACCUGGGGGCUGAGCAACAUAUACUUCUUCCUCAAGCUUACCAUUGAGGAAUGCACUUUUCACAUCCAUUUGAUAUAAGAUGAUGUUAUGAUGAUUAGCAUAAGCAAGUAGAAUUCGAAUAGCUUCAAGUCUAGCAACAGGUGCAAAAGUUUCAUCGAAAUCUAUUCCUUCAACCUGGGUGUAGCCUUGGGCUACAAGUCGUGCCUUGUUCCUCACCACUUGACCGUCCUCAUAUUGCUUGUUUCGGAAAAUCCACUUGGUGCCGAUGAUGUUAUGCUUGCGAGGAUCGGGUCGUUUGACGAGCUCCCAUACGUCAUUCCGCUUGAAUUGAAGAAGUUCGUCUUGCAUGGCUUGGAUCCACUCCGGUUCCAGAAAAGCCUCAGCUACUUUUGAGGGUUCUGUGAUAGAUACAAAAGAGAAAUGCCCACAAAAGUUAACUAAGUGUGAAGCUUUUGAGCGAGUGAGAGGACCUGGCGCGUUGAUGUCGUUGAGGAUUUUGUCAAGUUCUACUUCAUUUGCAAUCCUCGGAUGAGCUGGUUGAGGAUUUUGUCUGGGCUGAGGAAGUGGUGUUGUUGCAAUUUCCUCAGGAACAUCUUCUUGUCUUUCAUCAGUGAUGGGGAUUGUUUCUUCACCAAUUUCCUUAGUGGGAACAAUGUCUUCAUUAGGUUUAAGCUUUAUUGCUUCCUCAGGAGACAGCUUAUCUGGAUCAGAAGGCAAUUGCUCUCUUUGCGAGCCAUUAGUUUCAUCGAACCGCACAUCUACAGUCUCAACAACUUCGUUGUGAUAGUUGUUGAAGACUCUGUAGGUGUGCGAGUCCUUUCCGUAACCGAGCAUAAAACCUUCAUGUGCCUUAGGUGCAAAUUUUGAGCUAUGAUGAGGAUCUCUAAUCCAGCAUUUUGCACCGAAGACUUUGAAAUAACUUACAUUGGGUUUCUUGUCAGUGAGGAGUUCAUAUGAGGUUUUCUUGAGGAAUUUGUGAAGAUAUACCCUGUUGGUGAUAUGACAUGCAGUGUUGAUUGCUUCAGGCCAGAAGCGACGAGGAGUCUGAUAUUCUUCAAGCAUAGUUCUUUCCAUUUCAACCAGAGUCCUGUUCUUUCUUUCAACGACACCAUUCUGCUGAGGAGUAUAAGGAGCAGACAAUUCGUGAGUAAUACCAAGUUCAUCAAGAUAAUCAUCAAGACCAGUGUUUUUGAACUCGGUUCCAUUAUCACUCCUAAUAUGUUUGAUCUUGAUGCCGAAGUUCGUCGAGGCCCUUGAAUAAAAUCGUUUGAAGAUUUCCUGCACUUCGGUUUUAUACACUAUGAUAUGCACCCAGGUGUAUCUGGAAUAAUCAUCAACUAUGACAAAGCCAUAUAGAGAUGCUGCAUUGGUUAGUGUUGCAUAGUGAGUAGGUCCAAACAAAUCCAUAUGAAGCAAUUCAAAUGGACGGGUAGUGGUCAUGAUGGUUUUGGAGGGAUGCUUGGAUCUAGUCAUUUUCCCAGAUUCACAAGCACCGCAGAGAUGAUCCUUGAGGAAUUUGACAGAUUCGAUGCCAAUGACAUGCUUCUUCUUCGCAAGUGUGUGCAAAUUCCUCAUGCCUGCAUGACCUAGUCUUCGGUGCCACAGCCAUCCUUCUGAGGUUUUUGCUAGUAAGCAAGUGGCCGGUUGAGGACCUGUAGAGAAGUCAACAAUGUACAAAUCCCCUCUUCUUACACCUUCGAAGACUUUGGAUCUGUCAGAUUCCAUGAUGACUACACAUCUAUAUCUACCAAAGAUAACAAUCAUAUCAAGAUCACAAAGCAUCGAGACUGACAUGAGGUUAAAACCAACGGAUUCAACAAGCAUCACUUUGUCCAUAUGCCUAUCCUUGGAAAUAGCUACUUUGCCAAGUCCCAAUACCUUGCUUUUACCUUGAUCAACAUAUGUGAUUUGCUUCAGAGGUGAUGGAGUUAGUGGCAUAUUCAUCAGUAGGCUUUUAUCACCAGUCAUGUGAUGUGUGCAGCCACUAUCGAGAACCCACUCAGUAUUUUUGGGUUUGUCAUCCUGCAAAUGAAUUAGUACAGCUUACCAUCUCAUAUGCUUCAAUGUUUGAAGAAUAUGAUACUAAUUUCAUCAUAACAGAAAUGUAAGGACGUGUGAAAUAUUUCUAUUUCAUCAAUCAUUAGCUUGCGUCCUAUCAAGCAUUUCCUCAGGUCUCCAGCAAAUUCUUCAGAUGAUGAUUUUCAUCUAGAGACCUGCCCUGCAGAAGUGAUUAGUUUGAUUUCUUCACCACCCACAUAUGAAGGGGUGGCAAAGCGUUCAUCAUCCUGCGAGCACCAUAUGAGAAAGGUGGCAUUGAAGUUAAUGCACUUCUCUUAACACUAGGGGGGUUAAAGUACUCAUAUGAGUAUGCAGAGAACUGGUUUGAGGGUUUAUGAACAUAAUGAUUUGAAGAAUAGCGCUCAUAAUCAUAUUCCUUGUAGUUUCCCUGCAUGUUAGACGCAUAAGCACGUGUAUGAGCAUAGUUUUGACCAGUUGAGGAUUUUGAUCCUCUUGAAGACUUUGGUCCUCCUGAGGAAUUUGAUCUAGGGUUCAGAUUCUUCAGAGGUGAUGUCAUGAGGACAUUCACUUGAAGAUUUUCAAGACAACUUUUGGGAACCCAGAUUUUCCUCAGAGGAGGGCCAUUCCUGCAGUUAGUUCCAACAUAUCGAGCAAAUACUUCACCAGAUUGAUUUUUGAACAGUUUACAGUUGGAAUCAAAUGACUCAUCAGAGGAAUAGGAUAAUUCACAUGAGAAGCCAGUUAGAUUUGAUGGAUCAAAAGGAGGCCCAGUAGCAGCAACCCAUGAGGUUUUGGGAUACUGCUCAGGUUUCCAAUAAGAUCCAUCAGCAUUCAGUUUCCUCUCAAAGGCAAUUCCUUCUUUCCUCGGGUUCCUGUUCAAGAUCUGCUUUUUGAGCACAUCACAAAGGAUUUGAUGUCCUUUAAGGCUUUUGUACAUGCCUGUCAAGUACAAUUCCUUCAACCCUGCAUUUUCAUCAGUGACAUUUGUAUUUUCCUCAAGUGAGGAAAUAGACACAACAGGUGCAGUUGAAGAAUUUGUAGCAGUGGUAGCAUUUGAAGAUUCUGGUGAAGAAUUAGCAGUUUCACGAUCAAUGCAUUUAAGACAUGGAGGAAUAAAUUCAACUUGACUAGCGCUGAUCUGUUGAGCUAGUAAUGAAUCAUUUUCAGUACGAAGAUCAUCAUAAGACAUCCUCAGCUUCUCAAGAUCAAGCUUCCUUUGAAGAAAUUCGUAGGAAAGCUUCUCAUGAUCAGUGAGGAGUGUAUCAUAACGAUCCUGAAGAAUAUCAAAUCUAGACUGAAGAUUUUUCAUGUCAUCAGCGAGGAUUUGAUUAAGAUUCAUUUCAUCAUUCAACAGAUCAUCACUUUUGUCUAGCAGUUUUUGAAGCUUUUCCAGAGCAGUUUGUUGUUUAGUGGCAAUGAUGGCAAGUUUACUGUAACUGGGUUUUUUGUAAUCAUCAUGUUCACAGUCACUUGAAUCAGAUGAGGAGGCAUUAUGUGAUACCUUUGAACCUUUUGCCAUGAAGCAAUAGGUUGGAGCAAAGUCAUCAGCAUAGUCAUCAGUAUGGAUGGUGCACUCAUUUUCUUCAUGAUUGAAGAUUGACUUGCUGACGAAAUUGGUUGCUAGUGCAAGACUAGCCUGUCCGGAUUCUGAAUCUUCUCCAGAGCCUUCUUCAUCAUCACAUUCUUCUGAUUCUGCCUCGGAAUCCAUUUCCUUGCCAAUAAGUGCCCGAGCCUUUCUGAAGCUAGUCUUCUUGUGUGAGGAGGACUUUGGAGAUGAGGAUUUUGAAGAUUUCUUUUUCUUCUUUGAGUCAUCAGAACUGUCAUCCUUGUAUUUCUUCUUCUUUGAUUCCUUUCCCCAGCGAGGACAAUCAGCAAUGUAAUGACCUGAUUUCUUGCACUUGUGACAGGUCCGUCUCUUGUAGUCCUCAGAUGCAGAUUCUGAUUUCCUCAUGUCUCUUCUUGAUGAUUUACCGAACUGGCCUCGUCGUGUAAAUCUCUGGAAUUUCCUCACAAGCAUUGCAAGUUCCUGACCAAAUUCUUCAGGGUCACAACUGCUGUCAUCUGUGUCUUCUUCUUCAGAUGAGGAAAUUGCUUUUGCCUUCAGUGCACGUGGUCUGGAAUAGCUUUGUCCAUAUAGAUCUCUCUUUUCUUCUAGCUGGAAUUCAUGAGUAUUUAGCCUUUCGAGGAUAUCAGCAGGAUCUAGCAUCUUGUAGUCUGGUCUUUCUUGAAUCAUCAGAACUAAAGUGUCAAAUGAAGAAUCCAAAGAUCUCAGCAGUUUCUUCACAACUUCGUGAUCAGUGAUGUCUCGAGCUCCCAGUGCUUGCAGUUCAUUUGAUAUGUCAGUGAGGCGAUCAAAGGUGUCUUGACAGCUUUCAUUGUCAUGUCUCUUGAAGCGAUUGAAGAGAUUGCGAAGAAUAUCAACACGAGAGUCGCGUUGGGUUGAUACUCCUUCAUUUACCUUGCACAGUCUCUCCGAAAUCAGUGUUGCAGAGCCUAAGGCACUUACUCUUCCAAACUGGCCAGGGCUCAGAUGACCACAGAUGAUGUUCUUCGCUUGAGAAUCGAGUUGCUUAAAUUUCUUCACAUCAGCUGCAGUGACACUAGGAGAAAUGAUGGGGACACCAUUUUCCACAAUAUACCAGAGAUCAUUGUCUAUAGCUUGUAGAUGCAUUUGCAUUUUGUUCUUCCAUAAGGGAAAGUUCUUUCCCUCGUAGGUAGGACAUGUUGCAGUCACCUUAAACAUGCCUGCAGUCGACAUAACUAAAACUCCAGGUGGUUAAACCAAAAUCACACAGAACAAGGGAGUACCUUGCUCUGAUACCAAUUGAAAGUGCGUUAUAUCGACUAGAGGGGGGGUGAAUAGGAGAUUUUUAGAAUUUCAUCACUGAGGAAAUUCCUUUUGAGGAAAUUCCUCAUUGAUGACUAACUUACAGCGGAAAUAGUUAAGGAUCAAUUGUGCAAUCGUUCACAAUGGCAGUAUUACAGAGUGAAGAUUAUGAAAACAGAUUGCACAACAAGCAGGCACGCAGAAUACAGAUGAUGAUUUACUUAAGUGAGGAAUUUGGGGUUGAGGAAAUUCAGAGAAAGUCUUCAGCAAAUUCUUCAAACAGUCACAGUGAAAGUCAUCAACACAUAAUACAGAGAAUGUAAAGAGUUGAGGAAUUAGAACCCGAUUCUUGGUGAAGACUGUUGUUGAUGACCCAGUUCCAACUGCUGUGACAGUUGUACAUCUGGUUUGGAGCGGCUUGGUAUUUAAACCAAAGGACACCCAGUCCCGGGACACACAGUCCCUACCGUAUUCUCCUUGAGCUAAGGACACACAGUCCUCGCCCAACACUCGUGGUAAGUCUUCAGGGCAGACUUCCAAACCCUCACAAACUCGGUCACCCGGUGAUCCACAAUUGACUGCUGGAUUGCUCUAGACCAUGACGCCUAACCGUCUGGAGGAUGCACAGUCCUCAAAGGUAAAAGGCUUAAGUCCCACACAGGAACAACUUCUUCAGUGAUGCUCAAUCACUAGAUUUGGUUUGUGGUUUCGGUGGGUGGUGUAUUUCCUCACUGAUGAUUUACUCUCGAAAGCUCUGAGGAAUUGGGUUGCUCUUAUGACAAGUGUCAGUUUCUAGCGGAGCAGCCAACCAGCUAGUGGUUGUGGGGGGGCGGCUAUUUAUAGCCUGGGAGCAUCCCGACAUGAUUUGACAUUAAUGCCCUUAAAUAAUACGACCGUUGGAGUGGAUAAGAUCAGUGACUUGGCGUGGCUUAUCGAAACGGUCGGGACUCUCAACUGUGAGAGUCCUCAUGUCACUCAUAUUCCUCACUUGAGGCUUUUGGUAGGAUUUGGCUUGGGCUGAGCAUCAUGAGGAAAUCCAUUCCAUAGUGUUACUUUAACCCCCUUUAACAGUACGGUGUUCCUAUUCAUCAAAUGCGAAGAAAGUAAAACAGAAAACGUAAAUCUUCACGCUUCAAUUUCUUCAGAACGAUUUUCUUCAGGAACCACCGAUCUUCUCAAAAUCAAUAUCUUCAUGAGGAAUAUCAAUUUCAUCGCAAAUUCUUCGCGAUUCAUUUCUUCAGCUUCAGACCAAUUUCUUCAACUGAAGACAUAUAUUUUUAGGGGUCGAUAUUCUUCAAAUAUCUCAAACUCCUCAAUGACUUAUAGAUCCUGUGUACACUUAAAAACACAUUAGAUACUUAACCUAUAAGUCUUCAAACCACCAAAAUCACUAAGGGGCACUAGAUGCAGUUACACUUUCAUGUUGAUAUUAAUUGCUUUAUGGGCUAUUAUAUUACUUUGUGGUACCAUAUUAAUGCCUUUUCUCUCUUAUUUUGCAAGGUUUAUUUGAAGAGGGAGAAUUCAGGCAGCUGAAAUUCUGGACUGGAAAAGGAGCAAAUCUUAGUCCACUAUUCUGCACAUCUCCAAAUGCCCUGAAAAGUUACGUGAAUUUUUUUGGGAUUAUAUAAAAAUAUUGGGCUAAAGAAGUACCAGAGGGGCCUACGAGGGCGCCACAAGCCCUACCACCGCCACCCCCCUGGUGGCGGAUGGCAAGCUUGUGGGCUCCCUGGCGGCCCACUGGCCCCCCUCUUUUGCUAUAUGAAGGGUUUCAUUCCAGAAAAAAUCAAUCGGGAGCUUUUUCGUGGUUUCGCCGCCGCCACGAGACGGAACUUGAGCAGAUCCAAUCUAGAGCUCCGGCAGGACGAUCCUGCCGGGGAAACUUCCCUCCCGGAGGGGGAAAUCGUCGCCAUCGUCAUCACCAACACUCCUCUCGUCGGAGGGGAGGCAUCUUCAUCAGCACCAUCUCCUCUCCAAUCCCUAGUUCAUCUCUUGUAACCAAUCUCCGUCUCACGACUCCGAUUGGUACUUGUAAGGUUACUAGUAGUGUUGAUUACUCUGUAGUUGAUGCUAGUUGGAUUACUUGGUGGAAGAGUUUAUGUUCAGAUCCUUGAUGUUAUUCAUUACACCUCUGAUCAUGAUUAUGAUUAUGCUUUGUGAGUAGUUACUUUUGUUCCUGAGGACAUGGGAUAAGUCAUGCUGAUAAUAGUCAUGUGAAUUUGAUAUUCGUUCGGUAUUUUGAUAUGGUGUAUGUUGUUUUUCCUCUAGUGGUGUUAUGUGAACGUUGACUACAUAACACUUCACCAUAUUUGGGCCUAGAGGAAGGCAUUGGGUAGUAGUAAGUAGAUGAUGGGUUGCUGGAGUGAUAGAAGCUUAAACCCCAGUCUAUGUGUUGCUUCGUAAGGGGCUGAUUUGGAUCCACUAGUUUAAUGCUAUGGUUAGACGUUGUCUUAAUUCUUCUUUCGUAGUUGUGGAUGCUUGCGAGAGGGGUUAAUCAUAAGUGGGAUGCUUGUCCAAGUAAGGGCAGUACCCAAGCGCCGGUCCACCCACAUAUCAAACUGUCAAAGUAACGAACAUGAAUCAUAUGAACAUGAUGGAACUAGCAUGACAGAAACUCUCGUGUCUCCUCGGGAGCAUUUUUCCUCCUAUAAGACUUUGUUCAGGCUUGUCCCUUGCUGCAAAAGGGAUUGGGCCACUAGCUGCACCAUUGCUACUACUUGCUACAUGUUACUUUUUGCUUGCUACAUUUCACCUCACUACACCAUCACUUGUUACCGCUACUUUCAGUGCUUGCAGUUAUUACCUUGCUGAAAACCGUUUAUCAGAGCCUUCUCCUCCUCGUUGGGUUCGACACUCUUACUUAUCGAAAGGACUACGAUUGAUCCCCUAUACUUGUGGGUCAUCAAUGCUCAAUGAUUGAGUUUUCUCCCUUACUUUGUAGACAAAGAAUCUUGUCGGAGGUCUCAUACCUCUUAACAAGGGCACGAGCAUGAAAUUCUAAUUUCAUCUCUUGGAACAUCUCAUAUGUUCCGUGGCGUUUGAAAACGUCUUCGGCGCCCCAAUUCUAAGUCGCUAAGCAUUAUACACUGGACUAUCACGUGUAUGUCAGAUGUUCGCAAAAUCCAUAGACGACGCUCGAGGUUCAGCACACCGAGCGGUGCAUUAAGGACAUACGCCUUCUGCGCAGCAAUGAGGACAAUCCUCACUUCACGGACUCAAACCGCAAAAUUGCUACUACCAUCUUUCAACUAAAUUUUCUCUAGGAACAUAUAAAAAAGUAGAGCUACAGCACAAGCUACAACAUAAUUUGCAAAGGCCUUUUUGACUAUUUUCAUGAUAAUUGAAUUUAGCUAAUCAUAUUACUAAUAACUCCCACUCAAAAUAGACAUCCCUCUGGUCAUUUGAGUGGCGCAUGAUCCAAAUCCACUAACUCAAGUCCGAUCAUCACGUGAGUUGAGUAUAGUUUCAGCGGUGAACAUCUCCAUGUUGAUCAUAUCAACUAUAUGAUUCAUGCUCGACCUUUCGGUAUCUUGUGUUUUGAGGCCAUGUCUGUACAUGCUAGGCUCGUCAAAUUUAACCCGAGUGUUCCGCGUGUGCUACUGUUUUCCACCCGUUCUAUGUGAACGUUGAGUCUAUCACACCCGAUCAUCACGUGGUGUCUCGAAACGAUGAACUGUCGCAACGGUGCACAAUCAGGGAGAACACAAUUUUAUCUUGAAAUUUUAGUGAGGGAUCACCUUAUAAUGCUACCGUCGUUCUAAGCAAGAUAAGGUGCAUAAAAGGAUUAACAUCAGAUGCAAUUCAUAACUGACAUGAUAUGGCCAUGUUCUUGUGCUUCUUGAUCUCCAUCACCAAAGCACCGGCAUGAUCUUCAUCGUCACCGGCGCCACACCAUGAUCUCCAUCAUCGUGCCGCCAUCAGGUUGUCGUGCUAUCUAUGCUAUCACUACUAAAGCUACAACCUAGAAAUAUAGUAAACGCAUCUGCAAGCACAAACAUUAGUUUAAAGACAACCCUAUGGCUCCUGCCGGUUGCCGUAGCAUUGAUGUGCAAGUCGACAUUUAACUAUUACAACAUGAUCAUCUCAUACAUCCAAUAUAUCACAUCAUGUCUUUGGUUGUAUCACAUCACAAGCACACCGUGCAAAAACAAGCUAGACGUCCUCUAAUUUGUUCUUGCAUGUUUUACGUGGCUGCUAUGGGUAUCUCGUAUGAUCGCAUCUUACUUACGCAAAACCACAACGGUGAUGUGCAAAUUGCUAUUUAACCUCUGUCCGAGGACCGCCUCAGUCAAAUCCAAUUCAACUAAAGUUGAAGAAACAGACACCCGCCAGUCAUCUUUAUGCAAUAAGUUGCAUGUUAGUCGAUGAAACCGGUCUCUUGUAAGCUUACGAGUAAGGUUGGUCUGGGCUGCUUCAAUCCAAGAAUACCGCCGAAUCGAGAAAAGACUAAGGAGGGCAGCAAAACGAACAUCAACGCCCAGAAAAACUUUUGUAUUCCACUCGAGAUUACAUCUACGAAUGAACCUAGCUCAUGAUGCCACUGUUGGGGGAUGUUGCAUGGGAAACAAAAAAAAUUCUACGCACACGAAGACCUAUCAUGGUGAUGAUCAUCUAUGAGAGGGAGGGAGAUCGGGUCCACAUACCCUUGUAGAUCGCUAAGCGGAAGCGUUAAUAAACGCGGUUGAAGUAGUGGUACGUUUUCACGAUACGUCCCACGAACCGUCCCACGAUCCGUCCCAUGAACCGUCUCACGAUCCGUCCUGAUCAAGUGUCGAACGGACGGCACCUCCGUGUUAUGCACAGUACAACUCGAUGAAGAUCACCGCCUUCUGGAUCCAGGAAGAGAGACGGGGAUGUAGAUGAGUUCCCCAGCAGCGCGACAACGCUCCAGUGGUGGUGGUGAUCUAUUCCUGCAGGGCUCCGCCCGAGCUCCGCAAAAAAUGCGAUCUAGAGCAAGAACUAUGAUCUAGAGGAGAGGGAAGCACGUGGCAAAGUUGUGUCUCAAAUAGCACUAAACCUCUAGUAUAUAUAGGAGGAGGGAGGGGUAGGCCUUGCGCCACAAGGGAGGAGCCCUUGGGUUGGCCAAAGUAGAGGAGGGAGGAGCCCUCUUUCACGCCCAAGAUGCGACCCUAUCCUCAAUUUGGCACGAGGGCCUCGUCAGGGAUAGAAGCGCAUAUCGUCGUGUCGCAAGAAUGGAUAUCGUUACAAGUACAUGUACUGAAAAGAAGAGAUAUUUAUAUACAGAAUUGGCUUACACUCGCCACAAGCUACAUCAGAGUCACAUCAGUACAAUACAUAAUCAUCAUGAAUAAGAGCAGGGUCCGACUACUGAUGAAAACAAACGAGAAAAGAAGAACGACGUCCAUCCUUGCUAUCCCAGGCUGCCGGCCUGGAACCCAUCCUAGAUCAUAUAAGAAGAAGAAGAACGCAAACGAUAAUGUGACCGUUUAUAAACUUGACUUGUGGCAAAGGGUUUUUCACAAGUUCAAGGAGUUGACUACGAUAAGACUNGUAUCAAGACUACCAAAGCUUAAUAGGUGAGGUAAGGUUAAGUGGUGAGGUGGCAGCAGCGACUAAGCAUAUAUUUGGUGGCUAAACUUACGAGUACAAGAAAUAAGAGGGGGGAAGAUCUACGCAUAGCGGACGUGAACUACGGUUGAUCAAAUGAAUGAUCCUCAACACCUACCUACGUCAGGCAUAACCCCAUCGUGUCCUCGAUCGGAGAAGGAACUCACGAAAGAGACAGUCACGGUUACACACACAGUUGGCAAGUUUUAAUUAAGUUAACUUCAAGUUAUCUAGAACCAGUGUUGAACAAAGCUUCCACGUUGCCACAUAACUGCGGGCACGGCUUUCCGAAAAGAUUUAACCCUGCAGGGGUGCUCCAACUAGUCCAUCACAAAUUACCACAAGCCGCAUAGAAAUCCUCAAUCACGAAUCUCACGAUCUCGUCGGAUUCCCUAGUGGAAAACCUCAACUCUGAGAUUACGCAAAGCAUCACCGGAAUCCCGAUGCACAAGAUAUUUCGUCAAAGGUAAAACUAAUCCAGCAAGGCCGCCCGACGUGUCGACGAUCCCGAUAGGAGCCGCAUAUCUCGUUCUCAGGACACGACGAAUGAGCUAGACGUCGGGAUCGCUAAACCUCUAGGUCACCAGGGGGGUGUCGGACAUCGCUCAGGUGGGACCAACACUCAUGAGGAGCACUGACCCGGGGGUUGAUUAAAUUUCCUCGGGUUAAUUACUCCCUAUGUAGUUCAUUAGUUGUUAGGCAAAUGUAGUACCAAAGUUGGGCCUUGCCAGACCAGCUUUAAUCUAAAACAAAUUAUCAAGGGGGUCCCCAUAACAACCCCGAUCAUGUUAGGAGCGCUCGUUUAUGGAACAUAACACCGGUAGCCGAAAACUAAGGGGGCAAAGGUGGAACAAAACACCAGGCUAGAAAAGGCCGAGCCUUCCACCUCUUACCAAGUAUAUACGUGCAUUAAAUUAAAUAGCAAUUAAUAUGGUGAUAUAACAAGGAACCCAUGUUAUCACAUGGAAGCAACUGCACGUGCAACUAGCAACGCUAAUACAUGGUUAAGCAAGCGGUAACAUAGCCAAUCAGUGGUUUGCUAGGUUGUGAAAAGUUGAAGGUUUCAUGGUAUUGUUGAGAGGCUGAUAUUUAACAGGUGGUAGGCAAUGAUACAUAAACGAUAGAAGCGAUAAAACUAGCAUGGCAAUGAUAGUAAUGGUAUCUAGGGAAAUGAUCAUCUUGCCUGAGAUCCCGCUUGGAAGAAGAACAACUCCGUGAAGUCGGCGAACCAACGUAGUCGAACGGGUCCUCACAUUCCGACACGCUUGCGGAACUCUAUCGAGACGGAGCAAACCCGAAACAAACAUCAACACAGAUAUUCACCACACGAUGCACAACAUGAUGCACAACCUACUAUGAUGCAUGAUCAGUUCACUGAUGCAAGGCAUGGCAUAGCAAUUCACCCCACGCAAACACUACACAUUAAGUGAAGCUCGAUAUGCAACGAGUUUCAUAACGAAGAAACUCCACGUUUAAUUAUUAGUUCGCUCCCGGUUAUUUACACGACAAUAUUAAAUUGUUGUUAACAUGGCAAGGGGUGAAGCGGUGAUCCUACAUGUCAUCCUAGUCGGUUAACACGCGGAACAGAUCGGAGCUCCAUCACAAGAAACAUGCAACACAAGAUAUUAUGCCAUGAAUGCGUCAUGCAUGCAAGUUCACAACAACACGGGCAAGAAGACAAGAAGCAUGUGUCGCCAUGGCAAACGAAAGGGAACCAUGGCGGCAAGACGGAAACGAAGCCACGGCAACGUUCCUAUCCCGAGAACUCAAUGAGAUAUCGGUGCCAACGAAUUGGAAGCGUGUACGUGUCAAGCCAAAUAAAGAUGGGGUGAUCCCGGUUACCGGGUUCCCAUGUGUCGGUGGCACAACAAAAGAGGGUCAACGUGCAACGGGCAACAUAUAUGGCGCACACAUACGGUUCAUCUCAUACAUCAUAUGCAUUCGGUACACGACACGUCCCAUUGGUAUACCUUCGAAGCGUGCGAAUCGGAGGGGUUCGGAUCGUAGCGGUGUGAGCAUAGGUUGUCGUGGACGUCAUGGAAGUAGUGGAAGUCGUGGUACUCGGGUCUCGUCGACGGUAGUCGUACACUUGGCGUCGGUACAUGGGUCUUCGCAUCGGUAGACGUACACGCUCGGUAGAUGGUCGGGGUCGUCGAGGACGUCAUGGGACUAGGCGAUCUUGUUGGGUCCACGAUGGCGGGGAUGGUGCACGCGGCGACGGCAGACGACACAACAGCAACAUCGGCGGCAGCAACUAACAGCAUCAGCAAAGCGGCAUCUAGCACUAGCAUACUAGAGCGGCGGCAACAGGCAAGCAACAACAACAAUCGUCGGCGACGGCAGCAAGCAAGCAACAUCAACAAUCUUUGGCGGUAGGCAGGCAAUAGCAAGAGCAGCAGGCAAUAGCAGCUAACAGCAACAUGCAUCGGCGCAGGCAAGCUUCAGCAUCUAGCAGGCUAUUACAGCUAGCAGUAACAGCACAGGUAGGCAAGCACAGCAAGCAGCAACAUAGCAGCGGCUACAGCAUGCAUCAGCGACGAUAGCAAGCAGCUACAGGCAGGGUAGCACAGGUUACGCCAGCAGCAGCAACUCGGCAGCGGCUGCUAGCAGCCUAGCAGCAAACGUGACAGCAACAGCAACUGCUCGCAGCACGCAAACACAGCAGCAGCCGGCAACAACAAUAGGAAGCACAGCAACAGCGACAGGCUUCAGCAACAGGCGGCGGUCAGCAGCAGCGACAUGCCGCAGCGACAGCAAGCAUCGGCAGCAACUGGACGAUGGCGGGCACGCGGGGAUGGAAGGGGUCACUCCUCACCUUGUUGGGGAUGACGCGGCACUCCAGGGUGACACGAGUGUUCGAGGAGGAGGUCGGGGCCCUGGAUGGCUUGGCACGGGGCGACCAUGGCGGCGGCUGCGCGAGCUCGGGAGNACUAUAAUAACAAGUUUUUACAUAGGUUCAGUACAAGGCAAAAAGAAAAUCUACAUAAGAUGAAAACAUCCAUCAACCGACAAGGAAGUCCAGACUUACUUUAUACCAGACGGUGAAAAGGAUUAAUUAAAAACAUAAAAGGUUCAAAAAAAGAAAAAAAUAGUCGGUUAAAAUAAAAAGAAAAAGAAAGGAACAAAUAAAAUAAAAUACCACAACCAAAAGGAUAAGAAAUUUUUAACUAAAACAAAAAAAAUAGUCUCCUUAAAACAUGCCCCAAUAAAUAAAAAUAGAUUGGGACCUUUUUAACGAAUAAAAAUAAAACCUUUUUUUUGAAGAAUAAAAUAAAAACCCUUUUAUAAAUAAAAUGAGACUCAAAUUUUAAAAAUAAACAAAAGGAAAAAUAAAGGAAACCCAAGGGGUUGCCCCCACAUUUAAUAAAAGGAUUUUUAAAAGAAGACGAAAUUUUUUAAAGGGGUUAAAACUGAAACUCUAACGCAGCCACAAAACAAAAUAAGAGAGGAGAGAAGGGAGUUUCCUAUUGCACUAAAGACUCUGAGAGCACUCACAACUCAGAUCACACCACGCAACAGACGAUGCAAGAUGUCAUGCAUGAUGCCAUGAUGCGCAAGAUGAAUGCAACGAUAGAAACGGAAAUAAAGGGGAAUCUUCUAGGGCGUCGGCAUCGGGUGUCACAUCCUCCUCCAAUCCCACUUGGAUUAGGACUCCUUCCUUAAUUUCCCACCUCUUUUGGAUUUUCCACUUUUUCCUCAUGGGCUUUCCUUGGAUGACUUUGUCAAUCCAUUAUGCCUUAUUGCGCAUCCAAUAAACCCAUGUGGACUCCUUGGGGCGUGGUGGGCCCACCCAGUGGGCCCCCGGAACCCAUUCAUCACUCCCGGUACACUCUCGGCAAUGUUUGAAAACCUUCCGGAAUCCAAAUACCAACUUCCUAUGUAUCAAUCUUCGUUUCCGGGCCAUUCCGGAACUCCUCGUGACGUCCGGGAUCUCAUCCGAGAUUCUGAACAAAACUUCGGUCACCAACACAUAUAACUCAACUAUACCGAAACGUCACCAAACCUUAAGUGUGCAAACCGUGCGGGUUCGAGGACUAUGCAGACAUAACCUGAGACACUCUCUGGUCGAUAACCAAUAGCGAGACCUGGAUGUCCAUAUUGGCUCCCACAUAUUCUACAAAUAUCUCUAUCGGUUGAACCUCUUUGUCAAGGAUUCAGUUAAUCCCGUAUGUUGUUCCCUUUGUCCUUCGGUAUGUUACUUGCCCGAGACUCGAUCGUCGGUAUCUCCAUACUGCUAUUGCAACAAAAGACCUUCCAACGGCGCCAGAAACGCGUGCUGACGGGAGACUGUUCUUGUCUUGAUUCUCCUCAGCAACGGCACCAGGAAUCCUUCUGCUACGGUUACGCCUUUAGGCACUUCCUAGGCAAAUAUGCAAAGGAUUUCCCCGUGGCCUUGGAGCCUUGCAUUGGUGUUCCCUCGAAGCGGAAAGAGUGAUGUAGCGCAGCGGUGGAAAGUAUUUCCCUUAGUUUUGAGAACCAAGGUAUCGAUCCAGUGAAGGAGUAUCACAAGUGCCUGCACAAACACAAAGAACCUGCUCCCAACGCUAUAAAGAGGUUGUCAAUCCCUUAUAGAUUGUUCGCAAAGUGAGAUCUGAAAGCAACAAAGUAACAAAGCAAAGUAAAAGCGGAGGUGUAAGAUAGAUGUGAAUAGACCCACGGGCCCUAGUGUUUACUAGUGGCUUCUCUCAUGAAAGCAAGUAGACGGUGGGUGAACAAAUUACUGUCGAGCAAUUGAUAGAACCGCGCAAAGUCGUGACGAUAUCUAUGGCAAUGAUUAUAUCUAUAGGCAUCACGUCCAAAACAAGUAGACCGAUACUUUCUGCAUCUACUACUAUUACUCCACACGUCGACCGCUAUCCAGCAUGCAUCUAGUGUAUUAAGUCCAAAAGAACAGAGUAACGCCUUAAGCAAGCUGACAUGAUAUAGAUGGACAAUCUCAUAUCAACGACAGAGCCCACCUUGUUACCCUUGAUGGCAACCACUCAAUGUGUGUCUUGCUGCCCCUACUGUCACUAGGAAAGGUCACCACAUGGUAAGAACCCAAAACCAAACACUUCUCCCAUUGCAAGAAUCAUAGAUCUAGUUGGCCAAACAAAACCCAAGACUCGGAGAGACUUACAAGGAUAUCAAAUCAUGCAUAUAAGAAAUCAGCAAAGACUCAAAUAUAUAUCAUAGAUAAUCUGAUCACAAAUCCACAAUUCAUCGGACGUCGACAAACACACCGCCAAAGAAUAUUACAUCGGAUAGAUCUCCAUGAAGAUCAUGGAGAACUUUGUAUUGAAGAUCCAAGAGAGAGAAGAAGCCAUCUAGCUACUAACUACGGACCCGUAGGUCUGAAGUGAACUACUCACGAGUCAUUGGAGGGGCGAUGAUGAUGAUGAAGAAGCCCUCCAACUCCAAAGUCCCCUCCGGUAGGGUGCCGGGAAGGGUCUCCAGAUGAGAUCUCGCGGAAACGGAAGCUUGCGGCGGCGGAAAAGUAUUUUCGAGGAUCCCUUGAUUUUUUUUCUGAUUUUUAGGGAAUAUAUAGGCGCAAGAUCUAGGUUAGGGGGGCGCCAGGGAGGCCACAAGCCCUGCCAUCACCGCCUCUCCCCUGGUGGCGGAGUGGGGGCUUGUGGGCUCCCUGCAGCCCUCCUGGCUUGGCCCAUACGCCCCUUGAUCUUCUUCCGUUCGGGAAAAAAUCAUUUCGGGGAUUUUAUUCCGUUUGGACUCCGUUCCAAAAUCAGAUCUGAAAAGAGCCAAAAACACAGAAAAAAUAGGAACUGGCACUUGGCACUGAAUUAAUAAGUUAGGCCCAAAAAAGAUAUAAAAGGCACAUAAAACAUCCAAAGAUGACAAGAUAACAAUGUGAAACCAUCAAAAAUUAUAGAUACGUUUGAGACGUAUCACAUACCUCGUUCAAUCUCGUUACCGGCAAGUCUCUUUACUCGUUCCGUAAUACAAGAUCCCUUAACUAACUCCUUAGUCACAUUGCUUGCAAGGCUUGUUGUGAUGUUGUAUUACCGAGUGGGCCCCGAGAUACCUCUCCGUUACACGGAGUGACAAAUCCCAGUCUUGAUCCAUGCCAACCCAAUAGACACCUUUGGAGAUACCUGCAUAGCACCUUUGUAGUCACCCAGUUACGUUGCGAUGUUUGAUAACCCACAAGGUAUUCCUUCAUUGUCCGGGAGUUGCAUGAUCUCAUGGUCAUAGGAACAGAUACAUUGACAUGCAGAAAACAGUAGCAAUAAACUGACACGAUCAUACGCUACGUUUAUAGUUUGGGUCUUGUCCAUCACAUCAUUCUCCUAAAGAUGUGAUCCCGUUAUCAAGUGAAAACACUUGUUUAUGGUUAGGAAACCUUAACCAUCUUUGAUCAACGAGCUAGUCAACUAGAGGCUUACAAGGGACAGUGUUUUGUCUAUGUAUCCACACAUGUAUUUGUGUUUCCAAUCAAUACAAUUAUAGCAUGGAUAAUAAACGAUUAUCAUGACCAAAGAAAUAUAAUAUUAACUAAUUUAUUAUUGCCUCUAGGGCAUAUUUCCAACAAGUUCUUCUUACAACCAUAUAUGACUAUAUACAGAAUACAUGCCUACAUUACAUUGAUGAAUUGGAGCUAUUGUGUAUCGCUCCGGGUUGUGAGUGAUAUAUGAUCAAUGUCAUCCAACAUAAAUAUCCAUCACUGAUCCAAUGUAUACACUUUUAUCAUAUCAAUCUUUUCUAAGUUACAACUUCCUCCGAUGUUACAAUCGUCAAAAACUUCUAGUGUUACUGUUCAUGUUACUAUUGCUACUCUUACUAAAACUAUCAAAACUAUCAAACUAAUAUGCUACUAAAAACUUUUCUAUAGAGAUAUUAUAUUCCAAGUGUUCUUGAAUUGACAACUGAACUGCUAAGGCUCAUAAAUAUUCUUUGGCUCCCAUUAUCUCAAAUCAAAAAAUUGGGUGAAAUACUACCCUCAAAGAUUGUCGAGAUCCCCUAUACUUAUGGGUUACCACAGAUUUUUCUACGCUAUUUCUGGGGAGCAUAGCUUUAUUUAUUGAGUUCACUUGGGAUAUCUAUUGGUCAACAUUAAUAAACUAAAAGACCCUGGAACUAAUAUCAUUGGCCUCAAAGACGAGGGGAAGUAAGGAACUGCCAUGUAACUUCGCAUUUGAUUCACCUUCCGUUUUGAGUAUGCUUAUGACACCUCCACCUGCUAUUUAGUCUGAUAUGUCUCAAGUAAUAGACACUGCUUCUACUAUGGGGAUGUUCAUAAUGCUUCUACAGCUAUGCUAGAUAUGCCACUAAGUGAAUUGUUUGAUGAUCAUAUUGCGAGGUCUAAAGAAAUUAAGAAUGGUGAAACUAGUGAAAAUUAUGAUUCACCUAUUAUGCCUAGCUCUCCUACUACAGUUUAAAUGCUUGAGAUACUUCAUGGUCAUGUUAUGGAUGGUAGACAGCUAGAGAAUUUUUUGCUUGUAAUGAUAGAGAUGAUCUUAAGAAUUACUGACUAAGGUGGAAAAAAAUCUAUUAUAGAGAGAAUGAAAUAUGACCCUAAGUUUGCUACUUCUCCUAUCUUUAUUACUGAUAAGGAUUGUGAAUUCUAUGUUGAUCCUAAGUUAAUUUAGUUAGUACAAUCUCACCCCUUUCAUGGUUAUGAAACUUAAACUAUCGUGGCACACCUUACCAAAUUACAUGAUAUUGCCACCCUAUUUGCUCAUGAGGGGAAAAUCGCUACUACUAUAUUCUUAAGCUUUUUUCCUUUCUCAUUAAAGGGUGAUGCCAAUAAAUGGUUUAAUACCCUUGCUCCUGGUUGUGUGCGUAGUCCAUAUAAUACGAUAUAUUACUUUUCUUCAAAAUAUUUUUCCUUCUCAUAAGAAACAAGAUGCCUUACACGAAAUAUUUAACUUUGUGUAAUGUAGAAUCUCCCUUGAUCUUGGGAUAGGCUCCUCCAAUUAUUUAAUGAUUUGCCUCAUUAUCCUUUUAAGAAAAAUAAAAUACUUGAUAUCUUUUAUAAUGGACUAACCUAUGCUUCUAGGGACUACCUAGAUAGUUGUGUUGGUUGUGUUUUCACGAAAUGAAUUGUUGGACAGGAUUAAGAACUAUGGAAUAAUAUAUUUAAGAAUAUGGAUCAUUGGCACUUCCUGGACCUCUACCAAAAUUAACUCCAGCAAAGAGAGGCAGUAUAUUCCUAAGUCCAAAAGAUAUUCAAGAAGCUAAGAAAUCUAUGAUUAAUAAUUUACCACCUAUUGAAAAAAUACAUGGACUCGAUACCCCGACACGGGUAGUAAAGGUAAAUUAUGUUUAUAUAUUCAAUGAGGGUGAUAUACCUUAUAAUAAAUCUGCUAGUCAAUUCCUGGAUGAAUUUGGUAAUUACAUUGUUAAGCAAGAGAGCUUCAAUAUGUACGUUACAAUCAAUUGAAACAAAAUGCCAGGAUGAUUGAUUGUUUGAGUGACUUGAUAUUUAGGAUUGAUAAUGAUGUUAAUGGAUUAAGUAAACAUUCAUACAUGGUCCAUACUCAUUUAGAACAAGUCUCCAAAUCACAAAAUGAUUUGCUUAAUGAAAUGAAUAAUAAAAUGAAAUAGCAUGAUGUUAGAGUUGUGACUAGAUGAGGCAGAAUGACUCAGGAUCCUCUAUAUCCCAAAGGUCAUCCUAAAAGAAUUGAGCAAGAUUCUUCGACGGUUAAUAUUGAUGCACCUAGUCCACCUAAUAAAAAACUAAAAGAAACAUGAUAGGACUUUGCAUGCUUCUAGUGAACCUAUGAUAGAAAAACCUUUUGACAAUCAUAAUGAUGUUUCUAUUUUUGAUGUUGAGACACAAUCUAGUAGUGAACACCAUCCGAUAAUGACAAUGAUAAUGACGGUGUUCAUGUUGAUGCCUAAACAGACAAUAAUAAAUAACCUGAUAAUGAAGUAGAAAUAGAACCUAUUGUUGAUCUUGAUAACCCACCACCUAAGAAUAAAAGAUAUGAUAAAAGAGAUUUCAUUGCUAGAAAAAAUGGUAGGGAAAGAGGGGCGCUGCUACGAAUCAGUCGAAUGAUUUCUUAUUGAAAUCAUCCACCUGUUCAGCCGUACGAUCUGUGUCCGUUGGAUCACAGCAACCAGCAGCGCGGUGCCACAGCUUCAGCUAGCGCGAUUGCAGCCCCACGCGGUGCUCCAAUAAAGCAUCGACGAUGUCCGGUGAGCUUCAUUGUAGCCCCGAUGAAGCUUCCUUGCAACUCCGGUCGAGUUCCAUUGCAGCACCGACGCUCCGGUGAAACUCCAUUGCAACUCGGGCCGAGCUCCACUGCAACAUCAACGGCUCUGAUGAAGCUCCAUAGAAACUCCGGUGGAGCUUCAACGCAGCACAGGUGAAUCCGAGGGAGCUCUAUUGCAACUCCGGCCUUCAUUGUAGUGUUGGAGCUCGCAUCAUCGGCUGCCUCCAUCGCUGAUGACCCUGGCAACCCUACAUUGAUGCUCCGUUGCAGCACAAACACAACGGCUUUUGGAGGCACGGCUUGCAACAUCCCUAUAGCGCGAUAGGGGAGGAGGAUAAGAAGGAGGGGGCAAGUCUCAAACAAUGGCGAUGGCCGGCUCUGUUUCCCUCCCCGGCGGUCUCCAUCACAGAGAUGAAAGGGAGAGAGAGAGAAGGAAGAGAGACGCUGGGGAGGGAGAUGUCUCGUGGCUGUGUGAGUAUGAGAUAGAGAAGGGAUGAAUAUAAGGCUGGACAUGUGUCAAAUGGAAGAGGAGGUUUACGAGAGACAGAGAUCACCCGGUUGAUUCUGAUCGUUUUCCGGGAAAGAGAGCCAUGGGUUCAAAAACCCUUGACUUUUCCUAGUAAACCUCCAAAAAAUAAGGAUGGGGAAGAUUUUAAGUGCUUUACUGAAAUUCUUAGACCCAUCUUUUUGCGAACACAUUUGACAGAUAUUUUGAAAAUGCCUCCUUAUGCUGAAUACAUGAAAGAUAUUUUCACUAAUAAAAAGAAAAUACCUGAAACUGAAAUCCUCACCAUGCUUGCAAAUUAUUCAUUUAAAGGGGGUAGUUAAGAAGUUAGGAGAUCGAGGAAUAUCUACUAUACCUUGCUCCAUUAAAAGAAGUUAUGUCAAAACUGAUUUAUGUGAUUUAGAAAUUGGUUCUAGUGUUAUGCCUUUCUAUUUAUAUGGAAGACUUGAUUUAAAUAAACUAACAUCUACUGAGAUAUCUUUGCAAAUGGCUGAUAAAUAGACUAGUAUUACUAUUGGUAUUUGUGAGGAUGUUCUUGUUGUAGUUGUGAAUUUUAUUAUCUUAACGGCCUUUGUUAUUCUUGAUAUGCCCGAGGAUGACAACAUGUCGAUUAUCAUUGGUAGACCUUUUUUGAAUGUUGCAGGGGCUAUUAUAGAUUGAAACAAAAGUAAGGUCACUUUCCAUGUCAAUGGUAACCAACAUACGCCAUACUUCUCGAAGAAACAAAGUUUAGUAAAUAGUAUCAACUCCAUUAAAAAAGUUGUGACUAGUACUAUUGGAGGGUUUAAAUUUCCUCUUCCUAUCGUCAAAAAGAGAUAUGAAAUACUUAUUGUUGGGGAAGUGCAUAUCCACGUUGAGAUAACUUAGUGUUAANNNNNNNNNNNNNNNNNNNNNNNNNNNNNNNNNNNNNNNNNNNNNNUCGACAAACACACCGCCAAAGAAGAUUACAUCGGAUAGAUCUCCAUGAAGAUCAUGGAGAACUUUGUAUUGAAGAUCCAAGAGAGAGAAGAAGCCAUCUAGCUACUAACUACGGACCCGUAGGUCUGAAGUGAACUACUCACGAGUCAUUGGAGGGCCGAUGAUGAUGAUGAAGAAGCCCUCCAACUCCAAAGUCCCCUCCGGUAGGGUGCCGGGAAGGGUCUCCAGAUGAGAUCUCGCGGAAACGGAAGCUUGCGGCGGCGGAAAAGUAUUUUCGAGGAUCCCUUGAUUUUUUUUCUGAUUUUUAGGGAAUAUAUAGGCGCAAGAUCUAGGUUAGGGGGGCGCCAGGGAGGCCACAAGCCCUGCCAUCACCGCCUCUCCCCUGGUGGCGGAGUGGGGGCUUGUGGGCUCCCUGCAGCCCUCCUGGCUUGGCCCAUACGCCCCUUGAUCUUCUUCCGUUCGGGAAAAAAUCAUUUCGGGGAUUUUAUUCCGUUUGGACUCCGUUCCAAAAUCAGAUCUGAAAAGAGCCAAAAACACAGAAAAAAUAGGAACUGGCACUUGGCACUGAAUUAAUAAGUUAGGCCCAAAAAAGAUAUAAAAGGCACAUAAAACAUCCAAAGAUGACAAGAUAACAAUGUGAAACCAUCAAAAAUUAUAGAUACGUUUGAGACGUAUCACAUACCUCGUUCAAUCUCGUUACCGGCAAGUCUCUUUACUCGUUCCGUAAUACAAGAUCCCUUAACUAACUCCUUAGUCACAUUGCUUGCAAGGCUUGUUGUGAUGUUGUAUUACCGAGUGGGCCCCGAGAUACCUCUCCGUUACACGGAGUGACAAAUCCCAGUCUUGAUCCAUGCCAACCCAAUAGACACCUUUGGAGAUACCUGCAUAGCACCUUUGUAGUCACCCAGUUACGUUGCGAUGUUUGAUAACCCACAAGGUAUUCCUUCAUUGUCCGGGAGUUGCAUGAUCUCAUGGUCAUAGGAACAGAUACAUUGACAUGCAGAAAACAGUAGCAAUAAACUGACACGAUCAUACGCUACGUUUAUAGUUUGGGUCUUGUCCAUCACAUCAUUCUCCUAAAGAUGUGAUCCCGUUAUCAAGUGAAAACACUUGUUUAUGGUUAGGAAACCUUAACCAUCUUUGAUCAACGAGCUAGUCAACUAGAGGCUUACAAGGGACAGUGUUUUGUCUAUGUAUCCACACAUGUAUUUGUGUUUCCAAUCAAUACAAUUAUAGCAUGGAUAAUAAACGAUUAUCAUGACCAAAGAAAUAUAAUAUUAACUAAUUUAUUAUUGCCUCUAGGGCAUAUUUCCAACAAGUUCUUCUUACAACCAUAUAUGACUAUAUACAGAAUACAUGCCUACAUUACAUUGAUGAAUUGGAGCUAUUGUGUAUCGCUCCGGGUUGUGAGUGAUAUAUGAUCAAUGUCAUCCAACAUAAAUAUCCAUCACUGAUCCAAUGUAUACACUUUUAUCAUAUCAAUCUUUUCUAAGUUACAACUUCCUCCGAUGUUACAAUCGUCAAAAACUUCUAGUGUUACUGUUCAUGUUACUAUUGCUACUCUUACUAAAACUAUCAAAACUAUCAAACUAAUAUGCUACUAAAAACUUUUCUAUAGAGAUAUUAUAUUCCAAGUGUUCUUGAAUUGACAACUGAACUGCUAAGGCUCAUAAAUAUUCUUUGGCUCCCAUUAUCUCAAAUCAAAAAAUUGGGUGAAAUACUACCCUCAAAGAUUGUCGAGAUCCCCUAUACUUAUGGGUUACCACAGAUUUUUCUACGCUAUUUCUGGGGAGCAUAGCUUUAUUUAUUGAGUUCACUUGGGAUAUCUAUUGGUCAACAUUAAUAAACUAAAAGACCCUGGAACUAAUAUCAUUGGCCUCAAAGACGAGGGGAAGUAAGGAACUGCCAUGUAACUUCGCAUUUGAUUCACCUUCCGUUUUGAGUAUGCUUAUGACACCUCCACCUGCUAUUUAGUCUGAUAUGUCUCAAGUAAUAGACACUGCUUCUACUAUGGGGAUGUUCAUAAUGCUUCUACAGCUAUGCUAGAUAUGCCACUAAGUGAAUUGUUUGAUGAUCAUAUUGCGAGGUCUAAAGAAAUUAAGAAUGGUGAAACUAGUGAAAAUUAUGAUUCACCUAUUAUGCCUAGCUCUCCUACUACAGUUUAAAUGCUUGAGAUACUUCAUGGUCAUGUUAUGGAUGGUAGACAGCUAGAGAAUUUUUUGCUUGUAAUGAUAGAGAUGAUCUUAAGAAUUACUGACUAAGGUGGAAAAAAAUCUAUUAUAGAGAGAAUGAAAUAUGACCCUAAGUUUGCUACUUCUCCUAUCUUUAUUACUGAUAAGGAUUGUGAAUUCUAUGUUGAUCCUAAGUUAAUUUAGUUAGUACAAUCUCACCCCUUUCAUGGUUAUGAAACUUAAACUAUCGUGGCACACCUUACCAAAUUACAUGAUAUUGCCACCCUAUUUGCUCAUGAGGGGAAAAUCGCUACUACUAUAUUCUUAAGCUUUUUUCCUUUCUCAUUAAAGGGUGAUGCCAAUAAAUGGUUUAAUACCCUUGCUCCUGGUUGUGUGCGUAGUCCAUAUAAUACGAUAUAUUACUUUUCUUCAAAAUAUUUUUCCUUCUCAUAAGAAACAAGAUGCCUUACACGAAAUAUUUAACUUUGUGUAAUGUAGAAUCUCCCUUGAUCUUGGGAUAGGCUCCUCCAAUUAUUUAAUGAUUUGCCUCAUUAUCCUUUUAAGAAAAAUAAAAUACUUGAUAUCUUUUAUAAUGGACUAACCUAUGCUUCUAGGGACUACCUAGAUAGUUGUGUUGGUUGUGUUUUCACGAAAUGAAUUGUUGGACAGGAUUAAGAACUAUGGAAUAAUAUAUUUAAGAAUAUGGAUCAUUGGCACUUCCUGGACCUCUACCAAAAUUAACUCCAGCAAAGAGAGGCAGUAUAUUCCUAAGUCCAAAAGAUAUUCAAGAAGCUAAGAAAUCUAUGAUUAAUAAUUUACCACCUAUUGAAAAAAUACAUGGACUCGAUACCCCGACACGGGUAGUAAAGGUAAAUUAUGUUUAUAUAUUCAAUGAGGGUGAUAUACCUUAUAAUAAAUCUGCUAGUCAAUUCCUGGAUGAAUUUGGUAAUUACAUUGUUAAGCAAGAGAGCUUCAAUAUGUACGUUACAAUCAAUUGAAACAAAAUGCCAGGAUGAUUGAUUGUUUGAGUGACUUGAUAUUUAGGAUUGAUAAUGAUGUUAAUGGAUUAAGUAAACAUUCAUACAUGGUCCAUACUCAUUUAGAACAAGUCUCCAAAUCACAAAAUGAUUUGCUUAAUGAAAUGAAUAAUAAAAUGAAAUAGCAUGAUGUUAGAGUUGUGACUAGAUGAGGCAGAAUGACUCAGGAUCCUCUAUAUCCCAAAGGUCAUCCUAAAAGAAUUGAGCAAGAUUCUUCGACGGUUAAUAUUGAUGCACCUAGUCCACCUAAUAAAAAACUAAAAGAAACAUGAUAGGACUUUGCAUGCUUCUAGUGAACCUAUGAUAGAAAAACCUUUUGACAAUCAUAAUGAUGUUUCUAUUUUUGAUGUUGAGACACAAUCUAGUAGUGAACACCAUCCGAUAAUGACAAUGAUAAUGACGGUGUUCAUGUUGAUGCCUAAACAGACAAUAAUAAAUAACCUGAUAAUGAAGUAGAAAUAGAACCUAUUGUUGAUCUUGAUAACCCACCACCUAAGAAUAAAAGAUAUGAUAAAAGAGAUUUCAUUGCUAGAAAAAAUGGUAGGGAAAGAGGGGCGCUGCUACGAAUCAGUCGAAUGAUUUCUUAUUGAAAUCAUCCACCUGUUCAGCCGUACGAUCUGUGUCCGUUGGAUCACAGCAACCAGCAGCGCGGUGCCACAGCUUCAGCUAGCGCGAUUGCAGCCCCACGCGGUGCUCCAAUAAAGCAUCGACGAUGUCCGGUGAGCUUCAUUGUAGCCCCGAUGAAGCUUCCUUGCAACUCCGGUCGAGUUCCAUUGCAGCACCGACGCUCCGGUGAAACUCCAUUGCAACUCGGGCCGAGCUCCACUGCAACAUCAACGGCUCUGAUGAAGCUCCAUAGAAACUCCGGUGGAGCUUCAACGCAGCACAGGUGAAUCCGAGGGAGCUCUAUUGCAACUCCGGCCUUCAUUGUAGUGUUGGAGCUCGCAUCAUCGGCUGCCUCCAUCGCUGAUGACCCUGGCAACCCUACAUUGAUGCUCCGUUGCAGCACAAACACAACGGCUUUUGGAGGCACGGCUUGCAACAUCCCUAUAGCGCGAUAGGGGAGGAGGAUAAGAAGGAGGGGGCAAGUCUCAAACAAUGGCGAUGGCCGGCUCUGUUUCCCUCCCCGGCGGUCUCCAUCACAGAGAUGAAAGGGAGAGAGAGAGAAGGAAGAGAGACGCUGGGGAGGGAGAUGUCUCGUGGCUGUGUGAGUAUGAGAUAGAGAAGGGAUGAAUAUAAGGCUGGACAUGUGUCAAAUGGAAGAGGAGGUUUACGAGAGACAGAGAUCACCCGGUUGAUUCUGAUCGUUUUCCGGGAAAGAGAGCCAUGGGUUCAAAAACCCUUGACUUUUCCUAGUAAACCUCCAAAAAAUAAGGAUGGGGAAGAUUUUAAGUGCUUUACUGAAAUUCUUAGACCCAUCUUUUUGCGAACACAUUUGACAGAUAUUUUGAAAAUGCCUCCUUAUGCUGAAUACAUGAAAGAUAUUUUCACUAAUAAAAAGAAAAUACCUGAAACUGAAAUCCUCACCAUGCUUGCAAAUUAUUCAUUUAAAGGGGGUAGUUAAGAAGUUAGGAGAUCGAGGAAUAUCUACUAUACCUUGCUCCAUUAAAAGAAGUUAUGUCAAAACUGAUUUAUGUGAUUUAGAAAUUGGUUCUAGUGUUAUGCCUUUCUAUUUAUAUGGAAGACUUGAUUUAAAUAAACUAACAUCUACUGAGAUAUCUUUGCAAAUGGCUGAUAAAUAGACUAGUAUUACUAUUGGUAUUUGUGAGGAUGUUCUUGUUGUAGUUGUGAAUUUUAUUAUCUUAACGGCCUUUGUUAUUCUUGAUAUGCCCGAGGAUGACAACAUGUCGAUUAUCAUUGGUAGACCUUUUUUGAAUGUUGCAGGGGCUAUUAUAGAUUGAAACAAAAGUAAGGUCACUUUCCAUGUCAAUGGUAACCAACAUACGCCAUACUUCUCGAAGAAACAAAGUUUAGUAAAUAGUAUCAACUCCAUUAAAAAAGUUGUGACUNGUGCAUGUGGUCGACAAAGUUAGUAAACACAACCUAUUGUACCCAUAGUUUACUUUCUGUUAUUUACAGUUUUAAUAAAGUAGAAUGCCAUCAUUAUCAUGUUUUCUGAAUUAUCCGUGCAAUAAAAAAUGUCCCAAAAAUAAAAGUUCUCGCAAUGACCUAAAUAAUUAGUAUGUUUUUUUAUAAUAUAUAAUAAUUUUUGGCACUAAAUACACCCCAGGGGGUGCCACGGGGCACACCUACCCCCUCGGUGCGCCUAGCAAGCUCGUGGUCCCACACGGACCCACUCACUUAGUAGACCAGCCCAUUGCCUUCUCCUACCUCAAGAAAAAAAUCACCCUUGCUUCCUAGCCCGGGUUCUUGCUCAUUUUCGGGUGAUUUUCAAUCUCUUUGCUCGGAGCUCUAUUUCUGAACCUGUUUUGAGAAAUUCCUCCUUGGUAUGUGACUCUUCCAAUGCUCCAAAUAGUUUUUGUUCUAGUGAUUCAUGUUUUCCAAGCUUUGCUACUGUUGGUGACCAUGUAUAUGAGCUUGCAUGUUGAAUUUGUAUGGUUCAAAGUAGUUUUGAUGCAUUAUAUAGCCUCUAGACACUUGUGGGAGUAGUUUCUAUCAAUUCCGUUGAGUUUUGUUCGCUUCAUUUUGAGGGACUAAAAAUUUCAGAAUUUUUUCACAGAAAAGGGAAAAGGUUAUGAGAAUAUUCCAUGGGGGUUCUUCGAGCAAUAGCUCCUCGAGGGCCGCAAUUUGUGAGCCGGAUGUUGAACCUCCAUGGGAUGCCCUCAUGAAACCGUGUGAAUGGUCAUCUGAUGCCUUCAUGACCAAAGCGGACAUCAAGGAAGAAUUUGAUAUGUAUGUACAAAAUGCAGAGUUGAAGGGAUUUUUGUCAGGUAACUGCCCAGAGUACAAUGUUCUUACUGAUCCCUUUGUGUGGAAAUUUAAGUAUGUAUCUCAGUGCUCAUCUCAUGAUGUUAUGUUUCAUCUAUAUCAUAAAUCUUUUAACAUGUGUGUUCCAUAAUUUAGUGAAGCUUGUAGAAUUCUAUUUUGGGGAACUUGCCUUGAACCUCAUAAACCUGACUUUAAUGAAUUUCUCAUGAGUAUUACACGAGGUGAAACUAGGGGCAUAAUACAAGCUUCAUUUUCCUACCAUCCACUAUUUUGCCAUAUUUAUAAGAGAUGCAUUGAUGGCAAACAUGACCUAAGUACCUUGUGCGCACCAGAUCUAAGCAUUCUUAAAAGCGCAAUAUUAAGUGAUAGAAAAUUUAACAUGGGAUCCAUCAUUACACGUCGUUUACAUAAAAACUUACUUGAUGAUGAUCUUUUUGGUUUACAUAAAAACUUACUUGACGAUGAUCUUUUUGGUGGAAUCUAUGCCACUCGCUUAGUUGCUUAUCUCGGUGUACCCAUUAGAGAAAAUGGUUCAUUGUUGCCACCUAGCUACCUUGAUUAUGAGGCCAUGCGGCAUCGUGUUUCUUGGAAGAGAGACUUCACCAUUCCAAUACAGGCUAAUCUUUAACAAAGUGUUGUGUUUUCCAUAUUACUUUGCCUCCUCUUGCCAUCUCCAGCUGUCAGGNNNNNNNNNNNNNNNNNNNNNNNNNNNNNNNNNNNNNNNNNNNNNNNNNNNNNNNNNNNNNNNNNNNNNNNNNNNNNNNNNNNNNNNNNNNNNNNNNNNNNNNNNNNNNNNNNNNNNNNNNNNNNNNNNNNNNNNNNNNNNNNNNNNNNNNNNNNNNNNNNNNNNNNNNNNNNNNNNNNNNNNNNNNNNNNNNNNNNNNNNNNNNNNNNNNNNNNNNNNNNNNNNNNNNNNNNNNNNNNNNNNNNNNNNNNNNNNNNNNNNNNNNNNNNNNNNNNNNNNNNNNNNNNNNNNNNNNNNNNNNNNNNNNNNNNNNNNNNNNNNNNNNNNNNNNNNNNNNNNNNNNNNNNNNNNNNNNNNNNNNNNNNNNNNNNNNNNNNNNNNNNNNNNNNNNNNNNNNNNNNNNNNNNNNNNNNNNNNNNNNNNNNNNNNNNNNNNNNNNNNNNNNNNNNNNNNNNNNNNNNNNNNNNNNNNNNNNNNNNNNNNNNNNNNNNNNNNNNNNNNNNNNNNNNNNNNNNNNNNNNNNNNNNNNNNNNNNNNNNNNNNNNNNNNNNNNNNNNNNNNNNNNNNNNNNNNNNNNNNNNNNNNNNNNNNNNNNNNNNNNNNNNNNNNNNNNNNNNNNNNNNNNNNNNNNNNNNNNNNNNNNNNNNNNNNNNNNNNNNNNNNNNNNNNNNNNNNNNNNNNNNNNNNNNNNNNNNNNNNNNNNNNNNNNNNNNNNNNNNNNNNNNNNNNNNNNNNNNNNNNNNNNNNNNNNNNNNNNNNNNNNNNNNNNNNNNNNNNNNNNNNNNNNNNNNNNNNNNNNNNNNNNNNNNNNNNNNNNNNNNNNNNNNNNNNNNNNNNNNNNNNNNNNNNNNNNNNNNNNNNNNNNNNNNNNNNNNNNNNNNNNNNNNNNNNNNNNNNNNNNNNNNNNNNNNNNNNNNNNNNNNNNNNNNNNNNNNNNNNNNNNNNNNNNNNNNNNNNNNNNNNNNNNNNNNNNNNNNNNNNNNNNNNNNNNNNNNNNNNNNNNNNNNNNNNNNNNNNNNNNNNNNNNNNNNNNNNNNNNNNNNNNNNNNNNNNNNNNNNNNNNNNNNNNNNNNNNNNNNNNNNNNNNNNNNNNNNNNNNNNNNNNNNNNNNNNNNNNNNNNNNNNNNNNNNNNNNNNNNNNNNNNNNNNNNNNNNNNNNNNNNNNNNNNNNNNNNNNNNNNNNNNNNNNNNNNNNNNNNNNNNNNNNNNNNNNNNNNNNNNNNNNNNNNNNNNNNNNNNNNNNNNNNNNNNNNNNNNNNNNNNNNNNNNNNNNNNNNNNNNNNNNNNNNNNNNNNNNNNNNNNNNNNNNNNNNNNNNNNNNNNNNNNNNNNNNNNNNNNNNNNNNNNNNNNNNNNNNNNNNNNNNNNNNNNNNNNNNNNNNNNNNNNNNNNNNNNNNNNNNNNNNNNNNNNNNNNNNNNNNNNNNNNNNNNNNNNNNNNNNNNNNNNNNNNNNNNNNNNNNNNNNNNNNNNNNNNNNNNNNNNNNNNNNNNNNNNNNNNNNNNNNNNNNNNNNNNNNNNNNNNNNNNNNNNNNNNNNNNNNNNNNNNNNNNNNNNNNNNNNNNNNNNNNNNNNNNNNNNNNNNNNNNNNNNNNNNNNNNNNNNNNNNNNNNNNNNNNNNNNNNNNNNNNNNNNNNNNNNNNNNNNNNNNNNNNNNNNNNNNNNNNNNNNNNNNNNNNNNNNNNNNNNNNNNNNNNNNNNNNNNNNNNNNNNNNNNNNNNNNNNNNNNNNNNNNNNNNNNNNNNNNNNNNNNNNNNNNNNNNNNNNNNNNNNNNNNNNNNNNNNNNNNNNNNNNNNNNNNNNNNNNNNNNNNNNNNNNNNNNNNNNNNNNNNNNNNNNNNNNNNNNNNNNNNNNNNNNNNNNNNNNNNNNNNNNNNNNNNNNNNNNNNNNNNNNNNNNNNNNNNNNNNNNNNNNNNNNNNNNNNNNNNNNNNNNNNNNNNNNNNNNNNNNNNNNNNNNNNNNNNNNNNNNNNNNNNNNNNNNNNNNNNNNNNNNNNNNNNNNNNNNNNNNNNNNNNNNNNNNNNNNNNNNNNNNNNNNNNNNNNNNNNNNNNNNNNNNNNNNNNNNNNNNNNNNNNNNNNNNNNNNNNNNNNNNNNNNNNNNNNNNNNNNNNNNNNNNNNNNNNNNNNNNNNNNNNNNNNNNNNNNNNNNNNNNNNNNNNNNNNNNNNNNNNNNNNNNNNNNNNNNNNNNNNNNNNNNNNNNNNNNNNNNNNNNNNNNNNNNNNNNNNNNNNNNNNNNNNNNNNNNNNNNNNNNNNNNNNNNNNNNNNNNNNNNNNNNNNNNNNNNNNNNNNNNNNNNNNNNNNNNNNNNNNNNNNNNNNNNNNNNNNNNNNNNNNNNNNNNNNNNNNNNNNNNNNNNNNNNNNNNNNNNNNNNNNNNNNNNNNNNNNNNNNNNNNNNNNNNNNNNNNNNNNNNNNNNNNNNNNNNNNNNNNNNNNNNNNNNNNNNNNNNNNNNNNNNNNNNNNNNNNNNNNNNNNNNNNNNNNNNNNNNNNNNNNNNNNNNNNNNNNNNNNNNNNNNNNNNNNNNNNNNNNNNNNNNNNNNNNNNNNNNNNNNNNNNNNNNNNNNNNNNNNNNNNNNNNNNNNNNNNNNNNNNNNNNNNNNNNNNNNNNNNNNNNNNNNNNNNNNNNNNNNNNNNNNNNNNNNNNNNNNNNNNNNNNNNNNNNNNNNNNNNNNNNNNNNNNNNNNNNNNNNNNNNNNNNNNNNNNNNNNNNNNNNNNNNNNNNNNNNNNNNNNNNNNNNNNNNNNNNNNNNNNNNNNNNNNNNNNNNNNNNNNNNNNNNNNNNNNNNNNNNNNNNNNNNNNNNNNNNNNNNNNNNNNNNNNNNNNNNNNNNNNNNNNNNNNNNNNNNNNNNNNNNNNNNNNNNNNNNNNNNNNNNNNNNNNNNNNNNNNNNNNNNNNNNNNNNNNNNNNNNNNNNNNNNNNNNNNNNNNNNNNNNNNNNNNNNNNNNNNNNNNNNNNNNNNNNNNNNNNNNNNNNNNNNNNNNNNNNNNNNNNNNNNNNNNNNNNNNNNNNNNNNNNNNNNNNNNNNNNNNNNNNNNNNNNNNNNNNNNNNNNNNNNNNNNNNNNNNNNNNNNNNNNNNNNNNNNNNNNNNNNNNNNNNNNNNNNNNNNNNNNNNNNNNNNNNNNNNNNNNNNNNNNNNNNNNNNNNNNNNNNNNNNNNNNNNNNNNNNNNNNNNNNNNNNNNNNNNNNNNNNNNNNNNNNNNNNNNNNNNNNNNNNNNNNNNNNNNNNNNNNNNNNNNNNNNNNNNNNNNNNNNNNNNNNNNNNNNNNNNNNNNNNNNNNNNNNNNNNNNNNNNNNNNNNNNNNNNNNNNNNNNNNNNNNNNNNNNNNNNNNNNNNNNNNNNNNNNNNNNNNNNNNNNNNNNNNNNNNNNNNNNNNNNNNNNNNNNNNNNNNNNNNNNNNNNNNNNNNNNNNNNNNNNNNNNNNNNNNNNNNNNNNNNNNNNNNNNNNNNNNNNNNNNNNNNNNNNNNNNNNNNNNNNNNNNNNNNNNNNNNNNNNNNNNNNNNNNNNNNNNNNNNNNNNNNNNNNNNNNNNNNNNNNNNNNNNNNNNNNNNNNNNNNNNNNNNNNNNNNNNNNNNNNNNNNNNNNNNNNNNNNNNNNNNNNNNNNNNNNNNNNNNNNNNNNNNNNNNNNNNNNNNNNNNNNNNNNNNNNNNNNNNNNNNNNNNNNNNNNNNNNNNNNNNNNNNNNNNNNNNNNNNNNNNNNNNNNNNNNNNNNNNNNNNNNNNNNNNNNNNNNNNNNNNNNNNNNNNNNNNNNNNNNNNNNNNNNNNNNNNNNNNNNNNNNNNNNNNNNNNNNNNNNNNNNNNNNNNNNNNNNNNNNNNNNNNNNNNNNNNNNNNNNNNNNNNNNNNNNNNNNNNNNNNNNNNNNNNNNNNNNNNNNNNNNNNNNNNNNNNNNNNNNNNNNNNNNNNNNNNNNNNNNNNNNNNNNNNNNNNNNNNNNNNNNNNNNNNNNNNNNNNNNNNNNNNNNNNNNNNNNNNNNNNNNNNNNNNNNNNNNNNNNNNNNNNNNNNNNNNNNNNNNNNNNNNNNNNNNNNNNNNNNNNNNNNNNNNNNNNNNNNNNNNNNNNNNNNNNNNNNNNNNNNNNNNNNNNNNNNNNNNNNNNNNNNNNNNNNNNNNNNNNNNNNNNNNNNNNNNNNNNNNNNNNNNNNNNNNNNNNNNNNNNNNNNNNNNNNNNNNNNNNNNNNNNNNNNNNNNNNNNNNNNNNNNNNNNNNNNNNNNNNNNNNNNNNNNNNNNNNNNNNNNNNNNNNNNNNNNNNNNNNNNNNNNNNNNNNNNNNNNNNNNNNNNNNNNNNNNNNNNNNNNNNNNNNNNNNNNNNNNNNNNNNNNNNNNNNNNNNNNNNNNNNNNNNNNNNNNNNNNNNNNNNNNNNNNNNNNNNNNNNNNNNNNNNNNNNNNNNNNNNNNNNNNNNNNNNNNNNNNNNNNNNNNNNNNNNNNNNNNNNNNNNNNNNNNNNNNNNNNNNNNNNNNNNNNNNNNNNNNNNNNNNNNNNNNNNNNNNNNNNNNNNNNNNNNNNNNNNNNNNNNAAGGUAAAAGCAAGGUAUUGGGACUUGGCAAAGUAGCUAUUUCCAAGGAUAGGCAUAUGGACAAAGUGAUGCUUGUUGAAUCCGUUGGUUUUAACCUCAUGUCAGUCUCGAUGCUUUGUGAUCUUGAUAUGAUUGUUAUCUUUGGUAGAUAUAGAUGUGUAGUCAUCAUGGAAUCUGACAGAUCCAAAGUCUUCGAAGGUGUAAGAAGAGGGGAUUUGUACAUUGUUGACUUCUCUACAGGUCCUCAACCAGCCACUUGCUUACUAGCAAAAACCUCAGAAGGAUGGUUGUGGCACAGAAGACUAGGUCAUGCAGGCAUGAGGAAUUUGCACACACUUGCAAAGAAGAAGCAUGUCAUUGGCAUCGAAUUAGUCAAAUUCCUCAAGGAUCAUCUAUGUGGUGCUUGUGAAUCUGGGAAAAUGACCAGAUCCAAGCAUCCCUCCAAAACCAUCAUGACCACUACCCGUCCAUUUGAAUUGCUUCAUAUGGAUUUGUUUGGACCUACUCACUAUGCAACACUAACCAAUGCAGCAUCUCUAUAUGGCUUUGUCAUAGUUGAUGAUUAUUCCAGAUACACUUGGGUGAUAUCAUAGUGUAUAAAACUGAAGUGCAGGAAAUCUUCAAACGAUUUUCUUCAAGGGCCUCGACGAACUUCGGCAUCAAGAUCAAACAUAUUAGGAGUGAUAAUGGAACAGAGUUUAAAAACACUGGUCUUGAUGAUUAUAUUGAUGAACUUGGUAUUACUCACGAAUUGUCUGCUCCUUAUACUCCUCAGCAGAAUGGUGUCGUCGAAAGAAAGAACAGGACUCUGGUUGAAAUGGCAAGAACUAUGCUUGAAGAAUAUCAGACUCCUCGUCGCUUCUGGCCUGAAGCAAUCAACACUGCAUGUCAUAUCACCAACAGGGUAUAUCUUCACAAAUUCCUCAAGAAAACCUCAUAUGAACUNAUCAACAGGAUAUAUCUUCACAAAUUCCUCAAGAAAACCUCAUAUGAACUUCUCACUGACAAGAAACCCAAUGUAAGUUAUUUCAAAGUCUUCGGUGCAAAAUGUUGGAUUAGAGAUCCUCAUCAUAGCUCGAAAUUUGCACCUAAGGCACAUGAAGGUAUUAUGCUCGGUUAUGGAAAGGACUCGCACACCUACAGAGUCUUCAACAACUAUCACAACAAAGUUGUUGAGACUGUAGAUGUGCGGUUCGAUGAAACUAAUGGCUCGCAAAGAGAGCAAUUGCCUUCUGAUCCAGAUAAGUUGUCUCCUGAGGAAGCAAUAAAGCUUAAGCCUACUGAAGNUGUCUCCUGAGGAAGCAAUAAAGCUUAAGCCUACUGAAGACAUUGUUCCCACUGAGGAAAUUGGUGAAGAAACAAUCCCCAUCGCUGAUGAAAGUCAAGAAGAUGCUCCUGAGGAAAUUGCGACAGCACCACUUCCUCAGCCCAGACAAAAUCCUAAACCAGCUCAUCCGAGGAUUGCAAAUGAAGUAGAACUUGACAAAAUCCUCAACGACAUCAACGCGCCAGGUCCUCUCACUCGCUCAAAAGCUUCACACUUAGUUAAAUUUUGUGGGCAUUUUUCUUUUGUAUCUAUCACAGAACCCUCAAAAGUAGCUGAGGCUUUUCUGGAACCGGAGUGGAUCCAAGCCAUGCAAGACGAACUUCUUCAAUUCAAGCUGAAUGACGUAUGGGAGCUCAUCAAACGACCAGAUCCUCGCAAGCAUAACAUCAUCGGCACCAAGUGGAUUUUCCGAAACAAGCAAGAUGAGGACAGUCAAGUGGUGAGGAACAAGGCACGACUUGUAGCCCAAGGCUACACCUAGGUUGAAGGAAUAGAUUUCGAUGAAACUUUUGCACCUGUUGCUAGACUUGAAGCUAUUCGAAUCCUACUUGCUUAUGCUAAUCAUCACAACAUCAUCUUAUAUCAAAUGGAUGUGAAAAGUGCAUUCCUCAAUGGUAAGCUUGAGGAAGAAGUAUAUGUUGCUCAGCCCCCAGGUUUUGAGGAUCCAAAGAAUCCAGACAAAGUCUUCAGACUCAAAAAGGCUUUGUAUGGCCUCAAGCAAGCCCCUCGGGCAUGGUAUGAUACAUUGAAGGAAUUCCUCAUGAAGAAAGGCUUCAAACCUGGUUCACUCGAUCCAACUCUUUUCACAAAAUCUUAUGAUAAUGAACUGUUUGUAUGUCAAAUAUAUGUUGAUGAUAUCAUAUUUGGCUGUACUGACAGAAGAUACAGUGAUGAAUUUGCCUAUAUGAUGAGUGAAGAAUAUCAGAUUUCUAUGAUGGGGGAGCUGAAAUUCUUCUUAGGUCUUCAAAUUCGUCAACAAAGCAAUGGAAUCUUCAUAUCACAGGAGAAAUACCUCAAGGAUGUUCUGAGGAAAUUCGACAUGCAUGAAUGCAAAGGUGCCAAGACUCCAAUGCCUACCAACGGUCACCUCGGCACUGAUGAAAAUGGUAAAGAUUUCGAUCAGCAGGUAUACCGCUCUAUGAUUGGUUCUUUAUUGUAUCUAUGUGCAUCUGGGCCAGACAUAAUGCUUAGUGUUUGCAUGUGUGCACGUUUUCAAGAAAAACCGAAGGAAUCACACCAUAAGGCUGUGAAACAUAUUCUUCGAUACUUAGCUCACACACCAACACUAGGAUUAUGGUAUCCCAAGGGCUCCAAUCUUCAUCUGGUAGGGUAUUCUGAUUCAGACUAUGCUGGUGACCGUGUGGAUCGCAAGUUAACUUCUGGCACAUGCCAUUUCCUCGGAAGAUCACUGGUUUGCUGGUCCUCAAAGAAGCAGAACUGUGUAUCACUCUCCACUGCCGAAGCUGAGUACAUUGCUGCUGGUUCUUGCUGUGCUCAAUUACUAUGGAUGANNNNNNNNNNNNNNNNNNNNNNNNNNNNNNNNNNNNNNNNNNNNNNNNNNNNNNNNNNNNNNNNNNNNNNNNNNNNNNNNNNNNNNNNNNNNNNNNNNNNAGUCAUCAGUGAGGAAUUUCCUCAAAAGGAAUUUCCUCGGUGAUGAAAUUCUAAAAAUCUCCUAUUCCCCCCCCCCCCCCUCUAGACGAUAUAACGCACUUUCAAUUGGUAUCAGAGCAAGGUACUCCCUUGGUCUGUGUGAUUUUGGUUUAACCACCUGGAGUUUUAGUUAUGUCGACUGCAGGCAUCUUUAAGGUGACUGCAGCAUGUCCUACCUACGAGGGAAAGAAUUUUCCCUUCUGGAAGAACAAAAUGCAAAUGCAUCUACAAGCUAUAGACAAUGAUCUCUGGUAUAUUGUGAAAAAUGGUGUCCCCAUCAUUUCUGCUAGUGUCACUGCAGCUAAUGUGAAGAAAUUCAAGCAACUCGAUUCUCAAGCAAAGAACAUCAUCUGUGGUCAUCUGAGCCCUGGCCAGUUUGGAAGAGUAAGUGCCUUAGGCUCUGCAACACUGAUCUGGGAGAGACUGUGCAAGGUAAAUGAAGGAGUAUCAACCCAACUCGACUCUUGUGUUGAUAUUCUUCGCAAUAUCUUCAAUCGCUGCAAGAGACAUGACAAUGGAAGCUGCCAAGACACCUUUGAUCGCCUCACUGACAUAUCAAAUGAACUGCAAGCACUGGGAGCUCGAGACAUCACUGAUCACGAAGUUGUGAAGAAACUGCUGAGAUCUUUGGAUUCUUCAUUUGACACUUUAGUUCUGAUGAUCCAAGAAAGACCAGACUACAAGAUGCUAGAUCCUGCUGAUAUCCUUGAAAGGCUAAAUACUCAUGAAUUCCAGCUAGAAUAAAAGAGAGAUCUAUAUGGACAAAGCUAUUCCAGACCACGUGCACUAAAGGCAAGAGCAAUUUCCUCAUCUGAAGAAGAAGACACAGAUGACAGCAGUUGUGACCCUGAAGAAUUUGGUCAGGAACUUGCAAUGCUUGUGAGGAAAUUCCAGAGAUUUACACGACGAGGCCAGUUCGGUAAAUCAUCAAGAAGAGACAUGAGGAAAUCAGAAUCUGCAUCUGAGGACUACAAGAGACGGACCUGUCACAAGUGCAAGAAAUCAGGUCAUUACAUUGCUGAUUGUCCUCGCUGGGGAAAGGAAUCAAAGAAGAAGAAAUACAAGGAUGACAGUUCUGAUGACUCAAAGAAGAAAAAGAAAUCUUCAAAAUCCUCAUCUCCAAAGUCCUCCUCACACAAGAAGACUAGCUUCAGAAAGGCUCGGGCACUUAUUGGCAAGGAAAUGGAUUCCGAGGCAGAAUCAGAAGAAUGUGAUGAUGAAGAAGGCUCUGGAGAAGAUUCAGAAUCCGGACAGGCUAGUCUUGCACUAGCAACCAAUUUCGUCAGCAAGUCAAUCUUCAAUCAUGAAGAAAAUGAGUGCACCAUCCAUACUGAUGACUAUGCUGAUGACUUUGCUCCAACCUAUUGCUUCAUGGCAAAAGGUUCAAAGGUAUCACAUAAUGCCCCCUCAUCUGAUUCAAGUGACUGUGAACAUGAUGAUUACAAAAAACCCAGUUACAGUAAACUUGCCAUCAUUGCCACUAAACAACAAACUGCUCUGGAAAAGCUUCAAAAACUGCUAGACAAAAGUGAUGAUCUGUUGAAUGAUGAAAUGAAUCUUAAUCAAAUCCUCGCUGAUGACAUGAAAAAUCUUCAGUCUAGAUUUGAUAUUCUUCAGGAUCGUUAUGAUACACUCCUCACUGAUCAUGAGAAGCUUUCCUACGAAUUUCUUCAAAGGAAGCUUGAUCUUGAGAAGCUGAGGAUGUCUUAUGAUGAUCUUCGUACUGAAAAUGAUUCAUUACUAGCUCAACAGAUCAGCGCUAGUCAAGUUGAAUUUAUUCCUCCAUGUCUUAAAUGCAUUGAUCGUGAAACUGCUAAUUCUUCACCAGAAUCUUCAAAUGCUACCACUGCUACAAAUUCUUCAACUGCACCUGUUGUGUCUAUUUCCUCACUUGAGGAAAAUACAAAUGUCACUGAUGAAAAUGCAGGGUUGAAGGAAUUGUACUUGACAGGCAUGUACAAAAGCCUUAAAGGACAUCAAAUCCUUUGUGAUGUGCUCAAAAAGCAGAUCUUGAACAGGAACCCGAGGAAAGAAGGAAUUGCCUUUGAGAGGAAACUGAAUGCUGAUGGAUCUUAUUGGAAACCUGAGCAGUAUCCCAAAACCUCAUGGGUUGCUGCUACUGGGCCUCCUUUUGAUCCAUCAAAUCUAACUGGCUUCUCAUGUGAAUUAUCCUAUUCCUCUGAUGAGUCAUUUGAUUCCAACUGUAAACUGUUCAAAAAUCAAUCUGGUGAAGUAUUUGCUCGAUAUGUUGGAACUAACUGCAGGAAUGGCCCUCCUCUGAGGAAAAUCUGGGUUCCCAAAAGUUGUCUUGAAAAUCUUCAAGUGAAUGUCCUCAUGACAUCACCUCUGAAGAAUCUGAACCCUAGAUCAAAUUCCUCAGGAGGACCAAAGUCUUCAAGAGGAUCAAAAUCCUCAACUGGUCAAAACUAUGCUCAUACACGUGCUUAUGCGUCUAACAUGCAGGGAAACUACAAGGAAUAUGAUUAUGAGCGCUAUUCUUCAAAUCAUUAUGUUCAUAAACCCUCAAACCAGUUCUCUGCAUACUCAUAUGAGUACUUUAACCCCCCUAGUGUUAAGAGAAGUGCAUUAACUUCAAUGCCAACUUUCUCAUAUGGUGCUCGCAGGAUGAUGAACGCUUUGCCACCCCUUCAUAUGUGGGUGGUGAAGAAAUCAAACUAAUCACUUCUGCAGGGCAGGUCUCUAGAUGAAAAUCAUCAUCUGAAGAAUUUGCUGGAGACCUGAGGAAAUGCUUGAUAGGACGCAAGCUAAUGAUUGAUGAAAUAGAAAUAUUUCACACGUCCUUACAUUUCUGUUAUGAUGAAAUUAGUAUCAUAUUCUUCAAACAUUGAAGCAUAUGAGAUGGUAAGCUGUACUAAUUCAUUUGCAGGAUGACAAACCCAAAAAUACUGAGUGGGUUCUCAAUAGUGGCUGCACACAUCACAUGACUGGUGAUAAAAGCCUACUGAUGAAUAUGCCACUAACUCCAUCACCUCUGAAGCAAAUCACAUAUGCUGAUAAAGGUAAAAGCAAGGUAUUGGGACUUGGCAAAGUAGUUAUUUCCAAGGAUAGGCAUAUGGACAAAGUGAUGCUUGUUGAAUCCGUUGGUUUUAACCUCAUGUCAGUCUUGAUGCUUUGUGAUCUUGAUAUGAUUGUUAUCUUUGGUAGAUAUAGAUGUGUAGUCAUCAUGGAAUCUGACAGAUCCAAAGUCUUCGAAGGUGUAAGAAGAGGGGAUUUGUACAUUGUUGACUUCUCUACAGGUCCUCAACCAGCCACUUGCUUACUAGCAAAAACCUCAGAAGGAUGGUUGUGGCACAGAAGACUAGGUCAUGCAGGCAUGAGGAAUUUGCACACACUUGCAAAGAAGAAGCAUGUCAUUGGCAUCGAAUUAGUCAAAUUCCUCAAGGAUCAUCUAUGUGGUGCUUGUGAAUCUGGGAAAAUGACCAGAUCCAAGCAUCCCUCCAAAACCAUCAUGACCACUACCCGUCCAUUUGAAUUGCUUCAUAUGGAUUUGUUUGGACCUACUCACUAUGCAACACUAACCAAUGCAGCAUCUCUAUAUGGCUUUGUCAUAGUUGAUGAUUAUUCCAGAUACACUUGGGUGCAUAUCAUAGUGUAUAAAACCGAAGUGCAGGAAAUCUUCAAACGAUUUUAUUCAAGGGCCUCGACGAACUUCGGCAUCAAGAUCAAACAUAUUAGGAGUGAUAAUGGAACCGAGUUCAAAAACACUGGUCUUGAUGAUUAUAUUGAUGAACUUGGUAUUACUCACGAAUUGUCUGCUCCUUAUACUCCUCAGCAGAAUGGUGUCGUCGAAAGAAAGAACAGGACUCUGGUUGAAAUGGCAAGAACUAUGCUUGAAGAAUAUCAGACUCCUCGUCGCUUCUGGCCUGAAGCAAUCAACACUGCAUGUCAUAUCACCAACAGGGUAUAUCUUCACAAAUUCCUCAAGAAAACCUCAUAUGAACUCCUCACUGACAAGAAACCCAAUGUAAGUUAUUUCAAAGUCUUCGGUGCAAAAUGCUGGAUUAGAGAUCCUCAUCAUAGCUCAAAAUUUGCACCUAAGGCACAUGAAGGUUUUAUGCUCGGUUACGGAAAGGACUCGCACACCUACAGAGUCUUCAACAACUAUCACAACGAAGUUGUUGAGACUGUAGAUGUGCGGUUCGAUGAAACUAAUGGCUCGCAAAGAGAGCAAUUGCCUUCUGAUCCAGAUAAGCUGUCUCCUGAGGAAGCAAUAAAGCUUAAGCCUAAUGAAGACAUUGUUCCCACUAAGGAAAUUGGUGAAGAAACAAUCCCCAUCACUGAUGAAAGACAAGAAGAUGUUCCUGAGGAAAUUGCAACAACACCACUUCCUCAGCCCAGACAAAAUCCUCAACCAGCUCAUCCGAGGAUUGCAAAUGAAGUAGAACUUGACAAAAUCCUCAACGACAUCAACGCGCCAGGUCCUCUCACUCGCUCAAAAGCUUCACACUUAGUUAACUUUUGUGGGCAUUUCUCUUUUGUAUCUAUCACAGAACCCUCAAAAGUAGCUGAGGCUUUUCUGGAACCGGAGUGGAUCCAAGCCAUGCAAGACGAACUUCUUCAAUUCAAGCGGAAUGACGUAUGGGAGCUCGUCAAACGACCCGAUCCUCGCAAGCAUAACAUCAUCGGCACCAAGUGGAUUUUCCGAAACAAGCAAUAUGAGGACGGUCAAGUGGUGAGGAACAAGGCACGACUUGUAGCCCAAGGCUACACCCAGGUUGAAGGAAUAGAUUUCGAUGAAACUUUUGCACCUGUUGCUAGACUUGAAGCUAUUCGAAUCCUACUUGCUUAUGCUAAUCAUCAUAACAUCAUCUUAUAUCAAAUGGAUGUGAAAAGUGCAUUCCUCAAUGGUAAGCUUGAGGAAGAAGUAUAUGUUGCUCAGCCCCCAGGUUUUGAGGAUCCAAAGAAUCCAAACAAAGUCUUCAGACUCAAGAAGGCUCUGUAUGGCCUCAAGCAAGCCCCUCGGGCAUGGUAUGAUACAUUGAAGGAAUUCCUCAUGAAGAAAGGCUUCAAACCUGGUUCACUCGAUCCAACUCUUUUCACAAAAUCUUAUGAUAAUGAACUGUUUGUAUGUCAAAUAUAUGUUGAUGAUAUCAUAUUUGGUUGUACUGACAAAAGAUACAGUGAUGAAUUUGCCUAUAUGAUGAGUGAAGAAUAUCAGAUUUCUAUGAUGGGGGAGCUGAAAUUCUUCUUAGGUCUUCAAAUUCGUCAACAAAGCAAUGGAAUCUUCAUAUCACAGGAGAAAUACCUCAAGGAUGUUCUGAGGAAAUUCGACAUGCAUGAAUGCAAAGGUGCCAAGACUCCAAUGCCUACCAAUGGUCACCUCGGCACUGAUGAAAAUGGUAAAGAUUUCGAUCAGCAGGUAUACCGUUCUAUGAUUGGCUCUUUAUUAUAUCUAUGUGCAUCUAGGCCAGACAUAAUGCUUAGUGUUUGCAUGUGUGCACGUUUUCAAGCAAAACCGAAGGAAUCACACCAUAAGGCUGUGAAACAUAUUCUUCGAUACUUAGCUCACACACCAACACUAGGAUUAUGGUAUCCCAAGGGCUCCAAUCUUCAUCUGGUAGGGUAUUCUGAUUCAGACUAUGUUGGUGACCGUGUGGAUCGCAAGUCAACAUCUGGCACAUGCCAUUUCCUCGGAAGAUCACUUGUUUGCUGGUCCUCAAAGAAGCAGAACUGCGUAUCACUCUCCACUGCCGAAGCUGAGUACAUUGCUGCUGGUUCUUGCUGUGCUCAAUUACUAUGGAUGAAGCAAACCCUCAAGGACUACGGCAUCAACAUGAAGAAUGUGCCUCUCUACUGUGACAAUGAGAGUGCUAUCAAGAUUGCCUAUAACCCAGUACAGCACUCGAAGACCAAGCACAUCCAGAUUCGUCAUCAUUUUCUUCGGGACCAUGUCCUCAAGGGCAAUAUCCUCAUCGACCAUGUGAAGACUGAUGAUCAACUGGCUGAUAUCUUCACUAAGCCCUUGGAUGAGAAAAGGUUUUGCAAGUUGCGGUGUGAGCUAAAUAUCUUAGAAUCUUCAAAUGUUUUGUAAAAACCUGCACACAUCCUAACACUUAUGCAAAGUUGAUGACUUAGAUGUGCAACACAUGACGAAACGAUUUUCUUCAACCAAUGAAGAAAGUCACUCUGAAUGUGAAGAAAUUAACGAAGAAAUUGAUUCUCAGGGCCCUACGACAAUUGUACGCGGCGUUUGUAAUCAACAUUCUUAUAUGGUGGGCAACGCCACCGCCCAAUGUGAAAUUCCUCAAGUUGAUUUUCUUCAAAUGAUCAAAUUCCUCACAAUGCAUUUUCUUCAAGACAGUUGUUCUUCGUUGUGAUGAUCUAUUGCAAAAUCUUCAAAAACACUUGAUGACUUUCAUUUGCCUAGGUAGACUGUGAUUUCUAAGUCCUCAACAGCAUUCACUUAUUGCUAUUUCUUCAAGUUGAUGUUUCUGCUAAGUGAAUGUGAUCGGACCCUAUUAUCCCUCUAUGCUAUACUUAUCCAGUCUAUUCAAUUCAUCAUAUGUGUUCUACUUGAAACUUUUUUCAAAAUCCUCACUGCAUCCUUGUCAGCUGAUGAUUUUGUAACGAAAAUCCUCAAAUCUUCGAAAAAUUAUUUUCUUCAAAGGAACAGUAACUGAACCCCCACUUCCCACGAUUGGAUAGCCACGAUCUCCACUAUCUCAACCGCAUCGUACGGGAGCUACACGUGUCCUGCGGAGACGUAGAGGCAAGGCUAUUUGGUCCGAAACUUUCGCGCCAAACAGUAACUUUCGGGCUAUAAAUAUGUCCUUAACCCCCUCGAUAUCAUAUUCUUCGCCUCAUCGCUCUCCUGCCACAGCACACCGAACUCUAGCGCCACCGCUGGUAGUCUUGUCGCCGGCAAGGAAGAGCUUCACUGCCUCAACCUUCUCGCCGCCAGGAUCACGCCGGAGUCGGAACAUCUACGUCCGCCGCCGCCGUAGACGUCCUCUGCUGCCAAGUUAGGGUGCAUUGGACACUUGACCGAAGAACCUCUCCAACACCACCUUUUUGUGUUCUUCGUUCGCACCUUCCAGGGUAAUUAUAUCCCAUUUUUACAACAGAUUAGAUCUAAAAUUUUACCUCUCCCUUGUGAAAUCUGUUUUUCCUCAAGAUACGAUGCGCACAUGAUUCCUCAAACACUAUCCAUCACCACAAUCAUUGAUGAACUAGCUAAGCAUCUAAGAUUUUCACGAGAUUCCUCAAUUGUGCGAAUUUUCGGAUCUGUACAACUCUGGAACCCAAGAACAGAAUGCUUAAGCAAAUUCCUCAACCACUGGUUAUAUUCCUCAAACUGUCAAACUUUUCCAUUUUCUUCAAAUCUGAGAACGCAUAUGACCUCUCCAAGUUCCUCGCAACUAUACUCUGUUCACAGGUACACACAUGUCAGCUGAUGAAUCUCUCGGUUCUCAUCACAUUAACUCAUUUGCAGCGUUUCUGGAAGAAACUCUUCAAGGCUCAUCAGAAUCCUCAAGAGUUCAAAAUCCUCAGAAAGUUCCUCGUCUGAAGAAAAUGGAGGAAGAAAGGAAACAGAAGGGAGGAAAGAAACUGGAGCAGAACACAGCUGUUGAUAUUCCUGAUGACAUAUACCUGGACUACUGCACGCCUGAUGAUGAACCUGAGACUAUGCCUAAAAGAAAGAUUAGGCUGCAGAAAAUUGAACGCGGAUGGGCAAAGGAGUAGAAGGAGUACAGGUUUGUGACUCCAAAAUAUGCGAAGAAAUUCGCUUUGAACCCUCCUGGCAGAAGGGCCCCGCUUGAGGAUCAUCAAGUAGCUCAUCCCUCAAGUCUUACGACACUUGAUGACUACCUAGAGGAAAAAGAAAGGCAUCUGGCCAAGCUCAAGAAGCAAGCAGAAACAGCAGUGAAGAAAUUUCAUGAAUCCUCAGCUGCUGCCUCCGGUGCUUCUCAUUCCUCAGCAGCAGAAACCUCAGGCUCCGAGAUUCCUCAACCAAAGUCUGUGCCAACAAAGCCAAAAGCUUCAAAACCUCAAGAAAAGUUUGCACAGACUUCUGUCACCAAACCCUCAGCUCCAAAGCCCUCGGUUCCAAAACCGUCAACACCAAAACCAUCAGCGCCAAAACCUUCAGCACCAAUCGCAUCUACACCAAAGUCCUCAGCUCCACCUCCAAAGCCAGUACAGAAGAAAGUCGUGAAGACUACGACUGCCAGCUCCAUUUCCUCACUCCCAGCUGCAACUAGCUCGGAGACAAAGUCUUCAACACCUCUUUUGAAGACUUUGACAACAACUGAACAUGCACCUCUGCCCAGCCCCAGCAAAAUCAUCACAGUCCCGUCUGCAUCAGAGGGAAGUGAAGAAUAUGAUGAUGAAACUCUGGAAGCCAUCAUCAGGAACAAACAAGAAAGGGUAGCACAAGCAUCAGGCAGUGCUAUUCCUCUGGCGAUGGACUCCAAGGUCCUCCUCGACUUCAUCAAUGUGUGGUAUGAAGACCCAAACACACCCAUUGAUGAUUUGAAACUUCCUCCUGGUGUCAGCCACAUGGUGGCUACCUUCAUAAACGAAGCCAAGUGGAAGGAACAGAAGGCCAAGCAGGCAAAGAUUGCAAAGGCCAGAAAGGAGAAAUUCCUCAGGCAAAAUGUUCUCAAGCUGACGCCCGAAGCAUUGGUGUCCACCCAGGCAGAGCUGCAAGUCUUGACUGACAAGUGUGAGAAACUGUCAGAUCGCACAAGCAUCAAAAGCAAUUUCAUCAAGCUAGCCACUAGUGUUGUUGAUGACUACAACAGACGUCACCCCCCACCAGCACCAACUCCUCAGCCCCUAGUUGAACAGCCAAAAGAUGCAUCUCCUGUUGAGGAGGAAAUUCCUCAAGCUGAGGAACAACACCAAGAGCGCCGUGCUGAUGAGCCGGCCAAUGAAGAAAUCAUCACUGAGACCGCUCCUGAUGAAACUGCAAACCCUGAUGAAACUGCUACUGAUCCAGCUGCUUCACCAAAGCAGGCUGAUGACUAUGUUCCAGCUGGUUCCUCACUGCCAGCUGAAGAAUCUGUUAAGAAAACACCUUCACCAAAAACUUCAUAGGUGAAGAAGUUAAUCCCGUCUGCAUCAGACGCGAAAAAGACAAGGGCUGCUGAGAAGGAAGCAAAGAAGAGAAAAGCUUCCUCAGCAGAAGAAAAGAUUGAGGCAAAACGCCUCAAGGAAACUGAAGAAUCUGCCCCACUGGACCCGGUGCCUCUUAAUGCUGCACCCUCAUUUGAAAUGGUCCUCGUUGGUGACCACACUACGAGGGCAGAUGAGGAAAUGAAGGAUGCUGCCUCUGAGGAACAUACUGAUGAGGAAAUACAAAUUGAUGACAGUCCUCAACCUCAUAUUCCUCAGAAAGAGACUACUGAAGCCUCAGCUGCAGCAGUUGAUGAAUCUGCUUCUGCCACAAAGUCAGCUGAUGAAAAUCAAGCUGAAGAAAAUGUCCAGUCUGAGCAGGCUCCUCCCACUGAACAGGCUGACCAAACUCCUCAAGCUGAGAAGGAAAAAGAAAUUCCUCAGCCUGAUGCUCAGCCAGAGCAAGAAAUUCCUCACCCUGAGGAAACUGCUGAAGAAAAUGUUCCCGCCCCUGACAAUGAAUUCAUUGUCCUCAACCCAGAAUCUGCCAUGGUUGUUUCCCCUCCCAUUCCUCAGCACAAUCUCAAUCCAGUUCAGCGCCUGCCAUUCUCGAAGAGGCCAAAGUUUCAGAAAGAGAAUUUCUUUGAGGAACGCAUGUAUUUCAUCGGAGAGAAUCCUUAUGACAAGCCUCAAAUGAGGCAUCUGAAGUUUUGGACAAGGACGCAUAUGAACUACUAUGCUUCUGUGCUCUGUGGCCGCAACAAGAUAUUCCAGCAUAGGCACAUUCCUCAUGCUGAACUUGAAGAGAUUCCCUGCAUGGAACCAGUUCUCAGUGUACUACAUGAUGCAGGUUUGCUCCCUAUGUGCUCCGACAUAUCAGAUUGGAAUAGUGAGCUAAUUCUUCAGUUCUAUUCAACUCUGCACAUCUCGGGCAAUGCUGAUGACAUCAACACUUGGGUGUUCGACUGGAUGACCCAAAAUACUCACUACAAGGCUCCAGCGUCUGAACUCCUCAGAGAACUGCCCGUACCAAUUCCUUCAGAAGGGGCAGUGAAGCUUUACGGUGAGCGUGAGCUGCCAAAUGGAAUGAUGGAAGUCCUCAUGAAGCCUUUGGCUGCAGGAAAACCCUCAAGAACCACAUUCCUCGUCCAUGAGCUCAAAUACACACCCCGGUCUGUCUACCGCAUUCUCUGCAGCGUGCUAGCGCCAAUCAAAGGCCAUGAUGAUGACGAAGAUGUCGUCGGCCUCAUGAAGAAUAUCCUCUUCAACAUCAUUCACGGUAUCCCCAUGAAUAUCCAUGAGUUAUUCUUGAGGACUUUGGCUAACAAUGCAAUGUGCCCAUAUGAUCACAAAAUUUAUGCACCAUGGAUCAUGAGAUUCCUCAGGACAAGGACAGGCAUCAACUUUCACGCAGAUUUCCAGAACCAUGUUGGUUAUAUGCCUCCUAUCCGGGUCAACAAUAAGACUUUCGAGCCCAUUGAGGGAAAAUGAAAGUCUGUGAUUGAUGAAGGAAGCAGGCCCCUUGAUGGCCAGUUCAAAGAACCAGAUGCAUAUUCCUCAUGGGACGACACUGAGUCACGUCCGCCAAGCCCUGUUCCUCCUCGCGUGCUAAACACCAGAGAACUUCUCCUCAGUCUUCAUCAGAAGGUGGAUCACAAUCACAAAUGGGUCAAACGCCAGUUUGGUGCCAUUGUGAAAACCCUCACUGAGACACAGAACAGUGUGAAGCUUAAUAAUCACUAUCUGCAUGAGGUUUUUGAUCGCACCUGGGCUACCCUUGCACAUCUGAAGACCCAGACUGAGCUUGAAGAAUUGAACUUUGAGCAGGACUUUGACUGGUCGUGGCCUCCCAAGAAGAAGUUCAGGCCCAUUCCUAUGCCAGAUCUUGAAGACAGUUCCUUCUCGUCCUUUCGCACCGCCGAAUCUGAUGAGGAACAACUUGACACCACGAUAGGCCCAAGGAAGAAGACUACACCAAAGAAGCGCCAAGGAUCUUCAUCAACUGCCCAGCAAUGAAGUCUUCACGAGCGUUAGUCCUCAGUUUGUCCCUUUUUGUCCCUUGAUGACAAAGGGGGAGAAACUUGAGAGUUAGUCUUCAAACAGGAUUUAUUUUUGGGGCUUAUGAACUAUAUUUAAGUUACAAACUCUUGGCUCUUCUGAAGUUUUUAUGUAAUGAGUUGUAACUUAAGCCCGAUGGUACUCUGACGCUGUUUGAAUGUUUUUCUUCGCAUGCUUAUUCCUCAAGUUUUAAUGCACGCAUGCUGGAAUUCGUCAGAUACCAUUUGCCAUCAUGCAUCUUCAUUUUCUUCAUAUGAUAUGUUAUAUGUAUGCAUGAUUUACAAGAUUCAGGGGGAGAUCUCCAUGAUAUAAAUCAUCAAUGUGCAUAUGCUAUAAAAGCAAAAUCCUCAAGGUAUGCACAUCUUCAGGGGGAGUCUCUGUGAAUCUUAUUUUCAAAUUCCUCAAAUGAGUAUUUACACUUAAUAUUUUUGAUCCCUGUUGAAGACUUAACCUAAUUGUCAUCAACCACCAAAAAGGGGGAGAUUGUAAGUGCAUCUAGUGCCCCUUAGUGAUUUUGGUGGUUUGAAGACUUAUAGGUUAAGUAUCUAAUGUGUUUUUAAGUGUACACAGGAUCUAUAAGUCAUUGAGGAGUUUGAGAUAUUUGUAGAAUAUCGACCCCUAAAAAUAUAUGUCUUCAGUUGAAGAAAUUGGUCUGAAGCUGAAGAAAUGAAUCGCGAAGAAUUUGCGAUGAAAUUGAUAUUCCUCAUGAAGAUAUUGAUAUUGAGAAGAUCGGUGGUUCCUGAAGAAAAUCGUUCUGAAGAAAUUGAAGCGUGAAGAUUUACGUUUUCUGUUUUACUUUCUUCGCAUUUGAUGAAUAGGAACACCGUACUGUUAAAGGGGGUUAAAGUAACACUAUGGAAUGGAUUUCCUCAUGAUGCUCAGCCCAAGCCAAAUCCUACCAAAAGCCUCAAGUGAGGAAUAUGAGUGACAUGAGGACUCUCACAGUUGAGAGUCCCGACCGUUUCGAUAAGCCACGCCAAGUCACUGAUCUUAUCCACUCCAACGGUCGUAUUAUUUAAGGGCAUUAAUGUCAAAUCAUGUCGGGAUGCUCCCAGGCUAUAAAUAGCCGCCCCCCCACAACCACUAGCUGGUUGGCUGCUCCGCUAGAAACUGACACUUGUCAUAAGAGCAACCCAAUUCCUCAGAGCUUUCGAGAGUAAAUCAUCAGUGAGGAAAUACACCACCCACCGAAACCACAAACCAAACCUAGUGAUUGAGCAUCACUGAAGAAGUUGUUCCUGUGUGGGACUGAAGCCUUUUACCUUUGAGGACUGUGCAUCCUCCAGACGGUUAGGCUUCAUGGUCUAGAGCAAUCCAGCAGUCAAUUGUGGAUCGCCGGGUGACCGAGUUUGUGAGGGUUUGGAAGUCUGCCCUGAAGACUUACCACGAGUGUUGGGCGAGGACUGUGUGUCCUUAGCUCAAGGAGAAUACGGUAGGGACUGUGUGUCCCGGGACUGGGUGUCCUUUGGUUUAAAUACCAAGCCGCUCCAAACCAGAUGUACAACUAUCACAGCAGUUGGAACUGGGUCAUCAACAACAGUCUUCACCAAGAAUCGGGUUCUAAUUCCUCAACUCUUUACAUUCUCUGUAUUAUGUGUUGAUGACUUUCACUGUGACUGUUUGAAGAAUUUGCUGAAGACUUUCUCUGAAUUUCCUCAACCCCAAAUUCUUCACUUGAGUAAAUCAUCAUCUGUAUUCUGCGUGUCUGCUUGCUGUGCAAUCUGUUUUCAUAAUCUUCACUCUGUAAUACUGCUGUCGUGAACGAUUGCACAACUGAUCCUUAAUUGUUUCCGCUGUAAGUUAGUCAUCAGUGAGGAAUUUCCUCAAAAGGAAUUUCCUCAGUGAUGAAAUUCUAAAAAUCUCCUAUUCCCCCCCCCCCCUCUAGUCGAUAUAACGCACUUUCAACAUGACGGCAAAGGAGACUCAGCACAGUAAUGAGGCACACCGCCAAGCACUCGAGGUUGCGAUGGAGUAUAACUCAAACUACCUCCACGAUUUCUACCCCAGCCAGCCAUGGCCAUAGACCAAGUUAGGUCAAAAUCCUAAGCUAGGGGGAAUAUGUAUUUCUCACUAACACUAUGUUCAUGUACCACACAUUCAUUCCACUUGUCGGUAUUCAUCCUCUUUUAUUGUAUAUCCACGUUCAGUUUUGUUUUCACUGUCUUUUGUGUAUUUGAAAAACUUUGAAAAUCCAAAAAUAUUUCUGGCUUCUUUUCGGUUUUUCUUCCUUGCUUUUCUAGUUUGUAGUAUUAAAAAAACUCAAACACAUUUCCUGAUCUUAUUUUGUUUGUAGGGAUCUUUCCCGUGUAAAUGGUUUUUCUAGUUUCUUAUUUUUCUUCUAUUCUUUUUGCUUUCUGCAAAAAAAACUAAAAACUCCAAAAACAUUUUACUGUGUUCCUCUGAAAUUCUUUUAUUUUUCUUUGAGUCAUCGUAAGAAGAAGACCAUGCUAGAAUAGUUUUGAGUCUCUCAUAUGCGAUAAUGUUGAUCUAACGAAGACCCAAUAUUACCUUGUCUUCUCCUUCGAAUAAAUGGUUUUGUAGGUUCCAGCUUAGUCGACGGCACACUUGCACUAUUAUUAUUUUCACAUCAUUCGACCGAGCAAGUGAAAAGGCAAUAAUGAUGAUGAUUUGAUGAAGUGAUUGCGAUGAAGGGAAGCUCGUAUGGACUCUUCUUGUUUUCUGUUUUUGUAAAUAUGCUCAACUCGGUCAAUCUUGAUUCAACAUAUUAUGAGUAAAUAGGUUUGUGAUGAUAAUUAGAGAUUAUAGUUUCUCAUGGCUUGCUUAAAUAGCUAGGAGUGUAUAAUGAUUCAUCGUGUGUGUCAUCAUGCAUUAAAAUGGUUGUGAUGUAAUAUGUUAGUAUGGUAUCCUCCUCCGGACAAUUCAAGUAGCUUGACUUGGCACAUGUGCAAACAUGUAGGUGACUCAAAACCAAUGCAGCGUUCAUGAUAUUUAAUUUCAGAGUGUUUUUAUCCAAUCCAUGCUCGUAUCCCAUGUUAAAUAUUCACAAUGCGUGACUAUGGUUGUUGUCGCUCUCUAGUUGGUCACUUCUCAAUCUAUUUGCUAGCCUUCACCUGUACUAAGCGGGAAUAUUGGUUGUGUAUCCAAAAUCCUAAAAAACAAAGUUUUCCCAGAUGAUUCCACCAUAUCUACCCUAUAUGCGGUAUUACUCUAUGGUUCCAAAUAAAUUUGCAUCUGACACCUCUAAUCAUUUAAAUAAACAUUCUACCGCUCAUGAAGCUACGGGACGGUUAAUAUCUUUCAUGCUAAAUGGAUUAUUCUCAUGAGCGGUGUUUAUUCACCUACCAUUGCACAAGAGAGACUGUAAUUCGAUAUUAUGUAGCACGACUUGGCCUUUCGGCCUAGAACAAAUUAUAUUAACGAGUAGUUAAUUAGCAUGUGGAUUUACAUGUGAUCUGGGGUACGUUGGGGUUUUCGGCAUGUUCGCCUAAAAAAACAUGCCAAGCUGUACAUAUUUUUCUCAUUCAUAUACCAAAUAAAUAAAAUAUGAAAAUUCAUUUCAUGAUUUAAUGAGACUGAUUUGAUAUCAUGUAUAUUGAUAUAUUUUCAUAUAAACUAAGUUAAAUUUAGAAAUUUACAAAAAUAAUACACCUUAUAUUUUGAAAUAGAGGGCAUAAAAUAAUAUGAAAAAUAAACAACACGAACAUCGCAGUGAAGCGCGUCCAACUCUUCUAGUUAAUCAAAAAUAUGACUCGGUCAUUUGAAAAUAAAGGCGGUUGAAAAGACAAGUUUGGCUCCAGCUAAAAGCAAACCCCGCAAUGUGUCAAACGACCACCCUGUGGGCAUUACAAACUGAACAUGAGGGCCUUUGGUUUUGGGACCAUAUACAUUUCCUCAAAUGCGGACAAAGAAACAAGCUUGCAAUUUUGAAUCCAGAAAUGUCGUCAUCGUUUGCCGGUUCUGGAAUAUUCCCAUUCUUAUAAAAUCCUUUGUAUUCCUAGUAAUAAUCAACUCCCUGCCAUGCUUUAUCCUCUUUUGGCUUAGCUAAUUUGUUUGCUUCACCGGGCAUGUGAUGCUACAUUGAAUUCCCAGGCCUACCAAUACAAGAAAAGGACAUGGUCACAUACCUGCACAUGGUCACUCACGGUGUUUAAUUAAGUGAUCAGUCUGGAGCUCACUUAACUUAGGAUCCCUAGAGCUCAACACCAGAACAAUGGAGUGGUUUGCAUGUGUCUGCACUUUAUAUCAUAUAAGUCAUAUAUUUUUCCUUCUUCAUGCAAAUCUAUAGAUUAUUAUGGGAUUAUUUAGCCAGAGCUUGUCAGAGAACAAAACUAGUUGGUGUUUAAUUAAUUUUUCUCUUUAUGCAAGCCUGUAGAAUGUCGGUUAUGAUCAGGUGAUGUGAAUGUGCUAACCAACGGUCGUCCAUGGGAGUGGCAUUCCUUGACAAUCACCACCCACCACAUCUCAGGGCAUCUACAACCGGAAUUGAUAAAUCUGACCUCUCAAACAUCCGCGGAUGCGUCCGGUCAAUUAUCGAACGUGUUCGGUUUGAACCCCAUUUUUUUAUCCGUGCAGCCGUACUUUUUUUUCAUACGCCAGAUCAUUUGCACGUGAUUGAUGAAGAAUAAGAGAGAAAGAAAAAAAAGAAUGAAUAAAUAAAGAGAAAAUGUGGUCUCGUCCUACAUGGCGAACUGACCGGGCGUGUCCGGACGCGUCUGCAAGCCCUCAUAUCGUCCUUAUAUUUAAGAUGAAUAUGAGGGGUGCCAUUCAGUCAUGGUGUUUGAGAUUGAUAUGAAGAAAUCUGUUGGGUCGCAUUUUUGUGACCGGUGAUUGAUCGAACGAUCUGUUCAGACAUUUGAUAGGGAUACGAUGGGUAGAACCUCUCACUGCAUGCUGGGUUGGGAUCUUCUGCCACGCACAUCAUUCGGUCUAUGUCCGGUCGCCCAUUGGAUAUCAAGGGCUGGUAUUAGAUGAGAGCUAAAAAUGAAAGGAUUACGGGCACACAUAAGGACUUGUCUACACGUACUUACCAUGGAUAUCACAUUCCUGACUGGACAUGUAGUUGCACAUUCGCAAGGCAAACCUAUAAGUUUUGAGUUAAAAGGGGAAAGAUUUUGUGCUGUUUCCAGGUCUUCAUCUUCACCACCUCCUUGCACCAACACAUUCCUUCAUUUUUUAUGAUACAGUUCGUCAUCACGGAUAUAUUUGUUUAUCAAUAGAAGACUUUCGUCCUGCUUUAUAUAUGAUGGAACAUAGCCAAAUCGGUAUACGGUGAUGAGAAGAGUCUCUUACAAAAUAGAUCAAUGAAAAACAAGAAUAUAGGAGAACCACCACCCCCCCCCCCCCCNCGGAAGAAGACAAGACACCAAGGGAAAUUACCAGAUCUCGUUCUGCUGUGACACCAAGAUGUCACCGAAGAGGGGCCCCUGCCCUCCCGCUCCGGAUCGUGGAGCCCAAACCUGUCAGUGGACAGCGAGUACAACCACCGAGGCCUUCUGUACAAGAUAAGGAGGCAAGUGCGGCCACCCGUGCCAGAGACGGCGAAGCUUCAAGUGAGGAUCCAAAAAUGUCCGCCAAUGACGACGCGUGUAUCAAAGAAAUAUGGGCUCCAUGAUGGCAUCCUUGGAAGGAAGACGAGGCAAUGCAUUACCACCGUCAAGACCGAGGGUAUGAUCAAGUGUUUCCACCUGAAGCCCUAGCUCGGCAAGAGGAACUACAUCGACGCCCUCAAAAGGGAUGCGACACUCACGAGCAUCACCACUGCUGGCACUGUAACACAAGCCUCUCGCCCGCGGCUUCUCACCUGUGCCACACCAAGGAACCCCAAGCACUAAUCCACCCCGGGGGAAGACAAGCUGCCACCAAACAAGACCUCCACGGCAGGAUCUAGGAACCGCCAGUGCCAUGUCACCGUCAACACCAGCAACAUUGAGCACUACAUCCUCCACUUCUUGCAUGACCAAAAUAUGCAACCAUCACUUUCGCCAAGACGUGUGUUGAAAAGCCAAUUUGGUAGAUCGCAAUCUAGGGCCAUUGCCCCAGCUUUCAAGUUCCCAACUUUACUUCCGCACACCGAUUCCAAACCCGAACAUCUCACUUACUGGCGGCGCGAUGAAAAAUCCCCUCCUUUCCAGUUCCACGGCAUAACAUGGACGAAGGCGCACACCACGCUGGUGCGGUCCCUACCUACGGCGCCGACCAGCGAACCCAAAUCUAUCAGUGAAGACCAAAUAUGGUCGCGAGAAACCAUCCACAUCUUUCCCCACCAUGCAAUGACGAGCACGAGUGACCAUCUCGGAGGUGUCCCAACUACCACAUGAGGAGGAGGGCGUCGCAGCCCCCUGCCUACGGCCGCAACCUUAUAGAAAUAUGAUCCCCUGUAGUACAAGUAGGAAUGUAAAUGGUACGGACAAUUUUCGUUCCGAAACCGCUUCUCCAUACGUUUUUAAGGAUAUGGUAUGCACUUAAACAAAUCCGAUAGAUAUGUAUGCAGAUAUGAAUUUUGGUCAACUCGAUAUCCGGCGAAUAUGAUAGAGGAUAUGGUAUUAAUAAUAUCCGGUGGAUCUGGAUUAUCCAGUGUAUUUUGCGGAUUAUUCGAGGUUGUCAAAUAGGCUUAUGUGAUAAAUUUUGCAGAUUGUUCAAGCAAGGGAGGUGAGCUCUCUCACCUUUCACAUUUUUUAGGUGCAAUGAAUCAUGCAAGUUUAGGGCGUCUAAGGACGAAGGUAGGUAUGUUGUGUGCAUGAAUGAAUCCACGCCAUGCAGGUGGAGCUUCUCCUCUUUGCAUACACAACGGGUCGUGGUGGUAGUCUGGUAGACCACUGUGAGCAAAACCGGUGCUGGUCGCGACCAUGAUCUACACUAAAUCCACACAUGAUGAGGGGUAAUCUAUAUAUACACCGACAUCAAACGCAGAUCUGCGACUGCAUACAUAUACACAGACGGUGCGUCCGGACGGCGGUUUGUGUACAUAUAUACGUAGGAAUUCUAAGUAUGAAUAACACAUAGUUAAUUUGUAGUAGUCGAGUAGAGUAGGCUCCAUGUUCGAUGGCGUGUUCAGGGUGUUGUUCCGGUCUAAUUCGCACAACGAUAAGGGCUUCACUUUUGAUGAGCCACCUUGAAGGUCCGCAAAGAUGCAUAUCAGCGAUGGAGCCGCGAGCUCAGGUGAGGAGGUGAUUCGUCAUUCUUUUCUUUGGUGCCUUCUUUGAUGGUGCCGGAGGCAGGUGACGGAUAUUGGUGUCAAACUUGAAGAUGUUUUUCGAUCUUUUUAGUUUUGUCAUGUGUGUCUUUAUGUGACUUGUACUUUGAUCUUUAUGAUAUAAAUAAGACAUAUAUUACCAAUUAAGAAAAAAGAGUAGAGUAGGCUUCAUCUUAAUAGACUACAAACAGUAUGAACUUAUUAGUACUACAUAUUGUUACUGUAUUGUGUGAGUUAUAACUUUAAGACGCCACUCUCUAGUGUUAUGCGCUUGGAUGGAGGCUUGGAUGGAAACACAUUGUCAUAUUGUUGCAUAGUAGAAAUAAAUCAUGUCUCUUUGCGCGUAUCAUCCGAUAUUUUUUGUCUGUUUCGGGUCCGAAUCGUCUCCGCCUCCGUUCAAAAUAGUAGUACGAUAUAAUUCGCAUUCAAUCAUUAUCCGCUCCGCUCCAAAUCCAGCAAAAAAUAUGGUAAAGCAUUAUCCAAGCUGAUCCAUUUACAUCCAUGAGUGAAAGGACGUGGACGUCGCCUAUAGGGGAGUGAAUAAGCGCUUUAAAAUAAUUACGGUUUAAGCUUGAACAAAUGUGGAAAAAAAACUAACGUUUGACUAGUCAACCAGAAAACCUAAAACAACUAGGCUCACCUAUGUGCACCAACAACUUAUGCUAAAAAAGAUAAACAACUAAGUGAUAGCAAGAUAUAUAACAUGAAACAAUAUGGCUAUCACAAAGUAAAGUGCAUAAGUAAAAGGCUCGGGUAAGAGAUAACUGAGGCACAAGGAGACAAUGAUGUAUCCCGAAGUUCCCACCCUUGCGGAUGCUAAUCUUCGUUUGGAGCAGUGUUGAGGCACAAUGCUCCCCAAGAAGCCACCAGGUCCAUCGUAAUCUCCUCGCACCCUCACAGAAUGCAAGAUGUCGUGAUUCCACUAAGGGGCCCUUGAGGGCGGUCACCGAACCCGUACAAACAAGGUUGGGGAAAUCUCCACAACUUAAUUGGAGGCUCCCAACAACUCCAUGAAGCUUCACCACAAUGGAUUGUGGCUCCGAGGUGACCUCAAUUGCUCGGGGCAAUCUCCACAACCUAAUUGGAGACCCUGACACUUGCCCGGAGCUUUACACCAUAAUGAUUGAGCUUCGAGGCACCAGCAACCGUCUAGGGCGCCAAAGCACCCAAGAGGAACGAGCUCUAGGGUACUAAGCACCCAAGAGUAAUAAGCUUCUUUUCACUUCACUUCCACGUAUCACUGUUCUGGAGCAGUUAUCUUAAGAACUAUUCAAAUAAUAUGAAAAUAUCUUAUAGCAGAUAAGGCAAGCCUACUCAACUAAUCUCAUGUAAACGCCUGUUCGCUAAAAUCCAAAUAGAAAAAGACAACUACUUAUUAAACAUGUAGUUGAGUGCUCCGUCGUUGUUCGGAUCUUGACCGAGUCCGAGCUUCCCAAGCUCUAUGCUGUUUGGGAACUCAGCAAGGGUCUUACCACCUUCUUGAUUGACUAUAUUUGAGUCUUUGGGGUACUUUAGGAUUAUAUUCCGCGCCGAAGAUUUUUGCUUGUGGGCUAGGGUGAAUAUAGCGGACCAGCGGAUCUGGUAGUUGACAAUCGUUCGGACUUGGUAAAGGUUGUCGCAGCACCUGUAGUAGGACAGAGGACUUAUCGCGAUGCCCGCGGACCAAUUUACUAUGUCUCUGUCGCUGACGUUCCAAUGAUAUAGAGAUGUGAAACCGGCAAAAAAAACUCCAGCAUCGAAAACAUUACAAAAGAUGCAUAUGGACUCCAUUUUUUAUGAACUCGAGCUUGUCAUGAAGAUGACCACAAGCUCUAAAACUCAUAAAAAGAAACACCAAGCAAGAACCAAGAAAGAUGAUGCAAGGAUGCAAAUGGUUUGAGCUCUCAACAAGCGAUACGAUCAAGCUACUCACUUGAGAGCCCCCCUUGAUAGUCCGGCAAUCGAUCCUAUAACCCGGUCACCCAACUACCACCAUGAGACCGGUAAAGUAGAAAAACUAUCAAGGGAAAACAUAUACCUUGCACAUAAUCCACUUGAGCUAGAUGAUGAUGAUAUUGACAUUCUCAAGUUGGACCACAUUUCUUGAUUGCGUUGGAUUGAUGAAGACUAGUUGAUUGCUCCCCCAUACUCCACUAUGGGUGAGUCACUCUUCGGCACAUCUUAACAAGUCCAUUGUCACAAUUAUGGACGACAAAUUUCAAGCAUGAUCCCUUCGUGAUGCUCUACUUGAAGUUGCACACCGCAAACUUGAUGACAAUCACCACUUGAUGUCACCCUCCAUGAGUUGUAUGAGGUAUUCCUCUUGACGCAAGCCCGUGAACACAUACCUAACCCCACAUAGAACUCUCACAUAGAUUAUGGAUUAGUACACUAAGCGUAAUGGACAAUGAUUACCAUACCAUGGGAUCACUUGAUCCCACUUGGUGCAUCUUGUACGCUUUGUGUGUUGAUCAACUUGAUUCACUCUUUGACUUAGUCUUGAUCAACCUUGUAUCUUAUGUACUCAAAGACCAAUCUUUGGAUAAAACCUUACAUAGCACCUUGGUCACCAUAUGAACUUCUUAAAACCAACAAAUGGACUCCAAGAAGUGCCUAUGGACAAAUCCUUGGAAUAUAAAUUAAGGCAACCAUUAGUCCAUAGAGGUUGUCAACAAUUACCAAAACCACAUAUGAAGAAUUAUACUCUAACACUAAGUACAAGGGGUACUAAUAGUGCACCAUCGGGCCCCCCGGGCGAUGCGGACGCAGCUGGCACCGAUGACUAGUGGGAUGGACAGUUAUGGAGCCUAGCCACCUGGAUCCAGCAGGAAGUCGAGGAAGGAGGAGUCGGAGACAUAAAUGAUAGAGGAAGAUCACCGCCGCCCAACCGCCACACCCUGCAUCAAAGAGAGGCACCCCCGCCUAGAUGCCAUGCUCGCUCCAUGGUAAAUCAAACGAGGAGGAAGUGGGUCCAUGUCGUAGUCAACGUCGAAACACUGGCGGUGGCGAAGGGGGGUGGCGGUGGCGAAGGGGAGGUGGCGGCACCUAGGGUUUCGGCCAGUCUCUUACAGGAGAAACGUGGAUGUCACGUUAUCGCCGGUCAACAGUCCAUGUACCACUGACAUAUUCAUUUCAUGGAGGAUGGAUUAGAACUCAAAUAAGUGACAAAAGUCAAGAUUUGCUUUUUACAAGUUUUUUUUUUCAGCAAAAACUUGUGGAUGCUAAGUCUAAGGAUGAUGGUAGAAGCUUUUUACAUUUUGAAACGAUUGCGCACUUGGAAUACUUGAAAAGUUAUGCAUGCAAUUCAACAAACCAAUACUCCCUCAGUUUCAUAAUAAGUGUCAUGGUUUUAAUUUCGAACAUGCUCAUGUAUAUAAUUUUAGGGCACCGACAGUAGAACAAUCGUUGCACAGUAAUUUACGCAUCAAAAAAUAUGUACAAUACAAAGUAGCUCACAAAUCACACGGUGGGAGUACGUACAAAGGAAUCGCGGGCAGGCACGGACGUAGGCAAAACCAUCAUAUUUUUGCAAAGGAAGCAAGCAACCUCAACUCCUAGGGUGAUGAUGGGAAAGUAUUCCCUCACAUUCACAGCAAACCCCAAGGCUGUAGCCCCUGGAUACCAUCAGCUGCUAGUGGGCUACCGGGUAAAAAAAAAGUGGGCGCAUCAAGAUUGAAGUUGCAAUCCGCCUAGGAUUUUGUGUCAUGCAAAAGUGGGACCCAUCUCACAUGCCCCAUGCACAUGACAACCACUUGUCUCCUACCACCUCUUGCAUCUCACCAUCAUCUCCGUUUACCCCCGUCCCCUUGUGAGUUGUGACUUCUCCCUUUCACCACCACAGGUUUUUGACAGAGCUACUGCUCUUCCGGGUCCCAGAUAGAUAAGCCACAAUGCGAUGGAGAGAAUUACUAUACUAUAAUAACAAGUUUUUACAUAGGUUCAGUACAAGGCAAAAAGAAAAUCUACAUAAGAUGAAAACAUCCAUCAACCGACAAGGAAGUCCAGACUUACUUUAUACCAGACGGUGAAAAGGAUUAAUUAAAAACAUAAAAGGUUCAAAAAAAGAAAAACUGACCACAAAAAAGCCUGGUACUUUCUUCAAGCUGCUGCCCUGGCCAUUUGCUUUGGUCAAGGGCAUUUUGCUGCCAUGGCACCCCUCAACUCAUGCAGUCCCUUCUCCCCUUCUUAUUUGUUUUCCACUCUAGACCACCAAGGUUCUAACCUCCUUUUUACAUGACGGAGCAGGCGUUUGGGUUCUCGUCGCUGAAGAUCUGCGGCGGGUAGGGUGGGUAGGCCGGCGGCGGAGGGUAGGCGGCGUAUCCCGGCCUCGGCGGGUAGUACCCUCCCGGGAACGCAAACUGAGGGUAGUGCAUGUAGAGGUUGGCUGCUGCGAUGGCGCCGGGGUCUUUCUCCUUCUCCUUCUCCUCGCC